rnacentral:lncRNA from 1 species
ACCAAUUCCAUUUGAAGAUUUGAGACUUUUAAGGUUUCUCAACCUUGCUGACACUGACAUAAGAAGUUUACCCGAGUCAACAUGCAAAUUGCUGAACUUGGAAAUUUUUAUAUUAAGAAAUUGUUCCCGUUUGAUAAAGCUUCCAGCCAAAAUGAGGAAUUUGAUCAAUUUACGCCAUCUGGAUAUAAGAGGUGCGAAGUUGCUGAAGGAGAUGCCAGUCGGAAUGAAAGAGCUGAAGAAGCUUCAAACAUUGUACAAUUUCAUUGUGGGCAAGGGUGAAACUGCAUCCGGUUUGGAAGAAUUAAAAAGUUUAAACUUUCUUUGUGAUGAACUUUGCAUUGCUGGAUUAGAGAAUGUGAAUAAUCCACAGAAUGCAAGAGAAGCGGCAUUAUGCGAGAAGCACAAUCUUGAAGCACUGACUCUAGAUUGGGGGUCUCAAUUUGACAAUUCUCGAGAUGGAGUAGUAGAAGAGCAUGUACUGGAAAUUCUACAGCCUCAUAAACGUAUAAAAAAGGUGGCAAUCAGGAACUAUAGAGGUGCAAGAUUUCCACAUUGGAUAGGAGAUCCUUUGUUCUCCAAAAUAGAGUUCCUUGAAUUGGAGAACUGUGACAAUUGUGUAUCUUUGCCAUCGCUUGGCCGUUUGAGUUCACUUAAACACCUUGCUGUUAAAGGGCUGAAGAAACUAAAAAGCAUAGAGUCUAAGGUUUAUGGGGAGGGUUUCUCAAUGCCUUUUCCAUCAUUGGAGAUUCUAAGUUUCGAGAAUUUGCCAGAAUGGGAGCAUUGGGACACCGAUAUCAAAGGAAAUGUACUUGUUGAAAUAUUUCCUCGUCUCCAUAAACUUUCCAUUGUGGAAUGUCCCAAACUCUCCGGAGAACUGCCUGAUCUCCUGCCCUCCUUGGAGACACUUGUUGUUAGUAAAUGUGAAAAGUUGGUAGUUCCAUUGUCUUGCUAUCCGAUGCUCUGCAGAUUAGAAGUUGAUGAGUGCAAGGAACUAGCGUGCGCGACUCCAAUUGAUUUUAAGUUGAUAAAGUCUGUGACUAUUUCAAAUUGUUCACUAGACAUGUAUGGAUGCAAGGGGAUGCUAUACAAUGGUCCAGCUGGCUCUUCACUGCCGAAAUCCAUGACUAUUACAAAUGUUUUGGCGUUUGGAAAAUUAUUGAAGCCUGAAUUUCAGAUAUUAGAAACUUUGGUAAUUGACAAUUCUGAACAGCUCAUGUCAUGGAGGCAGCGUGGGAAUUUCCGAGAAGAAUAUUUGGCCGUUCGCCGAAGGCUUAUCAAACCAUUACAAGGGCUAAAUAUGCUCGCUUCCCCAGAAGAGGUAACAAUUGAAGAAAGUUGUGUGAGUUUUGUUUUAUUUUCAGAGAUCAAUUUCUUUCCCAGAAAUCUGCGCUCUCUUCUAAUUUGCAGCAGCACAGCUUUAAAAUCCUUACCCGAUGAAAUGAUGGACAACAGUUCACAACUCAAAAGGUUGUAUAUCAGAGAUUGCGAUUCUCUAACAUUCAUCACAAGACGCAAGCUACCUUCAUCUCUAAAAAGUAUAGAGAUUCAGAAUUGUGAGAAACUGCGACAUUUGUUCGAUGAUAAAGAGGAUGCUUCUUCUUCUUCUCCUCCUUCAUCCUCGCCCUCCCCAGUGAUGCUGAAACACCUGAGUAUAAAUAAUUGCCCAGAGCUCACCAGUUUAUCAACAGGAAUCCAAUUACUUGAGGCGCUUGAACACCUCGACAUACGGGAUUGUCGAAAGCUGGAGUCAUUACCAGAUGGCCUUCACAAUCUUAACUGUUUACAGGAGAUUACUCUAAACAGUUGUCCAAGUCUUCUUAGAGGGCUUCCCAACACGAUUUCAAGGGUUGACAUUUACAGCUGUCCAAGUCUUGUUUCCUUCCCAGAAAGAGGACUUCCCAACACGAUUUCAAAGGUUGACAUUUUUAAUUGUGAGAAGCUCGAAGCCCUGCCCAAUGACAUGCACAAACUCAACUCUCUUCGAGAUUUAAGCAUAUUGGGGUGUCGAAAUCUUGUAUCCUUUCCAGAAGAAGGUUUUCCUACCAGUCUAACAUCACUUAGAAUUGGAGAUUUCAAAAUGUAUAAGACACUCAUCCAGUGGGGGUUGCACAGGCUUACCUCUCUUAGACGCCUCUAUAUCGUUGAUUGUGAUGACGAAGCAGAGUGUUUUCCAGACGAGGAGAUAGGAACGAUGCUGCCUACCUCCCUAACUCAUCUAUCCUUUCGGGGAUUCCGAAAUUUGAUAUCUCUGUCUUCGACGGGUUUUCAGAGCCUCAACUCUCUUCAAUACUUGUGGAUCAGGGAUUGCCCGAAUCUCACAUCAUUCCCAGAGGUGGGCCUUCCAUCCUCACUUUUGGCAUUAUGCAUUAUCGAUUGUCCAAAGCUUAAAAAAGCGUGCAAAAGAGAUCAAGGAAAAGAGUGGUCCAAAAUUGCUCACAUCCCUCGCAUUGACAUAGACAGGAAAUUCAUAUACGAUCCAGAAUCAGAGGAGUAGAUUCUACUAUUAAGGUCAGUUGAUUUGUAUUAUCCGCCAUAACAAGCUCCUCCUUUUUUUUUAAAUAAUAAUAAUAAUUCUUACCAAUUAAUGAUGGUAAGAUGUGUACUUAUUCUUUCUUCCGGACAACCUUGCCUUCUUUCUUCGGUAGCAUAUCUAAUGAAUAUUUCUCUGUUUAGUUAAGGAUGAAUGCUUGGAGUGGAGUAUUUGGUAACAUUUCUGCCGUAGAUGAAACCUUGAAGAAAUGCCUGCACUUCCUGAGACCAAAUACAGGUCUGAUUCACAACAACACCUGUCCCAGAAAAUAUGAUACAAGCCAAAGCCAUGUUCUGAAGCAGAAAUAACGCAUUUCAAUUUUUAUCUGGUAAAAAUACACAGCCCUCGCCUACAAAAUUCUUAUCUUGGCUUUCACGGAUAUUUUUAUCACGUAACCACGUGAGGAAGCAUGUGCUGGAGCCUGAAUUCAGUUAGUUAAAGUUUGUUAACCACGUGUCAACAAACUGUAUAAUCUGGAAAAUACGCUAGCUAUUGAAACAGGGUAUAAAGGCUGGUUUUUCAGGGACUAUCGAGAGCUGAUUCUAGAGUCUUGUAGAAAGAGGUUUGUGAGAGAGAAAGUGUCAUCUUGUUCUCUGUAAAAUCCGAUAUAGGGCUCUGUAACGAUCUCCAUUGUUGAAUCAAUAAAACUCAUCUAGAAGCUUCUCCCGUGGACGUAUUCUGAGCAUUCAAUGCACAGCUGAACCACGUAAUAUCUUGGUUUCAGUGGGUUCUUGUUUUGGUUCUUGAUAAAUUCUUGUUGUUGUAUUGAGGUGUGAUUUGAUGUGUCUAAACUUGCAUCUGUGCAACUUGAAUUGAUUUGAUGAUAAUAAUCUUGGGCAGUGAUCAGAUUCGUUUAGUUUAAAGAACAAGCUGAUUACUACCGUACCUAUGCAUGGACCUGUAACCUGUGCUGACAAAACUGAAACUAUGAGUUUGAGGUAAAAAGGUCCUGGACCCUCACAGUUUAACUUGGACUUGUAGCUUUCUGGAUAAACACAUUUUAGAAGUUUGCAAUUUGUUGUUAAUUACGGUAUGUGAUUUUCUUUUUUGUUUUCGCUUUUGUAGAAUCUACCGUAUUACAUAUUGGCAGUUGUAUCUGAGGUACCAUUUUUGCAUUUAACUUGCCUUUAUCUGUUUUGCCUGUUACUUAACAACACAUCAUUUCCCAAAGAUUUGGAGAAGCAUCUCAAGAUGCUUAACAAACUUGACAAACUUCAAGAUGCUCCCAAGCCUUGAUUCUUCACAAAGGAAGACCUGUGAGUACACUUAUGCCCGCAAUUAUUGUGAAGUGAUUGCAACUUUGAUGCAGCGAAACGGUUUGCUGGUGCAAAGCUUUAAAACUGUUAAGAAUUACCCUGCAGGCUUGUUGGAUGUUGUAUACUCCGAAAGCCACCAACACCAAGAACUAUAACAGCAAGACUAGGUUUGCAUUAAUUCAAUUAGCUGAAAUAAUGAUGCAAAUGGCACUAUCCAGCUCGACUUAGAGACUAGUCAGGUCAAUCAUCCAUUUCAUCAACAGUUAAUGUCAGGAUGGUGGCUAGCAGAGGAAACAAAGGAUAUGUUGGAAUCAAUAAGAACAGUGAGAAGCAUGAGAGGAGCUUUGAUUAUAAGUAGGCUCAAUGAACUAGUGUUGGUAAGUGGUAAUUAGAGCAAUUUGUGAGCUUAGUAGAGUUUCAAUAUUUUCUGUUUGGGAUAUAGUUGAUAAGUUGAUACUCUGAUAAAGAAGGCUGAUUAUAGUAGCUGACUAUAUUAACCGGGUUCUCUUUUUUGGUUUGCUGUUGUUUUUUCUUUCAAUAUCUUUUUCAACAUUAGGUUUAAGAACAAGCUUGGGUUUGAUUAUCAGGUAAGAACAAAUGAAUGCUUUAACCAUGUUUCUCACUUAUCACAAUGCACGGAUUGAAGGCGUCUGAGUUGAUCCUGAAACGUGCCUCAGCAAGUAUUAUGAUUAUUAUUUUAAAAAACUCAACCUAAGCAACGUGCCUCAGCAUACAAUAUUUAUUGACAACUAAAAAGUAAUAGUGGGUGGGGGUUGCCCUGGGUUUUGUUUAAAAAUUGAAGUAAAAAAUUUUCAAAUUUCAAAUUUCUAGUACAAAGAAAAUUGAUGACUAAAUUAAAUUCUGCAAAUUAAUUUCUAAUAUUACAUGAAAAUAUUAUCAAGUUAACUGGUAACAUCGUUAAUCACUUAAUUCUCAGUCUAAUACGUUAUGUAUUUGUUACUCUGUCUUAAAUCAAAAGUGGCGGUGAUUUAUUUUUAUUUUCACUAAUCAGAAAGGCAUGUUAGAGCUUUUAUUUUGUCGAAAAUGAACCAAAAAAACUCCGAUUGGGAGAUUAUAAAUGUAAUUAACAAUAAUUUAACUUCCAUUUUGAAAGUCAUUAUAUUGUUUAUUCAGGAGAAGCGUUCUUUUAUAUUUUAUAGAUAUAAUGUUUGCUAAUCCUAAUUUAAGCUAAAGCAUAUGCAUUUCCUAAUUAAUUCUAAUUUAAGCUUAUUCAACUGCAUUCAAUUAAUGUUCGAUAAUACAAAUUCUAAAUACUAUAUACUCUAAGAAUUUUAAUCGUAAUGACAAGGUGAUCAUUUAAUUAUUACCGUUAAAUUAUAUAUGUAUGGUGGAGACGAGUCCACACGGUUUUGACGAGAAAUUAAAGACAAUAUUUAGUUAAGCUAGUAGUAUUUGUUCUGUUUAGUACGUCGUUUUACCAGCAAGCAUCCCGGCAAUGCACGCAUUAAUAAAAACAUUUAUCUGUUUGGACUGACUGGUAGUGAAAAAUUCCACAUACUUUAAAUCAAGAAAAUGCUAAGCAUCUUAAAGAAAACAAUUAAAAUAUUGUCACUUGAUGCUUGAAUCAUUAUUGUUAAAUAUCUCCGUUGAGUUGUAUUCCCCAGUUGUGAGUAUCAUUAUUGUUGUUUGUGCGAUAUGUUUCGACGAAGACCAGCAGUGAUGAGCAGGCGUCUGGUAGCAGGGUUCCUCGAACAGGUAUAUCUUGCAAGAGUCUGGUAGCAGGGGGAGCAAGAGCAGGAGUAUCCUGCUCGUCCACGAGUACGUCAUCCACGAGGCCGGUCUCCUGUUGGGAGCGUAAAGCCAUUCCUGCUAUAUUCCUGCUAGCGGUUGAGUCGAGGAGACCCGGUCAACGACAGUUGACGAGACAUGCUCUCCAGUCCGAGAAUCAAGGCGCGAAGGCCACGCAACCACCCACGACUACGGAAAUGGAGCAUCCACUUUCGAGAAGUGGGAGGAUGACAAGCGCAAAGGGAGGAAAUGCAUGGGCUCAGAAGUGGCCUAUAAAAAGGUAACCAACGAAGGUAAAAGGGUUAGCAAUUUUGAGAUUAUAACAGAGACUAAGGAAAUUCUAAAGAAGAGAAAACUAUUAAAAAGCCAUAAGAUCUGUGGCAAGCGUUCCCAGAGCCUUCAUAUCUGACUUGAGCGUCGGAGGGUUUACGCCGGGAAAACAACCGGCGUGCUCUGACUUGUUUCUGUGGACGCAGGAAUACUUGGAGAAGAAAGCAUACAAGGAGAGAUCCUGGUCGAGGUGAGGUUGAUUGAGCAGAUAUCCUGGUCGUAGGAAGAGCGUAACCAGAAUCUCGCAUCAAUAUUUUGGCGCCGUCUGUGGGGAGCUGAGCAAAAAGUUUCUGUUGAUAGCAAAGAAGAGGAGUGAAGCAAGUGAAAAGCAAUGGAGACAGGAGGAAGUAGUGCACAAGGGGGUGAUAUGAGGCUUAACGAUUCCGUGACGCUGAGGGAGAUAGCCAGUGAAGCACGGGAAAAAGCCAUGUUCGACCGGAUGGAACGGAUGGAAAAGCAGAUGGAGACCUUGACAACCAUCCUACAUGAGCUGCGGAGCGAACGAAGGGUAACCCAGGAGGAAAGGGUGAGAGGUGGUGGAGUGGCACCAGGUCCCGAUAGUGCGAGGAGAAGUCAAACCACCGGGAGAUUUGGUGGUGAGAGAGGUAACAUACCUCUGCAGGGAAAUUGCAUAGAGAGGAAGAGCAGUCCCCGGCAAGACAGAUUUUUGACGAGGACGACGGGGUGGCGAAUGCAGAGGAAGCAGAGUUGAGGCAAUACUUGCAUGAUGUAGUGCAAGAGCGGGAUCAAGUCGCAGCACGUGACCCUGGUCGUGCAGAGCAGCUGGAGGAGGAAGUGUGCAGGCUAGCGCAGAUAAUUGACGACAUACAAGGAAGGAGCAGAGCUCCUGGUUGGAGGAUAAUGCUGGACGGAGAAUCACCGCUCGCAGCAGAGAUCAUGAGGGCAGUUAUUCCAAGAGAUUUCCGCCUCCCAGACCUUAGAUAUUCGGGAUGAACUGAUCCGCUGGUGCACAUAGAGCGCUUCAACGACAUAACUGGGGUACAAGGAUUAUCUCAAUCCUAAAGGUGCAGGGUGUUCCCACUAUCCCUUGAGGGACGCGCACGAGAGUGGUACAGGAAACUUCCUCGGGGGAGCAUUAAAACCUUCGAGCAGAUGUGCCAGGAAUUUGCAGAACAGUUCCGUGGGGCAAUGGCACCAGAAGAUGACAUGAUGGAGUUGAAAAACAUGAAGCAGGGGGAACAAGAAACACUUCGGGAAUUCAUCAAGAGGUUUCACCGUGCUGUCCUCGACUUGGGAGCCUUCAACCACCCUCAAACGUUAAGGGGAUUGAAAGAAGGGGUGAAGAUAGGAAGGCUGUGGUACAACUUGAGAAGCCCAGUUAUUCAGACGUAUGCGGCCGCAUACGAGCAGGCUAAGAGAGACAUUGAGAUUGAAGAGGAGAAGGCAGCACAGAUUAAGACAGACCAGUUAGAAGGGUGGGGGAGGAAAGAGAAGAAAGCAUUACCGGGGAAUGGGCCGAUCAGGAGGAGGAACCACCAGGCCUCGAGUAGUGGAGCAGAAGGUCGGGUAACUGCUUACCAGCCUCAUCAGAGGCCACUACAGUAUCAGCACAGCAGGGCGCAACCUCCUCGUUCCCCAGCUGGGGAGCCUUGGAGAAGGCAUGACUCGGCGUAUGGUGGUCUUCAUCAACACUCCCACGGUAGUAGAAGGGGCAGACCAGAAGCGCUGCCACCGCCUCCAACUCAGAACGGAGCAAAUAGAGAAAGGGCAGUGCACCUGAUCGACCAGAACCAGGACUAUGGGCGAUAUACUUCCUUGAAGAUGUCCCUGGCCGAGGUGUACGAGGCCAUAAAGGAUCGAGGGUCGUUAUACCUCCCUGCCCCAAUAACAAAGCUACCCAGCAGGAGGGAUAGGGGACGCUAUUGUAAGUUCCAUGGCACUCAUGGCCACACCACAGCAGAUUACAGGGAUCUCAAGACCCAGGUUGAAGAUUUGGUGAGAAAUCGGUAUCUGGACGAGUUUAUAGAUGGGACCUUCCCAAUGGUAGCCUCGACCAGCGAAUGGGAGCAGAGUGACAGGAACUUGAGGCGCGAGCAGCCUGCAGUAAGGGUGAUAGCUGGGGGCCCAACAUUGGCCGGAGAUUCCAACAGGUUGAGGAAGAAUUACGCUAGAUACGCCAUGACCAGCAAAGAUGUAUUCUUCACCACCCCAGCAGCCAAACGUGCAAGAGUCAGGCAAGUGCCAAUUAUGUGGACAGAUGAGGAUGAAGAAGGGAUUCUAUACCCCCACGAGGAUGCUUUGGUCAUCAAGGCCACUGUUGCCAGCAAGAAGUUUGACAGGAUACUGGUUGACACAGGGAGCUCAGUUGAUGUGUUGUUUAAGUCAACCCUGGAGGAGAUGGGAAUAGCAGACCUGAAGUUGGAUUACACCAAUACCUCCUUGAAGGGGUUUGGAGGAGGAAAGUUGGUCCCUCUGGGCGUGGUCGAGCUGCCUAUCACGAUUGGGAGCUCCCCGACAGAAGGGACAAUGAUACUGGACUUUGUGGUAGUGGAUGAGGAAGGUCCUUAUCAGAUGAUCCUAGGCCGGCCAUUUCUGACGAUGAGCAAAGCGGUGCUGUCCAGCCAUUAUCUGGCUCUCAAGUACCGGGUGAAUGGGGUAGUUGGAGUGGUACGAGGAGACCAGAGGAUCGCAAGAAGCUGCUACUCCUCGGCAGCAAAGGAAGCAAUGCAGAUAACAUCCCUUGAUACCCGAGUGGAAGCCAGGAAUGGCAGCUAGUUGGACCCGGAGUUUACAAGCUGGUUCGCACGGAUGGCCACAAGGUGAAACGCCCAUGGAGCGCGACACACCUCAGGAAAUAUUUCUAGUAAGACUUACUCAUCUUUUAAAGUUAUUUCUGUUCGUGCCCGUUGUUUUCUAUUUUUCAUUUCUUAUUUCAAAGCAAUCUCAUGUAAGCCGAAUUCAAUAAUAAAUGAAUCAAUGAGGAGUUUCAGUCAACUACACUGUUCAAGAAAUUAUCAAAGGCAUGCAAAGGCUAGUCAAGUCUCAAAGCCUGUUUAUGGCGAGACCAGAAGCCAAGCGUGCCAGGAUCUGCUCGACCACGAGAAGGCGAGCAGAGUCCCAAGCUUUCAAGAAAUUAUCAAUGGCAUGCAAAGGCUCACCAAGUCUCAAAGCCUGUUUAUGGCGAGACCAGAAGCCAAGCGUACCAGGAUCUGCUUGACCACGAGAAGGCGAGCAGAGUCCCAAGCUUUCAAGAAAUUAUCAAAGGCAUGCAAAGGCUCACCAAGUCUCAAAGCCGGUUUAUGACGAGACCAGAAGCCAAGCGUUCCAGGAUCUGCUCGACCACGAGAAGGCGAGCAGAGUCCCAAGCUUUCAAGAAAUUAUCAAAGGCAUGCAAAGGCUCACCAAGUUUCAAAGCCUGUUUAUGACGAGACCAGAAGCCAAGCGUGCCAGGAUCUGCUCGACCACGAGAAGGCGAGCAGAGUCCCAAGCUUUCAAGAAAUUAUCAAAGGCAUGCAAAGGCUCACCAAGUCUCAAAGCCUGUUUAUGGCGAGACCAGAAGCCAAACGUGCCAGGAUCUGCUUGACCACGAGAAGGCGAGCAGAGUCCCAAGCUUUCAAGAAAUUAUCUAAGGCAUGCAAAGGCUCGCCAAGUCUCAAAGCCUGUUUUAUGGCGAGAUAGAAGCCAAGCGUACCAGGAUCUGCUCGACCACGUGAAGGUGAGCAGAAUCCCCAAGCAUCGGAAUAUUUUCCAAGGCAUGCAAAGGCUCGCCAAGUCUCAAAGCCUGUUUUAUGGCGAGACAGAAGCCAAGCAUGCCAGGAUCUGCUCGACCGCGCGAAGGCGAGCAGAAUCUCAAGCAUUGAAGAAUUUUCCAAGGCAUGUGGCAAAACCAUAUGCCGAGCCAGAACCUGCUAAACUAGACGAAGACGAGCAGAUUCUCAGACGAAAAAUAACUCAUGAUUACAACACAAGAAAGUAAUCAAAAACAUUUUUAUUAAUUUGUUAAUAAUUAACAGAGGAGAUAAUCUUCACAAACAUUGUUCAUUACAAUACAAGAAAUAUAUUAAGAGGACGGUGGAUCCGUAAGCCGAGCAGCCUCAGUCGGUUGGUCCACCUCAGGUGCUGGGGGAGUAUCACCGGUCGCGUCCGGGGGGGUGCUUGCCUCACCCACAUCAACAGGAACGGCACGAGGAGGAGAGUUUUCCUCAACUACGAUUGGUUCCACCGUUUCGGCAUCUUCCUUUGCAGCCUCCUCGUCCAUAUGUUGGGCGACACCAGUUGCAAGGUCGUCCAUCUUCAGAUCAGGAUGCUGCUUCCCGAGGACGACCAUGAUGCAACGAUAGGAAUGCCGAAGCCCCUAGUCGUACUGGUUGUCGGCCUCCCUCUCCAAGUUCUCGACCUGAGCUCGGUGGGAAUCGCGGAGAGAUUCGAGCUGAGCCUCAUAUAUAGCCUUCUGCCUUUGCAGAUCCUCCUCGACCUUGGUCAGCUCCUCCUCGAGGGUAAUGGCUUUUGCUUGAGCAAGAGAUUCUUGCUCUAUCAGCUUGAGGUUCUCAACAUUCAGCUCCCCUGCUUUCUUCUCGGCAGCGUCAGCUCUGGUCGUCGCCGAUUGAAUGUCCUCCUUAAUCUUGCGGUCGUAGCGGCCAACCUUCGCCUUGUAAUAGGUGGUCAUGCAGCUGAGGUAGAAAGCGCUAUACUGCAUGGCCCCCACCAGCUCACCCAAGGUGCAGCCGUCAAAGUCCUCCAGGUCCUUCUUGCUCACGAGUUUAGAUAACUCAUUGAGGUAGGGGACCAAGUGUUCUGCUUGGCUGUCAGGUAAGCGAGAUCGAGGCCCGACAGGAGGAGAAGAGGAAGCAGGAUCCGUGGCUGCUCCACUAGUUUCCCCAACUUUGGCAGGAGCAGGAGGUAAAGUCUUCAAGGGAGAGACUUGCUGUACGAUGUUGGCCUGCUUUGCAGAAGGGGCGUCCUUGUUCUGGUCCCUCUUCGUGGCUUGAGGUUGAGAACGUUUCCUGUUCAGAGCCCCAAUCACAGCGUCCUCCAUCUUAUGGCCAGGGAGUACCAAGCGAGACUCGAGCAAGUUGUAAACAGUUAUCAAUUCUCGGCUCGGGCAAGAGUUGGCUAGUAUAGCCUCGACCCGUUUGAGCUGAUCAGGUUGGAGCGAGAAGUGAACACCCCAAGAACCUGCAACACAAACAAACAUUUGAUUAGAGACAAACCAGUAAAGUGCAAACAACAAGGGAGACAAGACAUCUAAUACGAGCAGGCAACCUGGGACCAUGAAACGGGGUGGGACGCGACAAUCCUUCCCGUCUAUUUGUGCAACUUGACCCCAAGGACCCCCAGCAAAAAAGAAUUUCCUCUUCCAAGUCCCACCACCACCAGUUGGAAGAUCAGUUAUGGGUUUCUUGCUCUUGGUACUAGAUUGGAAGUAGUACCAGCCGGCAUCUUUGGGGCUGCUCUUUAGCUGGUACAGGUGCUUCACCUCAUCAACCGUGGGCUCGCUUUGGCAACAUCUGUCCCACAAUAUGAACAGACCAGAGAGCACCCUCCACCCAUUGGGGUUCAGUUGACCAGGAGCUAGAUUGAGCCCGUGGAGUAUGCGAGCAAAAUAGGGUUGCAAGGGGCACCUUAACCCGUACUUAAAACUCUCCUGGAACAAGGUGACAUAUCCCCUAGGAGGCCUGCUAGGACUAUCUUUUUUUCCUGGGAUCCUAAGGAGUACUUCACCAGGAAUAUGAUACCUGAGCCAGAGGUCAUCCAGCUCGUUGAAUGUGGUCGUGCAGGUCAUGUAAUCAAUAGCAUAAUCCCGCAACAAGGCUCUACCUCCUACUGUACUACGCCCUUCUGGUCGCAGUGUUCCCGGUGAAGAUCCCUCACCAGAGUCACCUCCUUGAUCCUCACUUAGGGUGUCUUCCGAGCCAGAAGGUCCUUCCUCGCCACUACUUCCGCUCGUGGAGGUUGUUUGGGGGGACAUCCUCCUAGCGCUAGUCCCGACACUAGACCUAGUGGGCUCUAAGGGGAUCCCGGGGUCAAAAGCAGAAUCAGUGAGCAGACUAGGCAAGAAACCUAGUUCGUCGUCAUCAGUCUCAAUGACUUUCUCCUUACCCUUCGACAUUCCCUAAGUUCUAACCAAAACACCACCACCGACUACAACCCCAAGUAAAGCAAAGAGAAAAGAAAUUAUCUACAACUAUCCGAGACCGAGGAGAUAGAAGUAAUACCUGAAGUAAUGGUUCAGUUAGAGAAAGGCAGGGGAGGAGACUUUUAUGCCGAGACUUCUUUGCCGGAGAGACAGAGACAGAGAUGGAGUAAAUGACGAAUUUUCCCUUUGAGAGGUUUUGGGUUUUCCUAAUGGAGAAUGAACUUUUGGAUUGCCAGCAUUUAAUAGCAUCGAAUCCCAAGGGUCUCGUAACCGUCGGUUUAAAAUUCAAAUAGAUGGGUAGAUUUCUGCCACAUCACCUGGUCCACAAUUAAAUGCGACACGACUCUUGGCAGCCUUUUCCUAUCCCGCGCGAGCAAGAACUGUCGAGUUUCUACUGUUGGCUCACUACGCUACCCAACACAAGAAACUGGGGGACUGGUGUUUGUGCGAUAUGUUUCGACGAAGACUAGCAGUGAUGAGCAGGCGUCUGGUAGCAGGGUUCCUCGAACAGGUAUAUCUUGCAAGAGUCUGGUAGCCGGGGGAGCAAGAGCAGGAGUAUCCUGCUCGUCCACGAGUACGUCAUCCACGAGGCCGGUCUCCUGUUGGGAGCGUAAAGCCAUUCCUGCUAUAUUUCUGCUAGCGGUUGAGUCGAGGAGACCCGGUCAACGACAGUUGAUGAGACAUGCUCUUCAGUUCGAGAAUCAAGGCGCGAAGGCCACGCAACCACCCACGACUACGGAAAUGGAGCAUCCACUUUCGAGAAGUGGGAGGAUGACAAGCGCAAAGGGAGGAAAUGCAUGGGCUCAGAAGUGGCCUAUAAAAAGGUAACCAACGAAGGUAAAAGGGUUAGCAAUUUUGAGAUUAUAACAGAGACUAAGGAAAUUCUAAAGAAGAGAAAACUAUUAAAAAGCCAUAAGAUCUGUGGCAAGCGUUCCCAGAGCCUUCAUAUCUGACUUGAGCGUCGGAGGGUUUACGCCGGGAAAACAACCGGCGUGCUCUGACUUGUUUCUGUGGACGCAGGAAUACUUGGAGAAGAAAGCAUACGAGGAGAGAUCCUGGUCGAGGUGAGGUUGAUCGAGCAGAUAUCCUGGUCGUAGGAAGAGCGUAACCAGAAUCUCGCAUCAACAAUUGUCUUUGCUCUCUAAUCUAUUCAAUUUUCUUUCUGGAGACAAGAUUUUGAUUCCUUUCAUCGUUACAAAAACGGAACCAUGGUUGAUGUGGGAGAGAUCUUACUCAACGCCUUCUUUUAGGUGAUGUUCGACAGGUUGGCUUCCCGUGAUUUGCUCAGCUUUGUCCGUCAACUUGGAGGGGGGGUCGAUUCCGAGCUCAAGAAGUGGGAAAGAAAGCUGAAGAUGAUUCAGGCGGUGCUCAACGAUGCAGAGGAGAAGCAACUGACGGACGAGGCUGUGAAGAUGUGGCUGGACGAUCUCCAAGACUUGGCUUAUGACGCUGAGGACAUUCUUGAUGAGUUUGCUACUCAAGCUUUGGAAAGCAAGUUGAUGGCGCAAAAUCAGGAUAGCUCUGGCCAACUUCUCAGUUUCAUCCAGGCUAGUUUGAAUCCGAAUGCUAUUAUGUUCAAUUAUAGCAUGGGGUCCAAGAUUAAAGAUAUCACUAGCCGGCUGGAGCAACUCUGCCAAGAAAGAAUUGAACUUGGACUGCAACGGAUUACUGGAGGGGCAUCAUCAACUACUGCUGCUGCACACCAGAGGCUACCCGGUUCAAUUGUCCCAACAGAACGUGAAGUAUUUGGAAGAGAAGAAGAUAAGGCCAAAAUUCUUGAUAUGGUAUUGGCCGAUACCCUAAGUGAUCAUGCCAACUUUGCUGUAAUACCCGUUGUUGGCAUGGGCGGGAUAGGAAAAACAACUCUCGCUCGGGAGGUUUACAAUGACAAGGCCGUUGGCGGUUCCAAGUUUGAUGUAAAAGCAUGGGUUUGCGUAUCUGAUGUCUUUGAUGUUUUGGGCAUCUCAAAGGCACUUCUCGAGUCAAUCACCCGCAGGCCUUGUCUUCUAAACAGUUUAAAUGAAGUGCAGGUUGAAUUGAAAGUAGCUGUGGAUAAAAAAAGAUUCUUGCUGGUCUUAGAUGAUGUUUGGAACGAGGACUACAGCUUGUGGGUAGACUUAAAAGCUCCGUUCCUGGCUGCUGCACCAAACAGUAAGAUGAUCGUCACCACACGCAAUUCAAAUGUUGCAUCAACAAUGGGACCAAUUGAACAUUACAAUCUCAAGAGUUUGUCAGAUGAUGAUUGUUGGUCCAUUUUCAUAAAGCAUGCAUUUGAAUAUAGAGAUCUUAACGCACAUCAAAUUUCAGAAUCGUUCCGCGGGAAAGUUGUUGCCAAGUGUGGAGGCUUGGCCCUGGCAGCAAAAACACUCGGAGGCCUUCUGCAUACGACGAGGCAUGAUGCGUGGGAUGAUACGUUAGAGAGCAAAAUAUGGGAUUUACCUCAACAAAGUGGGGUUCUCCCCGUAUUAAGAUUGAGUUACCAUCAUCUUCCUUCUCAUUUGAAAAGAUGUUUUGCUUACUGUGCAAUCUUUCCAAAAGAUUAUGAAUUCAAUCAGAAGGAGCUGACUUUCUUAUGGAUGGCUGGAGGAAUUAUUCGACAGUCACGAAACAGUGAGCAGCUGGAAGAUUUGGGCAGCAAGUGCUUUCAAGAUCUAGUGUCAAGGUCUAUUUUUCAACAAACCAGCUCUGGUAGUUCUAAAUUUGUAAUGCCCUAUCUUAUCCAUGAUCUUGCUGAAUUGGUUUCUAGAGGGACCAUUUUCAAGUUAGAGGAGUCCACCAACUUGUCGUCGAGGAGAUUUGAAAGAGUUCGCCAUUCUUCCUAUGCCCGCGGUUGGCAUGACGGUAAAAAUAAGUUUGAGGUUUUCUAUGAAAUUGAACAUCUACUAACAUUCUUGCCAUCACGCAUAAGAGGUGGCACUAAUACGAGUUACAUAACUCGAACGGUUCUAUCUGAUUUGUUGCUGAAUUUCAAAAGUUUGAGGAUGUUAUCUUUACAAGGAUACUGUAUUGGUGAGUUACCAAUUUCAUUUGAAGAUUUGAGACUUUUAAGGUUUCUCAACCUUGCUUACACUGACAUAAGAAGUUAUCUGAGUCAACAUGCAAAUUGCUGAACUUGGAAAUUUUGAUAUUAAGAAAUUGUUCUCGUUUGAUAAAGCUUCCACCCAAAAUGAGGAAUUUGAUCAAUUUACGCCAUCUCGAUAUAAGAGGUGCGAAGUUGCUGAAGGAGAUGCCAUUCGGAAUGAAAGAGUUGAAGAAGCUUCAAACAUUGUCCAAUUUUAUUGUGGGCAAGGGUGAAACUGCAUCUUGUUUGGAAGAUUUAAAAUGUUUAAACUUUCUUUGUGAUAAACUUUGCAUUGCUGGAUUAGAGAAUGUUAAUAAUCCACAGAAUGCAAGAGAAGCCGCAUUAUGUGAGAAACACAAUCUUGAAGCAUUGACUCUGGAUUAGGGGUUUCAAUUUGACAAUUCCUGAGGAGUAGUAGAAGAGCAUGUACUGGAAAAUCUACAGCCUCAUAAAUGUAUAAAAAAGGUGGCGAUCCGGAACUAUGGUGGUGCAAGAUUUCCCCUUUGGAUAGGAGAUCCUUUGUUCUCCAGGAUAGAGCUCCUAAAAUUGGAGAACUGUGACAAUUGUGUAUCUUUGCCAUCGCUUGGCCUAUUGAGUUCACUUAGACGGCUUGCUGUUAAAGGGCUGAAUAAACUAAAAAGCAUAGGGUCUGAGGUUUAUGGGGAGGGUUUCUCAAUGCCUUUUCCAUCAUUGGAGAUUCUAAGUUUCGAGAAUUUGCCAGAAUGGGAGCAUUGGGACACCGAUGUCAAAGGAAAUGUGCUUGUUGAAAUAUUUCCUCGUCUCCAUCAACUUUCCAUUGUGGAAUGUCCCAAACUCUCGGGAGAACUGCCUGAGCUCCUGCCCUCCUUGGAGACACUUUUUGUUAGUAAAUGUGAAAAGUUGGUAGUUCCAUUGUCUUGCUAUCCGAUGCUCUGCAGAUUAGAAGUUGAUGAGUGCAAGGAACUAGCAUGCGGGACUCCAAUUGAUUUUAAGUUGAUAACGUCUGUGACUAUUUCAAAUAGUUCCUUAGACAUGAAUGGAUGCAAGGGGAUGCUAUACGAUGGUCCAGCUGGCUCUUCACUACCAAAGCCUAUGAUUACUACAAAUGUUUCGGAGUUUGGAAAAUUAUUGAAGCCUGGAUUUCAGAUAUUAGAAACUUUGGUAAUUGCCAAUUCUGAACAGCUCAAGUCAUGGAGGCAGAAUGGGGAUUUUCCGGAAAAAUACACGGCCCCUGAACAUAGGUUUAAGAAACCAGUACGAGGGCUGAAUAUGCUCGCUUCCCCUGAAGAGGUAACAAUUGAAGAAAGUUGCGUACGUCUUGUUUUGUUUCCAGAGAUCAAUUUCUUUCCCAGAAAUCUGCGCUCUCUUCUAAUUAACAACAACACUGCUUUCAAAUCCUUACCCGAGGAAAUGAUGGAAAACAAUUCACAACUCGAAAGGUUGUAUAUCAGAGAUUGCGACUCUCUAACAUUCAUCGCAAGACGGAGGCUACCAGCAUCUCUUAAAAGGCUUGAGAUAGAAAAUUGUGAGAAAUUGCAACGUCUGUUCGAUGAUGAAGAGGAUGCUUCUUCUUCUUCACCUUCACCCUCGUCUUCCCCAGUGAUGCUGCAACACCUGAGUAUAGAGAACUGCCCAGAGCUCACCAGUUUAUCAUCGGGUGUCCAAUUCCUUGAGGCGCUUGAAGACCUCGACAUACAGGGUUGUCCAAAGCUGGAGUCAUUACCGGAUGGCCUGCCCAAUCUUAAAUGUUUACAGAGCAUUUAUAUACGGGGAUGUCCAAGUCUUGUUUCCUUCCCAGAAAGAGGGCUUCCCAACACGAUUUCAAGGGUUGACAUUUGCAGUUGUGACAAGCUCAAAGCCUUGCCCAAUGAUUUGCACAAACUCAACUCUCUUCGAGAUUUAAGAAUACGGCUGUGUCGAAAUCUUGUAUCGUUUCCAGAAGAAGGUUUUCCUACCAAUCUAACAUCACUUACAAUUGGAAAUUUCAAAAUGUAUAAGACACUCGUCCAGUGGGGGUUGCACGGGCUUACCUCUCUUAAACGCCUCUCGAUCAGUGGAUGUCAUGAAGCAGAGUGUUUUCCAGACGAGGAGAUAGGAAUGACGCUGCCCACCUCUCUCACUCAACUGCUCCUUUAGGGAUUCGAAAAACUGAUAUCUCUGUCUUCGACGGGUUUUCAAAGCCUCAACUCUCUUCAAUACUUAUUGAUCUGGGGUUGCCCAAAUCUCACAUCAUUCCCAGAGGCGGGUCUUCCAUCCUCACUUUUGGAUUUAGGCAUUUACAAUUGUCCAAAGCUUAAAAGAGCGUGCAAAAGAGAUCAAGGAAAAGAGUGGCCCAAAAUUGCUCACAUCCCUCGCAUUGAGAUAGACAGAAAAUUCAUAUACGAUCCAGAAUCAGAGGAGUAGAUUCUAUUACAAAGGUCAGUUGAUUUCUAUUAUCCUCUAUAACAAGCUCCUCUUAAUUUUUUUUUUCUAAGUAAUAAUUUUGCAGUUCUGUAUAAUUAUUAAUCGUCUGCUCUUAAUUGAAAAUGUCACUCACUUGAUUCCGUUUUCACUAGUCAAAUUGUAUGUUGAGGCUAUUUGCUUUUUAAUUAUAACACUUAUCUUAAAAUUUAAUACCAAAUUUUUUUGAUUCACUUCAAUUAGCAUUUUGUUUUCCCCAAAUUAGGCAAGCCGAGAGCUUCAUUAACUAGAGUUUUUUAUUUUUCGGACCUUGCAUCUGAAAGGUUCAGUGUAUUUUUUUUUUUUUCAAAUUUAUUGUUCAGAUCUCAGACGAGUAUACGGUUUAGAUUACAAAACACCUAUGAUUAAUUUCUUUUUUUUUUUUUUAAUUUCAGGGAGAAGAAGUGGUCAGUUUCAAUCCGGAAUUGGAAUAUGGCAAUUUGGUUCAAGCACACACACCUGGUCACUUGGUCAGUGAACCUGAACUUUACGCAGUUUUUUCAACUCAGUGAUUUUUGGAACGCAUAUUGGUGUAAGGAAAUCAAUAGAAAUUUAUGCAUAGUCAAAUUCUGAUAUUUGCUAUAAUAUUAUACAUUCUAAAGUUUCUCCAGUUUGUUCUCAGAUUACCAUCAUUUUUUGCCUUCACCAAAAAAAAAUCGAGUGGCUUUCCAGUGGAUAUUUAAUCGGAGGUAUGACUGGAUUUUUUUCACUUCUGUAAAUCUUGCAUUUUAAACUGGCAAAUUUAACUUUAAUUUUAAUACGACUUGUUUGAGGGAAAUACUCCGACGAGACCAGACGUGAUGAGCAGAUGUUUGGUGGCAGAAGUCUGCGAGCAGGUGUGUCCUGUAAGAGCCAGGUAGCAGGGAAACAGGGGCAGAAAUAUCCUGCUCAUCCACGAGCAUGUCAUCCGCGAGGCCAAUUUCCUGUAAGAAACAUAAAGCCAUUCCUGCUGUAUUCUUGCUAAGGGUUGAUUCGAGGAGACCCGGUCAACGACAGUUGGCGAGGCAUGCUCUCCAGCCCGAGAAUCUAGGCACGAAGGCCACGCAACCACCCACGACUACGGAAAUGGGGAAUCCACGUUCGAGAGGUGGGAGGAUAACAGACGUAGACUGCGGAAAACUGGGAUUCAGAGGAAGCCUAUAAAAAGGUAGCCAACGAAGGUAAAAGGGUUAGCAAUUUUGAUUCUAAAAGAGAGAAAACAACCUAACAACCAUAAGAUUUUUGGCAAGCGUUCCCCGAACCUUCAUAUCUGACUUGAGCGUCGGAGGGUUUGCGCCGGGAAAACAACCGGCGUACUCUGACCUGUCUGUGUGCGCAGGAACCUCUGGAGAAGAAGCUUUACGAGGAGAGAUCCUGGUCGUGGUGAAGUUGAUCGAGCAGAGACCCUGGUCGUAGAACGAGGAGAACCAGAAUCUCGCAUCAACACGACUUUGUUGGUGCCUUGUGUUCCAGAAACUAGAAUGAUGUGUAGUUUUCAGAUUAAGGGGCUUGUAAAUUCUCUAGUAAGAAUCCAAUAAUUUGCUUUUGCACAUUCAUUUUAUUUGUGGAUCCUUGCAUCUGAAUUUGAUCAAUCCAAAAGGAAUUGCUUUUAGACAGAAGAAGAAUUGCAGUACCUAGCCUACGACAUAGUAAAUGGACCUGCAAACCUGUAACUAUUAGUUUGAGGUAAAAAAUUCAUGACCCUCACAUGUUAACUUCUUCUAGUUACUUUCAUCAAAAACACAUUUAAGAAAUUUGCAAUUUUUUGUUAGUUUUGUAUACCGAUGUUGUUUUCUGUUUUAGCAUUUGUAUAAUCUACUGUAUUAUAUUUUGGCGGUUGCAGUAUCUGAGGUAUCUUUUGCAUUUAACUUGCUUUAUUUGUUUUGCUUGUGACUUAAGAACACCAAUAUUUGCCAGAGAUUUAGAGAAGCAUAUCAAGAUGCUUGGCAAACUUGACAAACUUCAAGAUCCUUCAUUCUUCACGACCCAAAACUUGUGAGUACACUUAUGCCCGCAAUUAUUGUGAAACGCUUGCAAUUUUGAUGCAGCGAAAUGGUUUGUUGAUGCAAAGGUUUAAACUUUUAAGAUUUACACUGCAGGGUAGUUGGAUGCUGUAUAGUCGAACGGCCACCAACAUCAAGAACUAUAACUCCAAGACCGGGUUUGCAUUAAUUCAAUCAGCUGAAAUAAUGAUGCAAAUGACACUAUCAGCUGGACUUAGAGACCAGUCAGAUCAAUCAUCCUUUUAUCAACAGUUAAUGUCAUGAUGGUGUCUAUCGGAGGAAACAAAGGAUGUGUCGGAAUCAAUAUGAACAGUGAGAAGAAUGAGAGGAGCUUUGAUUAUAAGUAGGCUCAAUGAACUCAUGCUGGUAAGUGGUAAUUAAAGAAAUUUGUGCGCUUAGUAGCAUUCAAUAUUUUCUGUUUGGGAUAUAGUUGAUGAGUUGAUACUCUGAUUAAGAAGCCUGAUUAUAGUAGCUGACUUUUUUUUUGUGGUUUGCUGUUGUUUAUUCUUUCGAUUAAUUUCAACAUUAGGUUGAUCUGUUGAAGAACAAACUUGGGUUUGAUUAUGCUUUAACUACAAGGAAGAGCCAGACUUGGAUGCAGGCGUUCAGCUUUUAAUGGGUAAGAACAAAUGUAUGCUUUAACCAUGUUUCUCACUUAUUACAAUGCACACAUUGAAGGCAUCUGAGCUGAUCCUGAAAAUGUGAUGGAAAUACUUCUCUGUUUACAUAAAACAGACAAAUAGAGAUCUCUGAUCAUGCCUGAGAAUUCGUUGCAUUUAAAAUUUCUACCAUUGCCAAAAAUAGAAUAAACUACGGAUACAUUAGCUUAAGACUCAAUUUUGAGAAGGAAGUUUGCACAUGCAGCCUAAAAAAUCACGUCCGUGUUGUAUACUUGUAUGUUUCUUUGGGAAAUGAAAGAUUCUGUGUUCUUUUAUUUCAAGUUUGCUGAAAUCACAUUUGUUUUCUUAGAUGCUUUUGGGAAGGUAACAACAUCAAUUUCAUAAAUGCUGGGGUAAGAUGCAUCACGCAGUGCUACUCAACAUGAGAAUUCCCGGCCGCAUUACCUGUAUGUUGAGUGAUCGCACAGUACAACCUUUAGAAGCUUGUAAGGAGUAGACAACUAGAUGCGAAUAGUUUCAAUAUGGAUUCGCAUCAAAUGAUCUCUUGCCAGUGAUUACUAUAACCUCUAUCCCAAAAUUCUUGGAACUGGUCAUACCAAUAAUGAAGUAUUGUGUACGUUGAAGACGUAGCUCAAGGCCUUGCGAAAGCUCCGUCAGCCUUUGUAUUGGAAAACAGUUGGUUGUAGUUGCUUCUGAAUGAUAUUAUUAAUAGAUACUGUAAAAAUGAAGUGUGCCACUCAUUUUCAGAGCCCUGUUAAGAUGUGUUGGUAAUGUGUUUGAAGGUUGUUUGAUUUGUGUUGUAUUCAGCUAUAAAUCAAAGAUUCAGAACAUGGUUAUGUUACUGGUUUCCAAAUAAAAAAAUUGCCUUGUGAUGUUAGUGUUCAUUGUUUUCACAGGAGAUCAGGUUCCCUGUUGAUGAAUCAAGAAGGCAAACGCAUCCAUGCCUUAAGUUCAAAUGUGUCUCUUCUAUUUUCUAUUACUGACUCCUUUAUUUUGAUUUCUUCAUUGUAAUGGAAUUGGUUUUCAUUCCAAAUUAGUCAAAACCUCCUAGAGUCAUUAAGUUCUGUUAGCAUUUGAAGAUAGAACUAGAACUAAAUGAUUGACUGGAUUAAAUUCCGAUAAAGAAUUAAGUUAUGUAUUUAGAGAUAUUUUGUUUUUUUUUUCAUUUGUUCAAUUUGGUUAGUGGUGAUUUCUUAAAGACUCAAUCCAUGUGCGUUUAUGCAUUUUUCUUUUGCCUUAAUUUCUGUUUCUUGGGGAGUUUAUACAGAUUCUUAUUUUAUGCUUCACAUGCCACAUGAAAGAUCGAAGCAUUUUGUGUGAUUAGAACUGACUUGCAUCACAGUAACUUUAAACCACUGCCACAUUUUUAUAAUAACAGUCUGAGAUCUCCCUGAAGGAUUCAAAGCAUUUUAUUUUAUAUUAACCUCCUUUAAGUGGGUUUCGACACUACCACAAGUUCUUUAAAUACUAAAACGAUUUUGAGUCUUUUGUAUCAUCUGAUUGAAAUACCUGAAAGCACUCGUGGCUGCAAAAAUAUAUCGAUUUUGAGUAUGGCGUGCAUGUAAAUUAUAUCGAUUUUUUCUAUAUGACAAGUAAGACUCUCUUUUACAAUGGCACGGAUGCGUCAUUGAGUAAUCAUGAUUCUUGCUGGUAGUGCUUUGUUGUAUCAAUCUGCUAGCUAUUCAGCUUUCUUUCUUUCUUUCUUCUUUUUUUUUUUUUUUUUUUGUUUUCAAAUAGCUUGUGGUUGUAGAAAUAUUUCAAUUAAACUAUACUUAAGUACUUAUUUAGUAUAACUUCUUUACUAGCCAAAAUAAUUUUUUUUUGGUUUUUUAUAAUUUAAUUAUACUUUAACUAGAGUUUUUGGGAUUAAACAAGUGAUAAUUUCUCUCUAUUAAGAAAAACUCAAAAUUUUUUAAUUACUAGAAUGCGUCUAAAUUAAAUUACAAUUAUAGACACUAAAAUAUAGUAAAUUUUUUUUUUUACUCUUUAAAACUGUCUUUACAUUCGAUAUCAUAUUUUUUUCUUAAAAUCUAAAUUGAUAUUUUUAUUUUAUUUUUGAUUAAUCUUAGAACACAUAUAAAGUGAUUCAUAUUGAUUUUAUACUAACAAACUAUCAUAGCACAUUCGAAAAUAAUUAACUCGUUCUUAUUUGCAUAGUGAAAAAGGCAAAUAGCUCACCCAAAUGUUAAGGAACUGGAGAGCUGCUGCUGGAGACGAAAGGAUGUGAAAAGCAUGGUAAAGAAAAAUUGCAUAAUUCUCACUUAGAAGAGGAAGAAAAAAAAAAUACAAUUAGAAUGAGAGGUAGCCAGUAGCCAGUAGCCGCCACCACCACCAGUCAAACUAUUUCGACACACUAAUACUGUAAUACAUAUCAAAAUGCAAUAUCGGUCCUAACAAAAUGAAAAUAAAAAUUCAUUACGAAUAUGUGUUAAAGAUAUCCCAAGUAUUGAUGUGAUUGAAAUAUUUGAGAUUGAAGUAGAAAUAAGACUCAAAAUCAAUUGAGAGGAAUAAAUGAGAAACUCUAAUACUAAUAAAAUAUAUUCACAAAUCCUAAUGCUAAUUAAAAUCACGGAUUAAAAAAAAUAAUAUGAAUGAAUUACAGGCGCAACUGUUUCAUUAAAAAAUUAAUAAAAUCGUGUAUUAAUAUUUUGUACACAUACAUUUUUCCAUAUAUAACUUUUGGUAAUUUAGUUUUCCACUUAUCAUUUUUACUCCAAAAAAAUAAUUGAGAAUAUUAUUUAUGUUUUGGUGCAAAAUAUUUAAACAACAUAAAAAUUUUCAGUUUAAUAAAUCUAAACAAUUCUCAAGUUAUAAAUGAAUUUAAUGGGUUUAAUUAGUAAAAAUACUAUUAUUUUAUAAAUUGGGUUUAGUAAUGGUAUAUUGGGUAUUUAAAUGGGUUUGUUGAGUAAAUUUUAAAAUUUUAAAGUUCAAGGGUAGGUUUAUUUAGUAAAUGGGUUAAUGCAGCAAUUUUCAAACUAAAUUUUUGGAAAAAGAGGCUAUUGAGUUUUUUUUAAGAAAAAGAAUUAAAAUGUUGAGAAUACCUUUAUUUAAUUUUAUAAUCUAAUUUUAAAAAAUUUACCCAAUAAAUUUUAUAAUUUUUUAUAAAAAUUAUCAUUAACAUCCAAACAGCUGAAGAUUAAAAAAAAAAAAAGAAGGGAACUGUACUAGCAAAAGUUAGAUUAACAAUAAAUUUAGUCCAAAGAAUAAAGUUAUAGCUAAAAAGUGCUCCUAUCCUAUUUUUCUCUAUUUUAACAAUAAUCUUCCAAUCCAUUUUACAAUGGACUUAACAAAUGGGCUCAAUCUCUAAACUUCAUUUUCUUUUGCUAACCCAUGGCCAUUAGCCAGAAAGCCUAAAACAAUUUUAGGAUCACAUGUGUAAAUGGAACCCCAAGAUUGAUCAAGAAUUAACAAGACAAGAUGAAGAGAUGAUCUUGUAACUAAGAAUGAAGAAAUUGAAUCAAGACAGUACUCUAGUAAAACCCAGAAAACAGAGCUUGAAGAAUCACGCACAAAGCAGUAAAUUUGUAAAACCAGAAUUGGAGCUUCACUUCUCAAGAUAGACGAAACAGGAUACAAUCUAGCUUUGGUCAACUUCGUUUGGCCACGUCAUAAAGUCUUCCCCCACAGUCUUUCCCGCCAAAACAGAAAAGCUUUAAAAGCCAUUUACCCUCCUGAGUUACUUGCUCCUAUUACAUCAAGGCCCUGUAAGUCUAUAUUUAUUAUUACAAAAGCACCCUUAAACCGAGAUUUGAGAUAUUUUUUCAAAGAUCGAAGCGCAUGAUUUCACGGCUAUGUUGCAUAGUGAAUUUUAGUGCUUUACAGUUAAGGGAUAGUUUAAAUUCAUUACAAAGCAUUCGCAAAGAAAUUGUUUUUAAAUGAAACUCCUCGUCUUGACCAGAUUAUUUAUUAUUAUUAAAAAAAAAAUGUUCAAAACUUAGCCAAAGUGAUAAACUCGUAAUUAUUCUACAAAGGGAACAAUUUUGAACGGUGGGAAAUUCCAUAAUUAUGCUUUUCUGUGAAUUAUUUUAAAUAAAAUUAUAAAAAUUAAUAUAAAAUUAUAAUAAUGAUAGAGCCACAAACUCUUGUACAAAUUUAUUUUAUACAAACUCAUGUGGCAUGAUAAGAUUGGUUGAAUUAAAUAUUACUUGGCCCACAUGAUUUGUUUUUAUUAUUUUAUAUUUUUAUUCAACCAAUAAAUUAAUACCACGUCAGUUUGUACAAAAUAAAUUUAUACAAAAAUUUGUGACUCGAUCAUCACUCAUAAAAUUAAUACCCGGUAAAGACUGUAGAGAGACAAGUGCCCCCAACAGAAUCAAGUGAAUAUGCCCCACAAAGAUCACAUGAUCAUUUCUGUUCUUUUUCUUUUUGAUAAUUUUAUCUGUGGUUUCAACUUUUAUGCUUUAUUGUCGUAUCCCGUUGAGGGCUCCGCUGCACCCAUUACAACUUACCCCUAAAUUGCCUCUUACUAACUAAACCGUUAGAUUUUAUGGAAGCACGUUCAAUGUUGAAUUUUAAUUAUGUCAUCGAAUUUCGUUUAGCUCCUUAAACUCCAUUUUAUUUGUAAUUUCUUCAUAAAAUAUUCAAAGCUUCAUCAAGCUCCUGAUGGACCAUCAUGGCUAGGGGUGCAUUAGAGCCGAACUGAAAUAUGUUAGUUCAGUUCAGUUUGGUCAGUUUAAAUCGAAUGGUUUAGAAUAUAUAAACUGAUCAAUUUUAAUUUUGAAUUGAACCGAACCGAAAAUCAAUUGGUUCACUAUUAGUAUUUUUGUAUAAACAAGAAUGAUUAGUGAUUAUAAUUAAAUUGGACUAAAAAAAAUUCAAACUAAGGUGAAAAAUAUCAAAUCUUAGACAAUAUAAAAAAAAAUAUUAAAUUUUUUUAACCGAAACGAACCGAAUUAUUUUGACUCAGUUUGGUUCAUAAUUUUUUAAACCAAACUGAUUUAUUCCCACCCCCUAAUCGUGGCUCUCUAUCUUUAGUCAUUCACCCUUGAGUUUGAUGCCAAUUGUUGGGUUUCAAAUGAUUAUACACUCAAAUGGAACCCUCAUAACAAAAAACUAACAGAAACAAUAAGAACACGAUGUUAAAAUCUUAAAUCAAUCGCAAAAAAGCACCCAAAACAGAUCGAUUAGGAACAGUUAAGAACAAAAGAUUUGAUGGUUCAAAAUCAUAAUGUGACCUACGUACUUUCAUCCAAGAAUCAUACUAAUUGCUUUACUAGUUGUCAAACUCAAGAUCACAAGAUUGUUUAUCACUCUACAUAAAAAUUUUUUUUAGAAGAAAUACUCCCCAAUUUUUCUCUUAAUAGUUAUGAAUCAACACCCCUAGGAAGCCUGUUGAUUUACUUUUCCUUAUUUCCUAUGAUCGGUUGCUGCAACUUAAUCCUUGCCAAGCUCCAACAUAGUCCAAACACUUUUAACGGUACAGGCAUAGUGCACCUUCAGAAACUUUACAGCUCCUCUUAAAACCUCAGGCAUCGUAAGCACAUUAAGCAGCCGACAACACUCUUCUUCAUUUCUUCAUUGUCAAUUUCCUUCUUGGAACAUUGCUCCAUUGAGAGUCUGCUAGAAUUGCUCCAAUUAUUAUUAUUAUUUAAAAAAAAAAGAAAACCCUGCAAUAAGAGUAUAAGACUAAGCAACGGUCCUUUUUUUUUCCCCAUUCUUGAACCUAAAGUAUUUGAGUAUGCAAAUUAAUAAAUAAAUUCAUUUAUUUUUAUUAAAAUUUUGUAAAAUUAUAAUUUUUAAUAAAAAUAAUUAUUAAAAUUUUGUAAAAUCUAAAUUUAGAAAAAUUCAGUUGGGCACCUCUAUUUGAGAUUUAUUUUUUAUUAAAUUUAGGGAUAUUUUUAUAAUUAUAAUUUUUAAUUUUAAAAGUUUUUAUAAGAUAAAAUAGUCUUUUAAUUUAUUUAGGGGGUAAAAUUGGUGUUUUAUUAAAAUUAUUUAAUUGUGUUAAUGCAAAAGUGGCUAUUUGAUACAAAUGUGAAAAGAAAGGUGGUGCAAAAUAUAUGUUAAAAUUUUAUAUUGGUUGGAUGAACAUAAGCUAAAAUAAAGGUGGUGCAAUGAUAAUUUCCCUAUCCUAAAACUUAAUUGACUUAAUUCUUACGGUGCAAGGAAGAGGUUUCCAAGUUUAAAUCUAAAGGCUUGUAUUUAAUUUGGGGUUGGGAAAGCACUGAGAAAUAAAUGUAACUAAGGAAAAAAAAAAAGUCACGCAGUCCAAAUAAGUAGAUAUAUUUAAUAUGAGGUGGGGAUGGGUGAACUGUAAUUCAGAAAAAAAUAAAAUAAAAUUUUAUAUAAAGUUGAGGGUGUGUUUUAAUGGUUUCUUAUGCUGCGUUUAUUUUUUGGACUAGAGUGAGAAUUCUAAAAAGUGAGAAUCCUAUGAUUAGGUGUGUGGAGUGGGAGUGGGAGUAUGGUAUUUACUUAGACUAAAUAAAAGUAUGGAUUGUCAAUCAGAAUCUCAAUUAUUUGUUACUUUGUCUUGGAUUGAGAGUAAAUUAUUUUAAAUUACAAUUUUAUCCUUAUGUAAAGAAUUAUAAUUUGUAAUUAAAAAAUUAAUAAAAAUAUAUUGGAAAAUAAAAUAAAUAUUUUAUUAUAUUUAUAAAAUAAUAAUAAUUAAUAAAAUUCUUAAUUAUGUAAAUCAUAAUUUUUUAUUAAUUUAAAUUUAAAUUAUGUGAAUAAAAUUAUUAAUAAUAGCAACACAAAUGAAACAUUAUUAUUAAUAAUAUAGUAUAAAAUUAAUAUUUUUUUAGAAUAAAAUAUUUAUUAUUAUUAAAUAAAUAAAUAAUAUUUAUUAAAAUUAAUGUUUAAUAUUAUUAAUUUAAAUAUAAUAUUUAUUUAUUUUUAUUUUAUUUUAUUAAAUUUAAUAAAAUAAAUAUGUUAUAAUUAUUAUUUUUAAUAAAUAUGAUAUUAUUUAUUUUAUUAAAUAUUAUUUAUUUAUUUUAAUUAUGAGGGUAAAAAUGGAAGAGGGGGAGUGGAUUCCCACUCCCACCUCCCCCCAUGGGAGUGGGAAUCCCACUCUCCCCUUAAAAAUGGUAAGUAAAUAUUAGAAUGGGAAGAAUCUACACUCUACACUUUCUAGAAAAUAAACACUACCUUUAUUUAAAUCGAUUUGUUGGAUAUUUAGCUAAAAUGAGAGUAGCUCUCUAAUAAUUAUUGCAUUAUUACAAACAUAUCCAACGGUUAUAAUAGCGCGCUGAAUCAAUGCUUCAGAAGGAUGACAGUCUGAGUGAAAAGGAAAUAAACGCUUUCAAUUGAAUUACUACCACUACACUCCAAUACUCUAUUAUUGUUUGUGUGCUUGCUUGUGGACCUUUUUACUUCUUACUAUCAUUAUUGAAUUCCAUUUCCAAAUUUUCAGCAUACUUUUGCUUUCUUUCAGUAUCUUCAGUUUCUCUUUUGCUUGCUAUCAAUUCAGUUUUCUUCUUGUGAAGAUCGAACGGAACCAUGGUUGCUGUGGGAGAGAUCUUACUCAACGCCUUCUUUCAGGUGUUGUUUGACAGGUUGGCUUCCCGUGAUUUGCUCAGCUUUGUCCGUCAACUUGGAGGCGGGGACGAUUCCGAGCUCAAGAAGUGGGAAAGAAAGCUGAAGAUGAUUCAGGCGGUGCUCAACGAUGCAGAGGAGAAGCAACUGACCGACGAGGCCGUGAAGAUGUGGCUGGACGAUCUCCAAGACUUGGCUUAUGACGCUGAGGACAUUCUUGAGGAGUUUGCUACUCAAGCUUUGGAAAGCAAGUUGAUGGCGAAAAAUCAGGAUCGCAUUGGCCAGGUUCUUAGUUUCAUACCGGCUAGUUUGAAUCCGAAUGCUAUUAUGUCCAAUUAUAGCAUGGGAUCCAAGAUUAAAGAUAUUACUAGCCGGUUGGAGCAACUCUGCCAAGAUAGAAUUGAACUUGGGCUGCAACGGAUUGCUGGAGGGGCAUCAUCAACUACUUCUGCUGCACAUCAGAGGCGAGACAGUUCGAGUGUCCCAACAGAACGUGAAGUAUUUGGAAGAGAAGAAGAUAAGGCCAAAAUUCUUGAUAUGGUAUUGACCGAUACCCCAAGUGAUCGUGCCAACUUUGUUGUAAUACCCAUUGUUGGCAUGGGCGGGAUAGGAAAAACAACUCUUGCCCGGGAGGUCUACAAUGACAAGGCCGUUGAAGAUUCCAAGUUUGAUGUAAAAGCAUGGGUUUGUGUCUCUGAUGUCUUUGAUAUUUUGGGCAUCUCAAAGGCACUUCUCCAGUCAAUCACCUCCGCAGCUAGUGAUCUCAAGACUUUAAAUGAGGUGCAGGUUCAACUGAAAAAAGCAGUUGACGGAAAAAGAUUCUUGCUGGUCUUAGAUGAUGUUUGGAACGAGAACUACAACUUGUGGGAAGACUUAAAAGCUCCGUUCCUGGAUGCUGCACCAAACAGCAAGAUGAUCGUCACCACACGCAAUUCAAGUGUUGCAUCAACAAUGAGACCCAUUGAACAUUUCAAUCUCAAGAGUCUGUUGGAUGACGAUUGCUGGUCCAUUUUUAUAAAGCAUGCAGUUGAAGGUGGAGAUCUUAACGAGGAUCAAAUUUCAGAAUCAUUCCGCAAGAAAGUUGUUGGCAAGUGUGGAGGCUUGCCUCUGGCAGCAAAAACUCUCGGGGGCCUUCUGCGUACGACGAGGCAUGAUGGGUGGGAUGGUAUAUUGGAUAGCAAAAUAUGGGAAUUACAUCAACAUAGCAGCAUUCUCCCUGUGUUAAGAUUGAGUUACCAUCAUCUUCCGUCUCAUUUGAAAAGAUGUUUUGCUUUUUGUGCCAUCUUUCCAAAAGAUUAUGAAUUCACUGAGAAGGAGCUGACUUUCUUAUGGAUGGCUGGAGGUAUUAUUCGACAGUCAAGAAACAAUGAGCAGCUGGAAGAUUUGGGCAGCAAGUGCUUUGGUGAUCUAGUGUCAAGGUCAAUUUUUCAACAAACAGCAAUCUCUGAUAGUUCUAAAUUUGUAAUGCACGACCUUAUCCAUGAUCUUGCUGAAUUGGUCUCUGGAGGAACCAUAUUUAGGUCAGAGGAGGCCAAUACUCUAUCAAGAAGAUUUGAAAGGGUUCGCCAUUCUUCCUAUACCCGUGAUUGGUAUGAUGGUAAAAAUAAGUUCGAGGUUUUCAAUGAAAUUGAACAUCUACGAACAUUCUUGCCGUUAAGAGGUAACUAUUGUACUAGUUACAUAACUCGACCGAUUCUAUCUGAUAUGCUGCCAAAGUUCAAAAGGUUGAGAACGCUAUCUUUACAAGGAUACUGUAUUGGUGAGUUACCAAUUCCAUUUGAAGAUUUGAGACUUUUAAGGUUCCUCAACCUUGCUGACACUGACAUAAGAAGUUUACCUGACUCAACAUGCAAAUUGCUGAACUUGGAAAUUCUGAUAUUAAGAAAUUGUUCCCGUUUGAUAAAGCUUCCGCAGAAAAUGAGGAAUUUGAUCAAUUUAUGCCAUCUGGAUAUAAGAGGUGCGAAGUUGCUGAAGGAGAUGCCAGUCGGAAUGAAAGAGCUGAAGAAGCUUCAAACAUUGUCCAAUUUUAUUGUAGGCAAGGGUGAAUCCGCAUCUGGUUUGGAAGAUUUAAAAAGUUUAAACCUUCUUUGUGAUGAACUUUGCAUUGCUGGAUUAGAGAAUGUGAAUAAUCCACAGAAUGCAAGAGAAGCCGCAUUAUGUGAGAAGCACAAUCUUGAAGCAUUGACUCUAACAUGGUGGCCUCAAUUUGACAGUCCUCGAGGUGUAGUAGUGGAAGAGAAUGUACUUGACGUUUUGCAGCCUCAUAAAUGUAUAAAAAAGGUGGCAAUCAGGAACUAUGGUGGUGCAAGAUUUCCACCUUGGAUAGGAGAUACUUUAUUCUCCAAGAUAGAGCUCCUUGAAUUGAAGAACUGUGACAAUUGUGUGUCUUUGCCAUCGCUUGGCCUAUUGAGUUCACUUAAACACCUUGCUGUUAAAGGGCUGAAGAAACUAAAAAGCAUAGAGUCUGAGGUUUAUGGGGAGGGUUUGUCAAUGCCUUUUCCAUCGUUGGAGGUUCUAAGUUUUGAGAAUUUGCCUGAAUGGGAGUAUUGGGACACCAAUAUCAGAGGAAAUGUGCUCGUUGAAAUGUUUCCUCGUCUCCAUAAACUUUCCAUUGUGGAAUGUCCAAAACUCUCUGGGGAACUGCCUGAGCUCCUGCCCUCCUUGGAGACACUUGUUGUUAUUAAAUGUGAAAAUUUGGUAGUUCCAUUGUCUCGCUAUCCGAUGCUCUGCAGAUUAGAAGUUGAUGAGUGCAAGGAACUAGCGUGCGGGACUCCAAUUGAUUUCAAGUUGAUAAAGUCUGUGACUAUUUCAAAUAGUUCCUUAGACAUGGAUGGAUGCAAGGGGAUGCUAUACGAUGGUCCAGCUAGCUCUUCACUGCCAAAGCCCACGAUUACUACAAAUGUUUUGGAGUUUGGAAAAUUAUUGAAGCCUGGAUUUCAGAUAUUAGAAACGUUGGUAAUUGGCAAUUCUGAACAGCUCAAGUCAUGGAGGCAGCAUGGGGAUUUUCUAGAAGAAUAUAUGGUCGCUCGCCAAAGGUUUAAGAAACCAGUACAAGGGCUGAAUAUGCUCGCUUCCCCUGAAGAGGUAACAAUUGAAGAAAGUUGCGUACGUCUUGUUUUGUUUCCAGAGAUCAAUUUCUUUCCCAGAAAUCUGCGCUCUCUUCUAAUUAACAACAACACUGCUUUCAAAUCCUUACCCGAGGAAAUGAUGGAAAACAAUUCACAACUCGAAAGGUUGUAUAUCAGAGAUUGCGACUCUCUAACAUUCAUCGCAAGACGGAGGCUACCAGCAUCUCUUAAAAGGCUUGAGAUAGAAAAUUGUGAGAAAUUGCAACGUCUGUUCGAUGAUGAAGAGGAUGCUUCUUCUUCUUCUUCUCCUUCAUCCUCGUCUUCCCCAGUGAUGCUGCAACGCCUGAAUAUAAAGAACUGCCCAGAGCUCACCAGUUUAUCAUCGGGUGUCCAAUUCCUUGAGGCGCUUGAAGGCCUCGAGAUAUGGGAUUGUCCAAAGCUGGAGUCAAUACCGGAUGGCCUGCACAAUCUUAAAUGUUUACAGAGCAUUCAUAUAGAUGGAUGUCCAAGUCUUGUUUCCUUGCCCAAUGACAUGCACAAACUGAACUCUCUUCGAGAUUUAAACAUACGGGCGUGUCCAAUAUCGUUUCCAGAAGAAGGUUGUCCUACCAAUCUAACAUCACUUACACUUGGAUAUGUCGAAAUGUAUAAGACACUCGUCCAGUGGGGGUUGCACAGGCUUACCUCUCUUAGAAGCCUCGACAUUUUUGGAUGUGAUGAUGAAGCAGAGUGUUUUCCAGACGAGGAGAUAGGAAUGACGCUGCCCACCUCUCUCACUCAUCUGCACCUUUUUGAUUUCGAAAAAUUGAGAUCUCUGUCUUCGACGGGUUUUCAGAGCCUCACCUCUCUUCAAUCUUUGGAUAUCUGGUUUUGCCCAAAUCUCACAUCAUUCCCAAAGGUGGGCUUUCCAUCCUCACUUGUGGAAUUACGCAUUAGAGAUUGUCCAAAGCUUAAAAAAGCGUGCAAAAGAGAUCAAGGAAAAGAGUGGCCCAAAAUUGCUCACAUCCCUUGCGUUGAGAUAGACGAUAAAUUCAUAUACCAUCCAAAAUCAGAGGUGUAGAGUGUAUUAUUAAGGUCAGUUGAUUUAUGUUAUCCACCAUAACAAGCUCCUCCUUUUUUUUUAAAUAAUAAUUUUGCAGUCACUCGCGUGAUUCCGUUUUCACAAGUCAGAUUGUAUGUUGAGGCUAUUUGCCUUUUAAUCGCAGAUUAAAUUAUAACACUUAUCUUAAAAUUUAAUACCAUAGACAGAUAGACGAUUUUUUAAUCCAAAGUUUUUUUAUUCACUUCAGUUAGCAUUUUUUUUUUCCCCAAAUCAUGCAAGCCGAGAGUUUCAAUCAACAGAAUUUUAUUCACUCAUUGACUUUUCAACUGCUGUGGUUAUUUAUGGGUGAAAGAUAAAUUUCUUAGAUGGUAGAUAUAUCGACAUUUUAGAUUUCAGAUAUUUGUCACCAAUUUCAUUCCUUUUUUUAAAAUUUUUUUUAAGCAAGUUUGACUAAUUUUAACCAGAAUUGGAGUAUAAUAUUUUGGAGCAAGCAUACUUGAAAUUUCUGUCUUCAAUUUUUUUGAUGCUUUUUUAAUUUUGAUCUAGUAAAAAUACAUAGCCUUCACCGGCAGGAUUCUAGUCUUGGCUUUCACCUCUCUAACUCAUCUGUCCCUAUUGGGAUUCCAGAAAUUUAAAUUUCUGUCUUCAAUGGGUUUUCAAAGCCUCACCUCUCUUCGAUUUUUGUGGAUUGGGAAUUGCACAAAUCUCACAUCAUUUCCCGAGGUCGAGGAAAAGAGCGGCCCAAACUAUCAGCGGUGUUGAUUCUCUUAUUAAGGUCAGCUGAUUUCUAUUAUCCACUCUGACAAUCUCCUAUUAGUGUUUUUUUUUUAAAAAAUUUGCAGUUCUGUAUAAUUGAAAUGCCACUCACUUGUUUCCUUCUUCACAGGUCAGAUAGUAUGUUAAAGCUAUUAGUGCUGCCUCAUAGGUUGAUUACUCACAGAUGAAAUCAUAACUUUUAUCUUAAAAUUUAAUAGCAUACACAGAUAGACGAUUUUUAGUCCAAAGUUUUUUUUAUUCACUUCAAUCAAAAUUUUAGAUUGCAGAUUUUUGUCGAGUAUUUUCAUUCCAAUUUUUUCAUUUUUUAUUUUAAACCAGAAUUGGAGUAUAAAAUUUUGGAGCGCGCAUACUCUGAUGCAUGCAAUUAACUGUUUUUAAUCGUUGGAUUUUGAAAUUAAUGAUGGUAAGAUGUGUACUUAUUCUUUCUUCCAACAACCUUGCCUUCUUUCUUCGGUCGCAUAUCUAAUGAAUAUUUCUCUGUUUAGUUAAGGAUGAAUGCUUGGAGUGGGGUACUUGGUAACAUUUCUGCCUUAGAUGAAUCCUUGAAGAAAUGCCCGCAGUUCCUGAGACCAAAUACAGGUCUGAUUCAAAACAGCACCUUUCCCAGAAAAUAUGAUCCAAGGCAAAGUCAUGUUCUGAUAAUGUUUCCUUAAGUACUAAGUUGCAAGGAAACUUGAUUCAUUAACUACAGUUUUUUAUUUUUAGGACCUUGUAUCUGAAAGGUUCAGUGUUUUUUUUUUUCAAAUUUAUUGUUCAGAUCUCAGAGGAGUAUAUGGUUUAGAUUACAAAACACCCAUGAUUAAUUUCAUUUUUUUUUUAAUUUCAGGGAGAAGAAGUGGUCAGUUUCAAUCCGGAAUUGGAAUAUGGCAAUUUGGUUCAAGCAAACACACCUGGUCACUUGGUCAGUGGUCACUUGGUCAGCGAACCUGAACUUUACGCAGUUUUUUCAACUCAGUGAUUUUUGGAACGCAUAUUGGUGUAAGGAAAUCAAAAGAAAUUUAUGCAUUGUCAAAUUCUGAUAUUUGCUAUAUAUUAUACAUUCUAAAGUUUCUCCAGUUUGUUCUCAGAUUACCAUCAUUUUUUGCUUUCACCAACCAAACAAAAACAAAAUGAGUGGCUUUCCGGUGGAUAUUUAAUCGGAGGUAUGACUGGAUUUUUUUCACUUCUGUAAAUCUUGCAUUUUAAACUGGCAAAUUUAACUUUAAUUUUAAUAGGACUUUGUUGGUACCUUGUGUUCCAGAAACUAGAAAGAUGUGUAGUUUUCAGAUAAAGGGGCUUGUAAAUUCUCUAGUAAGAAUCCAAUAAUUUGCUUUUGCACGUUCAUUUUAUUUGUGGAUCCUUGCAUCUGAAUUUGAUCAAUCCAAAAGGAAUUGCUUUUAGACAGAAGAAGAAUAGCAGUACCUAGCCUAUGACAUAGUAUAUGGACCUGCAAACCUGAAACUAUUAGUUUGAGGUAAAAAAUUCAUGACCCUCACAUGUUAACUUCUUCUAGUUACUUUCAUGAAAAACACAUUUAAGAAAUUUGCAAUUUUUUGUUAGUUUCGUAUCCGAUGUUGUUUUCUGUUUUAGCAUUUGUAGAAUCUACUGUAUUAUAUUUUGGCAGUUGCAGUAUCUGAGGUAUGUUUUGCAUUUAACUUGCUUUGUUUGUUUUGCUUGUGACUUAAGAACACCAAUAUUUGCCAGAGAUUUAGAGAAGCAUAUCAAGAUGCUUGGCAAACUUGACAAACUUCAAGAUCCUCCAUUCUUCACAACGCAAAACUUGUGAGUACACCUAUGCCCGCAAUUAUUGUGAAAUGCUUGCAAUUUUGAUGCACUGAAAUGGUUUGUUGAUGCAAAGGUUUAAACUUUUAAGAUUCACCCUGCAGGGUAGUUGGAUGCUGUAUAAUCGAAAAGCGACCAACAUCAAGAAUUAUGACUCCAAGACCGGGUUUGCAUUAAUUCAAUCAGCUGAAAUCAUGAUGCAAAUGACACUAUCAGCUGGACUUAGAGACCAGUCAGAUCAAUCAUCCUUUUAUCAACAGUUAAUGUCAUGAUGGUGGCUAUCGGAGGAAACAAAGGAUGUGUCGGAAUCAAUAUGAACAGUGAGAAGAAUGAGAGGAGCUUUGAUUACAAGUAGGCUCAAUGAACUCAUGCUGGUAAGUGGUAAUUAAAGAAAUUUGUACGCUUAGUAGAGUUUCAAUAUUUUCUGUUUGGGAUAUAGUUGAUAAUUUGAUACUCUGAUUAAGAAGCCUGAUUAUAGUAGCUGACUUUUUUUUUGUGGUUUGCUGUUGUUUAUUCUUUCGAUUAAUUUCAACAUUAGGUUGAUCUGUUGAAGAACAAACUUGGGUUUGAUUAUGCUUUAACUACAAGGAAGAGCCAGGCUUGGAUGCAGGCGUUCAGCUUUUAAUGGGUAAGAACAUAUGUAUGCUUUAACCAUGUUUCUCACUUAUUACAAUGCAUGCAUUGAAGGCAUCUGAGCUGAUCCUGAAAAUGUGAUGGAAAUACUUCUCUGUUUACAUAAAACAGGACAAGAGAUCUCUGAUCAUGCCUGAGAAUUCGUUGCAUUUAAAAUUUCUACCAUUGCCAAAAAUAGAAUAAACUAGGGAUAGAUUAGCUUAAGACUCAAUUUUGAGAAGGAAGUUUGCACAUGCAGCCUAAAAAAUCAUGUCCGUGUUGUAUACUUGUAUGUUUCUUUGGGAAAUGAAAGAUUCUGUGUGUUCUUUUGUUUCAAGUUUGCUGAAAUCACAUUUGUUUUCUUAGAUGCUUUUGGGAAGGUAACAACAUCAAUUUCAUAAAUGCUGGGGUAAGAUGCAUCACGCAGUGCUACUCAACAUGAGAAUUCCCGGCCGCAUUACCUGUAUGUUGAGUGAUCGCACAGUACAACCUUUAGAAGCUUGUAAGGAGUAGACAACUAGAUGCGAAUAGUUUCAAUAUGGAUUCGCAUCAAAUGAUCUCUUGCCAGUGAUUACUAUAACCCCUAUCCCAAAAUUCUUGGCAUUGGUCAUACCAAUAAUGAAGUAUUGUGUACGUUGAAGACAUAGCUCAAGGCCUUGCGAAAGCUCCGUCAGCCUUUGUAUUGGAAAACAGUUGGUUGUAGUUGCUUCUGAGUGAUAUUAUUAAUAGAUACUGUAAAAAUGAACUGUGCCACUCAUUUUCAGAGCCCUGUUAAGAUGUGUUGGUAAUGUGUUUGAAGGUUGUUUGAUUUAUGUUGUAUUCAGCUACAAAUCAAAGAUUCAGAACAUGGUUAUGUUACUGGUUUCCAAAUCAAAAAAAUGCCUUGUGAUGUUAGUGUUCAUUUUUUUCACAGGAGAUCAGGUUCCCUGUUGAUGAAUCAAGAAGGCAAACGCAUCCAUGUCUUAAGUUCAAAUGUGUCUCUUCUAUUUUCUAUUACUGACUCCUUUAUUUUGAUUUCUUCAUUGUAAUGGAAUUGGUUUUUUAUUCCAAAUUAGUCAAAACCUCCUAGAGUCAUUAAGUUCUGUUAGCAUUUGAAGAUAGAACUAGAACUAAAUGAUUGACUGGAUUAAAUUCCGAUAAAGAAUUAAGUUAUAUAUUUAGAGAUAUUAUGUUUUUUUUUUUUUCAUUUGUUCAAUUUGGUUAGUGGUGAUUUCUUAAAGACUCAAUCCAUGUGCGUUUAUGCAUUUUUCUUUUGCCUUAAUUUCUGUUUCUUGGGGAGUUUAUACAGAUUCUUAUUUUAUGCUUCACAUGCCACAUGAAAGAUCGAAGCCUUUUGUGUGAUUAGAACUGACUUGCAUCACAGUAACUUUAAAUCACUGCGACAUUUUUAUAAUAACAGUCUGAGAUCUCCCUGCAGGAUUCAAAGCAUUUUAUUUUAUAUUAAACUCCUUUACGUGGGUUUGGACACUACCACAAGUUCUUUAAAUACUAAAACGAUUUUAAGUCUUUUGUAUCAUCUGAUUUAAAUACAUGAAAGCACUCGUGGCUGCAAAAAUACAGUUGGGGCUAUUUCUAAAGUCUUCAACAGCAUUUUCUUUUUAACCUUUAUCCUCAUGGUUGUUUUUGCAGUUGUUCUUUAAGAAAACAUUUAAAAGGUUCUCUUUAUGGAUUUUUGAAAAUAAUUUUAACAUGAGCAAUUUUCAGAAGCACUUUAGAUGUCUGGCAUUUAGGAAAUUUUAUUUCGGUGUCACAUAAAAUACUUAGGAAGUUAAAUUUAUUUAUUUAUGAGCAUGUGCCAGUGCCCAGUGGCAUCCUCUUCACUUGUGAUAGUCAAAUGUAUUAUACGAUACAAUAUUAGCUUGACUGUAGCACAGAGGAGAAUAGGGUUGGUGUUGGUCUGAACCAGCUUAUGUAACAGCUGCCAAAGGAUAAUUUAAUUGUACUUUGAGUAAAGCUUUUGCGAAUUAAACAAGUGAUAAUUUGUUUUUAUUAAGAAAAACUUAAGGAAUUAGGCUAUUUUAACUGACCAAAUUACACAUUAAAAAUUCAUUUACAAAAAUAGUUUUUAGUUAUUAAAAUAUUCCUAAAUUAAAUUAUAAUUAUGGACACUAAAAUAUUUUUUUUAUAUUUUACUCUUUGAAACUGUCUUUAUAUUCGAUAUUAUAUUUUUUUCUUAAACUCUAAAUUGAUUUUUUUUUUUGAUUAAUUUUAAAACACCUAUAAAGUGAUUCAUAUUGAUUUUAUACUAACAAACUAUUAUAGCACAUUCGAAAAAUAAUUAAAUCGUUCUUAUUUACAUAGUGAAAAUGCAAAUAGCUCGUUCAAAUGUUAAGGAAUUGGAGAGCUGCUGCUGGAGAUGAAAGAUGUGAAUUAAACAUCAGAAAAAAAAUUAUGUUUACUAUCUUGCCAGACCAAGCACCGAAAAGCAUCGUAAAGAAAAAUUAGAUAAUUUAGAAGAUAAAGCACGUGGAAUGGAGGCAGAAAGCAAGUAAUGAUAACUCUUUCGACAAACUAAUAUAUACCAAAAUGCAAUAUCAAAAAUGAAAAUAAAAAUUCAUUACGAAUACGUGUUAAAGAUAUCCCAAGUAUAGAUGUGACUGAAAUAUUUGAGAUUGAAGAAGAAUUAAGACUCAAAAUCAAUUGGGAGGAAUAAAUGAGAAACCUCAAUACCAAAAAAUACACGCGCAAAUCCUAAUACUAAUUGUAAUUGCAGAUAAAUAGCAUAAUACGAAUAAAUUCCAUGGGCAACUAUUUCAUUGAGAAAUUAAUUAAAUCGUGUAUUAAUAUUUUGUAUACAUAUAUUUUUCUAUAUAUGACUUUCGGUAAUUUAAUUUUCCACUUAUCAUUUUUACUCCAAAAAAAUAAUUGAGAAUAUUAUUUAUGUUUUGGUGCAAAAUAUUUGAACAAUAUACAAAUUUUCAGUUUAAUAAAUCUAAACAUCUAUUAAGUUAUAAAUGAAUUUAAUGGGUUUAAUUAAUAAAAUUACUAUUAUUAUAUAAAUUGGAUUUAGUAAUGGUACAUUGGGUGGGUUUGUUGAGUAAAUUUUAAAAUUUUGAAAUUUAAGGAUGGGUUUAUUUAGUAAAUGAGUUAAGGGAGUAGUUUGUUGGGAUUCACAUAACGCCACCAAAUUCAAAUGUAAAAUUUAUGGAAAAAGAAGCUAUUGAGUUAUUCUUUUUAAAAAAAGAAUUAAAAUGUCAAGAAUACCUUUAUUUAAUUUUAUAAUCUUAUUUUAUAGUCAUAUUUUAUUUCCACCUUAACAUAAUUUUAAAAAACCUUAACUAAUAAAUUCUAUAUUUUUUUUAUAAAAGUUAUCAUUAAUAUCCAAACGGCUAAAGAUUUUUUUUUUUAAAAAAAAAGAAACUAUGCUUACAAAAGUUGUAUACAUUAACAAUAAAUUUAGUCCAAAGAAUAAAGUUAUUCCAAACAAGCACUCCUAUUCAUCUUGCUAAUGAAUCAAGAUGACUGAAUCCAUUCUCUAAGCCAAAUCUAUUUUCACUUCUAGGUCAGAAAUUGUCAUUAAAAAAGUGUUUGAUAAAAUAUGCUCUGGGAACACUAAUUCGUCAGAUGGUUACUCCAAGUUUAUGAAAUCAAUGGGGUUUCAUCAUAUUCAUAACAUUCUUCUUUAAUGUCUAUUCUAACAAAGAAAUUACUAGAAAACUUUUACUAGAAAAACUAACCACAAUUCAUCAUUCAUUUAUAUCUUAAGUAAGCGUAAGAUUUUAUCAUUAAAAUCUCAUCAUGAAAAAACUCAUGGGAGAAAAACUAUAAAAAUUGAAGAAAAAAGAGUAUGGCGUGCAUGUAAAUUAUAUCGAUUUUAUCUAUAUGACAAAUAAGACUCUCUUUUACAAUGGCACGGAUGCUUCAUUGAGUAAUCAUGAUUCUUGCUGGUAGUGCUUUGUUGUAUCAAUCUGCUAGCUAUUCAGCUUUCUUUCUUUCUUUCUUCUUUUUAUUUUUUUUGUUUUCAAAUAGCUUGUGGUUGUAGAAAUAUUUCAAUUAAACUAUACUUAAGUACUUAUUUGGUAUAACUUCUUUACUAGCCAAAAGAUUUUUUUUUUGGUUUUUUAUAAUUUAAUUAUACUUUAACUAGAGUUUUUGGGAUUAAACAAGUGAUAAUUUCUCUCUGUUAAGAAAAACUCAAACGGUAGGGUUAUCUCAAUCCACCAAACUAUUUAUUAAAAAUCCACUUAUGAAAAUAAUUUUUAAUUAUUAGAAUGCCUCUAAAUUAAAUUACAAUUAUAGACACUAAAAUAUAGUAAAAAAAAUUUUUUUUUACUCUUUAAAACUGUCUUUACAUUCGAUAUCAUAUCUUUUUCUUAAAAUCUAAAUUGAUUUUUUUUUUAUUAAUCUCAGAACACAUAUGAAGUGAUUCAUAUUGGUUUUAUACUAACAAACUAUCAUAGCACAUUCGAAAAUAAUUAACUCGUUCUUAUUUGCAUAGUGAAAAGGCAAAUAGUUCAUCCAAAUGUUAAAGAAUUGGAGAGCUGCUGCUGGAGAUGAAAGAUGUGAAAAGCAUGGUAAAGAAAAAUUACAUAAUUCUCACUUAGAUGAGGAAGAAAAAAAAAAGAAUACAAUUAGAAUGAGAGGUAGCCAAUAGCCACUAGCCGCCGCCACCGCCACCAGUGAAACUAUUUCACAUAAUAGAAGAUAAAGCACGCGUAAUGGAGGCAAAAAGCAAUUAAUGAUAACUCUUUUCGACACACUAAUACAUAUCAAAAUGCAAUAUCGGUCCUAACAAAAUGAAAAUAAAAAUUCAUUACGAAUAUGCGUUAAACAUAUCCCAAGUAUUGAUGAUGUGAUUGAAAUAUUUGAGAUUGAAGUAUAAAUAAGACUCAAAAUUAAUUGAGAGGAAUAAAUGAGAAACUCUAAUACUAAUAAAAUACAUUCACAAAUCCUAAUGCUAAUUAAAAUCACGGAUUAAAAAAAAUAAUAUGAAUGAAUUACAGGCGCAACUGUUUCAUUAAGAAAUUAAUUAAAUCGUGUAUUAAUAUUUUGUACACAUACAUUUUUCCAUAUAUAACUUUUGGUAAUUUAGUUUUCCACUUAUCAUUUUACUCCAAAAAAAUAAUUGAGAAUAUUAUUUAUGUUUUGGUGCAAAAUAUUUAAACAACGUAUAAAUUUUCAGUUUAAUAAAUCUAAACAUUUCUCAAGUUGUAAAUGAAUUUAAUGGGUUUAGUUAGUAAAAAUGCUAUUAUUAUAUAAAUUGGGUUUAGUAAUGGUAUAUUGGGCAUUUAAAUGGGUUUGUUGAGUAAAUUUUAAAAUUUUAAAAUUUAAGGGUGGGUUUAUUUUAGUAAAUGGGUUAAGGCAGCAAUUUCCCAAACUAAAAUUUUUAGAAAAAGAGGCUAUUUAGUUUUUUUUUUUAAAAAGAAUUAAGAUGUUGAGAAUACCUUUAUUUACUUUUAUAAUCUUAUUUUAAAAAAUUUACCCAAUAAAUUUUAUAAUUUUUUACAAAAAUUAUCAUUAACAUCCAAACAGCUAAAGAUUAAAAAAAAAAAAAAAGAAGGGAACUGUACUAGCAAAAGUUAGAUUAACAAUAAAUUUAGUCCAAAGAAUAAAGUUAUAGCUAAAAAGUGCUCCUAUCCUAUUUUUCUCUAUUUUAACAAUAAUCUUCCAAUCCAUUUUACAAUGGACUUAACAAAUGGGCUCAAUCUCUAAACUUCAUUUUCUUUUGCUAACCCAUGGCCAUUAGCCAGAAAGCCUAAAACAAUUUUAGGAUCACAUGUGUAAAUGGAACUCCAAGAUUGAUCAAGAAUUAACAAGACAAGAUGAAGAGAUGAUCUUGUAACUAAGAAUGAAGAAAUUGAAUCAAGACAGUACUCUAGUAAAACCCAGAAAACAGAGCUUGAAGAAUCACGCACAAAGCAGUAAAUUUGUAAAACCAGAAUUGGAGCUUCACUUCUCAAGAUAGACGAAACAGGAUACAAUCUAGCUUUGGUCAACUUCGUUUGGCCACGUCAUAAAGUCUUCCCCCACAGUCUUUCCCGCCAAAACAGAAAAGCUUUAAAAGCCAUUUACCCUCCUGAGUUACUUGCUCCUAUUACAUCAAGGCCCUGUAAGUCUAUAUUUAUUAUUACAAAAGCACCCUUAAACCGAGAUUUGAGAUAUUUUUUCAAAGAUCGAAGCGCAUGAUUUCACGGCUAUGUUGCAUAGUGAAUUUUAGUGCUUUACAGUUAAGGGAUAGUUUAAAUUCAUUACAAAGCAUUCGCAAAGAAAUUGUUUUUAAAUGAAACUCCUCGUCUUGACCAGAUUAUUUAUUAUUAUUAAAAAAAAAUGUUCAAAACUUAGCCAAAGUGAUAAACUCGUAAUUAUUCUACAAAGGGAACAAUUUUGAACGGUGGGAAAUUCCAUAAUUAUGCUUUUCUGUGAAUUAUUUUAAAUAAAAUUAUAAAAAUUAAUAUAAAAUUAUAAUAAUGAUAGAGCCACAAAUUCUUGUACAAAUUUAUUUUAUACAAACUCAUGUGGCAUGAUAAGAUUGGUUGAAUUAAAUAUUACUUGGCCCACAUGAUUUGUUUUUAUUAUUUUAUAUUUUUAUUCAACCAAUAAAUUAAUACCACGUCAGUUUGUACAAAAUAAAUUUAUACAAAAAUUUGUGACUCGAUCAUCACUCAUAAAAUUAAUACCCGGUAAAGACUGUAGAGAGACAAGUGCCCCCAACAGAAUCAAGUGAAUAUGCCCCACAAAGAUCACAUGAUCAUUUCUGUUCUUUUUCUUUUUGAUAAUUUUAUCUGUGGUUUCAACUUUUAUGCUUUAUUGUCGUAUCCCGUUGAGGGCUCCGCUGCACCCAUUACAACUUACCCCUAAAUUGCCUCUUACUAACUAAACCGUUAGAUUUUAUGGAAGCACGUUCAAUGUUGAAUUUUAAUUAUGUCAUCGAAUUUCGUUUAGCUCCUUAAACUCCAUUUUAUUUGUAAUUUCUUCAUAAAAUAUUCAAAGCUUCAUCAAGCUCCUGAUGGACCAUCAUGGCUAGGGGUGCAUUAGAGCCGAACUGAAAUAUGUUAGUUCAGUUCAGUUUGGUCAGUUUAAAUCGAAUGGUUUAGAAUAUAUAAACUGAUCAAUUUUAAUUUUGAAUUGAACCGAACCGAAAAUCAAUUGGUUCACUAUUAGUAUUUUUGUAUAAACAAGAAUGAUUAGUGAUUAUAAUUAAAUUGGACUAAAAAAAAUUCAAACUAAGGUGAAAAAUAUCAAAUCUUAGACAAUAUAAAAAAAAAUAUUAAAUUUUUUUAACCGAAACGAACCGAAUUAUUUUGACUCAGUUUGGUUCAUAAUUUUUUAAACCAAACUGAUUUAUUCCCACCCCCUAAUCGUGGCUCUCUAUCUUUAGUCAUUCACCCUUGAGUUUGAUGCCAAUUGUUGGGUUUCAAAUGAUUAUACACUCAAAUGGAACCCUCAUAACAAAAAACUAACAGAAACAAUAAGAACACGAUGUUAAAAUCUUAAAUCAAUCGCAACGGUCCUUUUUUUUCCCCAUUCUUGAACCUAAAGUAUUUGAGUAUGCAAAUUAAUAAAUAAAUUCAUUUAUUUUUAUUAAAAUUUUGUAAAAUUAUAAUUUUUAAUAAAAAUAAUUAUUAAAAUUUUGUAAAAUCUAAAUUUAGAAAAAUUCAGUUGGGCACCUCUAUUUGAGAUUUAUUUUUUAUUAAAUUUAGGGAUAUUUUUAUAAUUAUAAUUUUUAAUUUUAAAAGUUUUUAUAAGAUAAAAUAGUCUUUUAAUUUAUUUAGGGGUAAAAUUGAUGUUUUAUUAAAAUUAUUUAAUUGUGUUAAUGCAAAAGUGACUAUUUGAUACAAAUGUGAAAAGAAAGGUGGUGCAAAAUAUAUGUUAAAAUUUUAUAUUGGUUGGAUGAACAUAAGCUAAAAUAAAGGUGGUGCAAUGAUAAUUUCCCUAUCCUAAAACUUAAUUGACUUAAUUCUUAUGGUGCAAGGAAGAGGUUUCCAAGUUUAAAUCUAAAGGCUUGUAUUUAAUUUGGGGUUGGGAAAGCACUGAGAAAUAAAUGUAACUAAGGAAAAAAAAAAAGUCAUGCAGUCCAAAUAAGUAGACAUAUUUAAUAUGAGGUGGGGAUGGGUGAACUGUAAUUCAGAAAAAAUAAAAUAAAAUUUCAUAUAAAGUUGAGGGUGUGUUUUAAUGGUUUCUUAUGCUGCGUUUACUUUUUGGACUAGAGUGAGAAUUCUGAGAAGUGGGAAUCCUGUGAUUAGGUGUGUGGAGUGGGAAUGAGAGUAGGGUAUUUACUUAGACUAAAUAAAAAUAUGGAUUGUCAAUCAGAAUCUCAAUUAUUUGUUACUUUGUCUUGGAUUGAGAGUAAAUUAUUUUAAAUUACAAUUUUAUCCUUAUGUAAAGAAUUAUAAUUUGUAAUUAAAAAAUUAAUAAAAAUAUAUUGGAAAAUAAAAUAAAUAUUUUAUUAUAUUUAUAAAAUAAUAAUAAUUAAUAAAAUUCUUAAUUAUGUAAAUCAUAAUUUUUUAUUAAUUUAAAUUUAAAUUAUGUGAAUAAAAAUUAUUAAUAAUAGCAACACAAAUGAAACAUUAUUAUUGAUAAUAUAGUAUAAAAUUAAUAUUUUUUUAGAAUAAAAUAUUUAUUAUUAUUAAAUAAAUAAAUAAUAUUUAUUAAAAUUAAUGUUUAAUAUUAUUAAUUUAAAUAUAAUAUUUAUUUAUUUUUAUUUUAUUUUAUUAAAUUUAAUAAAAUAAAUAUGUUAUAAUUAUUAUUUUUAAUAAAUAUGACAUUAUUUAUUUUAUUAAAUAUUAUUUAUUUAUUUUAAUUAUGAGGGUAAAAAUAAAAGAGGGGGAGUGGAUUCCCACUCCCACCUCCCCCCAUGGGAGUGGGAAUCCCACUCUCCCCUUAAAAAUGAUAAGUAAACACUAGAAUGGGAAGAAUCCACACUCUACACUUUCUAAAAAAUAAACACUACCUUAAUUUAAAUUGAUUUGUUGGAUAUUUAGCUAAAAUGAGAGUAGCUCUCUAAUAAUUAUUGCAUUAUUACAAACAUAUCCAACGGUUAUAUAUGCUUGCCUGUGGAAAUAAAAGUCCCAAGUUUCUUUGAAAGGUAAGCUAGUGUGAAUGUUUUCAUCCGUGCAACUUACUUGAUGAAUGAAGUUUUCAUCCCUGACCUUGAUGUUUCUGGUGGCUACAAUCAUUUCAGCUGAUCUAUUCCAUUUUGUUAAGGUGAGAAUUUAGAGUGGCUUUAACUGUUAGCAAAUAGCCUAAUGUAAGACUUGAUCAACUUCCUGCCCUGUUGUAUGCUUAUGAAUUUUGAUAGAGUUAUGAGUUUGCAGAAGCUACUGUAUUAUAUGUUGUUAGAGGCUGUAAAAAUGAGGCAGAUCAAACACACAUUUAAAUUUCAAUGACAAUUUACUAGAAGUAAAUUUCCUAUGACCCUCCAGGUGACUAAUCAAUGAGAACUUGACAAUAACAAAAGAAAGUGUAUGAGCUUUGCAGGCGGGCACGCCAAUCUUGACUGCAUGGCACCAUCCGCCAUUUGCAAGUGAAUAUCAUUAUUGUUUAAUCAACAUGGUGGAGUCCACUGGGACCACACCACAUGGUCAGUCUUAUCUCUAUUCCUCAAUUUUCAGUAUUCCAUACAUCAAAACAAUUUCAGUUUUGUUAUCAAUUAUAAUUUCAUUGUUGGAGACGAUUCUGAUUCCUUUCUUUCUGACAAAACGGAACCAUGGUUGCUGUGGGAGAGAUCUUACUCAACGCCUUCUUUCAGGUGUUGUUUGACAGGUUGGCUUCCCGUGAUUUGCUCAGCUUUGUCCGUCAACUUGGAGGCGGGGUCGAUUCCGAGCUCAAGAAGUGGGAAAGAAAGCUGAAGAUGAUUCAGGCGGUGCUCAACGAUGCAGAGGAGAAGCAACAGACUGACGAGGCUGUGAAGAUGUGGCUGGACGAUCUCCAAGACUUGGCUUAUGACACUGAGGACAUUCUUGAUGAGUUUGCUACUCAAGCCUUGGAAAGCAAGUUGAUGGCGCAAAAUCACGAUAGUUCUGGCCAGGUUCUCAGUUUCAUCCCGGCUGGUUUGAAUCCGAAUGCUAUUAUGUUCAAUUAUAGCAUGGGGUCCAAGAUUAAAGAUAUCACUAGCCGGCUGGAGCAACUCUGCCAAGAAAGAAUUGAACUUGGACUGCAACGGAUUACCGGAGAGGCAUCAUCAACUGCUGCUGCUGCUGCACACCAGAGGCCACCCAGUUCGAGUGUCCCAACAGAACGUGAAGUAUUUGGAAGAGAAGAAGAUAAGGCCAAAAUUCUUGAUAUGGUAUUGGCCGAUACCCCAAGUGAUCAUGCAAACUUUGUUGUAAUACCCAUUGUUGGCAUGGGCGGGAUAGGAAAAACAACUCUUGCCCGGGAAGUCUACAAUGACAAGGCCGUUGAAGAUUCCAAGUUUGAUGUAAAAGCAUGGGUUUGCGUAUCUGACGUCUUUGAUGUUUUGGGCAUCUCAAAGGCACUUCUCGAGUCAAUCACCCGCAGGCCUUGUCUUCUAAACAGUUUAAAUGACGUGCAGGUUGAGCUGAAAGCAGCUGUGGAUAAAAAAAGGUUCCUGCUGGUCUUAGAUGAUGUUUGGAACGAGGACUACAGCUUAUGGGUAGACUUAAAAGCUCCGUUACUGGUUGCUGCACCAAACAGCAAGAUGAUCGUCACCACACGCAAUUCAAGUGUUGCAUCAACAAUGAGACCCAUCGAUCGUCACCACACGCAAUUCAAGUAUUACGAUCUCAAGAGUCUGUUAGAUGAUGAUUGCUGGUCCAUUUUCAUAAACCAUGCAUUUGAAUCUACAGACCUUAGCGCACAUCGAAUUUCAGAAUCAUUCCGCGAGAAAGUUGUUGGCAAGUGUGGGGGCUUGCCUCUAGCAGCAAAAACACUCGGGGGCCUUCUUCGUACUAAAACGCAUGCUGAGUGGGACGGUAUAUUGGAUAGCAAAAUAUGGGAUUUACCUCGGCAAAGCAGCAUUCUCCCCGUGUUAAGAUUGAGUUACCAUCAUCUUCCUUCUCAUUUGAAAAGAUGUUUUGCUUUUUGUGCCAUCUUUCCAAAAGAUUAUGCAUUCACUGAGAGGGAGCUGACUUUCUUAUGGAUGGCUGGAGGUAUUAUUCGACAGUCAAGAAACAAUGAGCAGCUGGAAGAUUUGGGCAGCAAGUGCUUUGGUGAUCUAGUGUCGAGGUCAAUUUUUCAACAAACAGCAAUCUCUGAUAGUUCUAAAUUUGUAAUGCACGACCUUAUCCAUGAUCUUGCUCAAUUGGUCUCUGGAGAAACCAUAUUUAGGUUAGAGGAGGCCAAUACUCUGUCAAGAAGAUUUGAAAGGGUUCGCCAUUCCUCCUAUGCCCGUGAUUGGUGUGAUGGUAGAAAUAAGUUGGAGGUUUUCAAUGAAAUUGAACAUCUACGAACAUUCUUGCCAUUUUGCAUAAGAGGUGGCGUUACUUCUGGUUGGAUAACUAGCACGGUUCACUACGAUUUGUUGCCGAAGUUCAAAAGGUUGAGGAUGCUGUCUUUAGAAGGAUACCAUAUUGGUGAGUUACCAAUUCCAUUUGAAGAUUUGAGACUUUUAAGGUUCCUCAACCUUGCUGACACUGACAUAAGAAGUUUACCUGAGUCAACAUGCAAAUUGUUGAACUUGGAAAUUCUGAUAUUAAGAAAUUGUUCCCGUUUGACAAAGCUUCCCCAGAAAAUGAGGAAUUUGAUCAAUUUACGUCAUCUGGAUAUAAGAGGUGCAAAGCAGCUGAAGGAGAUGCCAUUUGGAAUGAAAGAGUUGAAGAAGCUUCAAACGUUGUCCAAUUUUAUUGUAGGCAAGGGUGAAUCUGCAUCUGGUUUGGAAGAUUUAAAAAGUUUAGACCUUCUAUGUGAUGAACUCUGCAUUGCUGGAUUAGAGAAUGUGAAUAGUCCACAGAAUGCAAGAGAAGCCACAUUAUGUGAGAAGCACAAUCUUGAAGCAUUGACCCUAGAAUGGGGGUCUCAAUCUGACAGUCCUCGGGAUGCAGUACUAGAAGAGAAGGUACUUGACACUCUACAGCCUCAUGAACGUAUAAAAGAGCUGGCAAUCAGGAACUAUGGUGGUGCAAGAUUUCCACCUUGGAUCAGAGAUCCUUCGUUUCCCGAGAUGAAGGUCCUUAAAUUGGAGAACUGUGACGAUUGUGAAUAUCUGCCAUCACUUGGCCUGUUGAGUUCACUUAAGCACCUUGCUGUUAAAGGGCUGAAGAAACUAAAAAGCAUAGGGUCUGAGGUUUAUGGGGAGGGUUUGUCAAUGCCUUUUCCAUCAUUGGAGGUUCUAAGUUUUGAGAAUUUGCCUGAAUGGGAGUAUUGGGACACCAAUAUCAGAGGAAAUGUGCUCGUUGAAAUGUUUCCUCGUCUCCAUAAACUUUCCAUUGUGGAAUGUCCCAAACUCUCUGGGGAACUGCCUGAGCUCCUGCCCUCCUUGGAGACACUUGUUGUUAGUAAAUGUGAAAAGUUGGUAGUUCCAUUGUCUCGCUAUCCGAUGCUCUGCAGAUUAGAAGUUGAUGAGUGCAAGGAACUAGCAUGCGGGACUCCAAUUGAUUUUAAGUUGAUAGAGUCUGUGACUAUUUCAAAUAGUUCCUUAGACAUGAAUGGAUGCAAGGGGAUGCUAUACGAUGGUCCAGCUGGCUCUUCACUGCCAAAGCCUAUGAUUACUACAAAUGUUUCGGAGUUUGGAAAAUUAUUGAAGCCUGGAUGUCAAAUAUUAGAAACUUUAGUAAUUGGCAAUUCUGGACGGCUCAAGUCAUGGAGGCAGCAUGGGGAUUUUCUAGAAGAAUAUAUGGUCGCUCACCAAAGGUUUAAGAAACCAGUACAAGGGCUAAAUAUGCUCGCUUCCCCUGAAGAGGUAACAAUUGAAGAAAGUUGUGUGAGUUUUGUUUUGUUUCCAGAGAUCAAUUUCUUUCCCAGAAAUCUGCGCUCUCUUCUAAUUUGCAACAGCACUGCUUUGAAAUCCUUACCCGAGGAAAUGAUGGAAAACAAUUCACAACUGGAAAGGUUGUAUAUCAGAGAUUGCGACUCUCUAACAUUCAUCGCAAGACAGAGGCUACCAGCAUCUGUUAAAAGGCUUGAGAUAGAAAAUUGUGAGAAAUUGCAACGUCUGUUCGAUGAUGAAGAGGAUGCUUCUUCUUCUUCUUCUUCUCCUUCAUCCUCGUCUUCCCCAGUGAUGCUGCAACACCUGAUAAUAGGGAAAUGCCCAAAGCUCACCAGUUUAUUAUCGGGUGUCCAAUUCCUUGAGGCGCUUGAAUUCCUCAAGAUAGAGCAUUGUCCAAAGCUGGAGUCAAUACCGGAUGGCCUGCCCAAUCUUAAAUGUUUACAGAGCAUUUAUUUACUCAAUUGUCCAAGUCUUGUUUCCUUCCCAGAAAGAGGGCUUCCCCACACCAUUUCAUUUGUUUGCAUUUGCGGAUGUGACAAGCUUGAAGCCCUGCCCAAUGACAUGCACAAACUCAACUCUCUUCGACAUUUAAGCAUACAGCUCUGUCCAAAUCUUGUAUCGUUUCCAGAAGAAGGUUUUCCUACCAAUCUAACAUCACUUACAAUUGGAGAUUUCAAAAUGUAUAAGAUACUCGUCCAGUGGGGGUUGCACAGGUUUACCUCUCUUAGACGCCUCUAUAUCGUUGAUUGUGAUGACGAAGCAGAGUAUUUUCCAGACGAGGAUAUAGGAAUGACGCUGCCCACCUCUCUCACUCAACUGGAACUUUCGGGAUUCAAAAAAUUGAUAUCUCUGUCUUCGACGGGUUUUCAGAGCCUCACCUCUCUUCAAAGAUUGCGGAUCUGGGAUUGCCCAAAUCUCACAUCAUUUCCAGAGGUGGGCCUUCCAUCCUCACUUUUGGAAUUACACAUUUACAAAUGUCCAAAGCUUAAAAAAGCGUGCAAAAGAGAUCAAGGAAAAGAGUGGCCCAAAAUUGCUGACAUCCCUUGCGUUGAGAUAGACAAUAAAUUCAUAUACGAUCCAGAAUAAGAGGAGUAGAUUCUACUAUUAAGGUCAGUUGAUUUGUAUUAUCCGCUAUAACAAGCUCCUCCUUUUUUUUUUUUAAAUAAUAAUUUUGCAGUCACUCACGUGAUUCCGUUUUCACAAGUCAGAUUGUAUGUUGAGGCUAUUUGCCUUUUAGUCGCAGAUUAAAUUAUAACACUUAUCUUAAAAUUUAAUACCAUAGACAGAUAGACGAUUUUUUAAUCCAAAGUUUUUUUUAUUCACUUCAGUUAGCAUUUUUUUUUUUCCCCAAAUCAUGCAAGCCGAGAGUUUCAAUCAAGAAUUGGAGCAUGGGAAUGGAAUUUUUGUGAAAACAUAAUGGAUGAACGAACAUUUCAUCUGUGAUCUCAAAGUCAACAGAAUUUUAUUCACUCAAUGACUUUUCAACUGCUGUGGUUAUUUAUGGGUGAAAGAAAGAUAAGGGCAAUUACAAAAAAUUUGCAAAAUUUGUCAAUUUCUUAGAUGGUAGAUAUAUCGACAUUUUAGAUUUCAGAUAUUUGUCACCAAUUUCAUUCCUUUUUUUUUAUUUUUUCAAGCAAGUUUGACUAAUUUUAACCAGAAUUGGAGUAUAAUAUUUUGGAGCAAGCAUACUUGAAAUUUCUGUCUUCAAUAUUUUGAUGCUUUUUUAAUUUUGGAUCUAGUAAAAAUACAUAGCCUUCACCGGCAGGAUUCUAGUCUUGGCUUUCACCUCUCUAACUCAUCCGGCCCCAUUGGGAUUCCAGAAAUUGAAAUUUCUGUCUUCAAGGGGUUUUCAAAGCCUCGCCUCCCUUCGAUUUUUGUGGAUCGGGAAUUGCACAAAUCUUACAUCAUUUCCCGAGGUCGAGGAAAAGAGCGGCCCAAACUUGCUCGCAUCCCUUGGGUUAUGAUAGAUGGAAAAUUCAUAUACGAUCCAGAGUCAGAGGUGUUGAUUCUCUUAUUAAGGUCAGCUGAUUUCUAUUAUCCACUCUGACAAUCUCCUAUUAGUGUUUUUCCCUUUUUUUUUUUCAAAAUUUUGCAGUUCCGUAUAAUUGAAAAUGCCACUCACUUGUUUCCUAUUAGUAUGUUGAGGCUAUUUGCUUUCUAUCGGUGUUUGUUAAGGUAAUUACUCACAGAUGAAAUUAUAACUUUUAUCUUAAAAUUUAUUGCCAUUGACAGAUGGACGAUUUUUAGUCCAAAGUUUUGUUAUUAACUUCAAUCAAAAUUUUAGAUUGCAGAUUUUUGUCAAUUAUUUCAUUUUUUAUUUUUAUUUUAAAGCAGAAUUGGAGUAUAACAUUUGGAGCGCGCAUACUCUGAUGCAUGCAAUUAACUGUUUUUAAUCGUUGGAUUUUGAAAUUAAUGAUGGUAAGAUGUGUACUUAUUUUUUCUUCCGGACAACCUUGCCUUCUUUCUUCGGUAGCAUAUCUAAUGAAUAUUUCUCUGUUUAGUUAAGGAUGAAUGCUUGGAGUGGUCUGAUUCACAACAACACCUCUUCCAGAAAAUAUGAUACAAGGCAAAGCCAUGUUCUGAAGCAGAAAUGAUACAGCAGUUGCGGUACCCGAGGUACCUUUUGCAUUUAACUUGCCUUUAUUUGUUUUGCUUGUGACUUAAGAACACAUCAUUUCCCAGAGAUUUGGAGAAGCAUCUCAAGAUGCUUAACAAACUUGACAAGCUUCAAGAUGCACUUGCUCCCAAGCAUUGAUUCUUCACAAUGGAAAACCUGUGAGUACACUUAUGCCCGCAAUUAUUGUUAAGUGUUUGCAAUUUUGAUGCAGCGAAAUGGUUUGUGGAUGCAAAGCUUUAAAACUGUUAAGAACUACCCUGCAGGCUUGUUGGAUGUUGUAUACUUCAAAAGCCACCAACACCAAGAACUACAACAGCAAGACUAGGUUUGCGUUGCUUCAAUCAGCUGAAAUAAUGAUGCAAAUGACACUAUCAAGCUGGACUUAGAGACUUGUCAGGUCAAUCAUCCAUUUCAUCAACAGUUAAUGUCAUGAUGGUGGCUAUCAGAGGAAACAAAAGAUCUGUUGGAAUCAAUUCAAACAGUGAGAAGCAUGAGAGGAGCAUUGAUUAUAAAUAGGCUCAAUGAGCUCAUGCUGGUAAGUGGUAAUUAAGAAAUUUGUGAGCUUAGUAUAGUUUCAAUUUUUUUCUGUUUGGGAUAUAGUUGAUAAGUUGAUACUCUGAUUAAGAAGCCUGAUUAUAGUAGCUGACUGUGCUAACUGCGUUCUUUUAUUUUUUAUUUUUUUGGUUUGCCGUCGUUUUUUCUUUUGAUUAUUUGUUCAACAUUAGAUUGAUCUGUUGAAGACUACGAGGAAGAUCCAGACUUGGAUGCAGGCGUGCAGCUCGUAAUAGGUGAGAACAAAUGAAUGCUUUAACCAUGUUUCUCACUUAUGACAAUGCACGGAUCAAAGGCAUCUGAGUUGAUCCUGAAAAUGUGAUGGAAAUAGGUCUCUGUUUUCAUAAAACAGAACAAAUAGAGAUCUCUGAUCACGCCUGAGAAUUCAUUGCAUUGAAAUUUCUACCAUUGGCAAACAUAGAAUAAACUGGGGAUACAUUAGCUUUAGACUCUAUUUUGAGGAGGAAGUUUGUACUUGCAGCCUAUAAAAUCAUAUCCCUGUUGUAUGUUUCUUUGGGAAAUGAAAGAUUCUGUGUGUUCUUUUAUUUCAAGUUUGCUGAAAUCACAUUUGUUUUCUAAGAUGCUUUACAGAAGGUACCAACAUCAUUUUCAAAAAUGCUGGGGUAAGAUACAUCGUGCAGUGCUCCUCAACAUGAGAAUUCCUGGCCGCAUUACCCAUAUGUGGAAUGAUCUGAGAGUACAACCGUGAGAAUGUUGUAAGGAGUACACAACCAGAUGUGAGUAGUUUGAAAAUGAAUUCGCAUGGAAUGAUUUCUUGCCAGUGCAGAAAUGGCUUGGUUCAAAAUAUGCUCAGCUUCAUUGACACUCUUCGGUAGGCCUCUCCGUCCUUCCAUUCUUAACUACAAUACUACUCUUGUCUGUCUAGUUAUGGAAUCUCUCUUUUAAUCCUCAAAGUUUGAAUUAUAUUAUAUUGCCUCUGUGUUACCGCAGAAACUGAGUCAGUUGGUGAUCCUUCAAAACAAGAAAAACCAAAAACAGAUACAGCGCGCGAUAAGAUAAUGAGACAGAUGGCUCCCGUUGCUGCAUGCCACUUGCUUGUGUGCGUAUUGGGACCAUCAUCAACAACAUUGACGUAAACCCAGCUCAAGGUGGGAAGCUAGUUCGAGCUGCAGGGACGUUAACCAAGAUUUUGAGAAAGAACCCACUUCAAGGUGUUGCUUAGUUAGGCUACGUUGUGGAAAUGAGAAAGUGAUUGACCCUAGAUGUCGCGCCACCAUUGGUACAGUGUCUAACCCCAGCCAUGGAGCUAAAAAGCUUAGUAAGGCAGGUCAGAGAAGUUGGUUGGGUCGAAGAGCUGUGGUUAGAGGAGUAGCCAUGAUUCCAGUUGAUCACCCUCAUGUUGAACAAAGCAAAAGUAGCGGUAACAAUGGAAGGUGUUCACUCACACCUUGGGGCAAGCCUUGUAAGUCUGGGAAUUAAACUGCAUCUCCUAAGAAGAAAGAGAAAUCAGCUGUCUGAUAAUAUUGUCCUUUUCUGCUAUUUGGUCUUUUUAACAUUGUUACACUGUUUUUACAUCUUUGAGGUUAGUUUUAGACCAAUUUUUAACUGAUCCAUAAUGAAACUGAAGUUUAAUUUUUGAUUAAACUUUCACUGGUUUUACUCUUCUGUCACUUCAAUUUAGCAUUGAUUUAAGAUACUGAAUUCUGUGCUUGGAGCUUGUAAAUUGGAAAGAGAUAUUUUGGGAUAGAAUGUAGAUUUUGUGUUUUGCUUUCUCAAGCUAGUUGUGACUUCUUAAAAGAGUCAAUCCAUGUCUUUAUAUAUUUUUCUUUUGUCUUGAUUCUGUUUCUUCAUACAGAUUCUUAUUUUAUGCUUCACAUACCACAUGAAAGAUGAAAGCCUUUUCUGUGAUUAGAAUUGACUUGCAUUAUAGUAACUUUAAACCACUUGGAUAUUUUUAUAAUAGCAGUCUGAGAUCUCCUUAAAGGAUUCAAAAGCAUCCACUGGCAUCCACUUUACUCGUAUCGGUCAAAAGUUUUGUGCAAUACAAUAUUAGCUUGACUGUAGCGCAGAGGAGAACAGGUUGGUGUUGGUCUGAAUUCUGAUAUUUGAAUAAAUAUAACAGCUCAUGUGACUCCACCACUUUUUACUUGUUCUGUAGUCUGUACCUACCUCCAUUGUCGGCACUGCCCAUACAAGGUCUUUUAGCUUUUUAAAAAGUUUCAUGAUAUUCCAUAGUUCACAUGGAUUUCUACAGUUUGUAGAAAACCUAAUUAGGGCACAUUUAAUUACUAUGCAGAAGAUUCUUUUAUCUUGCUCACCAAUAAUUCUUUGUACUUAUUUGAAAGAUGUGUUUCAAAAAAAUAAAAAAAAACUAUUUGAAAGAUGAGAAAUCCCUUAGCCGAACGACAAACUCAUCUAUCAGUCCUAUCAAAAAAAAAAAAACUCAUGUUUUAGUGGUUUUUUUUUUUCACUUGUAUUCAGUCGCACAAGUGAAGAUUGUGGGCAAUUUUUUCCUUGAGUAAAAUUGGAAUAGAUGUUUUUAUUGACACAAAUUUUUGAGCUAUGUUUGGGAAACCCUUAGACUUAAGACUUUGUUACGAUGAUAUGUAUCUAAGCUUUCAACAGACCGUUGAGGUCUUAUUAUCAAAAUACUAGAAAUUUACAAUUCAAUUUUGGUAAGGACCAAUUUAAUAAUGCUGUAAUUUUUAAAAUAAUUACCGUUAACUGUGUUGUAAAAAUAAUCAAUUAUGAAGAAAAUUAAUUAAACAUUUAGUAAACUUUAUUUUUACAAGUGCUUUGAAUUUUAAAAAUAGUCAUAUGUGUUCAGAAAAUCUCACUUCUAAAAUAGUAUAAGAAUGGAAAAAACUUAAAAAGACAAAUGUAUAAUAUUUAUUUACACAUGCAUUUAUAAAUAUGUGUAUAUAAUAACAUUUUAUGUGUACAUAUAAUAAUUGAUAACUAAAAUAAAUAUUUUUAUUUAUUAAUUAUUUUUUUGUCUCAAUGUAAUUGGUAAUACUUUUUUUUAAUCUUCUCAUCCUAAGUUUUUUUAUUGUUUUGUACAAAAUUCAAGGUUUGGACUUUUAUAAAAUGUCCACUCAAAAAUAAAUUGUUUUCUAACUAAGAUUUGUUGCUAAUGUAUAACUCAAAGUAAUACUAGCUAUUUGUAAUUUUAUUUCAAAAUUUUUAUUCAAAUGAUAUGGUAACUAAUGUACAUUAGUUGAUAGCAAUUUUUUUUUUUUUACAAUAUUCAAAUCAAUCAAUUGCAUCAUCUCAACAUUUUUAUGAUGUCGUGUUAUUUUAAACGAAUUUUUUAUUUUUAUAUAAAAUUUAUUAUGUUUAACAUCAUUUGCAUAACUUGACCUUUUUUUUUUCCUACAAAUAUUAAGUCAAAUUUACUCACCCUAUAUUUCUAUCUAAAAUCUACCUAAAACUCAUGCAUCACUGUAAAACAAAUCCAAAGAUUGCGGUACGUUUUUCUUGGUAACAAAUCAAUAAUUAGGUCAAGUACUACUACUAAGCGUGCUCAAUUAAUUCUAAAAUACUACGGUGAUCAAAAUCAUACUUGACGCAAGAGGAUAAGGGCUAAACCUCAAUUAGGCAUUAUUCAUCCAAAAUUCGUUGACCCGGCAUUCUUUGCAAGUUGUAGCACGGGACAGCUAAGAUUAGCAAAUGCUGUGGACCAUAUGCCCCCAUACAUUUGUGACAUGUGAAACUUGGCAUUAAAGGAAAGGCAACGUGUUAAAAUUUAAUAGCGCCCAAUUCUUCAUUGAAUGAUUAUCAGAUCCAAUGAGCAUCCUUUGAUUGGAUUAUUUUAAGUCAAUUAUUGGUGGAUUGGGGCCCACUUGACUCUACCAAAUCGGGCUCCACCAUAUCACCUAUUAACGACCACCUGUCCUUAUCAUAAAUAGCAAAUGUCACUUGUUUUAUUUUGUAUUUUACCAAAAGCAAAGUCACUAUGAACCCAAAUGAAAGUGACCCCAAUUUUGGGGGUCAUGAGCUUUGGAUUAUUAUGGACACAAGAGACAAGCGCAAAGUUUCUCAUUUAUCACCGGAUAAGAUUUAAGUUAUCAACCCAACAUUAAUAAAUUCUGCUUAAAGUAAAGUUUGAAGCUUCAUUUUGCGAAUAUUCAAUGGUUAACAUUUAAGUAAUUAACCUGAUAUUAAUCCAAUUAAACUUUUUAUGUAAUCCAAGUCAAAAAUAUGUUGAUAAACCUAAAUUAAUCUAAUUGGACAUAUUAUUUCAACUUGAAAAGGCGAAUCUAUCAUUUUUCAAUUAAUUUUGAAUCAAGCUAUGUAAAAUAUAAGCUUAUUAAAGACAUAUUUUUAUCAUGUUAAAAUAUCGAAAUACUUCUUACUCGUUUCGUAAUAACAUUAACAAACCUUUUGGUAAAUUUGACAGUCCAAUCAAUUCAGUUGGUUUUUUGUUAUUGAAACUCCAACAAAAUUCAUCACGAUUAUUAAAAACCCAUUAAAAAAAAAUGAAGGUAACUAUUUAAAAAAUUCUAAUUGAAUUAUUUAACAACUACAUUUCAACUAAAUUGUGUUGCUAAUUAACUUCCUCAACUUAAACUAUAUUUUUCUCAAUUAAUUCAUAACAAAUAAUGUUAGAUAUUUUAUUCGAAUAAUAACAUUCAACAUCCUUAUUCUUUAUGAUUAUUGCAUAAAAACAUAUUUUAUCCAUUUACAUCACAUAUGUUCCUAAAUUGUAUAAGAAAAUCACCAAAUUUACUCUUGUAAGUUACUAUAUCAAUGAACAUGAAAUUCACUAAUCAUUAAAGUCUCGGAAUGACAUCAUGAGAGGGAUUCAGUUACAUUUAUUGAUAGGAUUAGAUAUAUGUCUUCUCAAAUAUUAGUAGGAGCAAUUUAACAGAUGCAGCUACUAAAAAUAUAGAAUUACUUAUCUCGUCAAUAACUAACGAUAUUUUUUAUCUAUGCUCAAUAAAUUGUAAUAUUUGUAGAUUGUAACAAUUGUUAAAAAAAAAGAGCUCCCUGAGACUAAAUGACAAAAGGACUGUUUUGAAAUAGAUAGAUAAAAUAUGCCCUUAUUUGAGAAAAUGUAAAACACUAGGGAUCUAAAUGUUAUUAUAAUCCCAUGCACAAAAAUACCAAAAAUAACUAAUAACAACUAACCGAAAAUCCCAGGCGUCAUAUUCCUUUUUUCCGCGUUUUAAAAUGCCCUCUGAUUCAUUCACAGUCAGACGCUGUCGGCAUUUCUCUUCUCUCCCUCUCUCUCCACGUAUUAAAACAUGUAAAGUACGGAAAAAUUUAAAAAAAAUUUUAAAAUUACAUAAUUUAAAAGAUAUAAAAUUAUAAAUUUUUAAAAUUAUACGGUUUUAAAAUUUUUUUAAAUUUUUUCGUAUUUUAAAAUUUCAGACUAAAAAAUUAUUAUACGAAUACUUCGUAUAACCGCUUUGCGCUUAAAAUCUGUGCCUAACAAACUCACGAAAUCACUCCUCAUUUUCCUCUCUCCCUCUCCUCCUCUCAUUCCCUUUCAAAUCCUUCCACCACCUUCCCCGCCUCUCUCUCUUUCUCUCUCCCCUCACCGCCACAGCUCAACUUUUCCAUGUAAACCACCACGGGCGCCGUCGUUUCAACCUCCCACUCAUCCGACGUCGUUUUGUGUGAAUAAGAUAACGAUUUAAAUUAAAAUACGAAAAUGGAGAACUUAACGGCGCAGUUGAAGCGAGGGAUAUCGCGGCAGUUCUCGACGGGAUCGCUGCGGCGGAGCCUGACGAGGCAGAUGUCGAGGCAGUCGUCGUUCGAUCCGAGGAGGAAUAACAUGAGGUUUAGCUUCGGGAGGCAGUCGUCGUUGGAUCCGAUACGCAGGAGUCCGGUUCAGGACGAGUUGACGGUGCCGGAGAACCUUGACUCGACGAUGCAGCUGUUGUUUAUGGCAUGCAGAGGUGACGUCAAGGGAGUCGAGGAUUUGCUGAACGAAGGCAGUGAUGUCAACAGCAUUGAUCUUGACGGACGGUUUUGGCGAGAAAUCAAAGAAUUAAGAGACAAUAUUUAGUUAAGCUAAUAGUAUUUGUUCUGUUUAGUACGUCGUUUUACCAACAAGCAUCCCGGCAUUGCACGCAUUAAUAAAUUUUUUUUAUCUGUUUGGACUGAUGGUGGUAAAAAAUUCCACAUACUUUAUAUUAAAAAGGAAAAAGGACAAACACACCCCUAACGUCAACUUGGAGGGGGGUCGAUUCCGAGCUCAAGAAGUGGGAAAGAAGAAAGCUGAAGAUGAUUCAGGCGGUGCUCAAUGGUGGGUAUGACGGCAAAAAUAAGUUGGAGGUUUUCUAUGAAUUUGAACAUCUAAGAACAUUCUUCCCAUUACACAUAAGAGGUGGCUCCAAAACUGGUUACAUAACUCGUAUGGUUCUAACUGAUUUGUUGCCGAAGUUUAAAAGGUUGAGGGUGCUAUCUUUACAAGGAUACCAUAUUGGACCAAUUCCAUUUGAAGAUUUGAGACUUCAAAGUAUAAUUACCCAAAGUGUAUACAAUAAAAGCCAAAUUUAAGAAAUUCCUGAACCUUGCUGACACUGACAUAAGAAGUUUACCAGAGUCAACAUGCUCAAUGUUGAACUUGGAAAUUUUGAUAUUAAGAAAUUGUUUCCGUUUGAUGAUACUCCCACCCAAAAUGAGGAACUUGGUUAAUUUACACCCAGACUCUUUUCUUUUGACAUGGGGUUAACGAUCAAAGUUGGUUUCGUGCGGUAUAUAUUUACAAAUUGAUAGGUAUGCCUGGUGUUGAUGCAGGAUUCCGGUUCUUCUCGUUCUACGACCAGGAUCUCUGCUCGAUCAACUUCGUCACGACCAGGAGGUCUCCUCGCAAGACUUUUUCUCCAGAGAUUCCUGCGCACACAGACAAGUCAGAGUACGCCGGUUGUUUUCCCGGCGCAAACCCUCCGACGCUCAAGUCAGAUAUGAAGGUUCGGGGAACGCUUGCCACCGAUCUUAUGGCUUUUUCGUGGUUUUCUCUUCUUUUUAAUUCCUUUUCUAAUGAGAAAAAUGCCAACCCUUUUACCUCGUCGGCUACCUUUUUAUAGGCUUCCUCUGAAUCCCAGUUUUCCGCUCUUUUCGAGACGGUAUGGGACUCUGACUGCUGUGUUAUGGGCAAACGUGGGAUCUUGCGUGUUACGCCACCGUUCUGGGAAAAGCGCGGCAGUCGUGGUUCUGUGAGAUCUUGCGUGUUACGCCACGGUUCUGGGGAAAGCGUGGCUGUCGUGCUUAGGUUCUCGGGCUGGAGAGCAUGUCUCGUCAACUGCCGUCGACCGGGUCUCCUCGCCUCUCGACCUCUAGCCGGAAUGACCUUAUGCCUCUUACAGGAAAUUGGCCUCGCGGAUGACCUGCUCGUGGACGAGCAGGAUAUUUCUGCUCCUGUUCCCCCGCGUACCAGGCUUUUACGGGACACACCGGUUCGCAGAACUCUGCCAUCAGAUAUCUGCUCACCGUGCCUGGUCUCGUCGACGUAUUUCUCCCAAACACCGGUCCCCCAGUUUCUGGUGUUGGGUAAUGUAGUGGACCAGCAGUAGAAACUCGUUAGUACUCGCCCGCGUGGGAUUGGAAAAGGCUGCCAAGAGUCAUGUCGCAUUUAAUUGCGGACGAGGUGACGUGGCAGAAAUCCCCCCCUCCAUUUGAAUUUCAAACCGACGGUUAUGAGAUCCUCGGGAUUCAGCGCCGUUAAAUGCUGGCAACCCAAGAGUCCGUCCUCAUUAGGAAAACCAAAUCCUCUCGAACGGCAUAUUCGUCAUUCACUCCGUCUCCGUCUCUGUCUCCCCGGCAAAGAGGUUCCGGCAUAAAAGCCCUCCAUCUCUGAUUUUCACCGACUGAACCGUUACUUCAGGUAUUUCUUCUAUCUCCUUGGUCUCGGAUAGUUGUAGAUAAUUUCUCUUCUCUUCUGUUGGGUAGUAGUUGGUGGUGUUGUGGUUAGAGCUUAGGGAAUGUCGAAAGGCAAAGAGAAGGUCAUUGAGGUUGGUGACGACGAGUUGGACUUCCUGCCUAGUCUGCUCACCGAUCCUGCUUUUGACCCCGGGAUCCCCUUAGAGCCCAUUAGGUCUAGUGUCGGGACUAGUGCUAGGAGGAUGUCUCCCCAAACAACCUCUACGAGCGGAAGUAAUGGUGAGGAGAGAUCUUCUGGCUCCGAGGAUACUUUGAGUGAGAAUGGCGAAGGUGACUCUGGUGAGGUGUCUCCAUCUGGAACAUCACGACCAGAAGAACGGGGUAUAGUAGGAGGCAGAGCCUUGUCGCGCGAUUAUGCCAUUGAUUACAUGACGUGCACGACCUCGUUUGACGAGCUCAAUGACCUCCGGCUUAGGUAUAGCAUUCCUGGUGAGAUACCUCUCAAGGUCCCAGGAAAGAAGGAUGCUCCCAGCCGGCCUCCUAGGGGAUAUGUUACCCUGUAUCUGGACAGCUUUAAGUACGGGCUGAGGUGUCCCUUGCAACCUUACUUUGCCCGGAUACUUAACGGGCUAAAUCUAGCUCCUGGUCAGCUGAAUCCCAAUGGGUGGAGAGUGCUCUCUGGUCUGUUCAUAUUGUGGGACAGAUGUUGCCAAAGCGAGCCCACGGUUGAUGAGGUGAAGCACCUGUACCAGCUAAAGAGCAGCCCCAAAGAUGCCGUCUGGUACUACUUCCAAUCUAGCACCAAGAGCAGGAAACCUAUAACCGACCUCCCUACUGGUGGUGGUGGGAAUUGGAAGAGAAAAUUCUUUUUUGCUGGGGGUCCUUGGGGUCAGGUUGCACAAAUGGACGGGAAGGAUUAUCGGGUCCCACCCCGUUUCACGGUCCCAGGUUGCCUGCUCGCUUUAGAUGUCUUGUAUCCACAAUUGUUAUUGCUUUAUUGGCUUGUCUCUAACCAAGUGUCUGUUUGCGUUGUAGUUUCUUGGGGUGUUCACUUCCCGCUCCCACCUGACCAGCUCAAACGGGUCAAGGCUGUGCUCGCCAAUUCCUGCUCGAGUCGAGAACUGCUAACUACAUACAACUUGCUCGAAUCUCGCUUGAUACUUCCUGGCCAUAGGAUGGAGGACGCCGUGAUUGGGGCUCUGACCCGAAAACGUUCUCGACCUCCAACCACGAAGAGGGACCAGGGUAAGGAUGCCCCUGCUGCAAAGCGGGCCAGCAUCGUGCAGCAGGUCCCACCCUUGGAGAUUUUACCUCCUGCUCCUGAAAAAGUCGGGGAAGCUAGUGGAGCAGCCACAGAUCCUGCUUCCUCAUCUGUUCCUGUCGGGCCUCGAUCUCGCUUACCUGACAGCCGAGCAGAACACCUGGUCCCCUACCUCAAUGAGUUGUCUAAACUCGUGAGCAAGAAGGACCUGGAGGACUUCGACGGCUGCACCUUGGGUGAGCUGGUGGGGGCCAUGCAGCAUAGCGCUUUCCACCUCAGCUGCAUGACCACCUAUUACAAGGCUAAGGUUGGUCGAUACGAUCGGAAAAUGAAGGGGGAUAUUCAAUCGGCGACGACCAGAGCUGACAUUGCCGAGAAGAAAGCAGGGGAGCUGAACCUCGAGAAUCUGAAGCUGAUAGAGCAAGAAUCACUUGCUCAAGCAAAGACCAUUACCCUCGAGGAGGAGCUUACCAAGGUCAAGGAGGAUCUGCAAAGGCAGAAGGCUAUGUAUGAGGCCCAGCUCGAAUCUCUCCGGGACUCCAACCGAGCUCAGGUCGAGAACUUGGAGAGGGAGGCAGAGAAUCAGUACGACCAGGGACUUCGGCAUUCCUAUCGUUGCAUCAUGGCCGUCCUCGGGAAGCAACACCCUGAUCUGAAGAUGGAUGACCUUGCGGCUGGUGUUGCCCAACAUAUGGACGAGGAGGCGGCCAAGGAAGAUGCUGAAGGGGUAGAGCCGAUCGUGAUCGAGGAGGAAAGCUCUCCUCCUCGUGCAGUCCCUGCUGAUGUUGGCGAGGCGAGCACCCCUCCGGACGCAACUGGCGAUACCCCUCCCGCACCUGAGGAGGUCCAGUCAACCGAUGCUGCUCGGCUCACUGAUCUACCAUCUUUUUGAUAUAUUUCUUUUUGUAUUGUAAUAAACAACGUUUAUGAAAUUUAUCCCCUCUGUUAGCCAUUAACACAUUAAUAAAGAUGUUUUUUGAUUACUUUCUCGUCUUGUAAUCAUCACUUAUUUUCCGUUUGGGAAUCUGCUCGUCUCGUCUGGUCGAGCAGGUUCUGGUUUGGCAUAUGGUUUUGCAACAUGCCUUAGAAAAAUUUCUUUUUUUUUUUUUUUUUUUUUUUUUUUUUUUUUUUUUGCUUGGGGAUUCUGCUUGCCUUCGCGUGGUCGAGCAGGUCCUGGCAUGCUUGGCUUCAGUCUCGCCAUAAAAAGGCUUUGAGACUUGGUGAGGCCUUUGCAUGCCUUAGAAAACUUUUUCGAUGCUUGGGGAUUCUGCUCGACUUCGCUCGGUCGAGCAGACCCUAGCAUGCUUGGCUUCCGUCUCGCCAUAAAAAGGCUUUGAGACUUAGUGAGCCUUUGCAUGCCUUAGGUGGCUUCUUCAAAGCUUGGGAUUCUGCUGCCUUCUCGUGGCCGAGCAGAUCCGGGCAUGCUUGGCUUCUGUCUCGCCAUAAGACAGGCUUUGAGACUCGACGAGCCUUUGCAUGCCUUAGAUGGCUUCUUCGAAGCUUGGGAUUCUGCUGCCUUCUCGUGGCCGAGCAGAUCCGGGCAUGCUUGGCUUCUGUCUCGCCAUAAGACAGGCUUUGAGACUUGACGAGCCUUUGCAUGCCUUAGAAAUUUUCUUGGUUUCAAGCGAAAGGAAUUCCUCGACGUUCCAUUAAUGGCAGGAUUCGGCUUACAUGAACUUGUUUGGACAUAAAGCGUGAAAGAUAAACGAUAAUGAUCAUGAGCAAAAAUAGCUUUCAGAUGUGAACAAAUCUUACUGGAAGUAUUUUCGGAGGUGUGCUGCGUUCCAUGGGCGUUUCAGCUCGUGGCCGUCCGUGCGAACCAGCUUGUAAGCUCCGGGUCCCGCUAUCUGCUUGACUCUAUAUGGCCCUUCCCAAUUCGGUCCCAGCACUCCUUGAGUCGAAUCUUUGGUGCUCUGAUUCACUCUUCUCAGUACCCAGUCUCCGACCUUGAAUUGCCGUAUGUUCACCUUCUGGUUAUAAUACCGAGCAACCCUCUGUUGGUAAAGGGCUGAUCGCUCGGCUGCUUGCUCCCUCCUUUCCGUUAGCAGAUCAAGAUUCAAACAUAUCUGCUCGUCGUUCUCCUGCUCGUUGAAAUGACCUGUCCGGUGUGUGGUCGUUCCUAUCUCAGCCGGCACGACCGCUUCAUGUCCGAAAGCCAAAGCGAACGGUGUCUCCCCAGUUGCGGUUUUGUGGGUUGUUCUGUAUGCCCAUAGCACACCUGACAGCUCGUCAACCCACGCACCCUUUUUUGCUCCAAGCCUGGUUUUCAAAAGCCUCUUGAUGGUCUUGUUGGCUGCUUCUACUUGUCCAUUCGAUUGAGGGUGAGCAGGCGAGCAAUACUUCAGCUCUAUCCCGAGGUUCUGGCAGAAAUCCCUGAAGCUGUGAUUAUCGAACUGCCUGCCAUUAUCCGUUACCAAGGCAUAAGGGAUCCCGUAUCGACAGACCAGGUUUCUCCACACGAAGUCUGUUGUUUUCUUCUUUGUGAUCCUGCUAAGGGCUUCUACCUCUAUCCACUUCGUGAAGUAAUCUAUAGCAACUAUUGCAUGUGUUGCUGCUCCUUGUGCCUUUGGCAAUGGGCCGAUCAGAUCAAUUCCCCAUUGAGCAAAUGGCCAAGGGGAGGCCAUGGAGGUGAGCUUCUCUGGGGGUUGGUUAGAGAAAUUUGCAAAACUCUGGCAGCUUACACAACUCCUGGUCUUCUCUUGCGCAUCCUGGUGCAUUGUCGGCCAGAAAUAUCCCUGCCUAAGAACCUUGUGGGCCAGGGACCUCCCGCCAGAAUGAUUUCCGCAAAUUCCUUCAUGUACUUCUCUCAGUACGUAAUCCGCGUCGUCCUCAUCCAAACACCGAAGGAACGGUAGUGUAUAUCCUCGCCGAUACAGCGCCCCAUCAAUCAUCGUGUAUCUCGAGGCCUGGGCUCUAAUCUUGCGAGCUCGCAGCUUAUCUGGUGGUAAUACUCCGUCUCUAAGGUAUGAAACUAUCGGGUCCCUCCACGAGCAUUUUUGUUCUAUCCGCAACACCCCCGAAUUCUGAUCGAUACUUGGGCUGGACUUCACCUCCAGAGGGACCGACUUUGGCAUUUUUGGGUCGGCUACUGCUGCCAUCCUCGCCAAAAUGUCUGCUCGACUAUUCUGCUCCCUGGGGAUCUGUACCACCUCCACUGCUUCGAACUUCCCCAUCAUCUGCCUGACUAUCUUCAGGUACUGCUCCAUCUUCUCCUCUCUUGGUUGGAAUCUUUCACUGACGUGAUUCGCAACCAGCUGGGAAUCAGUUCUGAUCUUAACUCUGUCUUCUUUCACGGCCUUAGCCAAUUCCAGACCUGCUAUCAAGGCUUCAUACUCUGCCUGGUUAUUUGUGGCUGCAAAUUCCAACUUUACAGCAUAAGAGAUCUCCUCCCCCUCAAGGCCUUCCAGGACAAUCCCUGCUCCUGAACCCCGCUCCCCUGAUGACCCGUCCACAGACAUCUGCCAUACUUGAUUUUCGUCAUUGCCUAUAACUGCAUCCUGUUGAUCUGAGCAUACUUCGGGCUCUGUGAAUUCAGCUACGAAAUCGGCCAUUGCCUGGGCUUUUAUCGCUGCGCGGGGUUUAUAGUCUAUGUCGAACUCGCUCAGCUCUACAGCCCACUUGACGAGCCGACCAGAGGCAUCUGGCUUGUGCAGAGUUUGACGCAAUGGCUGGUUUGUUAUUACCGAGACCGGGAAUGCUUGAAAAUAUGGCCUCAACUUCCGAGCAGCAACCACAAGGGCAAGUGCCCAUUUCUCCAACAGUGGGUAUCUAGUCUCAGCGUCGAGUAGGGCCUUGCUGGUGUAGUAUAUCGGAUACUGAACUCCUUCUUCCUCUCUCACCAGAACAGAACUGGCGGCCCGAUCCGACACCGCCAAAUACAGAUACAACUUGUCCCCAUCCCUUGGUGUGGACAGCAGCGGAGCUUGCUGCAAGUAUUGCUUCAAGUUCUGGAAGGCUUCCUCGCACUCUGGGGUCCAUUCUGUUUUCUUUCCCCUCCUUAUCACUUGAAAGAAUGGCUGACACUUAUCUGUAGCCUUGGAGAUGAAUCUGCUCAACGCCGCCAACCUCCCUGUGAGGCUCUGCAUCUCCUUCAGGUUACGAGGAGACGUCAUUUGCACAAUCGCCUGGAUUUUCUCGGGAUUUGCUUCAAUCCCCCUAUGGCUCACCAUGAAUCCAAGGAAUUUCCCUGACUCGACCCCAAAAGCACACUUUUCCGGGUUGAGCUUCAUCUUAUACUUCCUCAAAAGCUCGAAUGUCUCCUCGAGGUGUCUGACAUGUUCCUUCGGGAUUUUGGACUUGGUGAUCAUGUCAUCCACGUACACCUCCAUGGUUUUCCCAAUCAACGGCUUAAAGACUUUGUUCACCAGCCUUUGAUAGGUGGCCCCAGCAUUUUUGAGACCGAACGGCAUUACCCUGUAACAGAACAAACCUUGGUUAGUGACGAAAGCCGUGCUCUCCUCAUCCUGCUCGUACAUGGGGAUCUGGUUGUAUCCCGAGAACGCGUCCAUGAAGCUGAGCAGACCAUGUCCAGCCGUUGAAUCUACUAGCUGAUCGAUCUUUGGUAGAGGGAAGCUGUCUUUUGGGCACGCCUUAUUGAGGUCUGUGAAAUCCACACACAUCCUCCACUUGCCGUUUGCCUUCUUUACCAACACCACAUUCGAUAUCCACUCAGGGUAACUGACUUCCCGAAUGAACCCUGCUCUCAAGAACUUCUCCACCUCGCUAUUUAUUGCCUCAUACAUCUCCUGGUUGAAGCACCUCCUCUUCUGCCUUACUGCCCGAGCACCUUUCUUUAUUGCCAGCUUAUGACAUGCUACCUCAGGGUCAAUCCCUGGCAUGUCUUCAUGUGUCCAAGCAAACACAUCAGAAUGAGCCUGUAAGCAUUUCACCAACUCCUGCUUUUGCUCUCCCUCAAGCCUCGACCCGAUUCUGAUCAUCUUUCCCGGAUUCUCUGGUCCCAGGCUUACUGUUUCCAGAUCUUCUACAGGUUCUUGUCUGCCCUUCUUGUUUUCCACUCGGGUAUCGAGGGAUGUUAUCUGCAUUGCUUCCCUUGCUGCCGAGGAGUAGCAGCUUCUUGCGAUCCUCUGGUCUCCUCGUACCACUCCUACUACCCCAUUCACCCGGUACUUCAGAGCGAGAUAGUGGUUGGACAACACCGCUUUGCUCAUCCUUAAAAAUGGCCGACCUAGGAUCAUCUGGUAAGGACCUUCCUCGUCCACUACGACAAAGUCCAGUAUCAUUGUUCUUUCUGUCAGGGAGCUCCCAAUUGUGAUAGGCAGCUCGACCACGCCCAGAGGGACCAGCUUCCCUCCUCCGAACCCCUUCAAGGAGGUAUUGGUGUAUUCCAACUUUCGGUCGGCUAUUCCCAUCUCUUCCAGGGUUGACUUAAAUAACACAUCAACUGAGCUCCCUGUAUCAAUCAGUAUCCGGUCAAACUUCUUGCUAGCGACAGUAGCCUUGAUGACUAAAGCAUCAUCGUGGGGGUAUAGAAUCCCUUCCUCAUCCUCAUCCGUCCACAUGAUUGGCACUUGCCUGACCCUUGCUCGUUUGGCUGCUGGGGUGUUGAAGAGUACCUCUUUACUGGUCAUGGCGUACCUAGCAUAAUUUUUUCUCGAUCUGUUGGAAUCUCCGGCCAAUGUUGGGCCCCCAGCUAUCACCCUUACUGCGGGCUGCUCGCGCCUCAAGUUUCUACCACUCUGCUCCCCUUCACCUGUUGUGGCCACCAUCGGGAAAGUCCCAUCCAUAAACUCGUCCAGGUACCGAUUUCUCACCAAAUCUUCGACCUGGAUCUUGAGAUCUCUACACUCUGCCGUGGUAUGGCCAUGGGUGCCAUGGAACUUACAAUAACGUCUUCUAUCCCUCCUGUUGGGUAGCUUUGUUAUUGGUGUAGGGAGGUGCAGCAGACCUCGAUCCUUUAUGGCCUCGUACACCUCAUCCAGGGACAUCUUCAAGGAAGUGUACCGCCCAUAGUCCGGGUCCUGGUCGAUCAGGUGCACUGCUCUUUCUCUGUUUGCCCCGCUUUGAGUUGGGGGCGGUGGAAGUAAUUCUGGUCUGCUCGCUCUGCUACCAUGUUGGUGAAGACCACCAGAUGCCGACUCAUGCCUUCUCCAAGGCUCCCUAGCUGGGGAACGAGGAGGUUGCGCCCCGCUGCGCUGAUACUGUGGUGGCCUCUGAUGAGGCUGGUAAGCAGUUACCCGACCUCCUGCUCUACUACCGGAGGCCUGGUGGUCUCUCCUCCUGAUCGGCCCAUUCCCCGGUAAUGCUUUCUUCUCUUUCCUCCCCAACCCUUCCAACUGGUCUGUCUUAAUCCGUGCAGCCUUCUCCUCUUCAAUCUCGAUGUCUCUCUUAGCCUGUUCGUAUGCGGCUGCAUACGUUUGAAUAGCUGGGCUUCUCAAAUUGUACCACAACCUUCCUAUCUUCACCCCUUCUUUCAAUCCCCUUAACGCCUGAGGGUGGUUGAAGGCUCCCAAGUCGAGGACAGCCCGAUGAAACCUCUUGAUGAAUUCCCGAAGGGUUUCUUGCUCCCCCUGUUUCAUGCUUUUCAGCUCCAUCAUGUCGUCUUCCGGUGCCAUUGCCCCACUAAACUGCUCCGCGAAUUCCUGGCACAUCUGCUCGAAGGUUUUAAUGCUGCCCCGAGGAAGUUUCCUGUACCAUUCUCGUGCACGUCCCUCAAGGGAUAGUGGGAACACCCUGCACCUUUGGGAUUGAGAUAAUCCUUGUACCCCAGUUAUGUCGUUGAAGCGCUCUAUAUGCACCAGCGGAUCAGUUCUUCCCGAGUAUCUGAGGUCUGGGAGGCGGAAAUCUCUCGGAAUAACUGCCCUCAUGAUUUCUGUUGCGAGCGGCGAUUCUCCGUCCAGCAUUAUCCUCCAACCAGGGGCUCUGUUCCUUCCUUGCAUGUCGUCAAUUAUCUGCGCUAGUCUGCGCACUUCCCCCUCCAGCUGCAACGCACGACCAGGGUCACGUGCUGCAACUUGAUCCCACUCUUGCUCUACAUCAUGCAAGUGUUGCCUCAACUCUGUUUCCUCUGCAUUCACCACCCCGUCGCCCUCGUCACCAGUCUGUCUUGCUGGGGACUGCUCUCUUUCUCUAUGAAAUUCUCCCUGCAGAGGUACGUUACCUCUCUCACCACCAAAUCUCCCGGGGGUUUGACUUCUCCCCGCACUAUCGGGACCUGGUGCCACUCCACCGCCUCUCACCCUUCCCUCUUGGGUUACCCUUCGCUCGCUCCGCAGCUCAUGCAGGAUGGUUGUCAAGGUCUCCAUCUGCUUUUCCAUCCGUUCCAUCUGGUCGAACAUGACUUUUUCCCGUGCUUCGCUGACUAUCUCCCUCAGCGUCACGGAAUCGUUAAGCCUCCUAUCACCCCCUUGUGCACUACUUCUUCCUGUCUCCAUUGCUUUUCACUUGCUUCACCCCUCUUCUUGCUAUCAACAGAAGCUUUUUGCUCUGGUCCCCACAGACGGCGCCAAAAUGUUGAUGCAGGAUUCCGGUUCUUCUCGUUCUACGACCAGGAUCUCUGCUCGAUCAACUUCGUCACGACCAGGAGGUCUCCUCGCAAGACUUUUUCUCUAGAGAUUCCUGCGCACACAGACAAGUCAGAGUACGCCGGUUGUUUUCCCGGCGCAAACCCUCCGACGCUCAAGUCAGAUAUGAAGGUUCGGGGAACGCUUGCCACCGAUCUUAUGGCUUUUUCGUGGUUUUCUCUUCUUUUUAAUUCCUUUUCUAAUGAGAAAAAUGCCAACCCUUUUACCUCGUCGGCUACCUUUUUAUAGGCUUCCUCUGAAUCCCAGUUUUCCGCUCUUUUCGAGACGGUAUGGGACUCUGACUGCUGCGUUAUGGGCAAACGUGGGAUCUUGCGUGUUACGCCACCGUUCUGGGAAAAGCGCGGCAGUCGUGGUUCUGUGAGAUCUUGCGUGUUACGCCACGGUUCUGGGGAAAGCGUGGCUGUCGUGCCUAGGUUCUCGGGCUGGAGAGCAUGUCUCGUCAACUGCCGUCGACCGGGUCUCCUCGCCUCUCGACCUCUAGCCGGAAUGACCUUAUGCCUCUUACAGGAAAUUGGCCUCGCGGAUGACCUGCUCGUGGACGAGCAGGAUAUUUCUGCUCCUGUUCCCCCGCGUACCAGGCUUUUACGGGACACACCGGUUCGCAGAACUCUGCCAUCAGAUAUCUGCUCACCGUGCCUGGUCUCGUCGACGUAUUUCUCCCAAACACCUGGUAUGACUGCUUAUGCUGGAUUUUAUGAGGUGUGCUCUCCUAAGCAAGGAGAGUGGGUCUUAAUAUGGGCAAGGGUGCAGUUGGUCAGCUUAUGGGGCAGUUUGCAAAGUUACUGGGCUGCUAUGUUGUCGGAAGUGCUGGAAGCAAAGACCAGGUAUACAAACAAACAAUCCGUAUCAGUUGCUUGAUUGUUCCCAUUUUGCUUUCAAAAUAUCUAACUUACAUAAGGAAAAUUUUCACCAUCUCGUCUUUUCUUUGAUUUUGAACGCUAAGAUUGAUCUACUGAAGAAUAGGUUUGGGUUCGAUGAGGCGUUCAACUAUAAAGAAGAUCCUGAUUUGAAUGCAGCCUUGAUAAGGUUAGUAUAUCAGCAAACUACAAAUUAGAAGACAUUUUUUCCUGAAAAUCAAAUAAUGUUUCUAAUUUGACAGGUGGUUUCCUGAAGGCAUUGACAUAUACUUUGAAAACGUUGGUGGGAAAAUGCUCGAUGCGGUGCUGAUCAACAUGAAAAUCGGUGGUCGAAUUGCUGUGUGUGGGAUGAUCUCGCAGUACAACCUUGACGAACCCAAAGGCGUACACAACUUGACGCGUCUUAUUUCGAAACGGGUUCGGAUGGAAGGAUUCCUCGUAUCGGAUUACAAUAAACUCUAUCCGAAAUUUCUGGAAAUGAUCAUUCCUCACAUCAAGGGGGGAAAGAUUGUAUACAUUGAAGACACGGCUGAAGGUCUUGAGAGUGCUCGGGCAGCUCUCGUCGGUCUGUUCUCUGGCCGGAAUCUCGGGAAACAGGUGGUUGCAGUUGCUUCUGAAUGAAUGAAGGAUUUGGUUGUUUACAUCAUGCUUCUACUCGUCCAUUUAUUUAAUAAAAUGGUUACGCUCAAUGAGUGUAAUUUUUAUGAUGCUAAAUUAAAUGUGGAAUGUGGCUGCUGGUUUGAUAAUGUUAAAAGUGCUAAAAAAUUUCAUGUUAGGCGCGGUGUGCGUCUGUAUAUCAUUUUUAGGUACGGGCAUUCUAUCUUUUUUUUUUAAUUAAUACAGACACAUUCUUAAACUGUAUGGUUUAAGAGAGAGUUAAAAAAAACUUUUACCACAUGGUUUAAAAGCGUAUCCGUAUGGAAAAAAAAUGAAAGUCCAUUGGAGAAGAAUUUUAUAUAUAGUCCAGGAUAUUAAAGUGCGGGAAAACUAUAGAGUUUUAAAAACUUAAAAUUUAAAACGUUUAAACUGCACGAUUUAUGUGUUUUUCGAUGUGAUCCCACAUUUUAAAAUUGUGGAUUGGAACAUUUGUCUUUGAGGGAAAAAAAACAAUAACAACAACUUCUUUUGGAGACCGUGGGGCUCAUAUGCAGAUUCAACCCCGAGCUAUACACUGGAUCUGGUGGGCUAGGUUUGAACCCAAAACAAGCUCUAUUCAUUACACGGUUCAGCGGGUUGGUCCAUUUGACGCUUCUAACUUAACAAUUUAAUCAUAAUAAAUUGAAAAAAUAAAAUAAAACCCACGUAUCUAAAUUAUUGUAUUGAGCUAUUGGUGCAGAGAAUAAGUAUAUAUGAGAACAAAAACAACACGAUGUAGUCGCUCGUUUUGUCACUUCUAAAAUCAGGAUUUAGAGCAUCACCAAAAGGCUCUUCAAAUAAGAUUUUAUUACUCAUUUGAAGAGCCACAUCAAUAUUUAAAGCUCCAAAAGACACUCUAAUUAAGAUUCUUCAAAUAAGAAUUGAUUCUCUCUCUUCAAAUUUGGAGAGUUAAUUUCUCCCUCUUCAAUUUAUAUUUUAUUACUUUUCAUUAAAAAAAGAGAGAGAAGUGCUUUAAUUGCUAUUGACUUUUCCUUUUAAAAACUAAUUAUAUGAUUAAAAUAAUAUUAACUUAUUUCUAUUUGAAGAGUCUUUUGGAAAAUAUCAUAUUUUUUCACCCUUCUAUUUGCCACAUAGGUAAGCAAAUAGAUAUUUGAAGAGUAAAAUUUAUAGAGGCUUUUGGAGAUGCUCUUAUGAUAGAGUCAUAGUGUUAACAGUACAUCGGUGUAUAAUUAUUUGUAAUGAAAUUAAUUAAUAUGGGUUUUAUGUUGUCUUUGUCAAUAAUCAAUUAAAUUUUUCGUUUUCAUUUAAAUGUUACUGAUCGAUGAAACAUUUGACUGCGUUCAAGUUAUCUUUUAAUUUUGUGAGAUCCACAUUGUUUUUAUUUCAAAAACAUAAUUUUUCAUAUUAUUAAAAAGCUGUUGCUUGGGCCUAGAGAAAUUGGAUUAAUGAAAUACCUUAAGGGUGUGUUUGACACAUUAUAUUGUAUUAUGUUGCAUUGCAUUAUUUUAUUUGGUGUUGCACUAUACUUUACUAAUUUUUUUGCAAUUAAUUUAAAUUACAUAGUUAGCAAAUAAUAUUUAUUAGUGCUUAGAAAAAUACUAAAUAUAGAAGUCUUAAAUUUUAGAAAUUUAACAAUUUUUUUACUAUAAAUGUUAAAAAAUAUAAUAAUUCUUCAUAAAGAUGGAAGCUUACAGCCUUAAGUUUUUGGAAGCAGAGCAUUUAUUUUUUAGUAUCUUCUAAAUAUAUAAUUUUUGAAAUAAAGAUAUAAGCACAUAAUUUAAUCACAUAGUCUUUAAAUAAUAUAACAACAUAAAUAAAUAGUUAAAAUGUGCAAGAUUAGUUCAAAACUCAUCUUAGGAUGAUAUAAUAAAAGUUUAUACACACCACAAGAUAAUCACAAAAUAAUAAAGUGAUAAAAUUAUUAUAACAUAUUCACUACCAAAAUAAAUUAUAUUAAAUAAUCCAAGUGAGAGUUCUGUAGUUUAUAUAAUAAUAUUAUUUAUGUUAUUAUUAUUAAUUUUAAAUUAAUAUUAUCCAAAUUUAUUCAUACUUAAAUAUGUAUUAUUAGUUAUAUUACAUUAUUUUUACAUAUUAAUUAUUGUAAUAUAAUUAAAUAAUGUAAAAUUAUAUUAUAUUUUUAUAUACUAUUUAAGUAUUUAUUAUUAAUUAUAUUCAAUUAUAAAUUUAUUAAUAAAUUAUAGUGCAAAAAAAAAUAGAAAUAAAAAUUAAUAUUGUAUAAUAAAUAACAUUCUGCUCCCAAUUUCUGGAUUUUAAAUUCCAAAAAUAGUAUUCACGUUCGCCACAUUCAAAAAUCCAACCUGGGCUUGGAGAUUCGAUUCAUCUCAUAGAUUAAUUUUAUAAACUAAUGUUUAGUGAAAAAUUAACCUUAAUGGGUCCUCCUCUCCAGGCCUAAUUCUUAAUUUUUUUUUUAAUUUGGUCCUACUUAAGUGGCUUCUAACGUUACCGUGUCUUUAUUUUGUGUACAGUUGUUUUACUAAUUUGUCAUUUAGUGCAAAUAACAGCACUCAACUUGUAAUAUCCAGUAUCCACAAAUCAGCCACUUCGGCCAAGGCCGAAGUGGUGGGCUGCUGCCCUCACAAUGCUUGUGAGGGCAGCGGUUCUAGCCCCCACAAAAGCAUUGUGGGGGUUAAAUGUUCUUUAUAUUUCCAAAAAAAUCCUUCUCUCUUGCAAAAUGUAAGUGGAGUAUGGACAUCCCUCUCCUGUGAGGGGUUAUUUGUCUGGGCAUGUACUUCAUAGAAUUCAUUGUAAUAAUGUAAGUCCCAAUCAUGUAUAUCUGAUUGUAAAUAUCAGUGUAAUAUCUCUGCUACAAUAAGCAGUUGUUGUAAAUAUCUGUCUGAUGAUUAAUCAGUAUUCAAAAAAAAAAAAGUAUCCACAAAUCAUGAACUCAUUUUUUAGUUCUUUCAUGUGUACUAACAUUCGUACAAAUAUACAAUAAGUUCAUAAUUUAGUCCAAGUUGACGAGAAAUUCUUGACCCACCCCUAAAUAUCUGUCCGCCAAUAGCGUGAAGUGGCCGGCAUAAAUUUAAAGCAGCUGGGACAUUGUAACUCAUCCAAAGAUUGUAUAACAUCUCUUUUUUGCUUUAUCGUUUUUCUCCAGUUGCAUAGUUUCUUAUCCUACCGCUUUAAAAACAAUUAUUCCUAGAAAUUUUCAUUUAUCUAAUGAAUUUUAAGAAUUUUUUCAGCAAACAAUUUUUACUUUUUUUUUUUUUUAUCAUUGAUGGGUAAAGAAAAUAUUAAUGAAAAAUGAGGAGUUAUUGGCUGGUUCAACGGAUUAAUUGCAAUGAUAAAUACAGGGAGGAUUGGAUUAUAUGGCAAAUUUUUAUAGUAAAUGUAAUAUAUAUGCUAACACUUUUUAUUUAUGGCAAAAUAUCUUCCUCUUUUGAGACUUUUCCCUCUAAGAAAAUUGGAGGAUACGACAAUAUAUAUAUAUAUAUAUAUACUAAUAUUUAUCAUUUAUAGAAAAGUAUCUAUCCCACUUAAGAUUUGCCCCACUAGAAAAGGAAAAAAAAAUCCCUCAAAAUAAAAGAGCGAAAUGGAAACAGAACAAAAUUUGAUUUUGUGGAUCUUGUAUUGUGUGAUAAGUCCGGCAUGCAAUUUUGGGCCAGCUUACCGUGCGCAUGGGAGCAUUCACAAAGUAUCUCUCGUCACUAUCGAAAACUUUUAACAGUCAAUACAAAUGCUUCCGUUUCAUCCCAUAAACAAAUAAAAUUCACAUCUGUACACAUCUACUUUGCUUUGCUAGAUAGAGUUCCUCUGCAUUUCCCAAUUGCCUAAAGAGAAGGGGAAAAGAAAAAGAGGGCCAAAAAAUGCCUGAAAUGGUAAGGAACAAGCAAGUGAUAUUGAAGGACUAUGUGUCUGGUUUCCCAAAAGAAACAGACAUGUACAUGACCGAAAGUUCCAUAGAAUUGAAGGUGCCAAAAGGUUCAAAUGGGGUUCUUUUAAAGAACUUGUACUUGUCCUGUGAUCCGUACAUGCGACCAAGAAUGACCUACAUCGAAGGAUCUUAUGUUGAAUCCUUUAAACCUGGCUUGGUUAGUGCACUCGCUCAUGGCCACGCUUUUCAUUUCCAUGGCUUCUUGCUCUUUUGUUAUAGAAAAUUUAUUUUUGGUUGCAGUUUGGUUCGACUGCUAAAAUCUCGUGCGAUAAUUGUAUAAGAUAUCUAGAGUUUGAACUUCUUUCACAUUAGGGUUCAAGGAAGUUAACUUAAAUGAUUUUCAAAAUUUUAAAUGUGUACCAAUGAAUUUAAUUUCAUAGCUUAAACUUAUUGUUUGAUCAUACUCUAACUUUGGACAGGAAAAUUAUAUUUUUCCUUUUGUUCUUUGACUUCGUGUAUGUUGUGUGAAGUACUUGUGCUUGAAAAUGAAUUGCUGACACAGAAAUUUCUAUGAAUGCAUGCAGCCCAUAAGUGGAUAUGGGGUGGCUAAAGUUUUGGAUUCAGAGAAUCCAGAGUUCAACAAAGGUGACUUGGUUUGGGGAAUGACUGGAUGGGAAGAGUAUAGUCUCAUUACGGCUCCACACUUGUUUAAAAUUCAGCACACAGAUGUGCCUCUUUCUUACUAUACUGGAAUCCUCGGUAAACUUUUUGUUUGCGCAAUUUAUGUGAGCAAAUUGUGUCUUCUUUUUCAUAUGUAAAUGUUUUUGAUAUCUUGAUGUGAAGGUAGAAAAUUGCAUGUUUUGAGUUUUUGCAUAUUUGAUGGAAACACAGAACCGUACCUGAAUAUUUCAGAACCCCCUUUUCUUUGAAGUUUGAACACUUUUCUUGAAUGUAUCAACUUUAUUUAUGGGAUAUGUUGCCAAAUUGGCAAAUCUAUUCGUUAUAAAACUUUCCUUUGACAGUUUAAUCUAAGCAGAUGUUAAUUCUGCAAAUAGAGUGUGCCUUAGUUUAGAUUGAUAGAUUUGUCUCCUUCUGUACAGUAAAAACUUUGAGCAUUUUCGCCAUAUUCUGAUCAAUACACUCCAACUAGUUAGUUCUUGAGGCGUUUCCUGGUUUCGUGGAGUGAGCCAAGAUGUAUACGUUUGCAAAUUGGCAAUGUCUUUUGCUUGAUGUGUUGUGAGUUGUGAGUGUCAAUAGGAAAGUUUCAAAGUGCGCAGUGCUCACUUGAGCACCCAUAUUACUUGGUGACCUGUUGCCUCAGCAAACAAGACCUCUGUUUUAUGAACUCCAAAAAGUUAUUCUGUUAAAAAGAUCGAGACAGAGGCCAUACUAUAUUUAUUAUUGCUAUAAAAGUGUCAAACAAUAUUCUUUAUUUAAUAUUCUAAACGAUUGAGCCAUUUAGUUAUGAUACUCUGCUGUACUGGGGCUAAUAAUCUAAGUCGGUUCAAAGUGGUAAAUUUAUAAAUUGAUAGGUAUGCCUGGUAUGACCGCUUACGUUGGAUUUUAUGAGGUCUGCUCUCCUAAGCAUGGAGAGUGCGUCUUCAUAUCAGCAGCAUCUGGUGCAGUUGGUCAGCUUGUGGGGCAGUUUGCAAAGUUAUUGGGUUGCUAUGUCGUCGGAAGUGCUGGAAGCAAAGACAAGGUAUGUAAUCUGUGUGAACUACUUGAUUGUUUCCAUGUUACUUUCAAACAUUUAAAUUAAAAAGGAAAUUUUCAUAAUCUUGCCUUUUCUAUGAUUUUCAACACCAAGGUUGAUCUACUGAAGAACAAGUUUGGGUUCGACGAGGCAUUUAACUAUAAAGAAGAAGCUGAUUUGAAUGCAGCAUUGAAAAGGUUAGCAUCAAUAAAUGCCUUAGCUUGAUGCAGCUUGAUGAAGUAUGAUACACAUUUCUGACCAAUAUACUGCGUUCCCUGAUCUCUUACUUGAAAUAUCUUGGUUUGAGAAUCUCAUGCCAAUGCCUUUAACAUUUUGGCAGGUACUUUCCUGAAGGAAUUGAUAUAUAUUUUGAAAACGUUGGUGGAAAAUUGCUUGACGCAGUGCUACCCAACAUGAAAAUCCGUGGUCGAAUUGCUGCAUGCGGUAUGAUCUCACAGUACAAUCUUGACAAGCCUGAAGGUGUGCACAACUUGAUGUAUCUUGUUUCGAAACGGCUUCGAAUGGAAGGAUUCAUUGUUCUGGAUCACUAUCACCUCUAUCCAAAGUUUCUGGAAAUGAUCAUUCCUCACAUCAAAGAAGGGAAGCUUGUAUACGUCGAAGACAUGGCUGAAGGUCUGGAGAGUGCUCCGGCAGCUCUCAUCGGUCUAUUCUCUGGCCAGAAUGUUGGGAAACAGGUGGUUGCUGUUGCUCCUGAAUGAAGAACAAGUUAGUGUUGUGUGUUCUUUUACCCUUUGACACAAAACUUCAAUGUUAAAGAGAGAAUGCUGCUCAUACUGCUUUAUAAAAUAAUCAAAUGAGUGCAAGUUUCAUGAUAUGUGCUGAAUAAAAAUAUUGGAAAUUAAGCAGCUAGCCUAGCUCCUUCUUGUAGUUGCAGUUUGAAUGAUGCUGCUGCACAACUGCUGCCGAAAAAAUCCUUAAUAGAUGAUUAGCAAGGUUUCAAAAAUAAAAAUAAAUGUUUGUGCAAUGUGCCGAAUAUGACAGCCACAAAGAAAGAGCAUACAAAUUGACUGGUUUUAUGUCUUCUCUAGGAGAAAGCUACAAUACAAGAAAUUGUAUUGAUGCCAUGGACCAAAUUUCUUAUUUAAACUUUUAAUUUUUUUUUAUUAAAAUUACUUAUGUUAUUAUGGUUUAUAUUUUUAGAAAUUCUUUAGAAAUUAAUACAGAACUAGUAGCAAGUUGAGAAAUCUAAUGAAUGGUCGAGAUAUGAUCAUGUUUAUUGAAUUAAAUUGACAAUCAUCAUUUUGAUAAAUUAUUGUUAGGAUAUUUGAUUCAUCACAGGUGUAAGUAACUAAAUGUGCUAAAAAAAAAGUUAAUGAGUUGUGAGUGUUUGAUAUUCGUUUGUUGUAAUUCUUUUAAUAAUUGUUGUGGGAAAAAAAUUAUGGUAAAAAAAUUAUAAUUAUAAAAUAAAAAUUAAUAAUAUAUUAUAAAUAAAAUUUUUAAAUAAUAAUUUUAAUAAAAUAAUAAAUAUAUUAUGAAUUUUUCAUUAUAAAUUUUUAAGUUAAAAUAAUAAAUAUUUAUUAAAUAUUUUAAUAGCACAACUUUUAAAUUAUAACAGUACAAUGUAAAUACCAGAGGUCUUAAAAAAUAAAAUUACAGUCAAGUUUUAAAACUGUUAAUAAUGCUAUUCAUAAAGGCGCUCGUCGUGUAAACAACACAUGGGACCCAACCAAUAAAUGUUUAUGAUCCUCAACUUUCCUCCUCACCGUCCCUGCAAACAAUUCUGAUUUUCUUGUCUGAGAAAAAAACUGAGAAACAAUGGCGGCCGAACAAGAAGCUGUGAGCAAUAAGCGGGUGAUUCUAAGCAACUAUGUGACAGGUUUUCCAAAAGAAUCGGACAUGAAGAUAACAUGUGGAUCAAUAAAACUGGAGGUAGCAGACGGUUUAAAAGACACGGUGCUUUUGAAGAAUCUUUAUAUUUCUUGUGAUCCUUACAUGCGAGAGCGUAUGAGCAAGCUUGAUAGACCUUCUUUUGUUGAUUCAUUCCAUCCUGGUGAGGUUAGUUCAUCACGACCCAUCUCUUGAUUUUUUUUUUUUUUCAUUUGCUUCAAGUUUUGAUGAGUUUCUGAGGUCAUUUGUACGGUUUUGGAAUGUGAACACUAUUAGUGAUUUUGGGGCUGUAACUGUCAUUAAUGAUAUGUAGUAAUUCAAUCAGAAUUUGGAUUUAGUGCUGAUAUGAUCUCUGCUCAUUUUUUAAAAUCUUGUGUCCAGAUGCAUUUUUAUAAUCUUGUACGGUUGAGAUUGUAAGUAGAUUAAUCUACGUGCAGUAUUCUUGUCUAAUGACUACUAACCACAACCUUAUGAGACGAUCGAAACCAAGCUCAGAUCAAUAAUCCAAUUGAGAGAGGGUCCUAACUCAAGCUUAUCGUGUGUAGGAAUAUUUCGGUUAAAUUGUAAUUCUUUUAAUAAUUGUUGUGAAAAAAAAAAAGUUAUGAUAAAAAAAUUAAUAAUUAUAAAAUAAAAAUUAAUAAUAUAUAAUAAAUAAGAUUUUUAAAUAAUAAUUUUAAUAAAAAAUAAUAAAUACAUUAUCAGUUUUUCAUCGUUAAUUUUUAAGUCACAACCACAAAUAUUUACUAAACACUUUAACACCAUAAUUAACACCACAACUAUUGAAUUAUAACUGUACAAUCUAGACGCCAAGAGGCCUUAGUAUGAAAAAAAAAAAUUACAGUUAAGUUAAAAUUCAUCAUACAGAUGUGCCACUUUCAUACUAUACCGGGAUCCUCGGUAAUGAUUUUUGUUACACAAUAAGAUUUGCUUAUAGUAAUAUCAAUACAUAUGCUGCUUAAAUGCUUUCUGAUUUUUUGCCGGCCAUUGUCCAUUUUGCCAGGGAGUCUAUAAUUGAAGGAAUUUACUGAAGGAAUGCUGAUUGUUGGGAAUUUGAUUAUUCUAGGUAUGCCUGGUGUAACUGCAUACGCUGGUUUAUACGAAGUUUGCUUUCCGAAGAAAGGAGAGUAUGUCUAUGUAUCUGCAGCAUCUGGAGCUGUUGGUCAGCUUGUUGGACAGUUUGCAAAAUUAGCUCGUUGCUAUGUUGUUGGAAGUGCAGGAAGCAAAGAAAAUAUAGCACCGUGCCUUCUAGCAGAAUUUUACUUGCUUUAUGUUCCAACUAAGCAUCCAUAUUUGAUCAUGAUAAUUAGCAAGGUCAAUAAUUUUUUUUUGACUAUUUUUUCAACGUAAGGUCGAUUUGUUGAAGAACAAGUUUGAACGAUGCUUUUAACUACAAGGAAGAGCCUGAUUUGGAUGCAGCACUCAAAAGGUCAGCUGCAACAAACGUUUCAACUCUAAUAUUUCAUUUUAAUAUUACAGAGCUUUGGUUGAAGUGUGUGAGUUGAUCCCAGAAACGUAACUUCAUCAGUGUCUCUGUUUUCAAAAAACAGGACAAAUAGAAAUCUGAUUUUGCUUUAAAAUUUCCCAGAUGCUUCCCUCAAGGAAUCGACAUAUAUUUCGAAAAUGUUGGGGGAAAGAUGCUGGACGCAGUGCUACUCAACAUGAGGCUCCGGGCCGCAUUGCAGUAAGCAGUAUGAUCUCACAGUAUAACCUGGAAAAACCCGAAGGCGUUCACAACUUAGAGCAACUGAUCGGGAAACGGAUUCGCCUGGAAGGAUUUCUAGCUGGUGAUUACUAUCACCUCUAUCUGAAAUUCUUGGAACUGGUCAUUCCUCCAAUCAGAGAAGGAAAGAUGCUGUAUGUGGAAGACAUGGCCGAAGGACUCGAGAAAAUUUCUCGUAACUGCUACACAUUAAACGCGUUUCACAUUUCCACUCUCUUUCUAUAAAUAAAUACGCACAUAAAAUUUCUCACCAUCCAAAAACAAAAUCUACAUAAAAAAUGGCGGGUGAAGAAGCAGUGAGCAACAAGCAGGUGAUUCUGAGCAACUACGUGACAGGGUUUCCCAAGGAAUCAGACAUGAAGAUAAUAACAGGCUCAAUAAACCUUAAGGUGCCAGAGGGUUCAAAAGACACAAUGCUUUUGAAGAAUCUUUAUCUUUCUUGUGAUCCUUACAUGAGAGGACGUAUGAGCGAGCUUGAUAAGCCUUCGUUUGUUGCCUCAUUCGAGUCUGGCGAGGUCAGUUACUUCAAUUCCCAUCUCUUGGUUUCAUAAUCUUUUAUGGUUUUAGAAGGUGUUUUAGGGAAACAUUGUGGUUUUGGUUAGUGGGCAUGAGUCUUUGAAGAGAUUAUAAUGUGUAGGACUAUGCAUGCAAUAAUAAGCAUAGGGGAUCUUGUUAGGAGAAGAUUCUCUUAGCAAAAUAAAAACUUUUAUCUUAUCAAAACAUAUGCAGGGAACUUAGUUAUGAUGUCAUGUUAGCAUUAUCUCUGAGGAUUUGAUUUCUUGAUGGGGAAAGGGGAAUUUAAGGUUACAUUAUUCAGCAAUGUUUUUUUUUUAAAAAAUUAUGUUCAAAUUAUGCAGCCUUUAAGCGGAUAUGGAGUGUCCAAAGUGUUGGAUUCCACGCCUCCAAAUUAUAAGAAAGAUGACUUGGGUGGCGUUUGUUUUUUAACUUAAUGACUUAAAGUGACUUAACUUAAUUAAUUAAGUUAAUUAGAGAUGUUUGUUUUUAUAACUUAAUGUGACUUUUUAAAUAAUUUUGACUUAAUAAAAUAAGCCAAUUUUAUUUACUUUUUACUUAAUAGAGACAUCUGAAUUAAGUCAAGUACUUUCUAAUGUCAAAAAUAUACAUGCUUUAUAAUUUAUUUUUCAUGUCUAUCCCAAAACUCACCCAUAGACAUUUACCCCACAUAAUAAUCUCAUCAUUAUUUUUUUAGCCGUCAUGAAAUCCCUCCUCACUUUGGUAUCAACUCCUCAACUAUUGAAGAUCAAAAUUACAUGCGACAACUUCGAGAUGAAUGGCAAAUCAACUGUUUCAAGCAUCUUAUUCGUUUUUUUUCUUUUUUAUAUUAUAUACGAUAAAAUUUGAAAUUUAUGGUAUUUUAUAUAUUAAAAUUCCAAAAUCAUUAUAUAUUCACUUGAAUAUAGUUUUACUUAUAAAUGUUAAAAUAUUGUGAUAUUUAAUAUAUUAUUUAUUUGACAUUCAAAUUUAAUAAGGAUACAAAUGUAAAAGUACAUAUUUUUCAGUUUUUUAAGUUGAAAAAAGCAAACAACUUAAUAAUUAUUUUUCGAGAUUCAGACGAAAAAACAAACAUAUUAUUCAGAUUCAGACAUUCAGAUCUAUUCAGAAUUUAGACUAAUUCAGGUCUAUUCAGAUUUCAGAUAAAAAAACAAACGCCACCUUGGUCCGGGGCUUAACCAGUUGGGAGGAGUUCAGUCUCAUCCAAUCACCACAACUUCUGAUUAAAAUUCUGGAUACAAGUGUGCCUCUGCCAUAAUUAAUUGACAGGUUGCUAUGUUGUUGGAAGUGCCGGAAGCAAAGAAAAGGUGAGUUUGCACCCUUAACCCUUACGCUCUAAAUAAAAACAUAACACCUUCUGAAAGAAUUGUGCAUAGAGAAUUUUGCAUGUCACAUUAUUUGUGUUCUAACUAAUCAUGGAUAUUUGAUCAUUAGUCUAACUAAAACUGACAUAUUACCACCUAGUUGACUGGUCUUUGAGAAAUGUUAGUUGAUAUAUGCUUGAAAUCAUACUUGUUUUAUUAGAUGAUUAUAUUAACCUGCUUCUUUUUCUUUGUGCUGUUUCUCGUUUGAUUACAUUUUCAACAUUAGGUCGAUCUAUUGAAGCACAAGUUUGGGUUUGAUGAUGCCUUUAACUAUAAGGAAGAGCCUGACUUGGAUGCAGCUCUUAAUAGGUUAGCACGAAUGAAUGCUUUAACCAUUUUUCUCACUUCAUUAUUACAAUGCGCUGAUUGAAGUAAUCAGUGUUGGCUCUGAAAAUGUAACGUAUACUUCUCUGUUUUCAUAAAACAGGACAAACAGUGAUCAGUGAUCUCAUUCGUUACAUUGAUAUUUUCUACCAUUGCCAUACAUAGUAUAAACUAGGAAUUCAGUUGCUUAAUAGAUAUUCAUUUCAGAGGGAAAUUUUCACUUGCAGCUAACAGAAUCAUGUUUGUGAUGUAUGUUUAUUUGGGAAAUGAAAGGAUUUGUUGCAUUAUUUUAUUCCAAGUUUGCUGAAAUCAUAUUUGUUUUCCCAGGUGCUUUCCUGAAGUUAUCGACAUCUAUUUCGAAAAUUUUGGAGGUAAGAUGCUUGAUGCAGUGCUACUCAACAUGAGAAUUUGUGGCCGCAUCGCUGUAUGCGGAAUGAUCUCACAGUACAACUUUGAGAAGCCUGAAGGUGUACACAACUUGAUGCAAGUAGUUGGAAAACGAAUUCGCAUGGAAGGAUUUCUUGCCAGUGAUUUCUACCACCAAUAUCCAAAAUUCUUGGAACUGGUUAUGCCGGCAAUCAAAGAAGGAAAGUUAGUAUAUGUCGAGGACAUAGCUGAAGGCCUCGAGAAAGCUCCAUCAGCCCUAGUUGGGAUAUUCACAGGUCAAAAUGUUAAAAAACAACUGGUUGUAGUUGCUCGGGAAUGAUAUGAUUACUAUAUGCUUUAAAAAGUGGACUUUGCCAUGCACUUUAAAAGCUUAGUGAAGAUGCCUUUGUCUUAUUUUUGAUACAUGUUAUGUUUGUUUGAUCAAGUUGUACUCAGCUAUAAAUCAAAGAUUCAGAACAUGUGUAUGAUACUGGUUUCUAAAUCAAUGAACGCGUUGAAAUGUUAGUGUUUUCACAGGAGAAUGCAAUUUAAUUCAUCAACAAUGUCCCAACAAGACCCUCAGAGCUGUAGCUUGUAAAGUUAAUUACGAUAUUUUUUUGUAAAGUAAAUUACCAUAUUUUUUUCUUUCCAAUAUAUUGCUUAUUUCAUAGAAAGUUUACAUUAAAGUCUCAUGUUUCUUUGAAAGGUAAGCAAGUGUGAACGUUUCAAUCUAGAGCUGGAAAAUGCAUUUCCGGGCAACUUACUUGAUACAUGAAGUUUUCAUCUCUGACCUUGAUGUUUCCCAUAGUUGCAUUCAUUUCAGCUGAUCUAUUUAAUUUUGUUUUCGAAGGAGUGACACAAAAUCUCCUUUGUUAAGGGGAGAAUUUAGAGUGGCUUUGACUGUUAGCAAAUAGCCUAAUGUAAGACUUAACCAACUUCCUGCCCUGUUGUAUGCUUAUGAAUUUUGAUAGAGCUAAGAGUUUGCAGAAGCUACUGUAUUAUUUGUCGUUAGAGGCUGUAAAAAUCAAACACAUUUAAAUUUCAAUGAAAAUUUACUGGAAGUAAAUUUCCUAUGAUCCCACAGGUGACUAAUUAAUGAGAACUUGACAAUGACAAAAGAAAGUCUAUGAACUUUGCAGGCUGGCAUGCCAAUAUUGACUGGGUGGCACCAUCCACCAUCUGCAAGUGAAUAUCAUUGUUGUUUAAUCAACAAGGUGGAGUCCACUGGGACCACACCACAUCGUCAGCCUUAUCUCUAUUCCUCAAUUUUCAGUAUUCCAUACAUCAAACCAAUUUCAGUUUUGUUAUCAAUUAUAAUUUUAUUGUUGGUGACGAUUCUGAUUCCUUUCUGACAAAAGGGAACCAUGGCUGCUGCUGGAGAGAUCUUACUCAACGCCUUCUUUCAGGUACUGUUCGACAGGUUGGCUUCUCGUAAUUUGCUCAGCUUUGUGCGUCAACUCCAAGGCGGGGUUGAUUCGGAGCUCAAAAAGUGGGAGAAAAAGCUGAAGAUGAUUCGGGCUGUGCUCUGCGAUGCAGAGGAGAAGCAACUGACUGACGAGGCUGUGAAGAUGUGGCUGGACGAACUCCAAGACUUGGCUUAUGACGCUGAGGACACUCUUGAUGAGUUUGCUACUCAAGCUUUGGAAAGCAAGUUGAUGGCGCAAAAUCACGAUAGUUCUGGCCAGGUUCUCAGUUUCAUCCCGGCUGGUUUGAAUCCGAAUGCUAUUAUGUUCAAUUAUAGCAUGGGGUCCAAGAUGAAAGAUAUUACUAGCCGGCUGGAGCAACUCUGCCAAGAAAGAAUUGAACUUGGACUGCAACGGAUUACCGGAGAGGCAUCAUCAACUGCUGCUGCUGCACACCAGAGGCCACCCAGUUCGAGUGUCCCAACAGAACGUGAAGUAUUUGGAAGAGAAAAAGAUAAGGCCAAAAUUCUUGAUAUGUUAUUAGCCGAUACCAUAAGUGAUCAUGCUAACUUUGUUGUAAUACCCAUUGUUGGCAUGGGUGGGAUAGGAAAAACAACUCUCGCUCGGGAGGUUUACAAUGACAAAGCCGUUGGAGGUUCCAAGUUUGAUGUAAAAGCAUGGGUUUGUGUAUCUGAUGUCUUUGAUGUUUUGGGCAUCUCAAAGGCACUUCUCGAGUCAAUCACCCGCAGGCCUUGUCUUCUAAACAGUUUAAAUGAAGUGCAGGUUGAAUUGAAAGUAGCUGUGGAUAAGAAAAGAUUCUUGCUGGUCUUAGAUGAUGUUUGGAACGAGGACUACAGCUUGUGGGUAGACUUAAAAGCUCCGUUCCUGGGUGCUGCACCAAACAGUAAGAUGAUCGUCACCACACGCAAUUCAAAUGUUGCAUCAACAAUGGGACCAAUUGAACAUUACAAUCUCAAGAGUCUGUCAGAUGAUGAUUGCUGGUCCAUUUUCAUAAAGCAUGCAUUUGAAUCUAGAGAUCUUAACGCACAUCAAAUUUCAGAAUCAUUCCGCAAGAAAGUUGUUGCCAAGUGUGGAGGCUUGGCCCUGGCAGCAAAAACACUCGGAGGCCUUCUGCGUACGACGAGGCAUGAUGCGUGGGAUGAUAUAUUAGAGAGCAAAAUAUGGGAUUUACCUCGACAAAGUGGGGUUCUCCCAGUAUUAAGAUUGAGUUACCAUCAUCUUCCUUCUCAUUUGAAAAGAUGUUUUGCUUUUUGUGCCAUCUUUCCAAAAGAUUAUGAAUUCACUGAGAAGGAGCUGACUUUCUUAUGGAUGGCUGGAGGUAUUAUUCGACAGUCAAGAAACAAUGAGCAGCUGGAAGAUUUGGGCAGCAAGUGCUUUGGUGAUCUAGUGUCGAGGUCAAUUUUUCAGCAAACAGCAAGCUCUGAUAGUUCUAAAUUUGUAAUGCAUGACCUUAUUCAUGAUCUUGCUGAAUUGGUCUCUGGAGAAACCAUAUUCAGGUUAGAGGAGGCCAAUACUCUGUCAAGAAGAUUUGAAAGGGUUCGCCAUUCUUCCUAUGCUUGUGGUGGAUGUGAUGGUAAAAAUAUGUUCGUGGUUUUCAAUGAAAUUGAACAUCUACGAACAUUCUUGCCAUUACGCUUACGCAUAAGAGGUGGCUCUAAUACUAGUUACAUAACUCGUACGGUUCUAUCUGAUUUGCUGCCGAAGUUCAAAAUGUUGAGAAUGCUAUCUUUACAAGGAUACCGUAUUGGUGAGUUACCAAUUCCAUUUGAAGAUUUGAGACUACUAAGGUUCCUCAACCUUGCUGACACUGACAUAAGAAGUUUACCUGAGUCAACAUGCAAAUUGCUGAACUUGGAAAUUUUGAUAUUAAGAAAUUGUUCCUAUUUGAUAAAGCUUCCGCAGAAAAUGAGGAAUUUGAUCAAUUUACAUCACCUCGAUAUAAGAGGUGCGAAGUUGCUGAAGGAGAUGCCAUUCGGAAUGAAAGAGUUGAAGAAGCUUCAAACAUUGUCCAAUUUCAUCGUGGGCAAGGGCGAAACUGCAUCUGGUUUGGAAGAUUUAAAAUGUUUAAACUUUCUUGGUAAUGAACUUUGCAUUGCUGGAUUAGAGAAUGUGAAUAAUCCACAGAAUGCAAGAAGAGCCGCAUUAUGCGAGAAGCUCAAUCUUGAAGCAUUGACUCUAGAAUGGGGGUCUCAAUCUGACAGUCCUCGAGAUGCAGUACCAGAAGAGAAUGUACUUGACACUCUACAGCCGCAUAAACGUAUAAAAGAGCUGGCAAUCAGACACUAUGGUGGUGCAAGAUUUCCACUUUGGAUCGGAGAUCCUUCAUUCUACGAGAUGAAGGUCCUUAAAUUGGAGAACUGUGACAAUUGUGUAUCUUUGCCGUCGCUUGGCCUGAUGAGUUCACUUAAGCACCUUGCUGUUAAAGGGCUGAAGAAACUAAAAAGCAUAGAGUCUGAGGUUUAUGGGGAGGGUUUCUCAAUGCCUUUUCCGUCACUGGAGAUUCUAAGUUUCGAGAAUUUGCCAGAAUGGGAGCAUUGGGACACCGAGAUCAAAGGAAAUGCGCCUGUUGAUUUAUUUCCUCGUCUCCAAGAACUUUCCAUUGCAGAAUGUCCCAAACUCUCUGGACAACUGCCUGAGCUCCUGCCUUCCUUGAAGACACUUGUUGUUAGUAAAUGUGAAAAGUUGGUAGUUCCAUUGUCUUGCUAUCCAAUGCUUUGCAGAUUAGAAGUUGAUGAGUGCAAAGAACUAGUCUGCCGGACUCCGAUUGAUUUUAAGUUGAUAAAGUCCAUGACUAUUUCAAAUAGUUCAUUAGACAUGAAUGGACGCAAGGGGAUGUUAUACGAUGGUCCAGCUGGCUCUUCACUGCCAAACCCCAUGACUACUACAAAUGUUUUAGAGUUUGGAAAAUUAUUGAAGCCUGGAUUUCAGAUAUUCGAAACUUUGGUAAUUGGCAAUUCUGAACAGCUCAAGUUAUGGAGGCAGCAUGGGGAUUUUCCGAAAAAAUACAUGGUCACUGACCAUGGGUUCAAGAAACCAGUACGAGGGCUGAAUAUGCUCGCUUCCCCUGAAGAGGUAACAAUUGAAGAAAGUUGCGUACGUCUUGUUUUGAUUCCAGAGAUCAAUUUCCUUCUCAGAAAUCUGCGCUCUCUUAUAAUUAACAACAGCACUGCUUUCAAAUCCUUACCCGAGGAAAUGAUGGAAAACAAUUCACAACUCGAAAGAUUGUAUAUCAGAGAUUGCGACUCUCUAAUAUUCAUCGCAAGACGGAGGCUACCAGCAUCUCUUAAAAGGUUUGAGAUAGGAAAUUGUGAGAAAUUGCAACGUCUGUUCGAUGAUGAAGAGGAUGCUUCUUCUUCUUCUUCUCCUUCAUCCUCGUCUUCCCCAGUGAUGCUGCAACACCUGAGUAUAGAGAACUGCCCAGAGCUCACCAGUUUAUCAUCGGGUGUCCAAUUCCUUGAGGCGCUUGAAGACCUCGUGAUACAGCAGUGUCGAAAGCUGGAGUCAAUACCGGAUGGCCUGCCCAAUCUUAAAUGUUUACAGAGCAUUAAUAUACGGGAAUGUCCAAGUCUUGUUUCCUUAACAGAAAGAGGGCUUCCCAACACCAUUUCAUUUGUUUACAUUUGCAGAUGUGACAAGCUCGAAGCCUUGCCCAAUGAUUUGCACAAACUCAGCUCUCUUCGAGAAUUAUUCAUACAGCUCUGUCCAAAUCUUGUAUCGUUUCCAGAAGAAGGUUUUCCUACCAAUCUAACAACACUUGUAAUUGGAGAUUUCAAAAUGUAUAAGACACUCGUCCAGUGGGGGUUGCACAGGCUUACCUCUCUUAAACGCCUCUGGAUUGCUGUACGUGAUGAUGAAGCAGAGUGUUUUCCAGACGAGGAGAUAGGAAUGACGCUGCCCACCUCUCUCACUGAUCUGCACCUUUUUGAUUUCGAAAAAUUGAUAUCUCUGUCUGCGACGGGUUUUCAGAGUCUCACCUCUCUUCAGAGUUUGUGGAUCGGGAAUUGCCCGAAUCUCACAUCAUUUCCAGAGGUGGGCCUUCCAUCCUCACUUUUGGGCUUAGACAUUAGAUAUUGUCCAAAGCUUAAAACAGCGUGCAAAAGAGAUGAAGGAAAAGAGUGGUCCAAAAUUGCUCACAUCCCUCACGUUGAGAUAGACGGUAAAUUCAUAUACGAUCCAGAAGCAGAGGAGUAGGUUCUACUAUUAAGGUCAGUUGAUUUGUAUUAUCCGCUAUAACAAGCUCCUCCUUUUUUAUUUUUUUUAAAAAUAAUAAUUUUGCAGUCACUCACGUGAUUCCGUUUUCACAAGUCAGAUUGUAUGUUGAGGCUAUUUGCCUUUUAAUCGCAGAUUAAAUUAUAACACUUAUCUUAAAAUUUAAUACCAUACACAGAUAGACGAUUUUUUAAUCCAAAGUUUUUUUUAUUCACUUCAGUUAGCAUUUUUUUUUUCCCCAAAUCAUGCAAGCCGAGAGUUUCAAUCAAGAAUUGGAGGAUGUGAAUGGGAUUUUUGUGAAAGAGUAACAUAAUGGAUGAACGAACAUUUCAUAUGUGAUCUCAAAGUCAACAGAAUUUUAUUCACUCGUUGACUUUUCAACUGCUGUGGUUAUUUAUGGGUGAAAGAUAAGGGCAAUUACAAAAAAUUUGCAAAAUUUGUCAAUUUCUUAGAUGGUAGAAAUUGGAGUAUAAUAUUUUGGAGCAAGCAUACUUGAAAUUUCUGUCUUCAAUAUUUUGAUGCUUUCUUAUCCCAUGCACAAAAGUACUAGAAAAAACUAAUAACAACUAACCGAAAAUCCCAGGCGUCAUAUUCCUUUUUACCGCGUUUUAAAAUGCACAACAAUGAUAUUCUUACAAAUUUGCAAAAUUUGUCAAUUUCUUAGAUUUCAGAUAUUUUAAUGCUUUUUUUAAUUUUUGAUCUAGUAAAAAUACAUAGCCUUCACCGGCAGGAUUCUAGUCUUGGCUUUCACCUCUCUAACUCAUCUGUUCCCAUUGGGAUUCCAGAAGCUAGAAAAAUGUGUAGUUUUCAGAUAAGGAGGCUUGUCAGUUCUCUAGUAAGAAUCCAAUGAUUUGCUUUUGAACGUCCAUCUAAUUUGUGGAUCCUUGCAUCAGAAUUUGAUCAAUCCAAAAGGAAUUGCUUUUAGACAGAAGAAGAAUAGCAGCACCUAGCCUACCCGCAAACCUGAAACUAUUAGAUUGAGGUAAAAAAAUCAUUGACCCUCACAUGUUAACUUCUUCUAGUUACUUUCGUUGGGAAAAAAAAAAACAUUUAAGGAAUUUGCAAUUUGUUGUUAGUUAUGGUAUCUGAUGUUCUUUUCUGCUUUAGCAUUUGUAGAAUCUACUGUAUUAUGUGUUGGCAGUUGCCGUAUCUGAGGUAACUUGCCUUUAUUUGUUUGCUUCUGACUUAAGGACACCAACAUUUGCCAGAGAUUUAGAGAAUCAUCUCAAAACACUUAGCAAACUUGACAAACUUCAAGAUGCACUUGCCCCCACGCCUUAUUCUCAACAACGCAAAACUUGUGAGUACACCUAUGCCUGCAAUUAUUGUGAAGUGUUCGCAAUUCUGAUGCAGAGAAAUGGUUUCUUGAUGCAAAGUAUUAAACUGUUAAGAUUUAUCCUGCAGGCUUGUUAGAUGCUGGAUACGCGAAAAGCCAACAACAUCAAGAACUGCAACUCCAAGACCAGCUUUGCGUUAAUUCAGUCAGCUGUAAUAAUGAUGCAAAUGACACUAUAUCAAGCUGGACUUAGAGACUAGUCAGAUAAAUCAUCCAUUUCAUCAACGGUUAAUGUCAUGAUGGUGGCUAUCAGAGGAAACAAAAGAUGUGUCGGAAUCUAUACAAACAUUGAGAAGCAUGAGAGGAGCUUUGAUUUUGAGUAGGGUCAAUGAACUCAUAUUGGUAAGUGGUAAUUAAAGAAACUUUGUAAGCUUAGUAGAGUUUCAGUAUUUUCUGUUUGGAGUAUAGUUGAUAAGUUGACUCUGUUUAAGAAGCCCGAUUAUAGUAGCUGACUGUAUUAACCUUUUUUUUUUUUUUUUUGGGUCUGCUGUUGUUUUUGGUUUCGAUUAUUUUUUCAACAUUGGGUUGAUCUGUUGAAGAACAAGCUUGGGUUUGAUUAUGCUUUAACUACAAGGAAGAGCCAGACUUGGAUGCAGGCGUUAAGCUUUUAAUGGGUAAGAACAAAUGAAUGCUUUAACUAUGUUUCUCACUUAUUAAAAUGCACGGAUUGAAGGCAUCUGGGUUGAUCCUGACAAUGUGAUGGAAAUACUUCUCUGUUUUCAUAUAACAGGACAAAUAGAGAUCUCUGAUCAUGCCUGAAUUUUUGUUGCAUUGAAAUUUCUACCAUUAUCAAACAUAGAAUGAACUAGGGAUACAUUAGCUUAAGACUAAAUUUUGAGAAGGAAGUUUGUACUUGCAGCCUAUAAAAUCAUGUCCAUGUUGUACGUUUCUUUGGGAAAUGAAAGAUUCUGUGUGUUCUUUUAUUUCAAGUUCACUGAAAUCACAUUUGUUUUCUCAGCUGCUUUCCAGAAGGUAACAACAUCAAUUUCAAAAAUGCUGGGGCAAGAUGUAUCAUGCAGUGCGACUCAACUUGAGAAUUCCUGGCCACAUUACCCGUAUGUCUAAUGAUCGCACAGUACAACCUUGAGAAGCUUGUAAUGAGUACACAACUGGGUGCAAGUAGUUUUGAAAUGAAUUUGCCUCAAAUGAUUUCUUGCCGGUGAUUAAUAUAACCUCUAUUCCAAAAUUCUUGGAACUGGUCAUACUAGCAAUGAAGGAUUGCAUACAUUGAAGACAUAGCUGAAGGCCUUGCGAGAGCUCUGUCAGCCCUUGUACCGGAAAACAGCUGGUCGUAGUCGCUUGUGAAUGAUAUGAUUAAUAGAUACUGCAAAAAUGAAUUGUGCCAUACAUUUUCAGCGCUCUGUGAAGAUGUCUUGGUCAUUUGUUUGAUGCUUGUUUGAUUUAUGUUGUAUUCAGCCAUAAAUCAGAGAUUCAGAACUUGGGUAUGUUUCUGGUUUCCAAAUCAAAAAAUUGCCUUGUGAUGUUAGUGUUCACUGUUUUCACAGGAGAUCAGGUUCCUUGUUAAUGAAUCAAGAAGAAGGCAAGCGCAUCCAUGUCCAAGUUCAAAUGUGUCUCCUCUAUUUUCUAUUACCCACUCAUUUAUUUUGAUUUCUUCAUUGUAAUUGAAUUAGUUUUUUAUUCCAAAUUAGUCAAAACCUCGUAGAGUCAUUAAGUUCUUUUAGCAUUUAAAGACAGAACUACGAACCAAAUGAUUUAAGUUCUUCGUUGUAAUUGAAUUUGCUUUCCCAUCUUUAAAGAUAUUAUGUUCUUUUUCACUUUUUCGAUUUGGUUAGUGGUGAUUUCUUAAAGACUCAAUCCAUUUGCGUUAAUACAUUUUUCUUUUGCCUUGAUUUCUGUUUCUUGGGGAGUUUAUACAUAUUCUUAUUUUAUGCUACACAUGCCAUAUACAGAUUCUUAUUUUAUGCUUCACAUGCCACAUGAAAGGUCAAAGCCUUGUGUGUGAUUAGAAUUUACUGGCAUCAUAGUAACUUUAAACCAUUGUGACGUUUUAGUAAUAACAGUCUGAGCUCUCCCUGAAGGAUUCAAAGCAUUUUAUUUUAUAUUAUACUCCUUUAUAUGGUUUGGCUGGUCUCUUUUAAGGCAAUUCCUGUUUAAAGUAAUCAAAAUUUUGAUUUCGAAGUGUCUUUCAACACUACCGCUAGUUCUUUAAGAAAAGUAAAUCGAUUUUGAGUCUUCUGUAUCAUCUGAUUGAAAUACAUGAAAGCACUCUUAGCUGCAAAAGUACACUUGGAGUUAUAAUAGCAUUCUGAAAUCUCCUUGAAGGAUUCAAAAGCUCUUUAUUUGCUAGUCUUUGCUUGCAAUAAACUCCUUUAAUAUACAUUGGUUGAUCUUCUUUAAAGCAAUUACCAUAAGUUCUUUAAAUAAUAAAACGAUUUUGAGUCUUCUGUAUCAUCUUGUUGAAAUACAUGAAAGCACUCUUGGCUGCAAAAAUGCACUUGGGGUUAUAUAUAAAGUCUUCAACAGAAUUUUAUUUCCCCCUUUAUCCUCAUGGUGGUUUUUUUAGUUGUUUUUUAAGAAAUCGCUUGAAGGUUCUCUUUAAAAAUAAUUUUAACAUAAGCAUUCUUUAGAAGCACUUUAGAUGUCUGGCAUUUAGAAAAUUUUGUUCCUGUGUUCACAUAAUAUAAUAUAUAUAUAGAAAGCUGACUGUAGAAUAGAGGAGAACGAGUUGGUGUUGGUCUGAACUCUGAUCUUUGAACCUCAUGUGACUCCACUACUUUUUACUUGUUCUGUACAAGGUCUUUUAGCUUUUCAAAAAGUUUUAGCUUUAUGGAUAAAAUACUGUUAAUUGUAAUCUAUAAAUAAUGAAAGGAAUUAAUAAAAUAUUAGGUAAAUUUUAUUUUCUAAAGUGUUAUGAGUUCUAAAACGGCUGUAUGUAUAUAAAUUUAUUUACACAUAUAUUUAUAAAUAUGAUUAUAUAAUAAUAUUUUAUGUGUACAUAUCAUAAUUGAUAACUAAAAUAAAUAUUUUUAUUUUAUUAAUGGUUUUUUCGUCUCAAUGUAGUUGGUAAUAAUAAUCUCUUUAGAUGUAACGAUUUUAUUUCCUAACUGAAUAAGGAAAAUUUUAGAUUUUUAUAAUAAAUGUUAAAUAUAUUUAGAAUUACAUUAAGUAUGAAAUAAUCCUCAAAAUUAGAUUUUGAAAAGUUAUUCUUUUCUUGCUUUUAAAAAUAUGUCAUAUGAUGAGAUGAUUUUACUAAAAGUGAUUUUUUUAAAAAAAAUUACUAAACAUCAAAAUUAACUCUUAACUUUUUAAAAUCAUUUCUAAUCUUCUCAUCCUAAGUUCUUUAUUGUUUUGUACAAAAUCCAAGGUUUUGACUUUUAUAAAAUGCCCACUCAAAAAUAAAUUAUUUUCUAAUUAAGAUUUGUUGUUAAUGUAUAACUCGAAGUAAUAUUAGAUAUUUGUAAUUUUAUUUCAAAAAUUUUAUUCAAAUGAUAUGGCAAGCAAUGAACAAUAGUUGAUAGCAAUUUGUUUUUUUUUUUAACAAUGUUCAAAUCAAUCAGUUGCAUUAUCUCACCAUUUUUAUGAUGUCAUGUUAUUUUAAAUGAUUUUUUUAAUUUUUAUAUAAAGCAUACGACGUGUUAACAUCAUUUGCAUAACUUGACCUUUUUUUUUUCCUACAAAUAGUAAGUCAAAUUUACUCACCCUAUUUGUACCUAAAAUCUACCUAAAACUCAUGCAUCACUGUAAAGCAAAUCCAAAGAUUGCGGUACGUUUUUCUUGGUAAGAAAUCAAUAAUUAGGUCAAGUACCGCUACUAAGCGUGCUCAAUUAAUUCUAAAAUACGGUGAUCAAACUCAUACUUCACGCAAGAGGAUAAGGGCUAAACCUCAAUUAGGCAUUAUUCAUCCAAAAUUCAUUGACUGGGCAUUCUUUGCAAGUGGUAGCAUGGGACAGCUAAGAUAAUUAGCAAAUGAUAUGGACCAUACGCACCCGUAUGUUUGUGACAUGUGAAUCUUGGCAUUAAAGGAAAGGUAAUGUGUUAAAAUUUAAUAGAGCCCAACUCUUCAUUGAAUGAUUAUCAGAUCCAACGAGCAUCCUUUGAUGGGAUUAUUUUAAGUCAAUUAUUGGUGGAUUGGGGCCCACUUGACUCUACCAAAUCGGGCUCCACCAUAUCACCUAUUAACGACCACCUGUCCUUAUCAUAAAUAGCAAAUGUCACUUGUUUUAUUUUGUAUUUUACCAAAAGCAAAGUCACUACGAGCACUAAUGAAAGUGACCCCAAUUUUGGGGGUCAUGAACUUGGGAUUAUUAUGGACACAAGAGACAAGCGCAAUGUUUCUCAUUUCUCACUAGAUAAGAUUUAAGUUAUCAACCCAAUAUUAAUAAAUUCUGCUUGAAAAGUAAAGUUUGAAGCUUCAUUUUGCGAAUAUUCAAUGGUUAACAUUUAAGGGUGCGUUUGGGAUUGAGGUUGGGCAGCUGUAGCUUAAAAGCUACAGUACUAAAGUGUUUGGUAAACACUAGCUACUGUAGCUUUUAAGCUAUGUUGAUAUAAUUUUUCACUUGUAUAAUAUAAAAUUUAUUAUAUCUUUAAUAAUUUUGAUAAAAUUAUUAUUUAAAAUUUAUAUUUACUAUAUAUUAUUAACUUUUAUUUCAUAAUUACAGCUUUUUUUUCACAGCAGCUGUAGCUUAAAAGCUACAGCACCUCAAUCCCAAACACACCCUAAGUAAUUAACCUGAUAUUAAUCCAAUUAAACUUUUUAUGUAAUCCAAGUCAAACAUAUAUUGAUAAACCUAAAUUAAUCUAAUUGGACAUAUUAUUUCAACUUGAAAAGGUGAAUCUAUCAUUUUUCAAUUAAUUUUGAAUCAAGCUAUGUAAAAUAUAAGCUUAUUAAGGACAUAUUUGAAAAAUUCAAAUUGAAUUAUUUGACAAUUACAUUUCAACUAAGUUGUACUGCUAAUUAACUUCCUCAACUUAAAAUGUAUUUUUCUCAAUUAAUUCGUAACAAAGAAUGUUAGAUGUUUUGUUCGAAUAAUAACAUUCAACAUCCUUAUUCUUUAUGAUUAUUGCAUAAAAAAUAUAUUUUAUCCAUUUACGUCACAUAUGUUCCUAAAUUGUAUAAGAAAAUCACUAAAUUUACUCUUGUAAGUUACUAUAUCAAUGAACAUGAAAUUAACUAAUCAUUAAAGUCUCGGAAUGACAUCAUGAGGGGGAUUCAGUUACAUUUAUUGAUAGGAUUAUAUAUAUACCUUCUCAAAUAUUAGUAAGAGCAAUUAAACAGAUGCAGCAAUUAAAAAUAUGGAAUUACUUAUCUCGUCAAUAACUAACGAUAUUUUUUAUCUAUGCUCGAUAGGCGUCUGAGCUAUAUUAUAAAUUGUAAUAUUUGUAGAUUGUAACAAUUAUUAAAAAAAAAAAAAAAAGCUCCCUAAGACUAAAUGACAAAAGGACUGUUUUGAAAUAGAUAGAUAAAAUAUGCCCUUAUUUGAGAAAAGGUAAAACACUAGGGAUCUAAAUGUUAUUAUAAUCCCAUGCACAAAAAUACCAGAAAAAACUAAUAACAACUAACCGAAAAUCCCAGGCGUCAUAUUCCUUUUUACCGCGUUUUAAAAUGCAACAAUGAUAUCACUACUACAAAAAUGACAUUUACUGACACUUUGUUUCUGACACUUAGUAAAAAGUGUCAGAAAUGGUGUACAUUUGGACCAUUUUCCUCCUUUAACAAGUAUGUAUCAUAAAUCAUUGAUACUAAGGUGUCAGUAGCUUAAAACUCAGUGAUUAUUGAUACUAAAGCAUCAGUGAUAAAAAAAUAAUAGUAUUAAUUUUGUUUUAAUUUGAACUCGAACUCAAGAUCUCUAAACUUAAAAUUUGUAAGUUUAGAGUGCAAACCAUUGAUGCAAGUGUUUUUAAAUUUUCAAUUUGAUUAAUUUUUUUAUUUAAUUAAAUUUUAUACAAUUACUUUGUGGACAAUAAUAAUAAUAAUAAUAGUUUUGAGAAUAAUAUUUUUUAUUUUGCCACAUGUCAGCUUGUAAUUCGUUGUUAAUAAUAAUAAUUUUACUUGACCACGUGUCGACUUAUAGUUUGUUGUUUUAUUAAAUUACAAUGCGAACAACUACACUAUAUAAUUUUUCAAAGUAUAAAAUGAAAAUAAGAAACCCUAAAUCUAACCUAAUCAAACACACCACUUCUUAAGUUGCUGCCGCCGCUCCCCUGCUCCUUGACUUUCACUGCUGCCGGCCGCUGCUCCUCGACUUUCACUGCUGUCGGCUGUCGUUCCUUGACGUCACUGCCGCCUUUGCUCUGCUGUUGCCAAGCUUCAGCCACCGACGACUAGCUAGCCACCUUUCAGUACGUCGCUGCUACCACUUUUAUGCCGUCACAUCAACUUCAGCUCAGCCAGCCACCGUUCCUUUACCGCCGAGAUCAAGAACCAUUUCUUUCUCUUCUCUCUUUUGGUACAGGUAUGAAAAUAUUGCAGAGGAGUUAAUCUGUUAAUUACCUUUCUGUACGUCGCUGCUGUCAUUCGUGUACGUCAUUGCUGCUACUCAUCUUGGUCACUGCUGCCGCUCCUCUGCCGCCACGACAAGCUUCAGCCUUUUUGACAAAACAUUUCACUUGGAAUUAUAAGCAAACCCUUUUGAGACCAUAAAAAACUAAGCCAAUUUCUUUGGUUUCAAGGCCUUGUUUUUUCACUUUGAAAUCGGAUCAUACAAUGACAAGCCAAUUGAAAACUUCUGUUCAAGAUUUCAUUGUUAAAUUCAGCUUUAUUUUUAUUAUUUGUGUUCCUUUCAUUUUCUUUCCCUUUUUUUGAUUUUUAAUUCAAUUUGGGAUUUGACAGAUAUAUUUUUUAAUUUUUAUAAAAAUUUAUCUUAUUUGCAGGAUGCUAAGGGACAGGAUGUUGAUCUUAGCAUCUACAAGGGAAAGGUUCUUUUGAUUGUCAAUCUUGCAUCACAAUGGUGUGCCUCAGCUCCUUUCAUUUUUAAUUUUUUUUCCAUAAUGAUUUAUUGAUUAUUGUUGAUGCUUCCAUUUAAUUAAUGCUAAUACGUGUUAUCUAUCUAUCGGGAGUCUAAAUUUUAUAGAAUUAUAUCAUACUCGGAAGUAUGCAUGCUCCCAAUACAAAUAAGUGUUUAUAAGAGAGGAUUUCACCCAAAAUCUUUAAUUCUUGCAAAAUGCUAGUGGCUCCGUUUGCACAAGUUUAGUUUUCAUCCAUGUUCGUUCCUUUACCAUAGCGGUUCCUUUACCACUGAGGUCAGACACCAUUUCUUUCUCUUCUCUGUUUUGGCACAGGUAUGAAAAUACUACAGAGAAGUUUCUCUAUUAAUUACCUUUUAUGAAAAUAAUAUAUAUAUAUUAUUCACAUGUUUAAUUGAGAACAUCUAAUAAUAUAGUAAUAAUAUAGUGGGCAAACUAUAGGAAGGUUGUUAGUAGACAAUUCUAAUUUUAGCUUUACUUUGCAAAUGAAAGAUUAGAAAUAUUCCGUCGAACCCAUUUUACUAUAUUGGAGGUUUGGGCUAAUCUUGUAUAGAUUUUUGCUCAGAAGAAGGAUGGUUCUCCAAGGGCGGUGGGUUGGUUUUUCUAUAGACUAUUCCCCUAUUUUCCCAUUUUGCUUUUCUUUGAGGAAACCUGGUCCAUUUUUUUUGUGUUUUCUUUCUUCAAUCAAAUAUGUAUUUCUCAAUCUCCUCUCAAAAAAUACCUAUCUCAUUUUAUUAUAUGUUUAUGAAUUACUAAUUGUAUUUUGUUAGUAUUCCAUGUUCGAAGAAGAAUAUUAGAUUGAAGAAAGAAGAAUAUUAGAUUGAAGAAAGAAGAAGUUGUUCCUUUGCUAAUCGUUUGAAACCCAGGUUUGCACUGAAUCUGAUUUUUAUCUUUAACUUUUUUACUUGACCCAUACUUGAAUCAAAUUUUUGCUCCACUUUCCUUUCUUUCGUCAAUUUAAUUAUCAAUCCACUUCAAACCUAAAAAGAUUUAGUAAUUGGGAAACCCUUUUUUUUUUAAAGAAUUGCAAAGUACUGUAAUUGGAAACUGGGUUCAUGUCUUAAAAAGUAACCUGAUUUGUAAUGUUUGGCUUAUAGUGGCCUUCUAUUUCUGUUUUUCAUCUCGGCUUGGUUAAUUUCUUUACUAGUCGUUUAAAUUUUGUUAAUUUUUAUUUUUCCUCUUUAAGCUCAUUAAAUAUCUUUUUUUUUUCAAUUUAUGGCUUUCGGUCCAACUGAUCAUCGUUGAAUGUGGGCACUAUAAAUGUUAUAGUGCUUGUUAACUUAAUGUAUUUGAUCAUAUAUUAUAGUAUUGUUUACUUUAAAUUUAGACAAUGAAAUAGAUUACAAAAAAAAUAACUUAUGCUUGUCAAGUUGUAGACACCAUCGUUCAUGUCAUCAUUACUGAAUAUUGAUGUACUUAUUAAGUGUUCUCUUUAAUACUUGAUAGAAUACUUUUGGUGAAGCAAUUUUGGUAUCAUGAUUGCAGGCUGUAAUUAACUUGGGAACGUGUAGAUUCUACAAUUUCUUUUUCUGAUUCCUUAACUUGCUUCUUUUAAUCCUACUCUUCUAUGUUGAAGUAAUUUAUGAAUAUUUUUGCUUCAAAAUAACUAAGAUAUAUUUUUCACAGUAUACUAAUUGAUUUUAUGCAUUUGUAGGUGGGAAAAAAAUGAAGCCGUGGAUGGAUAUUGAGUGACCUUGUGCUUUUUUUUUUUUUUUUUUGGGUUGGAAACUUAAUUGAGUAGUAGUUAGCACUUGUUGUUUAGAGAUUGUUGAAAAUUUAAUUUGAUACUUAUGUUAAGUCUUUUACAUAUAGUGAUGUAGUUGAAUUGUGUGAAUUUAUGUGAUGUAUUUGAGAUGUUUAUUAUAUGAAUUGUGUUGCAAGAUAUUUAAUAAUAAAUAUAUUUCGUGUUUUCUUUUGGUUGUACAACAAACACGAAAAAUAUAAUUAAAAUAAAAAUAUACUAUUAACCAAAAGCAGUAUAACAUUACUAAAUACUGACACUACAUAUUUAAAAUAACAAUAAGAAUUUUUUAUAUUAUCGAGUCAGUUUCUGAUACUAUAGUCACAUAAAUUACUGACAUGUAAAUAGUAUCAUUAAAUACCAACAUCAUCGUGUCAUUAUUUUAGUGAUACUAUAGUGAAACAAAUUACUGACACAAAAAUUACUGACACCAAAAAUUAGUGUCAGUGUGUUCUGGCUUGAGCAACACUGACACAAUUAACAAGUGUCAAUAAAAGUAAUUACUGACGCUAAAUUAGUGUCAGUAAAACUCAUUUUUCUAGUAGUGUAUUCUCACAAAAGUUGGUACAAAGGUUUGUACAACCAGGGCCUCUUUGUAAAUUAUUUCAAAGUUUUGUGUUAUUUUUUAAAUUUAUGAAUUUUGUUAAUUUUGAUUGAUUGGAGCAUUUCUCCUUCCAUCUCUUCUACAUCUAUCUUUAAAUUUCUUUAAAAUUUUGACUAUAUCUUUAUAGAGUUCUAAAUGAUUAUCUUUUUCAUAAAAAUCUAUACUUAAAUUAAUCCCUGAAUUUAUAAUCAUUUGUCUUCUUUGAGUCAUAGACCAAAUUUUUUCUUCUAACAUAUCUAUAUAUACUCCUAAGCUAUCUUUGCAGCUUAGAUACAUUCUAUCAAAGCUUUCGCAUAUAAAUUGUAAUUUGAGAUCUGCAUCUUGAAUCAACAUGUCUAUAUUAUCCAUUGUUUUACGCUCGAUUUUGAGUUCUAUUAUUAGUCUUGCACAUGUCUUGGAUUAUUUCGAGGGUAGUUAAAAUUGAUUCUAUUAAUGCUAUCCUGUUUUCUUCUUCAAAAGAAUCAAAUAUUUCUGAAUCAUUAAUUUCUUUUAUUUCUUCAUACAAGCGUUUGUUUGUCGCUAAUCUUGUUUUAAUCAAGGAAACUGUAUAAGCAGCUUGAUAUUCUUGACAAAAGUCUAAAUGAUCUAUUGCAUCUAGAAAUUUAUUAAUAGAUCUUUCCAUUUUUAAGAAAUUGAGUUACUCUUAUCACUUCCAAUCUUUUAACAUCUCAGAAAACAAACAAGGCCCAACAUGCUUCCGUUUGUAGCUAAAAUAAAAGAAGAGUUCAUAUCACUAACCAGUGUAAUAUCUCUCGGAAUUCUGAGAUAGACUCACUAAUUGCCUCUAACCAUAGAGAGGUCCAUGGUUAGCACCACUAUAGCUCCACAUAUCAUACAAAAUCACUUCAACGACUGUUCCAUAUGGCCCAAAGCAACACACAGCAGACUGGCCUAAUAGGAUAUGUUUAAGUGAUUUUCUUGCAGUUGUCUCUGGAAGAGUGCUUAGUAAUAGAAAAUCUUCUUCGUUUAGUACAAGUAUUGGCAUGUAAGGUUCUUGGUUAAUUUUUAAAAGAUGUAUAAGAUAUCUAGAAGAUGAUAAUUUCACUCAAAAGAGUUUUAUUUAUUCCAUCAUUGAAAUUGUUUACAGAGGAAGGUUACAGAGAAUACAGAGGUAAUUGAAGGUUAGACAUCUGAUAUAUUUCCUUUCUUACAUGCUUUCAUUUAUAUAUCUCUCUAGAGAUAAGAUUAUUUCUUUUACAUAACACAUGUUCGAUCCUUGUGGUGGAAUCUCAAUUUCCUUUUGAUAAGGUGACCCCUUCUUUAUCAUUGAAGCUAGUAGUUGUCUUCUUUUCAUGUUGGCAGACAUGAAAUAUCUGGUUCUGGUGAGCUUUUUCUUUUUUGGAAUCUGUCUUUUUGAAUUAUUGAUACUUUUUGGAUAGCACCUUUUAUCUUUUUCAGUGGUCCUCGUCACGUGCCAAUUAUCAGAUCUUCAUCUAUAGACAUGUCUUCCCCACUAGAAUCUCUUUUUUUGAUCCUUCGUAGUAGUAGCCACAUGAUGAUUGAUGCUUUAGCACCUUAUAUAUCUCGUGGUGUGUUAGCAAGGUGGAUUCCACGAGAUUUUCGAAUAUGCCCUUUUUCUUUUCUAAUAUGUUAUCCUCAUCUUUAUCAAAUUCACAUUUACAAUAUAAUUCUUUGAAGCUACAUGUAUAUUCUUCUAAAUAACAUAUAUUACAUAUUUCAAGCCUUGUUAGCUUCAUUAAAUUUUCUAUCUGUUUUCUUUUUAUUUCUUGUUGAAAAUCAAUUUCCUAAUCUUCUCCCAAGAAUUUUUUUCUUAUUUCAUUUUUGAAUCUAUUUAAAACCUGAUCAACACUUUCGUUUCGAUUAUUAUUUUCUCCAUACAAUAUUCUAUUUUUAUGGUUAUCAUUUAAUCCCAUAAACCAAUGAGAAACAAUUCCUAUAAACGAAAUUUUAAGGAAUUCUAUACUAUUAUCCCUAUCAAUUUUGUGAAAUGCAAAAGCCAUUUUCAUAGAUUUAACCCAAGCGGUAAUCGUUUUAUCUCUAUCUUUGAUACAGUCUAAAUCUAACCAUACACCAUCAUGGUUGAUUGGUCUUUCUCUAUAUUCUCCUGGAGUUUUAUAAUCUUUUUUAGGCUUGUUAAUCCUAAAAUAUUGACCUUGUAAUCUUUCCUGAGUUGGUAUUUCUUCCCUAACAUAGGAAGCUCCAUUACUAGUUUCUCCUUGUUAAAAACCAUUUGGCUUUGAUUCAUUCAUUUUUAGAUGUUCUAUUCUAUUUUCAAUAUCCUGCAAAUUAAUGACUAUAUCACCUUCUUCUUCGGAUUCAGAUUCUUUAUUAGAUAUCUCUUGAUUAGGUAAUUCUAUGUUUUCACUUAGCAUUCUUAGACUUAUUAAUUUUUUGUCUUUGUUUAUUUUGUUAAAUAUCGGUUUAGAUAUUGUUAUCAUUUCUUUAUCUUUAAGUUCAUUAUAGUAAAUUAUGGUAUCUUGUAAAAUUUUGUUUUGUUUAUUGAUCUUCUGUACUUCAAUCCUUUUGUAAUUUUCCAUUUAUGCUUAUAGCGAAUUUAUUACCAAGUUGUUCAACAAUUUUUUCAAAUUUUUGUAGUUGGAUUUCAAUCUUGUUUGAAUUUAUUUUCAAUUGAACUUUUGUUCAUAAUAUUAAAGAUUUCUUGUUUUAAUCUAUCUUGAUCUUCAAUAUUAAAGUCUUUUAUUAAUAGCUUAACAAAAUCAAAUUCUUCACUCAUUCGCUCUCCUAUCAUUUUGACUUGUCUUAUAUUUUCAGCAUCAAAGCUUUUAAUCUCAAGUAUCUCAUUUAUACUUUCUAUAUCAUCUAUGGUUAAAUUAGGGUUUCCUAAUUUAUUUAAUAAAUAUAAUGAAAUCCAAUUUAAUUGAUUAUUUCCCCACAUAUCGGAAUCAUUUACUAAAUCAAAUGGUUGAAAUCUUCCAUAAGUAAAUCCUCUAUGCCUAUAGCUAGAAGGUGGUAAUAUGUUGGUUUCAAUAUUUUGAGAAAUUAACAAUGGUUUUGGUAAUUUAUUCAUAGUACCAUCUGCAUAAUAUCUCAUUAUAUUCUAAUAAGUAUUUAUGACAUAUAAUAUUUCUUAUAUCCUUAGGGAUAUUGUUUUAUGUUAAUCCUUUAUGUAUAUAGCAAAGUUUAUACAUAAUUAAAUCUUUAUAUCCUAUUAGCAUGUUGCUAGAAGGAUAAUAUUUACUUCUGAUUCUUUUAUUUUUCCAAUUGUAUUCACCUCGUUGUUUAACAUUUAAAAAUCCGUUGUAAUCUAUUAUAAGAUCAUCUACAUAAUCUUCAAUAGAGUUAAUAUUCCAUUGUUUCCAUGAAAAAUUAUUUCUAUAUACUUCUCUCCUGAUCCUAAAGAGAAGAAUAGGAUCAAUAUUUAAAUUUCUAAUUUUUAUUAUGAUGAGUUCUCCAAUUUUAAAUUCAUGAACUCUAACUAAAUAAAACUGUAUUAAUUGUUUAUCAUCCAAUAUAUUAACUUCUGAAUAAUAAUAUUGUUUAUGUUUUGUUAUAUUAUCUUUAAUUGUAUUUCUAUCUAUCAUUAAAUUAUAUCUUCCAUUAUUAAUGGAAUAAAUAACUGUUUCGUCUAUUUUUAUAUUUUAAACCAAAAACUUGGCUCUAAUACCGUUUUGCAGAAAUCAACUAAACCCAAAAUCCAAAUGAAUUCAAAUAGGGAUGUAUAUGAUUAAUUGUUAAGAUUUUAUCUAAAUUUUGUAAUUAUAAUUUUUCAAAACUCACAGUUUUGUGCAAUCAUUUGUGUAAUCCGUUGUGAGAAUGUCUUUUUCCUUGCAUCUAAGGCAACAAAGUGGAAAACGCGUACCAACGACUCACAUAACAAUAUAACAUCUGUCCCGGAUGGAGCCGGUUGUUCAUGUCAGCAACCUACUUUGAAACGACACGUGGACCGCAAUUUGUUCUUGUUCUCAACGUUGCUAUGAAAGAAAGCAUUUUUUUCCCCUUUUCUUCUUCAUUUUUUAAAGAAAUAUUUUACUAUAUAUUUAAAAAAAAAAAUCGUUGCAAUCUGAAGAUAUUAAAUUGUGGAUCUUGUAUUGUGUGAUAAGUCCGGCAUGCAAUUUUGGGCCAGCAUACCGCGCGCAUGGGAGCAUUCACAAAGAAUCUCUCGUCACUAUCGAAAACUUUUAAUAGUCAAUACAAAUGCUUCCGUUUCAUCCCAUAAACAGAUAAAAUUCACAUCUGUACACAUCUACUUUUCUUUGCUAGAUAGAGUUCCUCUGCAUUUCCCAAUUGCCUAAAGAGAAGGGGAAAAGAAAAAGAGGGCCAAAAAAUGCCUGAAAUGGUAAGGAACAAGCAAGUGAUAUUGAAGGACUAUGUGUCUGGUUUCCCAAAAGAAACAGACAUGUACAUGACCGAAAGUUCCAUAGAAUUGAAGGUGCCAAAAGGUUCAAAUGGGGUUCUUUUAAAGAACUUGUUUGGGAGAAAUACGUCGACGAGACCAGGCAUGGUGAGCAUAUAUCUGAUGGCAGAGUUCUGCGAACCGGUGUGUUCCGUAAAAGCCUGGUGCACGGGGGAACAGGAGCAGAAGUAUCCUGCUCGUCCACGAGCACGUCAUCCGCGAGGCCAAUUUCCUGUAAGAGGCAUAAGGUCAUUCCGGCUAGAGGUCGAGAGGCGAGGAGACCCGGUCGACGGCAGUUGGCAAGACAUGCUCCCCAGCCCGAGAAUCUAGGCACGACAGCCACGCUUUCCCCAGAACCGUGGCGUAACACGCAAGAUCUCACAGAACCACGACAGCCACGCUUUCCCCAGAACCGUGGCGUAACACGCAAGAUCUCACAGAACCACGACAGCCACGCUUUCCCCAGAACCGUGGCGUAACACGCAAGAUCUCACAGAACCACGACAGCCACGCUUUCCCCAGAACCGUGGCGUAACACGCAAGAUCUCACAGAACCACGACAACCACGCUUUCCCCAGAACCGUGGCGUAACACGCAAGAUCUCACAGAACCACGACAGCCACGCUUUCCCCAGAACCGUGGCGUAACACGCAAGAUCCCACGUUUGCCCAUAACGCAGCAGUCAGAGUCCCAUACCGUCUCGGAAAAAGCGGAAAACUGGGAUUCAGGGGAAGCCUAUAAAAAGGUAGCCAACGAAGGUAAAAGGGUUGGCAUUUUUGAGAUUAUAAAAGAAAUGAAAAAAGAAGAGAAAACGACGAGAAAGCCAUAAGAUCUGUGGCAAGUGUCCCCCGAACCUUCAUAUCUGACUUGAGCGUCGGAGGGUUUGCGCCGGGAAAACAACCGGCGUACUCUGACUUGUCUGUGUGCGCAGGAACCUCUGGAGAAGAAGCCUCACGUGGAGACCUCCUGGUCGUGAAGAAGUUGAUCGGACAGAGAUCCUGGUCGUAGAACGAGGAGAACCAGAAUCCCGCAUCAACAUUUUGGCGCCGUCUGUGGGGAGUGGAGCAAAAAGCUUCUGUUGAUAGCAAGAAGAGGGGUGAAGCAAGUGAAAAGCAAUGGAGACAGGAGGAAGUAGUGCACAAGGGGGUGAUAGGAUUAACGAUUCCGUGACGCUGAGGGAGAUAGUCAGUGAAGCACGGGAAAAAGUCAUGUUCGACCGGAUGGAACGGAUAGAAAAGCAGAUGGAGACCUUGACAACCAUCCUGCAUGAGCUGCGGAGCGAGCGAAGUAUAAUCCAAGAGGGAAGGGUGAGAGGCGGUGGAGUGGCACCAGGUCCCGAUAGUGCGGGGAGAAGUCAAACCACCGGGAGAUUUGGUGGUGAGAGAGGUAACGUACCUCUGCGGGGAGAAUUUCAUAGAGAAAGAGAGCAGUCCCCGGCAAGACAGACUGGCGACGAGGACGACGGGGUGGUGAAUGCAGAGGAAACAGAGUUGAGGCAACACUUGCAUGAUGUAGAGCAAGAGCGGGAUUAAGUCGCAGCACGUGACCCUGGUCGUGCAGUGCAGCUGGAGGAGGAAGUGCGCAGACUAGCGCAGAUAAUCGACGACAUGCAAGGAAGGAACAGAGCCCCUGGUUGGAGGAUAAUGCUGGAUGGAGAAUCACCGCUCGCAGCAGAGAUCAUGAGGGCAGUUAUUCCGAGAGAUUUCCGCCUCCCAGACCUCAGAUACUCGGGAAGAACUGAUCCGUUGGUGCACAUAGAGCGCUUCAACGACAUAACUAGGGUACAAGGAUUAUCUCAAUCCCAAAGGUGCAGAGUGUUCCCACUAUCCCUUGAGGGACGUGCACGAGAAUGGUACAGGAAACUUCCUCGGGGCAGCAUUAAAACCUUCGAGCAGAUGUGCUAGGAAUUCGCGGAGCAGUUUAGUGGGGCAAUGGCGCCGGAAGAUGACAUGAUGGAGCUGAAAAGCAUGAAACAGGGGGAGCAAGAAACCCUUCGGGAAUUCAUCAAGAGGUUUCAUCGGGCUGUCCUCGACUUGGGAGCCUUCAACCACCCUCAGGCGUUAAGGGGAUUGAAAGAAGGGGUGAAGAUAGGAAGGCUGUGGUACAAUUUGAGAAGCCCAGCUAUUCAAACGUAUGCAGCCGCAUACGAACAGGCUAAGAGAGACAUCGAGAUUGAAGAGGAGAAGGCUGCACGGAUUAAGACAGACCAGUUAGAAGGGCUGGGGAGGAAAGAGAAGAAAGCAUUACCGGGGAAUGGGCCGAUCAGGAGGAGGGACCACCAGGCCUCCGGUAGUGGAGCAGGAGGUCGGGUAGCCGCUUACCAGCCUCAUCAAAGGCCACCACAGUAUCAGCGCAGCAGGGCGCAACCUCCUCGUUCCCCAGCUAGGGAGCCUUGGAAAAGGCAUGAGUCGGCAUCUGGUGGUCUCCAACAACACCCCCACGGUAUCAGAGCGAGCAGACCAGAAGUACUUCCACCGCCCCCAACUCAGAGCGGGGCAAACAGGGAAAGAGCAGUGCACCUGAUCGACCAGAACCCGGACUAUGGGCGGUACACUUCCUUGAAGAUGUCCCUGGAUGAGGUGUACGAGGCCAUAAAGGAUCGAGGGCUGCUACACCUCCCUACACCAAUAACAAAGCUACCUAACAGGAGGGAUAGAGGACGUUAUUGUAAGUUCCAUGGCACCCAUGGCCAUACCACAGCAGAGUGUAGAGAUCUCAAGACCCAGGUCGAAGAUUUGGUGAGAAAUCGGUACCUGGACGAGUUUAUGGAUGGGACUUUCCCGAUGGGGGCCACAACAGGUGAAGGGGAGCAGAGUGGCGGAAACGUGAGGCGCGAGCAGCCCGCAGUAAGGGUGAUAGCUGGGGGCCCGACAUUGGCCGGAGAUUCCAACAGAUCGAGAAAAAAUUAUGCUAGGUACGCCAUGACCAGUAAAGAGGUACUCCUCAACACCCCAGCAGCCAAACGAGCAAGGGUCAGGCAAGUGCCAAUCAUGUGGACGGAUGAGGAUGAGGAAGGGAUUCUAUACCCCCAUGAGGAUGCUUUAGUCAUCAAGGCUACUGUCGCUAGCAAGAAGUUUGACCGGAUACUGAUUGAUACAGGGAGCUCAGUUGAUGUGUUAUUUAAGUCAACCCUGGAAGAGAUGGGAAUAGCCGACCGGAAGUUGGAAUAUACCAAUACCUCCUUGAAGGGGUUCGGAGGAGGGAAGCUGGUCCCUCUGGGCGUGGUCGAGCUGCCUAUCACAAUUGGGAGCUCCCCGACAGAAAGAACAAUGAUACUGGACUUUGUCGUAGUGGAUGAGGAAGGUCCUUACCAGAUGAUCCUAGGUCGGCCAUUUUUAAGGAUGAGCAAAGCGGUGUUGUCCAAUCAUUAUCUGGCUCUGAAGUACCGGGUGAACGGGGUAGUAGGAGUGGUACGAGGAGACCAGAGGAUCGCAAGAAGCUGCUACUCCUCGGCAGCAAGGGAAGCAAUGCAGAUAACAUCCCUCGAUACCCGAGUGGAAAACAAGAAGGGCAGACAAGAACCUGUAGAGGAUCUGGAAACAGUAAGCCUGGGACCAGAGAACCCGGGAAAGAUGAUCAGAAUCGGGUCGAGACUUAAGGGAGAGCAAAAGCAGGAGUUGGUGAAAUGCUUACAGGCUCAUGCUGAUGUGUUUGCUUGGACACAUGAAGACAUGCCAGGGAUUGACCCUGAGGUAGCAUGUCAUAAGCUGGCAAUAAAGAAAGGUGCUCGGGCAGUAAGGCAGAAGAGGAGGUGUUUCAACCAGGAGAGGUAUGAGGCUAUAAAUGGCGAGGUGGAGAAGCUCUUGAGAGCAGGGUUCAUUCGGGAAGUCAGUUACCCUGAGUGGAUAUCGAAUGUGGUGUUGGUAAAGAAGGCAAACGGCAAGUGGAGGAUGUGUGUGGAUUUCACAGACCUCAAUAAGGCGUGCCCAAAAGACAGCUUCCCUUUACCAAAGAUCGAUCAGCUAGUAGAUUCAACGGCUGGACAUGGUCUGCUUAGCUUCAUGGACGCGUUCUCGGGAUACAACCAGAUCCCCAUGUACGAGCAGGAUGAGGAGAGCACGGCUUUCAUCACUAACCAAGGUUUGUUCUGUUACAGGGUAAUGCCAUUCGGUCUCAAAAAUGCCGGGGCCACCUAUCAAAGGCUGGUGAACAAAGUCUUUAAGCCGUUGAUUGGGAAAACCAUGGAGGUGUACGUGGAUGACAUGAUCACCAAGUCCAAAAUCCCGGAGGAACAUGUCAGACACCUCGAGGAGACAUUCGAGCUUUUGAGGAAGUAUAAGAUGAAGCUCAACCCGGAGAAGUGUGCUUUUGGGGUCGAGUCGGGGAAAUUCCUUGGAUUCAUGGUGAGCCAUAGGGGGAUUGAAGCAAAUCCCGAGAAAAUCCAGGCGAUUGUGCAAAUGACGUCUCCCCGUAACCUGAAGGAGAUGCAGAGCCUCACGGGGAGGUUGGCGGCGUUGAGCAGAUUCAUAGCCAAGGCUACAGAUAAGUGUCAGCCGUUCUUUCAAGUGAUGAGGAGGGGAAAGAAAACAGAAUGGACCUCAGAAUGCGAGGAAGCCUUCCGGAACUUGAAGCAAUACUUGCAGCAAGCUCCGCUGCUGUCCACACCGAGGGAUGGGGACAAGUUAUAUCUGUAUUUAGCGGUAUCGGCUCGGGCCGUCAGUUCUGUUCUGGUGAGAGAGGAAGAAGGAGUUCAGUAUCCGAUAUAUUACACCAGCAAGGCCCUGCUCGACGCUGAGACCAGAUACCCACCGUUGGAGAAAUGGGCACUUGCCCUUGUGGUUGCUGCUCGGAAGUUGAGGCCAUAUUUUCAAGCAUUCCCGGUCUUGGUAAUAACAAACCAGCCAUUGCGUCAAACUCUGCACAAGCCAGAUGCCUCUGGUCGGCUCGUCAAGUGGGCUGUAGAGCUGAGCGAGUUCGACAUAGACUAUAAGCCCCGCGCAGCGAUAAAAGCCCAGGCAAUGGCCGAUUUCGUAGCUGAAUUCACAGAGCCCGAAGUAUGCUUAGAUCAACAAGAGGCAGAUAUAGGCAAUGACGAAACUCAAGUAUGGCAGAUGUCUGUGGAUGGGUCAUCAGGGGAGCGGGGUUCAGGAGUAGGGAUUGUCUUGGAAGGCCCAGAGGGGGAGGAGAUCUCUUAUGCUGUAAAAUUGGAAUUUGCAGCCACGAAUAACCAGGCAGAGUAUGAAGCCUUGAUAGCAGGUCUGGAAUUGGCUAAGGCCGUGAAAGCAAACAAAGUUAAGAUCAGAACUGAUUCCCAGCUGGUAGCGAAUCAUGUCAGUGAAAGAUUCCAACCAAGAGAGGAGAAGAUGGGGCAGUACCUGAAGAUAGUCAAGCAGAUGAUGGGGAAGUUCGAAGCAGUGGAGGUGAUACAGAUCCCCAGGGAGCAGAAUAGUCGAGCAGACAUUUUGGCUAGGAUGGCAGCAGUAGCCGACCCAAAAAUGCCAAAGUCGGUCCCUCUGGAGGUGAAGUCCGGCCCAAGUAUCGAUCAGAAUUUGGGGGUGAUGCGGAUAGAACAAAAAUGCUCGUGGAGGGACCCGAUAGUUUCAUACCUUAGAGACGGGGUAUUACCACCAGAUAAGAUGCGAGCUCGCAAGCUUAGAGCCCAGGCCUCGAGAUACACGAUGAUUGAUGGGGUACUGUAUCGGCGAGGAUAUACACUACCGUUCCUUCGGUGUUUGGAUGAGGACGACGCGGAUUACGUACUAAGAGAAGUACACGAAGGAAUUUGCGGAAAUCAUUCUGGCGGGAGGUCCCUGGCCCAUAAGGUUCUAAGGCAGGGAUAUUUCUGGCCGACAAUGCACCAGGAUGCGCAAGAGAAGACCAGGAGUUGUGUAAGUUGCCAGAGUUUUGCAAAUUUCUCUAACCAACCACCAGAGAAGCUUACCUCCAUGACCUCCCCCUGGCCAUUUGCUCAAUGGGGAAUUGAUCUGAUCGGCCCAUUGCCAAAGGCACGGGGAGCAGCAACACAUGCAAUAGUUGCUAUAGAUUACUUCACGAAGUGGAUAGAGGUAGAAGCCCUUAGCAGGAUCACAGAGAAGAAAACAACAGACUUCGUGUGGAGAAACCUGGUCUGUCGAUACGGGAUCCCUUAUGCCUUGGUAACGGAUAAUGGCAGGCAGUUCGAUAACCACAGCUUCAGGGAUUUCUGCCAGAACCUCGGGAUAGAGCUGAAGUAUUGCUCGCCUGCUCACCCUCAAUUGAAUGGACAAGUAGAAGCAGCCAACAAGACCAUCAAGAGGCUUUUAAAAACCAGGCUUGGAGCAAAAAAGGGUGCGUGGGUUGACGAGCUGUCAGGUGUGCUAUGGGCAUACAGAACAACCCACAAAACCGCAACUGGGGAGACACCGUUCGCUUUGGCUUUCGGACAUGAAGCGGUCGUGCCGGCUGAGAUAGGAACGACCACACACCGGACAAAUCAUUUCAAUGAGCAGGAGAACGACGAGCAGAUAUGUUUGAAUCUUGAUCUGCUAACGGAAAGGUGGGAGCAAGCAGCCGAGCGAUCAGUCAUUUACCAACAGAGGGUUGCUCGGUAUUAUAACCAGAAGGUGAACAUACGGCAAUUCAGGGUCGGAGACUGGGUACUGAGAAGAGUGAAUCAGAGCACCAAAGAUUCGACUCAAGGAGUGCUGGGACCGAAUUGGGAAGGGCCAUAUAGAGUCAAGCAGAUAGCGGGACCCGGAGCUUACAGGCUGGUUCGCACGGACGGCCACGAGGUGAAACGCCCAUGGAACGCAGCACACCUCCGAAAAUACUUCCAGUAAGACUUGUUCACAUGUGAAAACUAUUUUUGCUCAUGUUCAUUACCGUUUAUCUUUCACGCUUAUUGUCCAAACAAUUUCAUGUAAGUCGAAUCCUGCCAUUAAUGGAACGUCGAGGAAUUUCUUUCGCUUGAAACCGAGAAAAUUUUCCAAGGCAUGCAAAGGCUCACCAAGUCUCAAAGCCUGUCUUAUGGCGAGACAGAAGCCAAGCAUGCCAGGAUCUGCUCGGCCACGAGAAGGCAAGCAGAAUCCCAAUCCUCGAAGAAUCCAAGGCAUGCAAAGGCUCACCAAGUCUCAAAGCCUGUCUUAUGGCGAGACAGAAGCCAAGCAUGCCAGGAUCUGCUCGGCCACGAGAAGGCAAGCAGAAUCCCAAUCCUCGAAGAAUCCAAGGCAUGCAAAGGCUCACCAAGUCUCAAAGCCUGUUUUAUGGCGAGACAGAAGCCAAGCAUGCCAGGAUCUGCUCGGCCACUAGAAGGCGAGCAGACUCCAAAGCAUUCGAAGAAAUGCCCAAGGCAUGCAAAGGCUCGACAAAGUCUCAAAGCCUGUUUUAUGGCGAGACAGAAGCCAAGCAUGCCAGGAUCUGCUCGGCCACUAGAAGGCGAGCAGACUCCAAAGCAUUCGAAGAAAUGCCCAAGGCAUGCAAAGGCUCGACAAAGUCUCAAAGCCUGUUUUAUGGCGAGACAGAAGCCAAGCAUGCCAGGAUCUGCUCGACUACUAGAAGGCGAGCAGACUCCAAAGCAUUCGAAGAAAUGCCCAAGGCAUGCAAAGGCUCGACAAAGUCUCAAAGCCUGUUUUAUGGCGAGACAGAAGCCAAGCAUGCCAGGAUCUGCUCGGCCACUAGAAGGCGAGCAGACUCCAAAGCAUUCGAAGAAAUGCCCAAGGCAUGCAAAGGCUCGACAAAGUCUCAAAGCCUGUUUUAUGGCGAGACAGAAGCCAAGCAUGCCAGGAUCUGCUCGGCCACUAGAAGGCGAGCAGACUCCAAAGCAUUCGAAGAAAUGCCCAAGGCAUGCAAAGGCUCGACAAAGUCUCAAAGCCUGUUUUAUGGCGAGACAGAAGCCAAGCAUGCCAGGAUCUGCUCGACUACUAGAAGACGAGCAGACUCCAAAGCAUUCGAAGAAAUGCCCAAGGCAUGCAAAGGCUCGACAAAGUCUCAAAGCCUGUUUUAUGGCGAGACAGAAGCCAAGCAUGCCAGGAUCUGCUCGACUACUAGAAGGCGAGCAGACUCCAAAGCAUUCGAAGAAAUGCCCAAGGCAUGCAAAGGCUCGACAAAGUCUCAAAGCCUGUUUUAUGGCGAGACAGAAGCCAAGCAUGCCAGGAUCUGCUCGACUACUAGAAGGCGAGCAGACUCCAAAGCAUUCGAAGUAAUGCCCAAGGCAUGCAAAGGCUCGACAAAGUCUCAAAGCCUGUUUUAUGGCGAGACAGAAGCCAAGCAUGCCAGGAUCUGCUCGACUACUAGAAGGCGAGCAGACUCCAAAGCAUUCGAAGUAAUGCCCAAGGCAUGCAAAGGCUCGACAAAGUCUCAAAGCCUGUUUUAUGGCGAGACAGAAGCCAAGCAUGCCAGGAUCUGCUCGACUACUAGAAGGCGAGCAGACUCCAAAGCAUUCGAAGUAAUGCCCAAGGCAUGCAAAGACUCACCAAGUCUCAAAGCCUGUUUUAUGGCGAGGCAGAAGCCAAACGUGCCAGGAUCUGCUCGACCACUAGAAGGCGAGCAGUCUCCAAAGCAUUCGAAGAAUCUCCAAAGGCAUGUGGCAAAACCAUGAGCCAAGCCGGAACCUGCUCGUCUAGACAGAGACAAGCAGAUUCUCAACCGAAAAUUAAUUCAUAAUUACAUCACAAGAAAGUAAUCAAAAACCAUUUUUAUUAAUUUGUUAAUAAUUAACAGAGGGGAUAAUCUUCAUGAACAUUGUUCAUUACAAUACAAGAAAUAUAUCAGGAAGAUGGUGGACCAGUAAGCCCGGCAGCAUCGGUUGGCUGGACCUCCUCAGGUGCAGGAGGGGUAUCACCAGUUGCGUCCGGGGGGUGCUCGCCUCGCCAACAUCAGCAGGGACUGCACGAGCAGGAGAGUCUUCCUCCUCAAUCACGAUCGGCUCUACCCCAUCGGCAUCUUCCUUGGCCGCCUCCUCAUCCAUAUGUUGAGCAACACCAGCUGCAAGGUCAUCCAUCUUCAGAUCAGGGUGUUGCUUCCCGAGGACGGCCAUGAUGCAACGAUAGGAAUGCCGAAGUCCCUGGUCGUACUGGUUGUCAGCCUCCCUCUCCAAGUUCUCGACCUGAGCUCGGUGGGAGUCGCGGAGAGAUUCGAGCUGAGCCUCAUACAUAGCCUUCUGCCUUUGCAGAUCCUCCUUGACCGUGGUAAGCUCCUCCUCGAGGGAAAUGGCUUUUGCUUGAGCAAGUGAUUCUUGCUCUAUUAACUUCAGAUUCUCGAGAUUCAGCUCCCCUGCUUUCUUCUCGGCAACGUCAGCUCUGGUCGUCGCCGAUUGAAUAUCCUCCUUCAUCUUCCGGUCGUAGCGGCCAACCUUAGCCUUGUAAUAGGUGGUCAUGCAGCUGAGGUGGAAAGCGCUAUGCUGCAUGGCCCCCACCAGCUCACCCAAGGUGCGGCCGUCAAAGUCCUCCAAGUCCUUCUUGCUCAUGAGUUUAGUUAACUCAUUGAGGUAGGGGACCAGGUGUUCUGCUCGGCUGUCAGGUAAGCGAGAUCGAGGCCCGACAGGAGGAAAAGAGGAAGCAGGAUCUGUAGCUGCUCCACUAGCUUCCCCGACUUUUACAGGAGCAGGAGGUAAAAUCUUCAAGGGUGGGACCUGCUGCAUGAUGUUGGCCCGCUUUGCAGCAGGGGCAUUCUUAUUCUGGUCCCUCUUCGUGGUGGGAGGUCGGGAACGUUUUCGGGUCAGAGCCCCAAUCACAGCGUCCUCCAUCCUAUGGCCAGGAAGUAUCAAGCGAGACUCGAGCAAGUUGUAUGUAGUUAGCAGUUCUCGGCUCGAGCAGGAAUUGGCUAGUACAGCCUCGACCCGUUUGAGCUGGUCAGGUUCAAGCGGGAAGUGGACACCCCAAGAAACUACAACACAAACAGACACUUGGUUAGAGACAAGCCAAUAAAGCAAGAACAAUUAUGGAUGCAAGACAUCUAGAGCGAGCAGGCAACCUGGGACCGUGAAACGGGGUGGGACGCGACAAUCCUUCCCGCCUAUUUGUGCAACUUGACCCCAAGGACCCCCAGCAAAAAAGAAUUUCCUCUUCCAAGCCCCACCACCACCGGUUGGAAGAUCGGUUAUGGAUUUCCGGCUCUUGGUGCUAGAUUGGAAGUAGUACCAGCCGGCAUCUUUGGGGCUGCUCUUUAGCUGGUACAAGUGCUUCACCUCGUCAACCGUGGGCUCGCUUUGGCAACAUCUGUCCCACAAUAUGAACAGACCAGAGAGCACUCUCCACCCAUUGGGAUUCAGCUGACCAGGAGCUAGAUUUAGCCCGUUAAGUAUCCGGGCAAAGUAGGGUUGCAAGGGACACCUCAGCCCGUACUUAAAGCUCUCUAGAAACAGGGUAACGUAUCCCCUAGGAGGCCGGCUGGGAGCAUCCUUCUUUCCUGGGACCUUGAGAGGUAUCUCACCAGGAAUGCUAUACCUAAGCUGGAGGUCAUUGAGCUCGUCAAACAAGGUCGUGCACGUCAUGUAAUCAAUGGCAUAAUCGCGCGACAAGGCUCUGCCUCCUACUGUACCCCGUUCCUCUAGUCGUGAUGUUCCAGAUGGAGACACCUCACCAGAGUCACCUUCCCCAUUCUCACUUAAGGUGUCCUCAGAGCCAGAAGGUCCCCCCUCACCAUUGCUUCCGCUCGUGGAGGUUGUUUGGGGGGACAUCCUCCUAGCACUAGUCCCGACACUAAACCUAAUGGGUUCUAAGGGGAUCCCGGGGUCAAAAGCCGGAUCAGUGAGCAGACUAGGCAGGAAACUUAGUUCGUCGUCAUCAAUCUCAACGACUUUCUCCUUACCUUUCGACAUUCCCUAAGCCCUAACCACAACACCACCAACUACUACCUAAACAGAAGAGAAGAGAAAUUAUCUACAACUAUCCGAGACCAAGGAGAUAGAAGAAAUACCUGAAGUAAUGGUUCAGUCGGUGAAAGUCAGAGAUGGAGGCCUUUUAUGCCGGAACUUCUUUGCCGGAGAAACAGAGACGGAGACGGAGUGAAUGAUGAAUAUGCCGUUCGAGAGGAUUUGGUUUUCCUAAUGAAGACGGACUCUUGGGUUGCCAGCAUUUAACGGCGCCGAAUCCCGAGGGUCUCAUAACCGUCGGUUUGAAAUUCAAAUGAAGGGGGGGAUUUCUGCCACGUCACCUCGUCCGCAAUUAAAUGCGACAUGACUCUUGGCAGCCUUUUCCAAUCCCACGCGGGCGAGUACUAACGAGUUUCUACUGCUGGUCCACUACAUUACCCAACACCAGAAACUGGGGGACCGGUGUUUGGGAGAAAUACGUCGAUGAGACCAGGCAUGGUGAGCAGAUAUCUGAUGGCAGAGUUCUGCGAACCGGUGUGUUCCGUAAAAGCCUGGUGCACGGGGGAACAUGAGCAGAAGUAUCCUGCUCGUCCACGAGCACGUCAUCCGCGAGGCAAAUUUCCUGUAAGAGGCAUAAGGUCAUUCCGGCUAGAGGUCGAGAGGCGAGGAGACCCGGUCGACGGCAGUUGGCAAGACAUGCUCCCCAGCCCGAGAAUCUAGGCACGACAGCCACGCUUUCCCCAGAACUGUGGCGUAACACGCAAGAUCUCACAGAACCACGACAGCCACGCUUUCCCCAGAACCGUGGCGUAACACGCAAGAUCUCACAGAACCACGACAGCCACGCUUUCCCCAGAACCGUGGCAUAACACGCAAGAUCUCACAGAACCACGACAGCCACGCUUUCCCCAGAACCGUGGCGUAACACGCAAGAUCUCACAGAACCACGACAGCCACGCUUUCCCCAGAACCGUGGCGUAACACGCAAGAUCCCACGUUUGCCCAUAACGCAGCAGUCAGAGUCCCAUACCGUCUCAGAAAAAGCGGAAAACUGGGAUUCAGGGGAAGCCUAUAAAAAGGUAGCCAACGAAGGUAAAAGGGUUGGCAUUUUUGAGAUUAUAAAAGAAAUGAAAAAAGAAGAGAAAACGACGAAAAAGCCAUAAGAUCUGUGGCAAGUGUCCCCCGAACCUUCAUAUCUGACUUGAGCGUCGGAGGGUUUGCGCCGGGAAAACAACCGGCGUACUCUGACUUGUCUGUGUGCGCAGGAACCUCUGGAGAAGAAGCCUCACGUGGAGACCUCCUGGUCGUGAAGAAGUUGAUCGGGCAGAGAUCCUGGUCGUAGAACGAGGAGAACCGGAAUCCCGCAUCAACAGAACUUGUACUUGUCCUGUGAUCCGUACAUGCGACCACGAAUGACCUACAUCGAAGGAUCUUACGUUGAAUCCUUUAAACCUGGCUUGGUUAGUGCACUCGCUCAUGGCCACGCUUUUCAUUUCCAUGGCUUCUUGCUCUUUUGUUAUAGAAAAUUUAUUUUUGGUUGCAGUUUGAUUCGACUGCUAAAAUCUCGUGCGAUAAUUGUAUAAGAUAUCUAGAGUUUGAACUUCUUUCACAUUAGGGUUCAAGGAAGUUAACUUAAAUGAUUUUCAAAAUUUUAAAUGUGUACCAAAGAAUUUAAUUUCAUAGCUUAAACUUAUAUUUUGAUCAUACUCUAACUUUGGACAGGAAAAAUUAUAUUUUUCCUUUAGUUCUUUGCCUUGGUGUAUGUUGUGUGAAGUACUUGUGCUUGAAAAUGAAUUGCUGACACAGAAAUUUCUAUGAAUGCAUGCAGCCCAUAAGUGGAUAUGGGGUGGGUAAAGUUUUGGAUUCAGAGAAUCCAGAGUUCAACAAAGGUGACUUGGUUUGGGGAAUGACUGGAUGGGAAGAGUAUAGUCUCAUUACGGCUCCACACUUGUUUAAAAUUCAACACACAGAUGUGCCUCUUUCUUACUAUACUGGAAUCCUCGGUAAACUUUUUGUUUGCACAAUUUAUGUGAGCAAAUUGUGUCUUCUUUUUCAUAUGUAAAUGUUUUUGAUAUCUUGAUGUGAAGGUAGAAAAUUGCAUGUUUUGAGUUUUUGCAUAUUUGAUGGAAACACAGAACUGUACCUGAAUCUUUCAGAACCCCCUUCUCUUUGAAGUUUGAACACUUUUCUUGAAUGUAUCAACUUUAUUUAUGGGAUAUGUUGCCAAAUUGGAAAAUCUAUUCGUUAUAAAACUUUCCUUUGACAGUUUAAUCUAAGCAGAUGUUAAUUCUGCAAAUAGAGUGUGCCUUAGAUUAGUUUCAUAGAUUUGUCUCCUUCUGUACAGUAAAAACUUUGAGCAUUUUCGCCAUAUUCUGAUCAAUACACUCCAACUAGUUAGUUCUUGAGGCGUUUUAUGGUUUCGUGGAGUGAGGCAAGAUGUAUACGUUUGCAAAUUGGCAAUGUCUUUCUCUUGAUGGGUUGAGAGUUGUGAGUGUCAACAGGAAACAAGACCUCUGUUUUAUGAACUCCAAAAAGUUAUUCUGUUAAAAAGAUCGAGACAGAGGCCAUACUAUAUUUAUUAUUGCUAUAAAAGUGUGAAAAAAUAUUCUUUAUUUAAUAUUCUAAACGAUUGAGCCAUUUAGUUAUGAUACUCUGCUGUAUUGGGGCUAAUAAUCUAAGUCGGUUCAAAGUGGUAAAUUUAUAAAUUGAUAGGUAUGCCUGGUAUGACCGCUUACGUUGGAUUUUAUGAGGUCUGCUCUCUUAAGCAAGGAGAGUGUGUCUUCAUAUCCGCAGCAUCUGGUGCAGUUGGACAGCUUGUGGGGCAGUUUGCAAAGUUAUUGGGUUGCUAUGUCGUCGGAAGUGCUGGAAGCAAAGACAAGGUAUGUAAAAUUAGAAUUUGAUCAACAGAUUUGGAGUGUUUGUUUACAGAGAAAAUCUAAGAGAAAAUGUAAGAAACUUUAGCUGAGAAUAUUCAUUUUGUUCAACUUAAUAACAGAAUGAGAUUACAAAGCUUAUAUACUGCUAUCAAGAAUCAUCUUAACACAUACAUCAUUUUCACGUGUAUUUAUCUUUGAAAGAAGCUAAAUAACCAGCUUAACAAACUCACAACUACUUUGCUGACUGGACUGCCACGUCACCAUAACUAACUUAACUAAUCCAAUCAGUUAAUCACAGUUAACACAUAUUCUUAUCAUCCCCCCUCAAGCUUAAGUUCGGGGAAGGACAUUAAGCUUGGUACGAAGAUAAGCAAACUGAUCAAAAGAGAGGGGCUUGGUGAGAAUGUCUGCAAGUUGUUCUGAACUGGAAACAUGACUGAUCGUGAGUUGCUUCUGGGCAAUAUGCUCUCGAAUAAAAUGAAGAUCCAACUCAAUGUGCUUUGUUCGAGAGUGAUACUUAGGAUUGCUAGCUAAUGCCUCAGCACUCUGAUUAUCACAUUAUAGAACAGGACUUUGAGUUGGCUGAAUUUGCAGUUCUUGAAGCAAAUAAGUGAGCCAAAGAAUUUCAGAGGUUGCCGAAGCAAGAGCUCUAUAUUCAGACUCUGCUGAGGAACGAGAAACAAUGGUUUGUUUCUUGGAGGACCAAGAAAUAAUAUUGUUUCCUAAGAAUACACAAUACCCUCCAGUAGACUUUCGAUCAUCAGGAUCAGCUGCCCAAUCAGCAUCAGAAAAUGCUGUUAAAGUCACAGAGCCUGAAUUGAAGAAUUGAAUCCCAAAGUGUGAAGUAGCUUGAAGAUAUCGAAGAACCCUUUUACAAGCUUGCCAGUGUGCAAUGGUUGGAUGAGCUAGGAACUGACUAAGCUUGUUAACAGGAUAAGCUAUAUCAGGUCUUGUUAGCAACACAUACUGAAGAGAGCCCACAAUACUUCUGUAUAAUGAGGGAUUAUCAAAAACUUCACCACUGUCCUUUGUAAGCUUAUCACCUGGACUCAUAGGAGUAUUAAAACCUUUGCUGUCAAGCAUAUUUACUUUUCUAAGGAUAUCACCAAUGUAUUUGGUCUGAGAUAAAUGCAGUCCCUGAACAGAGGGUGUUACUUCAGUACCAAGAAAGUAGUUAAACUCUCCUAGAUCUUUGAGUGCAAACUCUGAAUGAAGAUAUUGAAUAACAGCCUCAAUAUGUUGAGAAUUAGAACCAGUAACUAAAAUAUCAUCAACAUAUAUAAGAAUGAGCACAAUAUCAUGGUCAAUAUGCUGAAUAAACAUGGAUGUAUCAGAUUUUGAGGAUUGAAAACCUUUAUGGAGUAAGGACCCUUUCAACCUCUCAUACCAAGCUCUAGGAGCUUGCUUGAGACCAUAUAAGGCUUUGUUUAACUUGCAAACAUAUGAUGGAUUUGCAAAGUCUAUAAAACCUUGUGGCUGAUGCAUGAACACAUCCUCUUCAAGCAUACCAUUGAGAAACGCAUUAUUAACAUCCAGCUGUCUAAUCUGCCAAUGAUGCAACACUGCUAGACUGAGGACAACUCUGACUGUGCAAGGUUUCACAACUGGGCUGAAGGUCUCAAAGAAAUCCACCCCUUGAGUUUGAUGAUAACCCUUGGCAACCAACCUAGCUUUGUAUUUGGAAAUGCUGCCAUCAGGGUUAUACUUCACCCUAAAUACCCACUUAUUACCAACUAUUUUAGCAGCACUUUCAGAGGGCACUAGAGUCCAGGUUUGAUUUCUUUGCAGAGCAUCAAAUUCCUCUUUCAUAGCACAAAACCACUUGGAGUCAUGCAAGGCACUUUUGACACUAGUUGGCUCAAGAUUUUCAGUAGCUGCUAGAUAUGACUUGGGUUUGAAGAUACCAGCUUUAGCUCUAGUAAUCAUUGGGUGAGAUGGUAAUGAAGAUGAGUGAGUUGGUUCAGCUGAAGGAUGAGAAUAAGAAGGUUGUGCUGAACUGGAACUUGAUGGAGGAGACAUUGCUGAAUGAAAAUUAGGAGAUGAUGACUCUACAUUGCUACUGUCAACCUGAGCAGAAGUUUGAAGAAAAGAAAGUUGUACUGGUGAAGAAGGGACAUCAACAUUGGAGACUUGUGAGGUAGAGUGUUUUAGAAACAAUUCUGUGUUAGGAAACUCAGUUUCAUUAAAAACAACAUGUCGAGCAACAAACACUUUACCAGAUGAAUUUAAACACUUAUAACCUUUAUGAAGUGGACUGUAACCAAUGAAAAUACAUUUUUGAGUAUGAAAGUCAAGUUUAUGCUGGUUAUAAGGUCUGAGGAAUGGAAAACAGGAGCAACCAAAAACCUUUGGAAACUGAUAGUCAGGCAGAUGAUUAUGUAAUUUCUGAAAUGGGGAUAGAUUGUUUAGAACUGAUGUGGGCAUUCUGUUGAUAAGGAAAGAAGCAGUGUGGAAUGCUUCCCACCAAAAGGAGAGAGGUAACUGUGAUUGAGCUAGAAGUGUCAGACCUGUUUCAACAAUAUGCCUGUGUUUCCUCUCAACAACACCAUUUUGAUGGUGUGUAUAUGGACAACUAUACCUAAAACAUAUACCCUCUUGCUGAAGAAAGGUUUUAAAAGCUAUAAAUUCACCCCCCAUAUCUGACUGUAGUGUUUUGAUAGACAAGGAGAACUGUUUUUCAACAAGAAGUUUGAAGUGUUUGAAGGUUUCUAAGGCUUCUGACUUUGCUGUGAGAGGAAAAAUCCAAGAAUAUCGAGUGAAAUCAUCCACAAAAGAGAUAUAAUAUCUGUAUCCACUCAUUGAAUAUUCAGGAGCUGGUCCCCAUAAAUCUGUAUAUAGAAGCUCAAGUGGUGCUUUUGUUUUAAUGGUAGUGACAGAAAAAUGAAGCUGAUGCAUUUUGCCAUGUUGACAAGCAUCACAGAAGCUAAUGAAUUUAUUUGAAAAGCAAUGUGUGGGAAGACUUUUAAUAAUUGUUUGCAAAGCAUGUUUAUUGGGAUGACCAUAUCUAUUAUGUAACAACUGAACUGAUAUCUUUCCAGCUCUAGAAGAAUUUCCAGAAACAGAACAUGCAAAAGCUUCAGACAUAUUUACAUUAUCCAACUUUGACACAUGAUUAUUUGACUCUGGUAAAGAGUUUACAACUUUAUUAUCAAAACAAAAUGACAACAUGGAACUUGGUUUAAAAAGAUUUGGAUUGCAAUCUGCAGAGUAAGGAGAGAAGACAUCAAGUGACAGUAGCUUGUAAAGACCACCUUUAACAAUCCCCUGUGCCAGCAAAGUUCCCUCCUUCUUGUCCUUAAUAAAGCACAUGGUGGAACAAAAUUCAAUGAUUAUGUUAUUAUCCAAAAGAAGUUUAGAUAUACUGAUGAGGUUUUUGGUUAUUUUAGGAACACACAAAGUAUUGGUUAAGGAUAAACAUGUGCCAAAAGAAGUAGAAAGAUGAGUGCAGCCAAUAUGUGUGAUAGUAAGACCUUGUCCAUUUCCAACAAACAACAGUUGAGUACCAUUAUAAGGAUUACCUUCAACCAGGUUUUGCACAUUGUUGGUGAGAUGAUGAGUGGCUCCACUGUCCAGAUACCAUCCCUGAUCAGCAACUCCUUCUGAGGUAGCCAUAUAAGCUGUUCUUGGCCCUGGGUUCUGCAUUGGAGAAUUUGAAACAAAAUUUCUGUUAAAUCUGUUUCUACAAUCAACAGCUGAAUGGUUUGGUUUAAAACAUAUUUGGCAGGUAAUAUUUCCUCUGCCACCUCCUCUACCAAAGCCACCAGAGGACCCUGGAUUUCCACCAUUAAAACCACCAUUUCCACUAAAUCCACCAGUAUUUCCAUUAAAACCACCAGAGUUUGAACCUCUUCCUUGGUUUCCAAACCAGCCUCUCCCUGAGUUUUGAUCCAUAAAGCCACCUCUGCCAGAUCCAUAACCUCCUCUAUUGUUGAAAUUUCCAUUUCCAUUUCUAUUCACAAAAUUAACAUUCCAAUUACCCUGGUUAUUAGUAUUCCAAUUAGCAUUGCUUCCUGACUUCUUCUGAUUAUUACCAGUCUGAGCCACAUUAGCACUAAAAUUCACCUUAGUUUCCUUAGCUACACCAGAAUGAUUACUCUCAAGCCUAGCUUCAUGAGAUAGCAACAUAGAAUAAGCCUCAUUGAUGCUCAUUUUAAGAGCAUUUGCCUCAAUAUAAACUACAACAGGAUAGUAAGCCUGACCUAGCCCUGAGAUUAAAUGUGUAAUGAAGUCAAUAGAGCUAACUGAACUUCCAGCCAUUGCUAAUUCAUCAGUUACUGACCUUAGUUUACAAAAAUAUUCAGUAAUUGACAUGGAUCCUUUCUUAAGAUUGUUUAGCAGCAUCUUUAAAUGCACUUUCUUAGCUGCUGUUUCAAAUCCAAACUGUUCCUCUAAGCUUAUCCAAAGUUCUCGAGAGUUUUUAGAAUUUACCACAAUGCUUAAGAUCUCCACACUGAUUGAAGAUAGAAGCCAGCUCAAGAUCAUCUGAUCUUGCCUUUUCCAAGUAGUGUAGGCAGGAUUUUCUGAGAUGACUGCCGCAUCUGUGCUUGUUGAUUCACCAGUCAGCAGCUGGUUUGGACAGGUACGUGAUCCAUCAAGAAAACCUUCCAGAUCAUUUGCUCGAAUGGCUGAAAGGAUCUGAGAUUUCCAUAUAGUAUAAUUCGAUCUGUCAAGCUUGAUUGGUGUGGCGAAAGUAAAUGUUGAGAUUGCGGAAGAAACAUUUGUACUAAGACUUGAAGAAGCCAUGAUCAAGAAGUGAUUCAAGGCUCUGAUACCAAAUUAGAAUUUGAUCAACAGAUUUGGAGUGUUUGUUUACAGAGAAAAUCUAAGAGAAAAUGUAAGAAACUUUAGCUGAGAAUAUUCAUUUUGUUCAACUUAAUAACAGAUUGAGAUUACAAAGCUUAUAUACUGCUAUCAAGAAUCAUCUUAACACAUACAUCAUUUUCACGUGUAUUUAUCUUUGAGAGAAGCUAAAUAACCAGCUUAACAAACUCACAACUACUUUGCUGACUGGACUGCCACGUCACCAUAACUAACUUAACUAAUCCAAUCAGUUAAUCACAGUUAACACAUAUUCUUAUCAUGUAAUCUGUGUGAAGUACUUGAUUGUUUCCAUGUUACUUUCAAACAUUUAAAUUAAAAAGGAAAUUUUCAUAAUCUUGCCUUUUCUAUGAUUUUCAAAACCAAGGUUGAUCUACUGAAGAACAAGUUUGGGUUCGACGAGGCAUUUAACUAUAAAGAAGAAGCUGAUUUGAAUGCAGCAUUGAAAAGGUUAGCAUCAAUAAAUGCCUUAGCUUGAUGCAGCUUGAUGAAGUAUGAUACACAUUUCUGACCAAUAUACUGCGUUCCCUGAUCUCUUACUUGAAAUAUCUUGGUUUGAGAACCUCAUGCCAAUGCCUUUAACAUUUUGGCAGGUACUUUCCUGAAGGAAUUGAUAUAUAUUUUGAAAACGUUGGUGGAAAAACGCUUGAUGCAGUGCUACCCAACAUGAAAAUCCGUGGUCGAAUUGCUGCAUGCGGUAUGAUCUCACAGUACAAUCUUGACAAGCCUGAAGGUGUGCACAACUUGAUGUAUCUUGUUUUGAAACGGCUUCGAAUGGAAGGAUUCAUUGUUCUCGAUCACUAUCACCUUUAUCCAAAGUUUCUGGAAAUGAUCAUUCCUCACAUCAAAGAAGGGAAGCUUGUAUACGUCGAAGACAUGGCUGAAGGUCUGGAGAGUGCUCCGGCAGCUCUCAUCGGUCUAUUCUCUGGCCAGAAUGUUGGGAAACAGGUGGUUGCUGUUGCUCCUGAAUGAAGAACAAGUUAGUGUUGUAUGUUCUUUUACCCUUUGACACAAAACUUCAAUGUCAAAGAGAGAAUGCUGCUCAUACUGCUUUAUAAAAUAAUCAAAUGAGUGCAAGUUUCAUGAUAUUUGCUGAAUAAAAUAUUGGAAAUUAAGCAGCUAGCCUAGCUCCUUCUUGUAGUUGCAGUUUGAAUGAUGCUGCUGCACAACUGCUGCCGAAAAAAAUCCUUAAUAGAUGAUUAGCAAGGUUUCAAAAAUAAAAAUAAAUGUUUGUGCAAUGUGCCGAAUAUGACAGCCACAAAGAAAGAGCAUACAAAUUGAUUGGUUUUAUGUCUUCUCUAGGAGAAAGCUACAAUACAAGAAAUUGUAUUGAUGGAGCCUUGGACCAAAUUUCUUAUUUAAAUUUUUAAUUUUUUUUAUUAAAUUACUUAUGUUAUUAUGGUUUAUAUUUUUAGAAAUUCUUUAGAAAUUAAUACAGAACUAGUAGCAAGUUGAGAAAUCUACUGAAUGGUCAAGAUAUGAUAAUGUUUAUUGAAUUAAAUUAACAAUCAUCAUUUUCAUAAAUUAUUGUCAGGAUAUUUGAUUCAUGUCAGGUGUAAGUAACUAAGAGAGCGUUUGGGACAGACACCACAGUUGCUCCCGAUGCUUUAUUUUAGGGAAAUAUCCCCUGGAAUAAUGCAUAGGGCGCAGCCCCAAACGGACCCUAAAUGUGCUAAAAAAAAAUUAAUGAGUUGGGUGUGUUUGAUAUUCAUUUGUUGUAAUUCUUUUAAUAAUUAUUGUAGAAAAAAAUAUGAUAAAAAAUUUAUAAUUAUAAAUAAAAAUUAAUAAUAUAAUAAAUAAAAUUUUUAAACAAUAAUUUUAAUAAAAUAAUAAAUAUAUUAUCAAUUUUUCAUCGUUAAUAUUUAAGUCACAAUAAUAAAUAUUUAUUAAACACUUUAAUACUAUAACUAACACUACAACUUUUGAAUUAUAACAGUACAUUCUAAAGACCGUGGAACAAUAGUACAAAAGGUGCUCGUCGUGUAAACAACACAUGGGACCCAAGCAAUAAAUGUUUCUGAUCCUCAACUUUCCUCAUCACUGUCCCUGCAAACAAUUCUGAUUUUCUUGUCUGAUAAAAAAACUGAGAAACAAUGGCGGCCGAACAAGAAGCUGUGAGCAAUAAUGUAAAGCCACAAAUUUUCAUAAUAUUAAAUUAUGAAAAUUGGGCUUUCAUUGAGAAUUAUGGGUGGCCUAUAACCCUUAUUAAGAAAGGGAUACUAAUUAUAAAUACAAGUUAUUUAUGAGAUAGUUUUGAAAAAAUGUUAUUUUUCCUUAUUAAAUAAGGUUUCUUAAGACUCCCUAUAAAUUCAUACUUUUUCCCUUCCAUGACCCUAAGUCCAUGACGUUUAUUCUUCUUCUCUGCUGCUCUUUACGCUCCUACCCAAAUCAUAGGAUUCAAACCUUUGUUUAGGAGAGAAUCAAAGCGACGAGUAAGUUAUUCUCCCUAUUCUCAACAGAUUUCUAAUCACUCUAUCUAGGGUUUAUAUUGGCACGAUUCUAGAUGGUUAUAGAUCAUAAUGCAUGAUUUAGAAUGUAUUUAGGCUUUGUUUAGGGUUUUGAUUUAUUAUGAGUUUAGUUAAUCAAUCCUUGACGUAUUAAGCACAGGAUAAUUCUGGACAAUAUGAGUAUCUCGAAUUUAAACCUAUAUUUUCUGAACGAGUUUUAUUAUAAAAUUUAUAUUUCUGGAAACUAGACAUGUAGGGCUUCUUGAGUAAAUUUUAUUUCAUUAAAUUCGACUUCGUUUUCAAUUUUAUAUUUAUUUUCGAAAUAGAAACCACUGCACUGGAAAACUGCGAUUCCAGCAUUGCGAUCGGAUUCACAAGACUAUUUGUACCACCAAACGAACUCGGAAAAUUCUGAAAGUUUAUAUGUAGGUUAAUAUAUGUGUCUAGGAUUACCAGUUUUAAUUUCAUAAUUUUCUGAUUAGUAUUUUAUUUUAUAAAAAUCACAGAACCCGUUCUGUUUGGUUUAGAUUAUGUGAAAACAGUUUCGAAUUUGCUGAGAAAUAAAUAGUUUCGAAAAUGUUUUUGAUAUCGGAUCCUCUUGCAAAUUUUACAUAGGGUACUCAUGGAUGUCCAGAAUAGUCCCAUAGAAUAUUAUAUCAUUCUGAGUCUUAGAUUAAGAGUUAAAUUCUGAGAAUCAGACCUGUACGGGUAUGAAUUAGAAAAUCAGAUUCUUAGAAUAAGUUAUUAAUUGUCAUAUCUUGUAUUUGUUUAAGGUGUUGAAGGUGAUUGAGGUUCUUAGAAGCUUAAAGGUGUGUUAAUUCAAAUUCAUUUGUCGAGGUAAGUUACUUCAUUCCUACUAUAUUGGAUAUGUAUAAGUAUUUUGAUAUUAUCAUUAUAAGUAUAAAUGUUUUCAUACUAUUUAGAAGAUUAAUGGAUUUUCAUAACAAAAUUAGCUUAUGAAAAUGUUUUCAAAACCUAAUUUCUUUUUAACAAAGCAUUUUAUAAAUACUUUUUAAAUAUGUAAGUUAUUUUGUUACAUGCCUACUUUUAUGAUUUUAUUUAUAAAAUAUUUUGCAAGCCUAAAUUAUUGUUAUGGACUUUUAUGAAUCCGAUACGAAUGUUUUAUGCCUAUGCAUGAUUUCAAUUAUAUAUGAUUGUAUGGGGGCCACCUCUUGGGACUAUAUGGGGGCCACCUCUUGAAGGCCAAAGUGUCGCAAAGUGCCACAUAUAGUGCAAAGUGCCACGUAUAAGUCAUUAUGUUUUGGCUCAUUGUCCGUAGUCAUUUUGAUUCUGAUUCUGAUCAUAUAAUACGAUAUAUGUCUGUUUUGGACCAGUACUGGGUUUCUGUUCUGAGUGUGCACACGAUAUUUUGAUUCUGUUUCUGGCCGGGUCACUGGGACUAUAGGUGACACUAUGUGACAAGAGCUAACCUUUUGUUUUCUGUAUACGUAUUAUAUGAUUUACUUCAUAAGUAAAUAUGCUUUUGGAUAUUCGGAAUUAUUAAGAAUUUAUGUUAUGUUAUCGUGAUAUAUUGUUUUAUGAAAUUUAUGGAUUAUGAUAUAUGUUUUAAACAAAAGAAGGCUUGCAAUAUUUUUGUAUCGAUAGGCCCAGUAUGUUAGAAAUUGUUUUACUUACCGAGUUGACGGCUCACCCCUCGUCAUUACUUUUUGCAGAUUAAGUUUCUUUUGAGAGGUGCGCUUAGCUUUGGAGUUAGUAAUUUUCCGUUUCCAUUUGCCAUUUGAAUAAGAGGAGGAAUAAACUCGUGUUUCUAUUUAGUUAUUUCUAUUAUGAACGUGUAAUUUGGAGUUUGAGACUUUUGUUAUUAUUUUUAUGUCCUCGGGAGAGAUUAUUUAGUAUUAGACGUUAGAAUUUGUGGAUUUAUUUGAAUAAGAAUUGGAGGUAUUUCAGUUUGAAACUUAUGAGUAAAGAUUAUGAUUUGUGAGUAACCUCCUUCUUCACGUGCUCCGCACGUGUUAGAUUUGGGGUGUUACAAAUAAGCGGGUGAUUCUAAGCAACUAUGUGACAGGUUUUCCAAAAGAAUCAGACAUGAAGAUAACAAGUGGAUCAAUAAAGCUGAAGGUAGCAGACUGUUCAAAAGACACGGUGCUUUUGAAGAAUCUUUAUCUUUCUUGUGAUCCUUACAUGCGAGAGCGUAUGAGCAAGCUUGAUAGCCCUUCUUUUGUUGAUUCAUUCCAUCCUGGUGAGGUUAGUUCAUCACGGCCCAUCUCUUGAUUUUUUUUUUUCAUUUGCUUCAAGUUUUGAUGAGUUUCUGAGGUAAUUUGUACGGUUUUGGAAUUUGAACACAAUUUGUGAUUUUGGUGCUGUAACUGUCAUUAAUGAUAUGUAGUAAUUCAAUCGGAAUUUGGAUUUAGUGCUGAUAUGAUCUCUGCUCAUUUUUUUAAAUCUUGUGUCCACAUGCAUUUUUGAAAUCUGGUACGGUUGAGAUUGUAUGUAGAUUAACCUACGUACAGUAUUCUUGUCUAAUGACUACUAACCACAACCUUAUGAGACGAUCGAAACCAAGCUCGGAUCAAUAAUCCAAUCGAGAGAGGAUCAUAACUGAAGCUUAUCGUGUGUGGGAAUAUUUCGGUUAAAUUGUAAUCAUGAUCAUGAAUCAUGCAGGGAAAAGGGAAGUUGAGGUCAAUUUAUGCACUUGAUGGAAUUAAAGAACCAAUAUUUGAUUUUGGUUUACAUUAUUUCUCAGUAAUGGUGACUUUGUGAUGUUAAAUUUAUGCAGCCUAUAAACGGAUAUGGGGUGGCCAAAGUUUUGGAUUCUACACAUCCAAAUAAUGCAAAAGAUGACUUGGUUUGGGGCUUUACCGGGUGGGAGCAGUACAGUCUCGUUACAGCUCCGCAGCUUUUGAUUAAAAUUCAUCAUAAAGAUGUGCCACCUUCAUACUAUACCAGGAUCCUCGGUAAUGAUUUUUGUUACACAUUAAGCUUUGCUUAUAGUAAUAUCAAUACAUAUGCUGCUUAAAUGCUUUCUGAUUUUUUGCCGGCCAUUGUCCAUUUUGCCCGGGAGACUAUAAUUGAAGGAAUUUACUGAAGGAAUGCUGAUUGUUGGGAAUUUGAUUAUUCUAGGUAUGCCUGGUGUAACUGCAUACGCUGGUUUAUAUGAAGUUUGCUCUCCGAAGAAAGGAGAGUAUGUCUAUGUAUCUACAGCAUCUGGAGCUGUUGGUCAGCUUGUUGGACAGUUUGCAAAAUUAGCUGGUUGCUAUGUUGUUGGAAGUGCUGGAAGCAAAGAAAAGGUGCUGUUAUAUCAUUCUUAAGUAGUAAAUAUAGCACCGUGCCUUCUAGCAGAAUUUUACAUGCUUUAUGUUCCAACUAAGCAUCCAUAUUUGAUCGUGAUAAUUAGCAAGGUCAAUAAUUUUUUUUUGACUAUUUUUUCAACGUAAGGUCGAUUUGUUGAAGAACAAGUUUGGACGAUGCUUUUAACUACAAGGAAGAGCCAGACUUGGAUGCAGCGCUCAAAAGGUCAGCUGCAACAAACGUUUCAACUCUAAUAUUUCAUUUUAAUAUUACAGAGCUUUGGUUGAAGUGUGUGAGUUGAUCCCAGAAACGUAACUUCAUCAGUGUCUCUGUUUUCAAAAAACAGGACAAAUUAAAAUCUGAUUUUGCGUUAAAAUUUCCCAGAUGUUUCCCUCAAGGAAUCGACAUCUAUUUCGAAAAUGUUGGGGGAAAGAUGCUGGACGCAGUGCUACUCAACAUGAGGCUCCGGGGCCGCAUUGCGGUAAGCAGUAUGAUCUCACAGUACAACCUGGAAAAACCCGAAGGCAUACACAACUUAGAGCAACUGAUCGGGAAACGGAUUCGCCUGGAAGGAUUUCUAGCAGGUGAUUACUAUCACCUCUAUCUGAAAUUCUUGGAACUGGUCAUUCCUGCAAUCAGAGAAGGAAAGAUGGUGUAUGUGGAAGACAUAGCCGAAGGACUCGAGAAAAUUUCUCGUAACUGCUACACAUUAAACGCGUUUCACAUUUCCACUCUCUCUCUAUAAAUAAACACGCACAUAAAAUUUCUCACUAUCCAAAAACAAAAUCUACAUAAAAAAUGGCGGGUGAAGAAGGAGUGAGCAACAAGCAGGUGAUUCUGAGCAACUACGUGACAGGGUUUCCCAAAGAAUCAGACAUGAAGAUAAUAGCAGGCUCAAUAAACCUCAGGUGCCAGAGGGUUCAAAAGACACAGUGCUUUUGAAGAAUCUUUGUCUUUCCUGUGAUCCUUACAUGAGAGGACGUGUGAGCGAGCUUGAUAAGCCUUCGUUUGUUGCCUCGUUCGAGUCUGGCGAGGUCAGUUACUUCAAUUCCCAUCUCUUGGUUUCAUAAUCUUUUAUGGUUUUAGAAGGUGUUUUAGGGAAACAUUGUGGUUUUGGUUAGUGGGCAUGAGCCUUUGAAGAGAUUAUAAUGUGUAGGACUAUGUAUGCAAUAAUAAGUAUAGGGGAUCUUGUUAGGAGAAGAUUCUCUUAGCAAAAUAAAAACUUUUAUCUUAUCAAAACAUAUGCAGGGAACUUAGUUAUGAUGUCAUGUUAGCAUUGUCUCUGAGGAUUUGAUUUCUUGAUGGGGAAAGGGGAAUUUAAGGUUACAUUAUUCAGCAAUGGUUUUUUUUUUUUUUUUUUAAUUAUGUUCAAAUUAUGCAGCCUUUGAGCGGAUAUGGAGUGUCCAAAGUGUUGGAUUCCACGCAUCCAAAUUAUAAGAAAGAUGACUUGGUCUGGGGCUUAACCAGUUGGGAGGAGUUCAGUCUCAUCCAAUCACCACAACUUCUGAUUAAAAUUCUGGAUACAAGUGUGCCUCUGCCAUACUAUACUGGGAUUCUUGGUAAGUUGUUACUAAAUUUAUCAAUGUCCAGUUCGCAUGAGCUGAAAAUCAUGUUUUAUUUAAUGCAAUGAGAGAGGGAAAUAGUAUGCUGCUUGAACGUCUAGCAUUUUGAAUUUUCAAUGAUUGUACCCUACGUAUUGGCAUGUAACUGAAGGAUUUCUCUUGAGGAAUUUACUAUUUUUUCUGAUUGUCGGGUAUUUUUCUGUUGACUCUAGGUAUGCCUGGUUUGACUGCAUAUGGUGGUUUAUAUGAGCUUUGCUCUCCUAAGAAAGGAGAGUAUGUCUAUGUAUCUGCAGCAUCUGGAGCUGUUGGUCAGCUUGUUGGGCAAUUUGCGAAGCUGGUAGGUUGCGAUGUUGUUGGAAGUGCCGGAAGCAAAGAAAAGGUGAGUUUGCACCUUUAACCCUUACGCUCUAAAUAAAAACAUAACACCUUCUGAAAGAAUUUGCAUAGAGAAUUUUGCAUGUCACAGUAUUUGUGUUCUAACUAAUCAUGGAUAUUUGAUCAUUAGUCUAACUAAAACUGACUUAUUACCACCUAGUUGAUUGGUCUUUGAGAAAUGUUAGUUGAUAUAUGCUUGAAAUCAUACUUUGUUUUAUUAGAUGAUUAUAUUAACCUGCUUCUUUUUCUUUGUGCUGUUUCUCGUUUGAUUACAUUUUCAACAUUAGGUCGAUCUAUUGAAGCACAAGUUUGGGUUUGAUGAUGCUUUUAACUAUAACGAAGAGCCUGACUUGGAUGCAGCUCUUAAUAGGUUAUCACGAAUGAAUGCCUUAACCAUUUUUCUCACUUCAUUAUUACAAUGCGCUGAUUGAAGUAAUCAGUGUUGGCUCUGAAAAUGUAAUGUAUACUUCUCUGUUUUCAUAAAACAGGACAAACAGUGAUCAGUGAUCUCAUUCGUUACAUUGAUAUUUUCUACCAUUGCCAUAUGCCCAUACAUAGUAUAAACUAGGAAUUCAGUUGCUUAAUUGAUAUUCAUUUCAGAGGGAAAUUUUCACUUGCAGCUAACAGAAUCAUGUUUGUGAUGUAUGUUUAUUUGGGAAAUGAAAGGAUUUGCUGCAUUAUUUUAUUCCAAGUUUGCUGAAAUCAUAUUUGUUUUCCCAGCUGCUUUCCUGAAGGUAUCGACAUCUAUUUCGAAAAUGUUGGGGGUAAGAUGCUUGAUGCAGUGCUAUUCAACAUGAGAAUUUGUGGCCACAUCGCUGUAUGCGGAAUGAUCUCACAGUACAACAUUGAGAAGCCUGAAGGUGUACACAACUUGAUGCAAGUAGUUGGAAAACGAAUUCCCACGGAAGGAUUUCUUGCCGGUGAUUUCUACCACCAAUAUCCAAAAUUCUUGGAACUGGUUAGUGGUUAUGGCGGCAAUCAAAGAAGGAAAGUUAGUAUAUGUCGAGGACAUAGCUGAAGGCCUUGAGAAAGCUCCAUCAGCUCUAGUUGGGAUAUUCACUGAGCAGAAUGUUGGAAAACAACUGGUUGCAGUUGCUCGGGAAUGAUAUGAUUAUUAUAUGACCAUGGACUUUAAAAGCUUAGUGAAGAUGCCUCUGUCUUAUUUGUGAUCCAUGUUAUGUUUGUUUGAGAUACAUGUUAUGUUUGUUUGAUCAAGCUGUACUCAGAUAUAAAUCAAAGAUUCAGAACAUGUGUAUGAUACUGGUUUCUAAAUCAAUGAACGCUUUGAAAUGUUAGUGUUUUCACAGGAGAAUGCAAUUUAAUUCAUCAACAAUGUCCCAACAAGACCCUCAGAGCUGUAGCUUGUAAAGUUAAUUACCAUAUUUUUUUGUAAAGUUAAUUACCAUAUUUUUUUCUUUCCAAUAUAUUGCUUAUUUCAUAGAAAGUUUACAUUAAAGUCUCAUGUUUCUUUGAAAGGUAAGCAAGUGUGAACGUUUCAAUCUAGAGCUGGAAAAUGCAUUUCCGGGCAACUUACUUGAUAAAUGAAGUUUUCAUCUCUGACCAUGAUGUUUCCCACAGGUGCAUUCAUUUCAGCUGAUCUAUUUAAUUUUGUUUUCGAAGGAGUGACACAAAAUCUCCUUUGUUAAGGGGAGAAUUUAGAGCGGCUUUGACUGUUAUCAAAUAGCCUAAUGUAAGACUUAACCAACUUCCUGCCCUGUUGUAUUCUUAUGAAUUUUGAUAGAGCUAAGAGUUUGCAGAAGCUACUGUAUUAUAUGUCGUUAGAGGCUGUAAAAAUCAAACACAUUUAAAUUUCAAUGAAAAUUUACUGGAAGUAAAUUUCCUAUGAUCCUACAGGUGACUAAUUAAUGAGAACUUGACAAUGACAAAAGAAAGUGUAUGAACUUUGCAGGCUGGCAUGCCAAUAUUGACUGGGUGGCACCAUCCACCAUCUGCAAGUGAAUAUCAUUGUUGUUUAAUCAACAUGGUGGAGUCCACUGGGACCACACCACAUCAUCAGCCUUAUCUCUAUUCCUCAAUUUUCAGUAUUCCAUACAUCAAACCAAUUUCAGUUUUGUUAUCAAUUAUAACUUUAUUGUUGGUGACGAUUCUGAUUCCUUUCUGACAAAAGGGAACCAUGGCUGCUGCUGGAGAGAUCUUACUCAACGCCUUCUUUCAGGUACUGUUCGACAGGUUGGCUUCUCGUAAUUUGAUCAGCUUUGUGCGUCAACUCCAAGGCGGGGUUGAUUCGGAGCUCAAAAAGUGGGAGAAAAAGCUGAAGAUGAUUCAGGCUGUCCUCUGCGAUGCAGAGGAGAAGCAACUGACCAACGAGGCUGUGAAGAUGUGGCUGGACGAACUCCAAGACUUGGCUUAUGACGCUGAGGACAUUCUUGAUGAGUUUGCUACUCAAGCUUUGGAAAGCAAGUUGAUGGCGCAAAAUCACGAUAGUUCUGGCCAGGUUCUCAGUUUCAUCCCGGCUGGUUUGAAUCCGAAUGCUAUUAUGUUCAAUUAUAGCAUGGGGUCCAAGAUUAAAGAUAUUACUAGCCGGCUGGAUCAACUCUGCCAAGAAAGAAUUGAACUUGGACUGCAACGGAUUACCGGAGAGGCAUCAUCAACUGCUGCUGGUGCACACCAGAGGCCACCCAGUUCGAGUGUCCCAACAGAACUUGAAGUAUUUGGAAGAGAAGAAGAUAAGGCCAAAAUUCUUGAUAUGUUAUUAGCCGAUACCCUAAGUGAUCAUGCUAACUUUGUUGUAAUACCCAUUGUUGGCAUGGGUGGGAUAGGAAAAACAACUCUUGCUCGGGAGGUUUACAAUGACAAGGCCGUUGGAGAUUGCAAGUUUGAUGUAAAAGCAUGGGUUUGCGUAUCUGACGUCUUUGAUGUUUUGGGCAUCUCAAAGGCACUUCUCGAGUCAAUCACCCGCACGCCUUGUCUUCUAAACAGUUUAAAUGAAGUGCAGGUUGAAUUGAAAGUAGCUGUGGAUAAGAAAAGAUUCUUGCUGGUCUUAGAUGAUGUUUGGAACGAGGACUACAGCUUGUGGGUAGACUUAAAAGCUCCGUUCCUGGGUGCUGCACCAAACAGUAAGAUGAUCGUCACCACGCGCAAUUCAAAUGUUGCAUCAACAAUGGGACCAGUUGAACAUUACAAUCUCAAGAGUCUGUCAGAUGAUGAUUGCUGGUCCAUUUUCAUAAAGCAUGCAUUUGAAUCUAGAGAUCUUAACGAACAUCAAAUUUCAGAAUCAUUCCGCAAGAAAGUUGUUGCCAAGUGUGGAGGCUUGGCCCUGGCAGCAAAAACACUCGGAGGCCUUCUGCGUACGACGAGGCAUGAUGUGUGGGAUGAUAUAUUAGAGAGCAAAAUAUGGGAUUUACCUCGACAAAGUGGGGUUCUCCCAGUAUUAAGAUUGAGUUACCAUCAUCUUCCUUCUCAUUUGAAAAGAUGUUUCGCUUACUGUGCAAUCUUUCCAAAAGAUUAUGAAUUCAAUGAGAAGGAGGUGACUUUUUUAUGGAUGGCCGGAGGUAUUAUUCGACAGUCCAGAAGCAAAGAGAGGCUAGAAGAUUGGGGCAGCAAGUGCUUCUAUGAUCUGGUGUCAAGGUCAAUUUUUCAGCAAACAGCAAUCUCUGAUAGUUCUAAAUUUGUAAUGCAUGACCUUAUUCAUGAUCUUGCUGAAUUGGUCUCUGGAGAAACCAUAUUCAGGUUAGAGGAGGCCAAUACUCUGUCAAGAAGAUUUGAAAGGGUUCGCCAUUCUUCCUAUGCUUGUGGUGGACGUGAUGGUAAAAAUAUGUUCGAGGUUUUCAAUGAAAUUGAACAUCUACGAACAUUCUUGCCAUUACGCUUACGCAUAAGAGGUGGCUCUAAUACUAGUUUCAUAACUCGUACGGUUCUAUCUGAUUUGCUGCCGAAGUUCAAAAUGUUGAGAGUGCUAUCUUUACAAGGAUACCGUAUCGGUGAGUUACCAAUUCCAUUUGAAGAUUUGAGACUUCUAAGGUUCCUCAACCUUGCUGACACUGACAUAAGAAGUUUACCUGAGUCAACAUGCAAAUUGCUGAACUUGGAAAUUUUGAUAUUAAGAAAUUGUUCCCGUUUGAUAAAGCUUCCGCAGAAAAUGAGGAAUUUGAUCAAUUUACGUCAUCUCGAUAUAAGAGGUGCAAAGCUGCUAAAGGAGAUGCCAUUUGGAAUGAAAGAGUUGAAGAAGCUUCAAACAUUGUCCAAUUUUAUUGUAGGCAAGGGUGAAUCCGCAUCUGGUUUGGAAGAUUUAAAAAGUUUAAACCUUCUUUGUGAUGAACUCUGCAUUGCUGGAUUAGAGAAUGUAAAUAGUCCACAGAAUGCAAGAGAAGCCACAUUAUGUGAGAAGCACAAUCUUGAAGCAUUGACUCUAGAAUGGGGGUCUCAAUCUGACAGUCCUCGGGAUGCAGUACUAGAAGAGAAUGUACUUGACACUCUACAACCUCAUGAACGUAUAAAAGAGCUGGCAAUCAGGCACUAUGGUGGUGCAGGAUUUCCACUUUGGAUCGGACAUCCUUUGUUCUCCGAGAUGAAGGUCCUUAAAUUGGAGAACUGUGACAAGUGUGUAUCUCUGCCAUCGCUUGGCCUGAUGAAUUCACUUAAGCACCUUGCUGUUAAAGGGCUGAAGAAACUAAAAAGCAUAGAGUCUGCGGUCUUUCCAUCAUUGGAGACUCUAAGUUUUGAGAAUUUGCCAGAAUGGCAGCAUUGGAACACCAAUAUCAAAGGAAAUGAGCCUGUUGAAAUAUUUCCUCGUCUCCAAGAACUUUCCAUUGCAGAAUGUCCCCAACUCUCUGGAGAACUGCCUGAGCUCCUGCCUUCUUUGGAGACACUUGUUGUUAGUAAAUGUGGAAAGUUGGUAGUUCCAUUGUCAAGCUAUCCGAUGCUCUGCAGAUUAGAAGUUGAUGAGUGCAAAGAGCUAGUGUGCAGGACUCCAAUUAAUUUUGAGUUGAUAAAGUCUGUGACUAUUUCAAAUAAUUCAUUACUCAUGAAUGGAUGCAAGGAGAUGCUAUGCCAUGGUCAAGCUGGCUCUUCACUGCAGAAACCCAAGACUAUUAUGAAUGUUUUGGAGUUCGGAAAAUUAUUGAAGCCUGGAUUUCAGAUAUUAGAAACUUUGGUAAUUGGCAAUUCUGAACGGCUCAAGUCAUGGAGUACUUUUAUUGAACCAGGGCUACAUUUGCUCGCUUCCCCUGAAGAGGUAGCAAUUGAAGAAAGUUGUGUACGUCUUGUUUUGUUUCCAGAGAUCAAUUUCUUUCCCAGAAAUCUGCGCUCUCUUCGAAUUUGCAACAGCACUGCUUUCAAAUCCUUACCCGAGGAAAUGAUGGAAAACAAUUCACAACUCGAAAGGUUGUAUAUCAGAGAUUGCGACUCUCUAACAUUCAUCGCAAGACGGAGGCUACCAGCAUCUCUUAAAAGGCUUGAGAUAGAAAAUUGUGAGAAAUUGCAACGUCUGUUCGAUGAUGAAGAGGAUGCUUCUUCUUCUUCUCCUUCAUCCUUGUCUUCCCCAGUGAUGCUGCAACACCUGAGAAUAGAGAAUUGCCCAGAGCUCACCAGUUUAUCAUCGGGUGUCCAAUUCCUUGAGGCGCUUGAAUACCUCAAGAUAGAGCAUUGUCCAAAGCUGGAGUCAAUACCGGAUGGCCUGCCCAAUCUUAAAUGUUUACAGAGCAUUUAUAUACGGAAAUGUCCAAGUCUUGUUUCCUUCUUAGAAAGAGGGCUUCCCAACGCCAUUUCAAGUUUUUACAUUUGCAGAUGUGACAAGCUCGAAGCCUUGCCCAAUGAUAUGCACAAACUCAACUCUCUUCGAGAUUUAAGCAUACAUGGGUGUCCAAGUCUUGUUUCCUUCCCAGAAAGAGGGCUUCCCAACGCCAUUUCAAGGGUUUACGUUUGCAGAUGUGAGAAGCUCGAAGCCUUGCCCAAUGAUUUGCACAAACUCAACUCUCUUCGAGGUUUAAGCAUACAGAUGUGUCCAAAUCUUGUAUCGUUUCCAGAAGAAGGUUUUCCUACCAAUCUAACAUCACUUACAAUUAGAUAUUUCAAAAUGUAUAAGACACUCGUCCAGUGGGGGUUGCACAGGCUUACCUCUCUUAAACGCCUCUGGAUUGCUGUACGUGAUGAUGAAGCAGAGUGUUUUCCAGACGAGGAGAUAGGAAUGACGCUGCCCACCUCUCUCACCGCUCUGCACCUUACUGGAUUCGAAAAUUUGAUAUUUCUGUCUUCAAUGGGUUUUCAAAACCUCACCUCUCUUCAAUCUUUGAGGAUCGAGAAUUGCCCGAAUCUCACAUCAUUUCCAGAGGUGGGCCUUCCAUCCUCACUUUUGGAAUUACACAUUAGAGAUUGUCUAAAGCUUAAAAAAGCGUGCAAAAGAGAUCAAGGAAAAGAGUGGCCCAAAAUUGCUCACAUCCCUCGCGUUGAGAUAGACGAUAAAUUCAUAUACGAUCCAGAAGCAGAGUAGAUUCUAUUAUUAAGGUCAGUUGAUUUGUAUUAUCCGCUAUAACAAGCUCCUCCUUUUUUUUUCAAAUAAUAAUUUUGCAGUCACUCAUAUGAUUCCGUUUUCACAAGUCAGAUUGUAUGUUGAGGCUAUUUGCCUUUUAAUUAUAACACUUAUUGGAGUAUAAUAUUUUGGAGCAAGCAUACUUGAAAUUUCUGUCUUCAAUAUUUUGAUGCUUUUUUAAUUUUUGAUCUAGUAAAAAUACAUAGCCUUCACCGGCAGGAUUCUAGUCUUGGCUUUCACCUCUCUAACUCAUCGUCCCCACUGGGAUUCCAGAAAUUGAAAUUUCUGUCUUCAAUGGGUUUUCAAAGCCUCGCCUCUCUUCGAUUUUUAUGGAUCGCUUCGAUUUUUGCACAAAUCUCACAUCAUUUCCCGAGGUCGAGGAAAAGAGCGGCCCAAACUUGCUCGCAUCCCUUGGGUUAUGAUAGAUGGAAAAUUCAUAUACGAUCCAGAGUCAGAGGUGUUGAUUCUCUUAUUAAGGUCAACUGAUUUCUAUUAUCCACUCUGACAAUCUCCUAUUAGUGUUUUUCCUUUUCUUUUUCAAAAUUUUGCAGUUCUGUAUAAUUGAAAAUGCCACUCACUUGUUUCCUUUUUCGCAGGUCAAAUAGUGCGUUGAGGCUAUUUGCUUUCUAUCGGUGUUUGUUAAGGUAAUUAGUGCUCCAUCAUAGGUAUGACUGGAUUUUUUUCACUUCCGUAAAUAUUGCAUUUCUAUCGGUGUUUGACUGGAUUUUUUUCACUUCCGAAAAUAUUGCAUUUUAGACUGGCAAAUUUAGCAGUAAUUUUAAUACAAUUUUGUUGGUGCCUUUUGUUCCAGAAGCUAGAAAAAUGUGUAGUUUUCAGAUAAGGAGGCUUGUCAGUUCUCUAAUAAGAAUCCAAUAAUUUGCUUUUGCACGUCCAUCUAAUUUGUGGAUCCUUGCAUCAGAAUUUGAUCAAUCCAAAAGGAAUUGCUUUUAGACAGAGGAAGAAUAGCAGUACCUAGCCUAUGUCAUAGUGUAUGGAACCGCAAACCUGAAACUAUUAGAUUGAGGUAAAAAAAUCAUUGACCCCCUCACAUGUUAACUUCUUCUAGUUACUUUCGUUGGAAAAAAAAACAUUUAAGGAAUUUGCAAUUUGUUGUUGGUUAUGGUAUCUGAUGUUCUUUUCUGUUUUAGUGUUUGUAGAAUCUACUGUAUUAUGUGUUGGCAGUUGCCGUAUCUGAGGUAACUUGCCUUUAUUUGACAAAGAUUUAGAGAAGCAUCUCAAAACACUUAGUAAACUUGACAAACUUCAAGAUGCACUUGCCCCCACGCCUUAUUCUCCACAACGCAAAACUUGUGAGUACACCUAUGCCUGCAAUUAUUGUGAAGUGUUUUCAAUUUUGAUGCAGAGAAAUGGUUUCUUGAUGCAAAAUAUUAAACUGUUAAGAUUUAUCCUGCAGGCUUGUUAGAUGCUGUAUGCUCGAAAAGCCAACAACAUCCAGAACUAGAACUCCAAGACCAGCUUUGCGUUAAUUCAGUCAACUGUAAUAAUAAUGCAAAUGACACUAUAUCAAGCUGGACUUAGAGACUAGUCAGAUCAAUCAUCCAUUUCAUCAACGGUUAAUGUCAUGAUGGUGGCUAUCAGAGGAAACAAAAGAUGUGUCGGAAUCUAUACGAACAUUGAGAAGCAUGAGAGGAGCUUUGAUUUUGAGUAGGGUCAAUGAACUCAUGUUGGUAAGUGGUAAUUAAAGAAAUUUGUAAGCUUAGUAGAGUUUCAGUAUUUUCUGUUUGGAGUAUAGUUGAUAAGUUGACUCUGUUUAAUAAGCCCGAUUAUAGUAGCUGACUGUAUUAACCUUUUUUUUUUUGGUCUACUGUUGUUUUUGGUUUCGAUUAUUUUUUCAACAUUGGGUUGAUCUGUUGAAGAACAAGCUUGGGUUCGAUUCUGCUUUAACUACAAGGAAGAGCCAGACUUGGAUGCAGGCGUUAAGAUUUUAAUGGGUAAGAACAAAUGAAUGCUUUAACCAUGUUUCUCACUAAUUAAAAUGCACGGAUUGAAGGCAUCUGGGUUGAUCCUGACAAUGUGAUGGAAAUACUUCUCUAUUUUGUUCCUGUGUUCACAUAAUGUUUGUGGGAUAUGCUUCGACGAAGACCAGCAAUGAUGAGCAGACACCUGGUAAUAGGGUUCCUCGAGCAGGUAUAUCUUGUAAGAGUAUGGUAUUCAGGGGAGCAGGAGCAGGAAUAUCCUGCUCAUCCGCGAGCACGUCAUCCACGAGGCCAAUCUCCUGUUGGAAGCAUAAAGCCAUUCCUGCUACAUUCCUGCUAAGGGUUGAGUCGAGGAGACCCGGUCAACGACAGUUGGCGAGGCGUGCUCUCCAGUCCGAGAAUCAAGGCAUGAAGGCCACGCAACCACCCACGACUACGGAAAUGGGGCAUCCACUUUCGAGAGGUGGGAGGAUAACGAGCGCGAAUGGAAGAAGGCCCGAGUUCAGAGAUGGCCUAUAAAAAAGUAGCCAACAAAGGUAAAAGGGUUAGAAUUUUUGACAUUGUAACAGAAAAAAAGAAAGCUCUAAAGAACUGAGACUAAAAAAGAAAAGCCAUAAGAUUUGUGGCUAGUGUUCCCAGAACCUUCAUAUCUAACUUGAGCGUCGGAGGGUUUACGCCGGGAAAACAACCGGCGUACUCUGACCUAGUUCUGUGUACGCAGGAACUUCUGGAGAAGAAGCCUUACGAGGAGAGAUCCUAAUCGAGGUGGAGUUGAUCGAGCAAAGAUCCUGGUCGUAACAAGAGAGCAACCAGAAUCUCGCAUCAACAUUUUGGCGCCAUCUGUGGGGACUUGAUCAAAAAGCUUCUGUUGAUAGCAAGAAGAGGAGUGAAGCAAGUGGAAAAGCAAUGGAGGCAAGAAGAAAUAGUGCACAAUGGGGUGAUAUGAGGCUUAACGAUUCCGUGACGCUGAGGGAGAUAGCCAGUGAAGCACGGGAAAAAGCCAUGUUUGACCGGAUGGAACGGAUGGAAAAGCAGAUGCAGACCCUGACAACCAUCCUACAUGAGCUGCGGAGUGAACGAAGGGGAACCCAGGAGGAAAGGGUGAGAGGUGGUGGAGUGGCACCAGGUCAUGAUAGUACGAGGAGAAGUCAAACCACCGAGAGAUUUGGUGGUGAGAGAGGUAACCUAUCUCUACGGGGAGAAAUUCAUAGAGAGGAAGAGCAAUCCCCGGCAAGACAGAUUUUUGACGAGGACGACGGGGUGGCGAAUGCAGAGGAAACAGAGUUGAGGUAACACUUGCAUGAUGUAGAGCAAGAGCGGGAUCAAGUUGCAGCACGUGACCUUGGUCGUGUAGUGCAGCUGGAGGAGGAAGUGCGCAGACUAGCGCAGAUAAUUGAUGACAUGUAAGGAAGGAGCAGAGCUCCUGGUUGGAGGAUAAUGCUGGACGGAGAAUCACCGCUCGCAGCAGAGAUCAUGAGGGCAGUUAUUCCAAGAGAUUUCCGCCUCCCAGACCUUAGAUAUUCGGGACGAACUGAUCCGCUGGUGCACAUAGAGCGCUUCAACGACAUAACCGGGGUACAAGGAUUAUCUCAAUCCCAAAGGUGCAGGGUGUUCCCACUAUCCCUUGAGGGACGUGCACGCAAGUGGUACAGGAAACUUCCUCGGUGGAGCAUUAAAACCUUCGAGCAGAUGUGACAGGAAUUUGUAGAGCAGUUUCGUGGGGCAAUAGCACCAGAAGAUGACAUGAUGGAGUUGAAAAGCAUGAAGCAGGGGGAACAAGAAACCCUUCGGGAAUUCAUCAAGAGGUUUCAUCGUGCUGUCCUCGAUUUGGGAGCCUUCAACCAUUCUCAGGCAUUAAGGGGAUUGAAAGAAGGGGUGAAGAUAGGAAGGCUGUGGCACAACUUGAGAAGCCCAGUUAUUCAGAUGUAUACAGCCGCAUACGAGCAGGCUAAGAGGGACAUUGAGAUUGAAGAAGAAAAGGCAGCACGGAUUAAGACAGACCAGCUAGAAGGGUUGGGAAAGAAAGAGAAGAAAGCAUUACCAGGGAAUGGGCCGAUCAGGAGGAAGGACCACCAGGCCUCAGGUAGUGGUGCAAGAGGUCGAGUAACCGCUUACCAGCCUCAUCAGAGACCACCACAGUAUUAGCACAGCAGAGCACAACCUCCUCGUUCCCCAGUUAGAGAGCUUUGGAGAAGGCAUGACUCGACAUAUGGUGGUCUUCAUCAACACUCCCACGGUAGUAGAGGGAGCAGACCAGAAGCGCUGCCACCGCCUCUAACUCAGAAUGGAACAAAUAGAGAAAGGGUAGUGCACAUGAUCGACCAGAACCAGGACUAUGGGCAGUAUACUUCCUUGAAGAUGUCCCUGGACGAGGUGUACGAGGCCAUAAAGGACCGGGGAUUGAUGUACCUCCCUGCCCCAAUAACAAAGCUACCCAGCAGGACGGAUAGGGGACGCUAUUGUAAGUUCCAUGGCACUUAUGGCCAUACCACUGCAGAAUGCAGAGAUCUCAAGACCCAAGUUGAAGAUUUGGUGAGAAAUCGGUACCUGGAUGAGUUUAUAGAUGAGACUUUCCCGAUGGUGGCCUCGACAUGUGAAGGGGAGCAGAGUGAUAGAAACUUUAGGCGCGAGCAGCCUGCAGUAAGGGUAAUAGCUGGGGGCCCAACAUUGGCCGGAGAUUUCAACAGAUCGAGGAAGAAUUAUGCUAGAUACGCCAUAACUAGUAAAGAGUUACUCUUCAACACCCCAGCAGCCAAAUGAGUAAGAGUCAGACAAGUGCCAAUCAUGUGGACGGAUGAAGAUGAAGAAGAGAUUCUAUACCCCCACGAGGAUGCUUUAGUCAUCAAGGCUACUGUUGCAAGUAAGAAGUUUGACCGGAUACUGGUUGAUACAGGGAGCUCAGUUGAUGUGUUAUUUAAGUCAACUCUGGAGGAGAUGGGAAUAGCAGGCCGGAAGUUGGAGUACACCAAUACCUCCUUGAAAGGGUUUGGAGGAGGAAAGCUGGUCCCUCUGGGCGUGGUCGAGCUGCCUAUCACGAUUGGGAGCUCCCCGACAAAAAGGACUAUGAUACUGGACUUUGUGGUGGUGGAUGAAGAAUGUCCUUACCAGAUGAUCUUAGGUCGGCCAUUUCUGAGGAUGAGCAAAGCGGUACUGUCCAACCAUUAUCUGGCUCUCAAGUACCGAGUGAAUGUGGUAGUUGGAGUGGUACGAGGAGACCAGAGAAUAGCACGAAGCUGCUACUCCUUGGCAGCAAGGGAAGCAAUGCAAAUAACAUCCCUUGAUACCCGAGUGGAAAACAUGAAUGGCAGACAAGAACCUGUAGAGGAGCUGGAGACAGUAAGCCUGGGACCAGAGAAUCCGGGAAAAACGAUCAGAAUCGAGUCGAGACUUAAGGAAGAGCAGAAGCAGGAGUUGGUGAAAUGCUUACAGGCUCAUGCAGAUGUGUUUGCUUGGACACAUGAAGACAUGCCAGAGAUUGAUCCUGAGGUAGCAUGUCAUAAGCUGGCAAUAAAGAAAGGUGCUCGGGCAGUAAGGCAGAAAAGGAGGUGCUUCAACCAGGAGAGGUAUGAGGCUAUAAAUGGCGAGGUGGAGAAGCUCUUGAUAGCAGGGUUCAUUUGCGAAGUCGAUUAUCCUGAGUGGAUAUCGAAUGUGGUGUUGGUAAAGAAGGCAAAUGGCAAGUGGAGGAUGUGUGUAGAUUUCACAGAUCUCAAUAAGGCGUGCCCGAAAGACAGCUUUCCUUUAUCAAAGAUCGACCAGCUAGUAGAUUCAACGGCUGGACACGGCCUGCUUAGCUUCAUGGACGCGUUUUCGGGAUACAACCAAAUUCCCAUGUAUGAGCAGGAUGAGGAGAGCACGGCUUUUAUUACUAACCAGGGUUUAUUUUGUUACAGGGUAAUGCCAUUUGGUCUUAAAAAUACUGGGGCCACGUACCAGAGGCUGGUGAAUAAAGUCUUUAAGCCAUUGAUUAGGAGAACCAUGGAGGUGUACGUGGACGACAUGAUAACCAAGUUGAACAUCCCGAAGGAACAUGUCAGAUACCUCGAGGAGACAUUCGGGCUUUUGAGGAAGUAUAAGAUGAAGCUCAACCCGGAAAAGUGUGCUUUUGGGGUCGAGUCAGGGAAAUUCCUUGGAUUCAUGGUGAGCCAUAGGGGGAUCGAAGCAAAUCCCGAGAAGAUCCACGCGAUCGUGUAAAUGAGGUCACCUCGUAGCCUGAAGGAGAUGCAGAGCCUCACGGGGAGGUUGGCGGCAUUGAGCCGAUUCAUAUCCAAGGCUACUGAUAAGUGUCAGCCAUUCUUUCAAGUGAUAAGGAGGGGAAAGAAAAUAGAAUGGACCCCAGAAUGUGAAGAAGCCUUCCAGAACUUGAAGCAGUACUUGCAGCAAGCACCUCUACUGUCCACACCGAGGGAUGGGGACAAGUUAUUUUUGUAUUUGGCGGUAUUAGAUCGGGCCGCAAGUUUUGUUCUGGUGAGAGAGGAAGAAGGGGUUCAGUAUCCGAUAUACUACACCAGCAAGGCUCUGCUCGACCCUGAGACCAGAUACCCACCGUUGGAGAAAUGGGCAUUUGCCCUUGUGGUUGCUGCUCAGAAGCUGAGGCCAUACUUUCAAGCAUUCCCAGUCUCGGUAAUAACAAACCAGCCAUUGCGUCAAACUCUGCACAAGCCAGAUGCUUCUGGUCGGCUCGUCAAGUGGACUAUAGAGCUGAGCGAGUUCGACAUAGACUACAAACCCCGAGCAGCGAUAAAGGCUCAGGCGAUGGCCGAUUUCAUAGCAGAAUUCACAGAGCCCGAAAUAUGUUUGGACCAGCGAGAUGUAGCUACAGACAGCAACGAAGCCCGAGUAUGGCAGAUGUCUGUAGAUGGAUCAUCCGGGGAGUAGGGAUCAGGAGCAGGAAUUGUUUUGGAAGGCCCAGAAGGGGAGGAGAUCUCUUAUGCUGUAAAGUUAGAAUUCGCAGCCACAAAUAACCAAGCAGAGUACGAAGCCUUGAUAGCAGGUUUGGAAUUGGCUAAGGCAGUGAAAGCGGAUAGAGUGAAGAUCAGAACUGAUUCCCAGCUGGUCGCAAAUCAUGUCAGUGAAAGAUUUCAACCGAGAGAGGAGAAGAUGGAGCAGUACCUGAAGAUAGUCAGGCAUAUGAUGGGGAAAUUUGAAGCGGUUUAGGUGAUACAAAUCCCCAGGGAGCAGAAUAGUCGAGCAGAUAUUUUGACGAGGAUGGCAGCGGUAGCAGACCCAAAAAUGCCAAAGUCGAUCCCUCUGGAGGUGAAGUCCAGCCCGAGCAUCGAGCAUAAUUUGGGGGUGCUGCGGAUAGAACAAAAAUGCUCGUGGAUGGACCCGAUAAUUUCAUACCUUAGAGACGGGGUAUUACCACCAGAGAAGCUGCGAGCUCGGAAGAUUAGAGCCCAGGCCUCGAGAUACACGAUGAUUGACGGGGUAUUAUAUCGGCGAGGAUAUACGCUACCUUUCCUUCGGUGUUUGGAUGAGGACGACGCGGACUACGUACUGAGAGAAGUACAUGAAGGAAUUUGCGAAAAUCACUAUGGUGGGAGGUCCCUGGCUCACAAGGUUCUAAGGCAGGGAUAUUUCUGGCCGACAAUGCACCAGGAUGCGCAAGAGAAGACCAGGAGCUGUGUAAGCUGCCAGAGUUUUGUGAGUUUCUCUAACCAACCACCAGAGAAGCUCACCUCUAUGGCCCCCCCCUGGCCAUUUGCUCAAUGGGGAAUUGAUCUGAUCGGCCCGUUGCCAAAGGGAUGAGGAGCAGCAACACAUGCAAUAGUUGCGAUAGACUACUUCACGAAGUGGAUAGAGGUAGAAGCCCUUAGUAGGAUCACAGAGAAGAAAACAACAGACUUUGUAUGGAGAAACCUGGUCUGUCGAUACGGGAUCCCUUAUGCCUUGGUAACGGAUAAUGGCAGGCAGUUUGAUAAUCACAGCUUCAGGGAUUUCUGCCAGAACCUCGAGAUAGAGUUGAAGUAUUGCUCGCCUGCUCACCCUCAAUCUAAUGGACAAGUAGAAGCAGCCAACAAGACCAUCAAGAGGCUUUUGAAAACCAGGCUUGGAGCAAAAAAGGGUGCAUGGGUUGAUGAGCUGUCAGGUGUCCUAUGGGUAUACAAGACAACCCACAAAACAGCAACUGGGGAGACACCGUUCGCCUUGGCUUUCGAACAUGAAGCGGUCGUACCAGCCGAGAUAGGAACGACCACGCACCGGACAGAUCAUUUCAAUGAGCAGGAGAACGACGAGCAGAUGUGUUUGAAUCUAGAUCUGCUAAUGGAAAAGAGGGAGCAAGCAGCCGAGCGAUCAACCAUUUGCCAGCAGAGGGUUGCUCGGUAUUAUAACCAGAAGGUGAAUGUACGGCAGUUCAAGGUCGGAGAUUGGGUGUUAAGAAGAGUGAAUCAGAAUACGAAAGACUCGGCUCAGGGAGUACUUGGACCAAAUUGGGAGGGGCCAUAUAGGGUCAAGCAGCUAGUUGGACCCGGAGCUUACAAGCUGGUUCGCUCGGAUGGCCACGAGGUGAAACGCCCAUGGAACGCAACACACCUCAGGAAAUAUUUCCAGUAAGAAUUGUCCAUGUUUUCAAGUUAUUUCUGUUCGUGUUUGUUGUUAUUUAUUUUAUGUCAAAACAAUUUCAUGUAAGUUGAAUCCUGCAAUUAAUGAAACGUCGAGGAAUUUCAUUCACUUGAAACUGUGAAAAAUCUACUAAGGCAUGCUAAGGCUCACUGAGUCUCAAAGCCUGUUUAUGGAAAGACCAGAAGCCAAGUGUGCCAGGAUCUGCUCGACCACGCGAAGGCCAGCAGAAUCCCAAAUCAUUGAAGAAUCUACCAAGGCAUGCAAAGGCUCGUCAAGUCUCAAAGCCUGUUUAUGGCGAGACCAGAAGCCAAGUGUGCCAGGAUCUGCUCAACCACGCGAAGGCGAGCAGAAUCCCAAUCAUUGAAGAAUCUACCAAGGCAUGCAAAGGCUCGUCAAGUCUCAAAGCCUGUUUAUGGCGAGACCAGAAGCCAAGUGUGCUAGGAUCUGCUCAACCACGCGAAGGCGAGCAGAAUCCCAAUCAUUGAAGAAUCUACUAAGGCAUGCUAAGGCUCACCGAGUCUCAAAGUCUGUUUAUGGCGAGACCAGAAGCCAAGUGUGCUAGGAUCUGCUCGACCACACGAAGGCGAGCAGAAUCCUAAAUCAUUGAAGAAUCUACCAAGGCAUGCAAAGGCUCGUCAAGUCUCAAAGCCUGUUUAUGGCGAGACCAGAAGCCAAGCAUGCCGGGAUCUGCUCGGCCAAGUAAAGGCCAGCAGACUCCCCAACAUCAAAAAAUUAUCCAAGGCAUGCAAAGGCUCGUCAAGUCUCAAAGCCUGUUUAUGGCGAUACCGGAAGCCAAGCAUGCCGGGAUCUGCUCGACCAAGUGAAGGCUAGCAGACUCCCCAACACUGGGAAAAUUAUCUAAGGCAUGAGAAAGCUCGUCAACUCUCAAGGCCUCCUCUGUGACGAGGUCAGAAGCCAAAUGGAUAAAUAAAUUAAAAUUCCAAUGCGAGGAAGCAAAUAAGAACAAUUUUAUUAAGCUCUUAAAAGUCUGCAAUUCUGUUACAUACAACGCUAAAAAAGCAAUUACAACGCAAGACAAGUUCAGGAGGACGGCGGAUCAGUAAACCGAGUAGCUUCGGUUGGCUGGUCCACUUCAGGGGUCGAGGGGGUGUCACCAGUUGCGUCCGGGGGGGUACUCGCCUCACCAACGUUAGCAGGGACUGCAUGAGGAGGAGAGUUUUCCUCCUCAACCACGAUUGGCUCCACCCCUUCGGCAUCCUCCUUUGCCGCCUCCUCGUCCAUGUGUUGAACAAUACUAGCCGCAAGGUCAUCCAUCUUCAGAUCAGGAUGCUGCUUCCCGAGGACGGCCAUGAUGCAACGAUAGGAAUGCCGAAGUCCCUGGUCGUACUGGUUGUCGGCUUCCUUCUCCAAGUUCUUGACCUGAACUCGGUGGGAAUCGCGGAGAGAUUCGAGCUGAGCCUCGUACAUAAUUUUCUGCCUUUGCAGAUCCUCCUUGACCUUAGUCAGCUCUUCCUCGAGAGUAACGGCCUAUGCUUGAGCAAGAGAUUCUUGCUCUAUCAGCUUCAGAUUCUCGAGAUUCAAGUCUCCCGCUUUCUUCUCGGCAGCAUCGGCUCUGGUCGUCGCCGAUUGAAUGUCCUCCUUCAUCUUCCGGUCGUAACGGCCAACCUUGGCCUUAUAGUAAGUGGUCAUGCAGCUGAGGUGGAAAGCGCUAUACUGCAUGGCCCCCACCAGCUCACCUAGGGUGCAGCCAUCAAAGUCCUCCAGGUCCUUCUUGCUCACGAGUUUAAAUAGCUCAUUGAGAUAGGGGACCAAGUGUUCUGCUCGGUGGUCAGAUAAACGAGAUCUAGGCCCGACAGGAGGAGAAGAGAAAGCAGGAUCAGUGGCAGCUCCACUAGUCUCUCUGACUUUGGCAGGAGGAGGAGGAGGUAGAGUCUGCAAGGGAGCAACCUGUUGCACGAUGUUCACCUGCUUUGCAGUAGGAGCAUCUUUAUUCUGGUCCUGCUUGGUCGUUGGAGGUCGAGAACGUUUCCUAGUCAGAGCCCCAAUCACAGCAUCCUCCAUCUUAUGGCCGGGAGGCACCAAACAAGACUCGAGCAGGUUAUAAGUAGUUAUCAGCUCUCGGCUCGAGCAGGAAUUGGCUAGUACAGCCUCGACCCGUUUGAGCUGGUCAGGUUUGAGCGGGAAGUAAACACCCCAAGAACCUGCAACACAAAUAGACACUUGGUUAGAGACAAACCAGUAUAGCGAGAACAAUUAUGGAUACAAGACAUCUAAAGCGAGCAGGCAACCUGAGAUCACGAAACGGGGUGGGACGCAAGAAUCCUUCCCGUCAAUUUGUGCAACUUGACCCCAGGAACCCCCAGCAAAAAAGAAUUUUUUCUUCCAAUUCCCACCACCACCAGUAAGAAGAUCGGUUAUGGGUUUCCUGGUCUUGGUACUAGAUUGGAAGUAGUACCAGCCGGCAUCUUUGGGGCUGCUCUUUAGCUGGUACAGGUGCUUCACCUCAUCAACUGUGGGCUUGCUUUGGCAACAUCUGUCCCACAAUAUGAACAGACCAGAGAGUACUUUCCACCCGUUGGGGUUCAGCUGACCAGGAGCUAGAUUUAGCCCGUUAAGCAUCCGGGCAAAGUAGGGUUGCAAGGGACACCUCAGCCCAUACUUAAAGCUCUCUAGAAACAGGGUAACGUAUCCCCUAGGAGGCCGGCUAGGGGUAUCCUUCUUUCCUGGGAUCUUAAGAGGUAUUUCACCAGGAAUACUAUACUUAAGCCGGAGGUCAGUGAGCUCGUCAAACGUGGUCGUGCACGUCAUGUAAUCAAUAGCGUAAUCCCGCGAUAGGGCUCUACCUCCUACUGUACUCUGCCCUUCUGGUCGCGAUGUUCAUAAUGGGGACACCUCACCAGAAUCACCUCUUCGAUCCUCACUCAGGGUGUUUUCCGAGCCAGAAAACCCCUCCUCACCGCUAUUUCUGCUCGAGGAGGUUGUUUGGGGGGACAUCCUCCUAGCGCUAGUACCAACACUAGGUCUAAUGGGUUCUAAGGGGAUCCCGGGGUCAAAAGCAGGAUCGGUGAGCAGACUAGGCAGGAAGUCCAACUCAUUGUCAUCAACCUCAAUGACCUUCUCUUUACCUUUCGACAUUCCCUAAGCUAUAACUAGAACACCACCACCAACUACUACCCAAGCAAAGCAAAGAGAAAAGAAAUUAUCUACAGCUAUCCGAGACUGAGGAGAUAGAAGUAAUACCUGAAAUAGUGGUUCAGUCGGAGAAGGACAGGGAUGGAGGCCUUUAUGCCGGAACUUCUUUGCCAGGGAGACAGGGACAGAGACGGGGUAAAUGACGAAUUUUCCUUUGGAGAGGUUUUAGGUUUUCCUAAUGGAGAAUAAACUCUUGGGUUGCCAGCAUUUAACAGCACCAAAUCCCGAGGGUCUCGUAACCGUUGGUUUGAAAUUCAAAUAGAGAGGUAGAUUUCUGUCACAUCACCUCGUCCGCAAUUAAAUGCGACACAACUCUUGGCAGCCUUUUUCCUAUCCCGCGCAAGCAAGAGCUGUCAAGUUUCUACUAUCGGCUUACUACGUUACCCAACACCAGAAACUGGGGGAUCGGUGUUUGUGGGAUAUGCUUCGACGAAGACCAGCAAUGAUGAGCAGACAUCUGGUAAUAGGGUUCCUCGAGCAGGUAUAUCUUGUAAGAGUCUAGUAUCCGGGGGAGCAGGAGCAGGAAUAUCCUGCUCAUCCGCGAGCACGUCAUCCACGAGGCCAAUCUCCUGUUGGAAGCAUAAAGUCAUUCAUGCUACAUUCCUGCUAAGGGUUGAGUCGAGGAGACCCGGUCAACGACAGUUGGCGAGAUGUGCUCUCCAGUCCGAGAAUCAAGGCACGAAGGCCACGCAACCACCCACGACUACGGAAAUGGGGCAUCCACUUUCGAGAGGUGGGAGGAUAACAAGCGCGAAUGGAGGGAAGGCCCGAGUUUAGAGGUGGCCUAUAAAAAGGUAGCCAACGAAGGUAAAAGGGUUAGAAUUUUUGACAUUGUAACAGAAAAAAAGAAAGCUCUAAAGAACUGAGACUAAAAAAGAAAAGCCAUAAGAUUUGUGGUUAGCGUUCCCAGAACCUUCAUAUCUGACUAGAGCGUCGGAGGGUUUACGCCGGGAAAAGAACCGGCAUACUCUGACCUGCUUCUGUAUACGCAGGAACUUCUGGAGAAGAAGCCUUACAAGGAGAGAUCCUGAUCGAGGUGGAGUUGAUCGAGCAGAGAUCCUGGUCGUAACAAGAGAGCAACCAGAAUCUCACAUCAACACAUAAUAUAAUAUAUAUAUAUAUAUAUAGAAAGCUGAAUUUAUUUAUUUACGCGCAUGUGCUAGUGCCCACUGGCAUCCACUUGAUUUGUAUCGGUUAAAUGUAUCAUACAAUACAAUAUUAGCUUGACUGUAGAAAAGAGGAGAACGAGUUGGUGUUGGUCUGAACUCUUAUCUUUGAAUCUCACGUGACUCCACUACUUUUUACUUGUUCUGUAGUCCAUUGUCGGCAGCUCAUACAAGGUCUUUUAGCUUUUUAAAAAGUUUUAGCUUUUUGGAUAAAUUACUGAUAAUUGUAAUCUAUAAAUAAUGAAAGGAAUUAAUUAAAUAUUUGGUAAAUUUUAUUUUUUAAAGUGUUAUGAGUUUUAAAAACGGUUGUAUGUAUAUAAAUUUAUUUACACAUAUAUUUAUAAAUAUGACUAUAUAAUAAUAUUUUAUGUGUACAUAUAAUAAUUGAUAACUAAAAUAAAUAUUUUUAUUUUAUUAAUGGUUUUUUCGUCUCAAUGUAGUUGGUAAUAAUAAUCUCUUGAGAUGUAACGAUUUUAUUUCCUAACUGAAUAAGGAAAAUUUUAGAUUUUUAUAAUAAAUGUUAAGAUAUAUUUAGAAUUACAUUAAGUAUGAAAUAAUCCUCAAAAUUAGAUUUUGAAAAGCAAUUCUUUUCUUGCCUUUAAAAAUAUGUCAUAUGAUGAGAUGAUUUUACUAAAAGUGAUUUUUUUUUAAAAAAUUACUAAACAUCAAAAUUAACUCUUAACUUUUUAAAAUCAUUUCUAAUCUUCUCAUCCUAAGUUCUCUAUUAUUUUGUACAAAAUCCAAGGUUUUGACUUUAAUAAAAUGCCCACUCAAAAAGAAAUUAUUUUCUAAUUAAGAUUUGUUGUUAAUGUAUAACUCGAAGUAAUAUUAGAUAUUUGUAAUUUUAUUUCAAAAAAUUUAUUCAAAUGAUAUGGCAAGCAAUGAACAAUAGUUGAUAGCAAUUUUUUUUUCUUUAACAAUGUUCAAAUCAAUCAGUUGCAUUAUCUCACCAUUUUUAUGAUGCCAUGUUAUUUUAAACGAUUUUUUUUUUAUAUAAAACAUACGACGUGUUAACAUCAUUUGCAUAACUUGACCUUUUUUUUUUUCCCUACAAAUAGUAAGUCAAAUUUACUCACCCUAUUUCUACCUAAAAUCUACCUAAAACUCAUGCAUCACUGCAAAACAAAUCCAAAGAUUGCGGUGCGUUUUUCUUGGUCAGAAAUCAAUAAUUAGGUCAAGUACUACUACUAAGCGUGCACAAUUAAUUCUAAAAUACGGUGAUCAAAAUCAUACUUUACGCAAGAGGAUCAGGGCUAAACUUCAAUUAGGCAUUAUUCAUCCAAAAAUCAUUGACUCGGCAUUCUUUGCAAGUUGUAGCAUGGGACAGCUAAGAUAAUUAGCAAAUGAUAUGGACCAUAUGCACCAAUACAUUUGUGACAUGUGAAUCUUGGCAUUAAAGGAAAGGCAAUGUGUCAAAAUUUAAUAGAGCCCAACUCUUCAUUGAAUGAUUAUCAGAUCCAAUACGCAUCCUUUGAUUGGAUUAUUUUAAGUCAAUUAUUGGUGGAUUGGGGCCCACUUGACUCUACCAAAUCGGGCUCGACCAUAUCACCUAUUAACGGCCACCUGUCCUUAUCAUAAAUAGCAAAUGUCACUUGUUUUAUUUUCUAUUUUACCAAAGUAAAGUCACUACGAACGCAAAAGAAAGUGACCUCAAUUUUGGGGGUCAUGAACUUUGGAUUAUUAUGGACACAAGAGACAAGCGCAAUGUUUCUCAUUUAUCACUGGAUAAGAUUUAAGUUAUCAACCCAAUAUUAAUAAAUUCUGCUUGAAAAGUAAAGUUUGAAGCUUCAUUUUGCGAAUAUUCAAUGGUUAACAUUUAAGUAAUUAACCUGAUAUUAAUCCAAUUAAACUUUUUAUGUAAUCCAAGUCAAAAAUAUAUUGAUAAACCUAAACUAAUCUAAUUGGACAUAUUAUUUCAACUUGAAAAGGUGAAUUUAUCAUUUUUCAAUUAAUUUUGAAUCAAGCUAUGUAAAAUAUAAGCUUAUUAAAGACAUAUUUGAAAAUUUCAAAUUGAAUUAUUUGACAAUUACAUUUCAACUAAGUUGUACUGCUAAUUAACUUCCUCAACUUAAAAUGUAUUUUUCUCAAUUAAUUCGUAACAAAGAAUGUUAGAUGUUUUGUUCGAAUGAUAACAUUCAACAUCCUUAUUCUUUAUGAUUAUUGCAUAAAAACAUAUUUUAUCCAUUUACGUCACAUAUGUUCCUAAAUUGUAUAAGAAAAUCACCAAAUUUACUCUUGUAAGUUACUAUAUCAAUGAACAUGAAACUAACUAAUCAUUAAAGUCUCGGAAUGACAUCAUGAGGGGGAUUCCGUUACAUUUAUUGAUAGGAUUAGAUAUAUGUCUUCCCAAAUAUUAGUAGGAGUAAUUAAACAGAUGCAGCUAUUAAAAAUAUGGAAUUACUUAUCUCGUCAAUAACUAACGAUAUUUUUUAUCUAUGCUCGAUAGGCGUCUGAGCUAUAUUAUAAAUUGUAAUAUUUGUAGAUUGUAACAAUUAUAAAAAAAAAAAAAAAAAGCUCCCUAAGACUAAACGACAACAGGACUGUUUUGAAAUAGAUAGAUAAAGUAUGCCCUUAUUUGAGAAAAGGUAAAACACUAGGGAUCUAAAUGUUAUUAUAAUCCCAUGCACAAAAAUGCUAGAAAAAACUAAUAACAACUAACCGAAAAUCCCAGGCGUCAUAUUCCUUUUUACCGCGUUUUAAAAUGCACAACAAUGAUAUUCUCACAAAAGUGGGUACAAAGGUUUGUACAACCAGGGUCUCUUUGUAAAUUAUUUCAAAGUUUUGUGUUAUUUUUUAAAUUUAUGAUUUUUAUUAAUUUUGAUUCAUUGGAGCAUUUCUCCUUCCAUCUCUUCUACAUCUAUUUUUAAAGUUUUUUAAAAUUUUGACUAUAUCUUUAUAGAGUUCUAAAUGAUUAUCUUUUUUCAUAAAAAUCUAUACUUAAAUUAAUCCUUGAAUUUAUAAUCAUUUAUCUUCUUUGAGUCAUAGACCAAAUUUUUUCUUCUAACAUAUCUAUGUAUACUCCUAAGCUAUCUUCAUGGCUUAGAUACAUUCUAUCAAAGCUUUCACAUAUAAAUUGUGAUUUGAGAUCUGCAUCUUGAAUCAACAUCUCUAUAUUAUCCAUUGUUUUACGCUCGAGGGUAGUUAAAAUUGAUUCUAUUAAUGCUAUCGUGUUUCUCCUUCAAAAGAAUCAAAUAUUUCUGGAUUAUUAAUUUCUUUUAUUUCUUCAUACAAGCAUUCGUUUGCCGUUAAUCUUGUUUUAAUCAAGGAAGCUGUAUAAGCAACUUGAUAUUCUUGACAAAAGUCUAAAUGAUCUAUUGCAUCUAGAAAUUUAUUAAUAGAUCUUUCCAUUUUUAAGAAAUUGAGUUACUCUUAUCACUUCCAAUCUUUUAACAUCUCAGAAAACAAACAAGGCCCAGCAUGCUUCCGUUUGUAGCUCAAAUAAAAGAAGAGUUCAGAUCACUAACCAAUGUACUAUCUCUCGGAAGUCUGAGAUAGACUCACUAAUUGCCUCUAACCAUAGAGAGGUCCAUGGUCAGCACCACCAUAGCUCCACACAUCAUACAAGAUCACUUCAACGACUGUUCCACAUGGCCUAAUGCAACACACAGCAGACUGGCCUAAUAGGAUAUGUCUAAGUGAUUUUCUUGCAGUUGUCUCUGGAAGAGUGCUUAGUAAUAGAAAAUCUUCUUCGUUUAGUACAAGUAUUGGUAUGUAAGGUUCUUGAUUAAUUUUCAAAAGAUGUAUAAGUGUUAGAGUGCAAUUUAUGCACUAGUUUUGCAUUAUUUACUUCCCUUAAUAUCAAUGUUUUGCACUUAAUAAUAGUGAUUUACUUGUGUUUUACUUUUGUAGGUCCAAUUCUAUUGAUUGAUGAUAAAAUUGAGCUAUAAGAUGAUGUUUAAGGAUGAUUGUUCUCUUGGAGAAAUUAUGAGCGUCAGAAGAACUUUGUUGAUAAGGCGUGGGCGCGUGCUGUCAAUUGCGGACCUGCAGUUUUUAGUUUAACGUGUUUUGUAUUUUUGGUUAUUUUUGUAAUUACGAAUUUAAUAUUUCAGAUAUUAAGAUUUUAUUUUAAAUAGAAUUCUAAAAGAGAAGAGAGAGAGAGUAUUUAAGGGAGGAAUCUAUUGUGAAAAAGGGGGAUUUUGGAUUGGAGAAAGAAAGAAACCCUAGAUCUAAUUUUUCUCUUCUCUCUAUGAAGAACUAAACUUAUUUUUCUAGUUGAAGGUUAACGAAGCUUUGAUUCAUCACUACUGUGAGAUCUUUCUUAUGCUUUAAUUGUUUUAUUACUUUUUGGAUAUUUGUUUAUUCUCUGAAUUUUUUUCAUGAUUAUGUUUGUUAAUUAGGUAAUUGGCCACUAUUUAAUUAUCAACUUAAUCUAUUGUCAAUUAAAGGAUUCAUCGUAUGAAGAAUUUAAUAUUUGUGACAAAUAACAUAGCAGAGAGUUGUGUUGUGAGAAUAAACAAUCUAAUUUAAAUGAAUCAUCAUAUGUGUUGAUUAGGAUUUGGGUCUCUCUGGUUUUUCAGGCUGUCAAUGAAUUAAAUCCUAUGAUCGUAUCUAGGGUUGUCCAUUGAUUAGGGAAAUAACCAACGGUCGUACCUUGGUUAUCGACUAGUAAAGGAGAGAUUGGCUAUUAGAGGGUCUCAAUAGCUAUAACCGGUCUAUUCAUAAGUAAUAAUAAUCUAUAUUUGAAUCAAUGAUCAGUAGUAGAAUCAAGCUGAGUUAAUUCCUUCAACCAGAGCUUUCUCCAAUUUGAAUUACAACUUUAAUUUGCAUUCUUGUUAUUUUGAUUUGAUUUUUAUUAUUGUCAACAAUUCCCCCAUUUUACGUUUUACGUUUCAAAAGGAUUUAAAUAAUUACCGAUCUCUGUGGACACGACCCUGCUCAAUCACUAUACACAAUUUAUUUAGAGUAGGAAUUUAUUUUUGUUCGCUUCGACACCACUGCUGCCUCGCCAACUAUUCCUUCUACAUCCGCACCACCUUUGAGCAUUCAGUUAGAGAAAAUAGAGCACAAGCUGAACAAGAUGGAGCAGAAUUUGGCCGCAUACUUCGAGAGUGUGGGUUUUACCCCACCAUUUCCGCCAAGCCCAUAGACGUUAUGUGGAUCAAAGCUCACAAUUCAGGGAAGUUUCUUUUUGCCCUUAAUCUUUUAUCCUUACGCUUUAAUUUUUAUGUGAGCUUUAAUUAUCUUACAUUGGGGACAAUGUAAGUUCUUGGUGUGGGGGAGGGAUUUUUGCAUUAUUGAUGUCUGGAAGUAUUAUUUUCACUCUACUCAUCUAUUUUCAUUCUACUCGUCCUUAAAUGAUUUUGGAGUUAGUAUGCUUCAUAUAUUAUUAUUUUUCUUUUCUUUUCUUUCUCACUACUUUUUUCCCAUCUAUCUCAAAUUAUUUACAUCUAUUUUUAUUCUAUCAUACUCUUUCAUCACUCACAUUUUAUCUUUCACUUUUCAUAUUACUACAUACAUCUUUCUCACUUCUUAUCAUUUUUACCUUUCCUUCACUCAUACCUUCUUCUCAUUCUACACCACUAUUGAUGGUUGAUUCAUUUGAAGAGUGUACAUGAUUUGAUGGCAAAUUUACCAACUUUGUGAGGAUUUGAGCCUAUGAGCAACCACUUUGCUCUAAUUAUUUUUAUUAUGUGAAUAUCAAUCUUAGUUUGUUUAUUCUAGAACUUGCUUUGUUAUGCAUGUUGAAGCCACAUUACGGGAUUUUUUGCAUUAAAAUGAUAAGGGCAAACCAUUUACCAUUUUUCUAUUCUCGCAUUUUCUUUUUUUUUUCUCUACCCGAAGACCUUGAUUUACUAUCUUUGUUUGAGCCUUAACCAUUACCCAUCUAAUUCUCUCCGUCUACUUAACCAUUUUUCUUCUUUUUUAGCCUCAAUUUAAGGAGAUUUUUGGACUCAUUGUGUGGAUAUAUUUUGUAUAUAUUUUGUUGCUUUUUCUACCUUGUAUUAAAGUUUCUCAAUUAGAUCAACAAGCAUUAUGCUUGAAUUAAAUUGUGCAAGGUUCAUUUCUUUUGUUUGAUUCAAAAAAAAAAAAGAAAGAAAAAGAAAAGGAAAAAGAAAAAAAAAGAAAAAAAAAGAAAAAUCGAAAAAAAAAGAAAAAGAAGAAAAAAAAAUGUUUACAUUCUUGGUGACUUGAGUAGAAAUAAGCGUUUCGAUAUCAUAAAGUUCGUUCAAUGAGUUCAUUCUUCUCAUUUUGAUCUCUUUUUCUUUCAUAAACCUUUCUUUUUCAUUUAACCCAUUUAACCCCGUUACAACCUUUUAAGACCCUUAGAUUUUUGUAUUUAAUUCAUGUUUUGUGGAUUGAAAUGUGAUAUAUAAGCAAGCUUAUGGUAAUAGCAUUCUUUGAUUUGAUUUGAGUGAAUAAAUGACACCCUAAACACUUUGAGUGCAUGGAGUGAAGUCAAUGAGAGGGCUAUUAAAUCUUGUUGCACUUGAAUUUUGAAUGGAUCUUCUUGGUGGUUGAAUGUUCUUAUUCUAUCUUAUGAGAUUCUAUGCUUUAAAAUCCUUGUCUCUCGAAUGUUGAUCGACUUAAUUUCUUGAGGUAUACUUGCUUAAAAUUGUUUUUGGAUGAGUUGAGAUGAGAAUUGAGUGGAGAUUUGGGAUUAGUCUUGAGUUAUAUGCUUGAGGACAAGCAUCAUCUUGGUGUGGGGGAAUUUGUUAGAGUGCAAUUUAAGCACUAGUUUUGCAUUGUUUACUUCCCUUAAUAUCGAUGUUUUGCACUUAAUAAUAGUGAUUUACUUGUGUUUUACUUUUGUAGGUGCAAUUCUAUUGAUUGGUGAUAAAUUAAGCUACAAGAUGAUAUUUAAUGAUGAUUGUUCUCUUGGAGAAAUUAUGAGCGUCAGAAGAACUUUGUUGAUAAGGUGUGGGCGCGUGCUGUCAACUACGGACCUGCAGUUUUUAGUUUAACGUGUUUUGUAUUUUUGGUUAUUUUUGUAAUUACGAAUUUAAUAUUUCAGAUAUUAGUAUUUUAUUUUAAAUAGAACUCUAAAAGAGAAGAGAGAGAGAGUAUUUAAGGGAGGAAUCUAUUGUGAAAAAGGGGGAUUUUAGAUUGGAGAAAAAGAAAGAAACCCUAGAUCUAAAUUUUUCUCUUCUCUCUAUGAAGAACUAAACCUAUUUUUCUGGUUGAAGGUUAAUGAAGCUUUGAUUCAUCACUACUGUGAGAUCUUUCUUGUGCUUUAAUUGUUUUAUUACUUUUUGGGUAUUUGUUUAUUCUCUGAAUUAUUUUCAUGAUUAUGUUUGUUAAUGAGGUAAUUGGCCACUAUUUAAUUAUCAACUUAAUCUAUUGUCAAUUAAGGGAUUCAUCGUAUGAAGAUUUUAAUGUUUGUGACAAAUAACAUAGCAGUGAGUUGUGUUAUGAGAAUAAAUAAUCUAAUUUAAAUGAAUCAUCAUAUGUGUUGAUUAGGAUUUGGGUCUCUCUGGUUUUUCAUGUAUAAGAUAUCUAGAAGAUGAUAAUUUCACUCAAAAGAGUUUUAUUUAUUUCAUUAUUGAAAUUGUUUACAGAGGAAGGUUACAGAGAAUACAGAGGUAAUUGAAGGUUAGACAUAUGAUAUCUUUCCUUUCUUACAUGCUUUCAUUUAUAUAUCUCUCUAGAGAUAAGAUUAUCUCUUUUACAUAACACAUGUUCGAUCCUUGUGGUGGAAUCUCGAUUUCCUUUUGAUAAGGUGACCCCUUCUUCAUCAUUGAAGCCAGUAGUUGUCUUCUUUUCAUGUUGCCAGACAACCUUUAUCUUGUUCUGGUGAGCUUUUUCUUUUUUGGAAUCUCUCUUUUUGAAUUAUUGAUACUUUUUGGAUAACACCUUUUAUCUUUUUCAGUAGUCCCCGUCACAUGCCAAUUAUCAUAUCUUCAUCUAUAGACAUGUCUUCCCCACUAGAAUCUCCUUUUUUUUUUAAUCCUUCGUAGUAGUAGCCACAUGAUGACUGAUGCUUUAGCACCUUAUAUAUCUCGUGGUGUGUCAGCAAGGUGGAUUCCACGAGAUUUUCGAAUAUGCCCUUUUUCUUUUUUAAUAUGGUAUGUCUGGCUAAAAUAUUUUCUUUUCUACUCAUAGAAAAGAUUAUAUGCUCUUUUGUGGCUUCAUGGAGCCAUAUUUUCUCCUUGUUUAUCCUCUCAAGAGAUUCAUAGAGGACUUUCAUUUCUAUGGCCCUUUUGUUGGUGAGAGCUUUUGGCUCGAAUAAUUCAGGAUCAUAAUCAUUGUAGACUUGAUGUAAAUCAAUGGUUGGACUAACUUUUCUACUGCUAAUUCCAACUUGAAUCAAGUGCUGUGCUGGAUACCACUUGUUACCAUAGUAUUCAGGGCAAGCAGUGAGGAUCUUGACAAAAAUCACUUCUUUUGUUUUAGACAUGAUUUUGAGAUCAUUAAUAGCCUCUGCAACUUUUGUGGGAAGCUCUUUUAUUUCUCUGCAAUCAUCACUUACAUAAACAAGGUUAAGAAAACCAUAUUCAAACAUGUCUUUUAUUAGUUUUAGAUUAGCUCCUGGCACAACGUUUAUCAUUGGAUAUAACCCUAAAUGAUCUAGUAUAAUAGUCUGGCUAGGACGAAUCCCAUAGGCUAUUUUACCAAUUCUUUUAUAAUCAUAAGCGUAGUCGCUUCCUAUUGGUAUUUUAACCAUAGGGACAGAUUGUCUGCUUUUAUCAUAUUGGGGUCUUAGGCUUACUGAAGAUCCCUGAGAUUCUUUUUUCUUUGUACAUUGAUCUUUAAGAUCAUUGAUUGUGAGAUAUCUCUCUGAAUGUGUGACCAUUGAUCUUUAAAAUACCAAUAGGAAGAGUAGUCGCUUCCUAUUGGUAUUUUAACCAUAGGGACAGACUGUCCGCUUUUAUCAUAUUGGGGUCUUAGGCUUACUGAAGAUCCCUGAGAUUCGUCUUUCUUUGUACAUUGAUCUUUAAGAUCAUUGAUUGUGAGAUAUCUCUCUGGAUGUGUGACCUUUAAGCUCUGCGAAGAACUCGAGGCAUUUUGACCCUCAAUUUGAUCUUUAAAAUGGACAUUUUUUUAGCAUAUUGCUAAUAUAUUGUUAUGAAGUUUGGAGUUCUGGAUGAUCUUGCAAACUUUUGUUUGGGCAAAGUUUGCUCAAUUCUUCAUGGGCAUCAUCUAUCAUGGCAAGCCCAUCAUAAAUCAUACUAUUGCCUUUGAGAAGUUAUUCUUGACCUUCAGAGCACAUUAUUAUGCCCUUAAUUAUUUUGGAAAUGCUCUGCUCCAUUGUAUUCUUGGCAAAGAUUAGAUCCUUUAAUAUAUUCAAUUUCAAAAUCAUAUUCAGCAAAAAACUGCUGCCAUCUAAUUAAUGUUUUCUAUUGAGGAAGAUUAGGCAAUUUAUUGAAUAUAAAUCCUUUGACUUGAGUGUUAUCGGAUCUUACCUUAAAUUUCUUUGGUAACAAAAAGAAAGUAAAUUUAGCUAUUCCUUUUUUAAUAGCUAAUAAUUCAUUUUCAUUACUAUGAUAAUUCUUUUCUAUGGGUUUGAAGGUCCCGCUAGAAUAUCUACAAAUUUUUUCUUGAUAUGUUUUUAAGACUGCUCGCCAGUGAUUAUCUGAAGCAGUAGUUUCAAGAAUUAAAUUAUCACUAGAGGUAGGGAAUCCUAACCUUAAGUAAAAAGCCAAAAAAAUUGACUUAUUUUAUUAAGUCAAUUUUUGAAAAUAUAAAUAAUGCAAAAUAUAAGAAUAUCAUCUACAUGAUCUAUCUUAUUAUUUGAAAAUAUAAGAAUAUCAUCUACAUAAAUAAUGCAAAAUUCAUGAAAUUUUUUUAAGAUGCUAAAUAUCUUUUUAUUUAUUAUAGAAGUAAUUAAUGUAUCUUUAUGAGGUAAAAAGUAUCCAUCGAAUUUGGUAUAUUUAUUUAAUUCUUUGUAGUUAAUGACCAUAUGAGCUUUUCCUCGUUUAAUUUCAGCAUGAUUUCUAACUGAUUAGUAUUAAAAAUUGUUUAAUUAUCAAGCGAUAAUAUGUUAUUUUAUGCUUAUGUUAUAAUUUAUAUUUGUGUUUAUGUAAUAUAUUAUGAAUUAUGAAUUAUGUUUUAAAUAUAUUUAAUUUUGUGUAUUUUUAUGUGUUUAUUAGGAAAAUUAUUAAUUUCACGUACUUUGAGGCUCCAAACAGAUAAACGGAGGUCAAAUUUGGAUUCCGGAGGUCCGAAAACCUUAAGAUCAGUCAAGAUCGGCUUAAAAUUGGGCUUGUGUAAAAAAAGUUGACUUUUCCUGUUGACCGAGCACUGAUUGGAUGAUGAAAUGAGCUUACAAUAGAUAUGAGUGCAUGGGAUAACUGGCAAUCUUGACUAAAUCUCAACCGUUCAUGAUUCAAUGGCCAUGAUUGUGCCACGUGGCAAUGGUUGGUGAAGCAAGUUGGAGGAUCCGAAUCUUUGUAUUCGGGUCGACCCGAUCCACCCAUUAACCCGCCAAAUCUCAACCGUUCUUUGGGCAAAUCGGACGAGUCAAAUGAUGCCAUGUGUGAUGUUGACUUUUGAAGUUUGACCAGCCAUUGGAUCUUGAUCUAAGGGUUGUGAGGAGCACAUGCAUGAAGCCUAUGAUGGACCGCAAAGCACUGGAUUAUGAAUUUAUUUUUCUAUAAAUAGGGCCUCAUUUUUAUGUUUUAAUCAUCUCUCUACAACUCUCUUCUUCUCAAAUUCUCUCCAUCUCCUUGUAAUCUUGAUUUCCAUAUGUGUUUUUAAUAUUUUGUAUAAUUAUUUUCAUUAAUAAAAUUAGUUUUAUUUCCAAUUUUAGUUGUUUUUAUUUCUUUUAAUUAUAAGUAAUUCAAUUUUACUACUUCUUUUUAUUUUAAUUAUGCUUAACUAAAUAAUAUUAGUUAGGGGAAGGUGAAACUCUUAAGAAAUAAAUAUGAUUUAAUCAAAUUCUAUGUUUAAUUUUAUAAAUUAAAUUAUUUUCUAUUUAAUUUUAUACAUGUUUUAUAUUUUGAAAAUUUAAUUUAUUGUAGACAAACAAAUGAAUUUGGCACAAUAAAUUCUUAAGAUCUUAAUAUAAGGCAUGGUGAAAUGGUAUUUUGACUUAUUGUAGACAAAUUAAAUUUUGGCACAAUAAAUACUUAAUCCAUCAUAAAAUUAAAGGGAAAAUAAUAAUAAUUUGUAUAAUUAAUCUUUUGAGUAAUAAAUCUAAAACAAAUUGGCAAAAAGAAUUUAUUAAGUUUUAUUUAUUUCUAAGAGUGGAUCCAUAACCCUAACUAGUUCAAUUCCAUAGUUUCAUUUAAAUUAAGUUGUUUAUAUUCAAGUUUUAAUUUCAAUUUUUAGAUAAAAUAAAAUAAACUAAUUAAAUCUUUUCUCUGUGGAUCGACCUCGGACUCACCGAGUUAUAAUACAACAAGACACUCUUAUACUUGGGAGUUAAAAUUUACUUUUAAGUUGUGUCAAGUUUUUGGCGCCGUUGCCGGGGAAAAGUUUUUUAUUUGGUUUGUUUUUCCGUUUUUUAUUUUUCUCUUAUAUGUAAAACUUCGUUUGCCCCCUUUUCCUUUUCUUAAAUUCUCCUUAGUCCCCAUGUCUUUCAUAUUUCUCGUUUCACCCCAACAAUUUCCUUUUCUAGCCCAAUCUUCUGGUAAUUACGUUCGGACCCCAACAUCUUUCAACUGUUUCACUUUCAUCCCAAAUUACUAAUUCUAAACUUCUAAAAAUUACAUUUUGACCAUAAAAUUAAAAAUAAUUUGCAAUAGAAUCCCUAGACGAAAUUCCUCAACAUAAUCAAGACUUGGACAUAUUUGGACAUACUUUGGACAUAUUUGGACAUAUUUGGACUUAUUUUGGACCAAACUAACUUUAACUACUAACUCUAAUUACUAACUCUUAACUUACUAACUGCUAACUGCUAACUGCUAACUUUUAUUUAAUUUCAGUUAUUUAAUUUUCUGCAUUUAUUUUAUUUCGUAUUUAUUUAUUUGUUUUUGCUUUAUUGGUGGGUUUAACCACCAAACUAACUACUAACUCUUAACUUUUAUUUUCAGUUAUUUAAUUUUCAGUAUUUAUUUAAUUUUGUAUUUUUUAUUUUUUUUAAUUGGUGGGUUCAACCACCAUUUUUUUUUAUUUUGCAUUUAUUUAUUUAUUUAUUUUUUACUUUGUUGGUGGGUUCAACCAUCAAAAUUGUUAUUUAAUUUUCUUUUGUAUACUUAUAUUAUUUAUUUAUUUAUUUUUUUAUUUUAUUUUGUUAUCAAUUUGUGUAAAUAUUAUCUUUAUAACAUAACCAUUGCAUGAGACGUUGGUCUCGAUCUUCAAGUGGCAGGUUAAUUCGUAGAUCUCAAUCUCCACCACCAAUCAUGGAUGAGAAUGAAGGCGAAAACGUUUUGGGCGAACUUAAUCCUCAAAUUGAUCAGGGAGACAACCAAUCUCAACAUGGGCAUGAUCAGAAUCAACCAAGGACUCUGAGAGACUACAUGAAUCCAACCAGAACCGGAGCACCGUCGUGUAUAGUAUUUCCUCCAGAAGCAUCUCGAUUCAACUUUAAACCAGGUAUUAUCCAACUUUUACCAACAUUUCAUGGUUUAGAAUCUGAGAAUCCGUACUUGCAUCUAAGAGAUUUUGAGGAAGUUUGUAAUACAUACACGGACCAAAAUUGUAGCAUGAACAUAAUUAGAUUAAAGCUUUUUCCUUUUUCAUUAAAAGAUAAAGCUAAAACUUGGCUACAAAACCUUAGAUCUGGAUCAGUAAGAACUUGGAAUAACAUGCAAGAACAGUUUUUUGAAAAAAUUCUUUCCACCUCAUAGAACAAAUUCUUUUAAAAGGCAAAUCACUUCUUUCACUCAAAAAAAUGGAGAAACAUUAUACCAAUGUUGGGAUAGGUUUACAGAGUUGCUUAACAUAUGCCCACAUCAUGGUUUUGAAACUUGGCGAUUGGUCACUUAUUUCUACGAGGGCUUAAUACCCCAAAGUAGACAGGUUGUUGAAAUGAUGUGUAAUGGUGAAUUUAGGGAUAAAAAUCCUGAAGAUGCACUAGAUUACCUUGACCAAUUAGCUGAAAAUGCACAACAUUGGGAUACUGUUGGAACUUUUGAAUUGACAAAUAAGCAACAAUCAUCUCCAUCUAGUGGAGGAAUCCAUAACCUUAGGGAAGAUCAUGAUUUACAAGCAAAAUUUGCAUCCCUAGUUAGGAAAGUUGAAGCUUUGGAGCAUAAAAAGAGUGAUCAAGUAAAAUCUGUUCAAGAAAUUGCAUGUAACAUAUGUAAUUCGAAUGAUCAUUUCACUCAAGAGUGUCCCACUUUGCCUGCACUUAAAGAAUGUCUAAAUGAUCAAGCUAAUGUCAUUAACACUUUCAAUAAACCAAACCCAUAUUCACAGACUUAUAAUCCUGGUUGGAGAAAUCAUCCGAAUUUCAGUUGGAGGAAUAAUAAUAAUGCACAAUCUUCACAAGCACCACCUCCACAAAAUUUUCAAAAUCCUCAGCCUUAUGCACCAUAUGUUCCACCACCCUGGAAAAAUCUGGAAGACACAAUGCAUUCAUUCAUCAGAAAGCAAGAUGUUAUUAACAAUCAAAAUGCACAAAAUUUUUCUGAUUUGAAAGAUACUCUUGCUAAAAUUGCUUCUGCACUCACCAUUCAAGAAAAAGGAAAAUUUCCAGCCCAACCACAACCAAAUCCUAAAAUUCAACAAAAUCCACCCACAGACCAAGUCAAGUCAGUUAUAACUCUUCGUAGUGGUAAGGUUGUUGAUAGACCUAUGCCUGAACCUUAUGAAAAUGAUGAAAAUUCAAAGGGUAAGGAAGGACUAAAUGAACUUACACCUAGUGAAGAAAUAACUAGUGUUCCACCUGAACCACCAUUUCCGCAUGCAUUGAAUAAACCAAAGAAAUCAAACCACUCUUCUGAAAUUUAUGAAAUCUUUAAGCAAGUGAAAGUUAACAUUCCUCUAUUAGAUGCAAUCAAGCAGGUUCCUUUAUAUGCCAAAUUUUUAAAGGACUUGUGCACUGUUAAGAGGAAAUUGAAGGUAAGAAAGAGUGCUUUCAUGGCCGAACAGGUAAGUACAAUUCUGUCUACUAAUAAUAAGUUGAAAUAUAAAGAUCCUGGUUGUCCUACCAUUUCUUGUAUUAUUGGUAACCACAGAAUUGAGCAUGCUUUACUAGAUCUUGGUGCUAGUGUUAAUUUGCUUCCAUAUUCAGUUUAUCUUCAACUUAAUCUUGGUGAGUUAAAAUCAACUUCAACUACACUUUUGCUUGUCGAUAGAUCAGUUAAAGUACCAAAAGGAAUAGUGGAAGAUGUUUUAGUACAAGUUGAUAAAUUUAUUUAUCCUGUGGAUUUUAUUGUCUUGGAAACUGAACCUGUUGUGAAUAAUUACAAACCAAUUCCUGUAAUUUUAGGUCGACCAUUUUUAGCAACUGCUAAUGCUUUGAUUAAUUGUAGGAAUGGUUUAAUGAAUUUAUCCUUUGGGAAUAUGACUUUGGAAUUGAAUGUUUUCAACAUGUGCAGGCAACCUAAUGAAGAAAAUGAGAAUGAAGAUGAUACUGAUGAACAAAAGGAAUUGUUUGAAUCUUGUAUCGAGGAAAAUAUUCAAAAAGGGGAUUUUUCUGAACUUUCAAAUGUUUGUUUAGUUAAUUCAAUUGAGUCAAAUAAGCAACUUGAACUUGAUAUUUCUAAUAUAAAUUCGUUGCUUGAUUCUGUGCAGACUUCACAAAAUUAUGAUGACGAGCCAAAAUUUGAGGAGCUUGGAAGUAUUGAAAAGACAGAACAACAAGAAGCACCUAAAAUGGAAUUGAAACCUUUGCCUGAAGGAUUGAAAUAUGCUUUUCUUGGAGAAGAACAAACUUAUCCUGUUGUGAUUUCUUCUACUUUAACAAGCGACCAAGAAGGUAAGUUACUUACUGUUCUUAAAAAGCAUAAAAAUGCAAUAGGAUGGACUUUAAAUGACAUUAAAGGCAUUAAUCCCUUAAUCUGCACACAUAGAAUUAAUUUGGAAGAAAAUGCUAAAAUAUGUCAACAACCUCAAAGAAGAUUAAACCCACACAUGAAAGAGGUAGUCAAAACAGAAGUCCUUAAAUUACUUGAUGUGGGAAUUAUCUACCCUGUUUCUGAUAGUAAGUGGGUAAGUCCUACACAAGUAGUGCCUAAAAAAUCUGAAAUCACUGUUGUUAAAAAUGAAAAAGGUGAAUUAAUUCCAACACGAAUUACAUCUAGUUGACGCAUGUGCAUUGAUUAUAGAAAAUUAAAUGAAGCCACUAGAAAAGAUCAUUUUCCAUUACCAUUCCUUGACCAAAUCUUAGAAAGAGUAGCAGGACAUCCCUACUACUGUUUUUUAGAUGGAUAUUCAGGUUAUUAUCAAAUUCCUAUAGCACUUGAGGACCAAGAAAAGACCACAUUCACAUGUCCUUUUGGAACAUUUGCAUUUAAAAGAAUGCCAUUCGGGCUUUGUAAUGCUCCUGCAACAUUUCAAAGAUGUAUGUUAAGCAUUUUUUGUGAUAUGGUUGAACAUUGUUUAGAGGUCUUUAUGGAUGAUUUGACUGUGUUUGGGAAUUCUUUUGAUGAUUGCCUUGAUAAUUUGGAGAAAGUUUUAAAAAGAUGUGUUGAAAAAGAACUCGUGUUGAAUUGGGAAAAAUGUCACUACAUGGUUACUUCUGGAAUUGUUUUGGGUCAUGUUGUUUCUAUUAAAGGAAUUGAAGUUGACAAAGCAAAAAUCGAAGUCAUAUCUAAAUUGCCACAACCAAAAACAGUUAGAGAUGUGCGAUCCUUUUUAGGACAUGCAGGAUUUUAUAGGAGGUUUAUAAAAAACUUUAGUGCCAUAUCUAAACCACUUUGUAACCUCUUAUUAAAAGAUGCACCGUUUGAAUGGAAUGAUGAUUGCCAAAAAUCUUUUGAAAAAAUAAUUUGUCUUUUAACAUCUGCACCUAUUAUGCAAUCUCCUGAUUGGUCUUUGCCAUUUGAAUUAAUGUGUGAUGCAAGUGAUUUUGCUGUUGGUGCUGUUUUAGGACAAAGAAGGGAUGGUAAGCCUUUUGUGAUUUAUUAUGCGAGUAAGACUUUAGAUAGUGCUCAAAUGAAUUAUUCUACAACUGAAAAAGAAUUACUUGCUGUGGUAUUUGCAUUAAACAAAUUCCGUUCAUAUUUGCUUGGCUCCAAAUCUGUUGUGUUUACUGACCACGCUGCUGUGAGAUAUUUGAUGAGUAAACAGGAUGCCAAACCGAGGAUAAUUCGUUGGAUUUUGUUACUACAAGAAUUUGACCUUACCAUCAAAGAUAAAAAGGGUGCUGAAAAUGUUGUUGCGGAUCAUCUAUCAAGACUCACAUCCGAAUUCUGCAAUGAUAUAACACCCAUAAAUGAUUCUUUCCCUGAUGAAUUUUUAUUUUCUGUUACUUCAAUGCCAUGGUAUGCUAACAUUGUUAAUUUCCUUGUUACAGGUAAAAUGCCUUUGCAAUGGAAUGCUCAAGAGAAGAAGAAAUUUUUUGUUGAAGUAAAGAAAUUUUAUUGGGAUGACCCUUAUUUGUUCAAAUAUUGCCCAGAUCAAAUUUUUCGGCGAUGUAUUCCUCAUAAUGAGGUAAGUAGUGUCAUUAAUUUUUGUCAUUCUGAAGCAUGUGGUGGUCAUUUUUCUUCAAGAAAAACUAUUGCUAAAAUUUUACAGUGUGGAUUUUAUUGGCCUACCAUGUUUAAAGACACAUAUGAAUUCUGCAAAAGUUGUGAAAAAUGUCAAAAAUUGGGAUCAAUUACAAAAAGAAACAUGAUGCCCUUAAAUCCCAUACUUGAAAUUGAAAUAUUUGACUGUUGGGGAAUUGAUUUCAUGGGUCCAUUUCCAUCAUCUUUUGGAUUUGUGUAUAUAUUAGUUGCAGUUGAUUAUGUCUCAAAAUGGAUUGAAGCAAUUUCUUGUCGAAAUAAUGACAGUAAAACUGUGAUUAAAUUUUUAAGAGAAAACAUUUUAAGUCGAUUUGGAAUCCCUCGAGCCAUUAUCAGUGAUGGAGGUAAGCAUUUUUGUAAUAAGUCAUUUGAGUCUUUAAUGAAGAAAUAUGGAAUUACACAUAAAAUUGCUACCCCUUAUCAUCCUCAAACAAAUGGUCAAGUUGAAUUAGCAAAUAGGGAGAUAAAACAAAUUUUGGAAAAAACGGUUAACCCAAACCGAAAAGAUUGGUCUCUUAGACUUAAUGAUGCACUUUGGGCUUACCGCACUGCAUUUAAAACAUCAUUAGGAAUGUCACCCUAUCGGUUAAUUUAUGGUAAACCUUGUCAUUUACCUGUUGAACUUGAACAUAAAUCACUUUGGGCUAUUAAAGCUUUUAAUUCAAAUUUGGAUGAUGCUGGUAAUGUGCGAAAAUUGCAAUUGAAUGAACUUGAGGAAUUAAGGAAUGAUGCAUAUGAAAAUUCAAGAAUUAUUAAGGCAAGAACAAAAGAAGAUUAAACCCACACAUGAAAGAGGUAGUCAAAACAGAAGUCCUUAAAUUACUUGAUGUGGGAAUUAUCUACCCUAUUUCUGAUAGUAAGUGGGUAAGUCCUACACAAGUAGUGCCUAAAAAAUCUGAAAUCACUGUUGUUAAAAAUGAAAAAGGUGAAUUAAUUCCAACACGAAUUACAUCUAGUUGACGCAUGUGCAUUGAUUAUAGAAAAUUAAAUGAAGCCACUAGAAAAGAUCAUUUUCCAUUACCAUUCCUUGACCAAAUCUUAGAAAGAGUAGCAGGACAUCCCUACUACUGUUUUUUAGAUGGAUAUUCAGGUUAUUAUCAAAUUCCUAUAGCACUUGAGGACCAAGAAAAGACCACAUUCACAUGUCCUUUUGGAACAUUUGCAUUUAAAAGAAUGCCAUUCGGGCUUUGUAAUGCUCCUGCAACAUUUCAAAGAUGUAUGUUAAGCAUUUUUUGUGAUAUGGUUGAACAUUGUUUAGAGGUCUUUAUGGAUGAUUUGACUGUGUUUGGGAAUUCUUUUGAUGAUUGCCUUGAUAAUUUGGAGAAAGUUUUAAAAAGAUGUGUUGAAAAAGAACUCGUGUUGAAUUGGGAAAAAUGUCACUACAUGGUUACUUCUGGAAUUGUUUUGGGUCAUGUUGUUUCUAUUAAAGGAAUUGAAGUUGACAAAGCAAAAAUCGAAGUCAUAUCUAAAUUGCCACAACCAAAAACGGUUAGAGAUGUGCGAUCCUUUUUAGGACAUGCAGGAUUUUAUAGGAGGUUUAUAAAAAACUUUAGUGCCAUAUCUAAACCACUUUGUAACCUCUUAUUAAAAGAUGCACCGUUUGAAUGGAAUGAUGAUUGCCAAAAAUCUUUUGAAAAAAUAAUUUGUCUUUUAACAUCUGCACCUAUUAUGCAAUCUCCUGAUUGGUCUUUGCCAUUUGAAUUAAUGUGUGAUGCAAGUGAUUUUGCUGUUGGUGCUGUUUUAGGACAAAGAAGGGAUGGUAAGCCUUUUGUGAUUUAUUAUGCGAGUAAGACUUUAGAUAGUGCUCAAAUGAAUUAUUCUACAACUGAAAAAGAAUUACUUGCUGUGGUAUUUGCAUUAAACAAAUUCCGUUCAUAUUUGCUUGGCUCCAAAUCUGUUGUGUUUACUGACCACGCUGCUGUGAGAUAUUUGAUGAGUAAACAGGAUGCCAAACCGAGGAUAAUUCGUUGGAUUUUGUUACUACAAGAAUUUGACCUUACCAUCAAAGAUAAAAAGGGUGCUGAAAAUGUUGUUGCGGAUCAUCUAUCAAGACUCACAUCCGAAUUCUGCAAUGAUAUAACACCCAUAAAUGAUUCUUUCCCUGAUGAAUUUUUAUUUUCUGUUACUUCAAUGCCAUGGUAUGCUAACAUUGUUAAUUUCCUUGUUACAGGUAAAAUGCCUUUGCAAUGGAAUGCUCAAGAGAAGAAGAAAUUUUUUGUUGAAGUAAAGAAAUUUUAUUGGGAUGACCCUUAUUUGUUCAAAUAUUGCCCAGAUCAAAUUUUUCGGCGAUGUAUUCCUCAUAAUGAGGUAAGUAGUGUCAUUAAUUUUUGUCAUUCUGAAGCAUGUGGUGGUCAUUUUUCUUCAAGAAAAACUAUUGCUAAAAUUUUACAGUGUGGAUUUUAUUGGCCUACCAUGUUUAAAGACACAUAUGAAUUCUGCAAAAGUUGUGAAAAAUGUCAAAAAUUGGGAUCAAUUACAAAAAGAAACAUGAUGCCCUUAAAUCCCAUACUUGAAAUUGAAAUAUUUGACUGUUGGGGAAUUGAUUUCAUGGGUCCAUUUCCAUCAUCUUUUGGAUUUGUGUAUAUAUUAGUUGCAGUUGAUUAUGUCUCAAAAUGGAUUGAAGCAAUUUCUUGUCGAAAUAAUGACAGUAAAACUGUGAUUAAAUUUUUAAGAGAAAACAUUUUAAGUCGAUUUGGAAUCCCUCGAGCCAUUAUCAGUGAUGGAGGUAAGCAUUUUUGUAAUAAGUCAUUUGAGUCUUUAAUGAAGAAAUAUGGAAUUACACAUAAAAUUGCUACCCCUUAUCAUCCUCAAACAAAUGGUCAAGUUGAAUUAGCAAAUAGGGAGAUAAAACAAAUUUUGGAAAAAACGGUUAACCCAAACCGAAAAGAUUGGUCUCUUAGACUUAAUGAUGCACUUUGGGCUUACCGCACUGCAUUUAAAACAUCAUUAGGAAUGUCACCCUAUCGGUUAAUUUAUGGUAAACCUUGUCAUUUACCUGUUGAACUUGAACAUAAAUCACUUUGGGCUAUUAAAGCUUUUAAUUCAAAUUUGGAUGAUGCUGGUAAUGUGCGAAAAUUGCAAUUGAAUGAACUUGAGGAAUUAAGGAAUGAUGCAUAUGAAAAUUCAAGAAUUAUUAAGGCAAGAACAAAAGCAUUUCAUGAUAAAAGAAUUUUUCGAAAAACAUUUGAGAUUGGUCAAAAAGUGUUGCUUUAUAAUUCUCGUCUUCAUUUAUUUCCAGGAAAGUUAAAGUCAAAAUAGAGUGGCCCAUUUGUUGUAAAAAAUGUAUAUUCAUAUGGGGCCAUAGAAAUUGAGAAUCCAAAUAACGGUGUCACAUUUAAAGUUAAUGGUCAAAGAUUAAAACCAUAUCUGGAACAUCACCCACGUGACGAGGACACCGAAAUUAAUUUGGAUGACCCACCAGUUCUUGAUUAAGUCUUUAAUGAUUUUUUUUUUUUUUACUAUUAUUUUACCGUUUCAUUGUUUGAUUUUUUUUCUUUAGAUUGAUGCACUGUACAUAGUUUUUUUUUAACAUUGUUUUUCUUGUGUAAGCGUGUUUGUUUGACAGUUGUACAUUCUCUCAUCAAUUUUCAUUUUACAUCAUGAGCACCUCAAUGAGAAAAUACCUAUUCGCACAUCUUAAAAGAUUUCGGCGUAUAAAAUUUCACUUAAGAGGCCUAAUACAAAGCUGUAAAUCACAUCCACUUUGGGAUCUGCAACCACCAGAAUUCGUGUCCUAUGUUGAGGAUCUAGAAGGACAACUCAGAACAGUAGAGAGUGGCAUAUAUGAAUUUCAAAUAGAGCUUGAGGUUAACUCAAUGAGAGGACGAAUGUAAGUUCAUUUUCCUUUUAUAUUGUGUGCUUUUUUUUUGCUCGCUUUCACGCUUGAUUUGAUUUUGCAGAUUUGAUUUUGGUGUGUUUUGAUUUAUUUUCCCGUAUAAAUGGCGGAUAACGGUACUCCGUGACUUCUUAAGUCGGUAUCUUCAGUUUCCCACAAUAACUGAAACCCCAAAAUCAAACAUGGAAGAAAUACAACAUAAACUCCAUAAGCAUUUUCCCUCUCUCCCUCAGAAUGCCCUCAGGAAAAUUUACAAAGCUCGUUGUGAACGACUGCGUUUGUUAAUGAUCAAUGGCAUUCUUUCUGACAUUCGUUGGUUAAUUGAAGCAAAGGUCUGAUUAGCAGGUGAGUUUUCUAGUCAAUUUGUUUCUUACAUGCCUGGUUUUGGUAAAAGUACGUUUGCUAAGAAAAGGAGAGCUAAACGACUUGGCUCAAAAUGUCAUAACUGUGUAAGACUUGGUUGCAAACGACCGGAUUGUAAAUCUUUAGGAAUGGUUUCUGAUACUCGUGAAGAUAAAAUUAAAUUCGUUAAAGAUGGCAUGAGUAAAGAAUCGUUGGAUGAUAUCUUACGAUCUCUUGAGACGCAUCGAAGCGGAAUUGUGCAAUGUGAGAUUUACAAUUUGUGGAUACUAUUCCAAAAACAAAGUGCACAGUUAAGUCUUGGGAAUCUGACUCAAAAAGACCCUGUUUGCCAGUUUAUAAGAAAACUGGAUGGGAAGCCGAUCCUCGACCCAUAGAGGGCGUUCAAGCCGUUACUGGACGUAAAACCAGAGGAAGAUGUGAGCCACAAUCACAACUACUAGUAAAUAUCCUUUCACUUCACUGUUAUUUUACUUUACUGUUAUUUUAUCAUUUGAAUUAUUGCAUUUAGCGAUGUGAUUUUGUAUUUAUUUGGUUUCUUUUACUGUUUGCUUUUUCUAAUCAUUACUUUUUUUUUUACUAUUUGUUUUUGAAUUAUUGAGCCACGAGCUUUCCUCGUCAUUUGACAAAUAUGCCAACCCAUUUACAGCUGUUUCUCUUUAUUUAUGUCACCAAGAUCUUUAAAUAUGAGCUCGUUUUUCAAACACUCACAACUUGUUUUUGAAAAAUUAGUCCAAUGGCAGCAUCUUCAAGUAAACAAUUCAAAAAUAUUUGUGUGCUUUCUGGGUUUCACUAUGGAAAGUACAAAGAGUUCGUUCAGGUAGCUGUAGAUCUUGGUCGUGUCAUAGCAGAGAGGAAACUGCAUCUUGUAUAUGGAGGAGGUGAACGAGGGUUAUCAAGACUUGUCUCAGAAGCUGUUUUUACCAGAGGAAGCCAAGUACUCGGCAUUAUCCCAAAACCCAUGAAACCGCUAGUGUGCAUGUCUGGCCCACCAAUUGGAGAAGAAUUAGUGGUAUCAAGUAUGCAAGAGAGAAUAUCUGAAAUGAUGAAUCAUGCUGAUGCUUUUAUUUUCUUGCCAGGAGAUCUUGCAACUUUUGAGGCACUAAUUACAUUUGCAUCUUGGGCCCACUUGAACAUUCAUCAAAAGCCCAUCGGUUUGUUAAAUGUUAAUAAUUUUUAUGACGGCUUGCUAACUUUUAUUAAUCAUGCAAUAAAGAAUCAUUUUGUUCCACAUUCUGUAAAAAAACUCUUUAUCUCUGCUUCUACUGCUAAUGAGUUACUUGAUCUUUUACAAGCUUAUACACCAGAGCCAGAUCCACAGACUGUUGCACUGAAUUGGUCGACUAAUGAUGGUAACGGUAACAGUAGCAGUAAUAAGAAGUGCGAUUUAGAUUUAACUCUCCGUUUGUAAAUAUUUGCUGUUGUAGUGUUCAUGUGAUGUCUUCUACACUCUUUCUAUUUCCUUUUAAAACAUUGAGGACAAUGUCUUUUUCAGGUUGGGGGGAGGGAAUAGUUGAUAAUUGUGGAAUGUCUUAGUCCUGGUUAUGUGUUUACAAAAAAAAAAAAAAAAAAAACAAUAACAAAAUUUUUUUUUUCUGUAAAGACUAACUUAGGACAAAUUUGAGUCGAAGAUGGCAGGAUAUAGAGAAUGUAGUCUCUCUAGAAACGCAUCUUCUUAAUCUUAAGGGUGUUGUUAAAAAAAAAAAAAAAUUGACUUUUUCUUCAUCUUUGUUAUCUACUUUUAAGCUUCUGCAUCAAGUUAAGGUGAGAUCUCCUAUUCUUCUUCUUUUAUUAUUCUCUUUUAUUUUUAUUUAUUAUUAUUAUUAUUUUUUUGCAUAUCUGUAAAAUUAUAAAAUGUUAGGAUAAUGUUUAGAUUAGGUUGUGGGGUGGGGAUAAUUGACGUAUGUUUUAAAUAUGUAUGUUGUUUUUUUCUCUUUUCUCUUUUCUUUUCUUUUCUUUGCCAAAAAAAAAAAAAAAUUGUUUUUUGUCUAGGAUGGCCGUGUAAAGAGUCACGACUUUUGAGACGCAUCCUAAUAGUCUUGUUGUAUUAUAUUUUGAUUUUGAGAUUCAUGGUAAGUUGUUUUUGUUCCCUUUUCUUUGAAUUACUCAAAUUUGUGAACUCUCCACUUGGUUAUUAAGUUAUUUAAUUGUUUACUCAUUUAACAGGUAUUAUUGAAUCAUUCUUCACACACACAUUAUGACACAUACUAGUGGGUUGUAAGUUAAAAUUUUACAGCAUUUAGUUCUUUUGAUUUAUUAGGAAAAGUAUCUAAGGUAGUAGAAAGUGUAUAGUUCCAAAAAAAAAAAAAAAAGUAGAAAAAAAAUUGUUUUUAAUUUUUCUAUAUCUAGAACCCGAGUAAUUAAGUCCGUAGGGGUGUUUCAACACCUAGUGCCCUAAGGUCAACUGGUCUGGGAGUCACUGGCCUAAAGCUCACUACAUGGGUAAUAGAUAUAUUGUUUGUUUAUUAGAAACCCGAGUAAUUAAGUCCGUAGGGGUGCUUUAACACCUAGUGCCCUAAGGGCAACUGGUCUGGGAGUCACUGACCCAAAGCUCGCUACACGGGUUAGAAAUGUAAUAUAUAAAAAAAAAAUGUGUGAAUAAUCUAUUGCCUAAAGAUAUAAUUUCUAAUGAAUUUUAGAACGAAAAUGUUGUUUUUCUUUUAAUGAAGCCCCAUAAGUAUUGUGUUAAUUACUUGAGCACAAAAGAAGGUUUGAUGAUAUUCUGGAUAAUGAGUGAACAUCAAUGUGGUAAAGGAAUUUGGGAGAGUUCAUUUAUUUGGUAAUUUAGAGGAUAGAUGAACAACUAUUAACUUGCAUGUGAAUUUUAUAAAUCUUAAUAUAACGCUUUAAUUGCUAGAGGGCUAGCAAUAAGCUGGUUGGGGGGUGUGAUUAGUAUUAAAAAUUGUUUAAUUAUCAAGCGAUAAUAUGUUAUUUUAUGCUUAUGUUAUAAUUUAUAUUUGUGUUUAUGUAAUAUAUUAUGAAUUAUUAAUUAUGUUUUAAAUAUAUUUAAUUUUGUGUAUUUUUAUGUGUUUAUUAGGAAAAUUAUUAAUUUCACGUACUUCGAGGCUCCAAACAGAUAAACGGAGGUCAAAUUUGGAUUCCGGAGGUCCGAAAACCUUAAGAUCAGUCAAGAUCGGCUUAAAAUUGGGCUUGUGUAAAAAAAGUUGACUUUUCCUGUUGACCGAGCACUGAUUGGAUGAUGAAAUGAGCUUACAAUAGAUAUGAGUGCAUGGGAUAACUGGCAAUCUUGACUAAAUCUCAACCGUUCAUGAUUCAAUGGCCAUGAUUGUGCCACGUGGCAAUGGUUGGUGAAGCAAGUUGGAGGAUCCGAAUCUUUGUAUUCGGGUCGACCCGAUCCACCCAUUAACCCGCCAAAUCUCAACCGUUCUUUGGGCAAAUCGGACGAGUCAAAUGAUGCCAUGUGUGAUGUUGACUUUUGAAGUUUGACCAGCCAUUGGAUCUUGAUCUAAGGGUUGUGAGGAGCACAUGCAUGAAGCCUAUGAUGGACCGCAAAGCACUGGAUUAUGAAUUUAUUUUUCUAUAAAUAGGGCCUCAUUUUUAUGUUUUAAUCAUCUCUCUACAACUCUCUUCUUCUCAAAUUCUCUCCAUCUCCUUGUAAUCUUGAUUUCCAGGUGUGUUUUUAAUAUUUUGUAUAAUUAUUUUCAUUAAUAAAAUUAGUUUUAUUUCCAAUUUUAGUUGUUUUUAUUUCUUUUAAUUAUAAGUAAUUCAAUUUUACUACUUCUUUUUAUUUUAAUUAUGCUUAACUAAAUAAUAUUAGUUAGGGGAAGGUGAAACUCUUAAGAAAUAAAUAUGAUUUAAUCAAAUUCUAUGUUUAAUUUUAUAAAUUAAUUUAUUUUCUAUUUAAUUUUAUACAUGUUUUAUAUUUUGAAAAUUUGAUUUAUUGUAGACAAACAAAUGAAUUUGGCACAAUAAAUUCUUAAGAUCUUAAUAUAAGGCAUGGUGAAAUGGUAUUUUGACUUAUUGUAGACAAAUUAAAUUUUGGCACAAUAAAUACUUAAUCCAUCAUAAAAUUAAAGGGAAAAUAAUAAUAAUUUGUAUAAUUAAUCUUUUGAGUAAUAAAUCUAAAACAAAUUGGCAAAAAGAAUUUAUUAAGUUUUAUUUAUUUCUAAGAGUGGAUCCAUAACCCUAACUAGUUCAAUUCCAUAGUUUCAUUUAAAUUAAGUUGUUUAUAUUCAAGUUUUAAUUUCAAUUUUUAGAUAAAAUAAAAUAAACUAAUUAAAUCUUUUCUCUGUGGAUCGACCUCGGACUCACCGAGUUAUAAUACAACAAGACACUCUUAUACUUGGGAGUUAAAAUUUACUUUUAAGUUGUGUCACUAACUAUAAAGGCUGGGUUACUUUGAGGACUUUUAGAUUCUCCAAAAUUUUUAUCAAGUUUUUCUAUUUUUUUUUUCAUAAUCUGAUAUAAUUUGAUUGAUUUUUAUAUUGUAUUCACCACGCUGGCUGCUUCGAAAAUGUAAUUUUCGAGUUGUUUACCUAAUAAGAUUAUAAAUUCUUGGUGUGGUGAUGGAAUGAUUACAUGGUGUUGUAAGAGUAAUUCUUUCGUUAGUCAUUAUAUAAAUGAACUGACAAAGGAAAUUGACUUCUAAAAGUAUAUAUGCUCCUAUAUGAUUAUAAGACCAUAAUAUAUGGAUACUUAAAAUGUAAUCUUCGAUUUGGAUUAAAGUUUUUAUCCUACAUGUUCCUAAAAUGAUUUGUUCACCAUUUAUUCCUUGUCCUGUUAAGGGUUUAUAAUCUUUCGAAUAUGAUUUUGGAUAAAUCCUUAAAUUAGGUAAGCUAACUCCUGAACCAGUGUCUAUUAAAGCAUGAAACCAUUCUGGCUUAUGCUUAUAAUAUGGUUUAAUCACUUUUAUAUAAACUAUAAAAAGAUUAGACAUAUCUUGAUAUGGUUUGCUUAAUUCCUUCAACUGUUAAGCUUAUUUUUCUAUCUCCUAUAGAAUAAGGAGUAAAAUUCUCAAGAAAGUUCAUCCCUAAUAAUAAAGGACUUAUUUAUGUUUCAUAAUCUGGUUCUAUGAAAAAAGAAAAGAUGAAUUCUAUCCCUUUUAUUCUUAAUAGUAUUUCACUAUAUUGACUUAAUGUCUUUCUUUCUCCAUUAAAUCCUACAUAAGUAUGAGGCUCAAUUAAAAUUUUUCUUUCUAAAUAUUUAAUAAUUUUAGAAUCUACAUAAGAUUUUGCAGCUCCUGUAUCAAGGAUAGCAAAAGUCUCGUGCCAUGAUUUUCCAUUAUUAUAUUCAAUCUUAAUUUUUAGAUUUUGAUUAUCCAGUAUUGCUAAAUUUACUGGACUAUUUGUCCUUUCUCGAAAAUGAGCUCUUAUCAUGACUUGAAUUCCUCCGAUAUGAACAUAUCCAAUUUUAAGUCUAUCACUAGAUUUUAUCUCAUUUAUCUUAUCUUUUAUAUCAGUUUUUAAUAAUAAUGGUAUAUUUGUAUUUCCUCUAGCAUACCUAAUUUCAAUAGGUUCUUCUCUUACAGUAGCACUAAGAUACAUUAUAUUUUUUCUUUUAAUCAUGUUAGCAAUGCCUUGUGCUAACUUAUUAACCGAAGUCAUAGAUGAUUCCAAUCCUUUUUUAUUAUUCUUGAGAUAUUGCUUUUUAUCAAAGAUUAAUUCUCUAUUAAAAGAACCUUGUUCUUCUAACUCUUCAUCUUGAUAUAAAUCUUUAUUUUCUAAUUCUUCUAUACUCAUUCUGAAUCAGAUUCUAAAUCAGAACUUCUCAAAGUUUCAUUAGAAAGAUAAUAUAUGCUAUCAUUUUCACUAAUAUCUUUGCUAUCGGUGAUUAAUUCUAAAUCAUUGAAAUCUUCAAAUAUUUUUAUAUUUGCUUUCUUCGUUUUAGGACAUUCAUUUGCAUAAUGUUCUUCUUCAUUACAUAACUAGCACUUGCAUUUUUUAGGUGCAUUGGUUUUGGAUCUUCUUUUAAAUUUAUUUUUCUUGUAGAAUUUCUUUUUAUAUUUAUUUUUCUUGUAAUAUUUCCUGUUGGCUUUAAAGAAUUUCUUCUUUUUGAAUUUUUUUUCUUGUGUUUAUAGAUUUUAUCUGAACAUCCAAAUCUUGGCGGAUCUUCUAAUUUAGAACAACAUAAUUCUCGAUUUUGCCUUUUCAUAAGUCUUCUAUCUCUUAUUUCAGAACACUAUUCAUUUAUUCUAUUUUGAGCAAAUCUAAUCCUAUUUCGUAAUGUAUAAGUUUCUGUAGUAUCUUUGUAUUCUUUGUUAUAUUCCAACAUAAUCCUUCUACCCCAUGGGUCUGGUAUCUUUACAAAAUAUAGAUCAUGGUAAUAGCAUAUGUUAUCCUCAUCUUUAUCAAAUUCACAUUUAUAAUAUAAUUCUUCGAAGCUACAUGUAUAUUCUUCUAAAUAACAUAUAUUACAUAUUUCAAGCCUUGUUAGCUUCAUUAAAUUUUCUAUCUGUUUUCUUUUUAUUUCUUGUUGAAAAUCAGUUUCCCAAUCUUCUCCCAAGAAUUUUUUUCUUAUUUCAUUUUCGAAUCUAUUUAAAACCUGAUCAACACUUUCGUUUCGAUUAUUAUUUUCUCCAUACAAUAUUCUAUUUUUAUGAUUAUCAUUUAAUCCCAUAAACCAAUGAGAAACAAUUCCUAUAAACGAAAUUUUAAGGAAUUCUAUACUAUUAUCCCUAUCAAUUUUGUGAAAUGCAAAAGCCAUUUUCAUAGAUUUAACCCAAGCGGUAAUCGUUUUAUCUCUAUCUUUGAUACAGUCUAAACCUAACCAUACACCAUCAUGGUUGAUUGGUCUUUCUCUAUAUUCUCCUGGAGUUUUAUGAUCUUUUUUAGGUUUGUUAAUCCUAAAAUAUUGACCUUGUGCUCUUUCCUGAGUUGGUAUUUCUUCCCUAACAUAGGAAGCUCUAUUACUAGUUUCUCCUUGUUAAAAACCGUUUAACUUUGGUUCAUUCAUUUUUAGAUGUUCUAUUCUAUUUUCAAUAUCCUGCAAAUUAAUGACUAUAUCAUCUUCUUCUUCGGAUUCAGAUUCUUUAUCAGAUAUCUCUUGAUUAGGUAAUUCUAUGUUUUCACUUAGCAUUCUUAGACUUAUUAAUUUUUUGUCUUUGUUUAUUUUGUUAAAUAUCGGUUUAGAUGUUGUUAUCAUUUCUUUAUCUUUAAGUUCAUUAUAGUAAAUUAUGGUAUCUUGUAAAAUUUUAUUUUGUUUAUUGAUCUUCUGUACUUCAAUCCUUUUGUAAUUUUCCAUUUAUGCUUAUAGCGAAUUUAUUACCAAUUUUUUCAUCGAUUUUUUCAAUUUUUUGUAGUUGAUUUCAAUCUUGUUGAAUUUAUUUUCAAUUGAACUUUUGUUCACAAUAUUAAAGAUUUCUUGUUUUAAUCUAUCUUGAUCUUCAAUAUUAAAGUCUUUUAUUAAUAGCUUAACAAAAUCAAAUUCUUCACUCAUUCGCUAUCCUAUCAUUUUGACUUGUCUUAUAUUUUCGGCAUCAAAGCUUUUAAUCUCAAGUAUCUUAUUUACACUUUCUAUAUCAUCUAUGGUUAAAUUAGGGUUUCCUAAUUUAUUUAAUAAAUAUAAUGAGAUCCAAUUUAAUUGAUUAUUUCCCCACAUAUCAGAAUCAUUUACUAAAUCAAAUGGUUGAAAUCUUCCAUAAGUAAAUCCUCUAUGCCUAUAGCUAGAAGGUGGUAAUAUGUUGGUUUCAAUAUUUCUAUAUACUUCUCUCCUGAUCCUAAAGAGAAGAAUAGGAUCAAUAUUUAAAUUUCUAAUUUUUAUUAUGAUGAGUUCUCCAAUUUUAAAUUCAUGAACUCUAACUAAAUAAAAUUGUAUUAAUUGUUUAUCAUCCAAUAUAUUAACUUCUGAAUAAUAAUAUUGUUUAUGUUUUGUUAUAUUAUCUUUAACUCCACACUUGUUUAAAAUUCAACACACAGAUGUGCCUCUUUCUUACUAUACUGGAAUCCUCGGUAAACUUUUUGUUUGCGCAAUUUAUGUGAGCAAAUUGUGUCUUCUUUUUCAUAUGUAAAUGUUUUUGAUAUCUUGAUGUGAAGGUAGAAAAUUGCAUGUUUUGAGUUUUUGCAUAUUUGAUGGAAACACAGAACUGUACCUGAAUCUUUCAGAACCCCCUUUUCUUUGAAGUUUGAACACUUUUCUUGAAUGUAUCAACUUUAUUUAUGGGAUAUGUUGCCAAAUUGGCAAAUCUAUUCGUUAUAAAACUUUCCUUUGACAGUUUAAUCUAAGCAGAUGUUAAUUAUGCAAAUAGAGUGUGCCUAAGAUUAGUUUCAUAGAUUUGUCUCCUUCUGUACAGUAAAAACUUUGAGCAUUUUCGCCAUAUUCUGAUCAAUACACUCCAACUAGUUAGUUCUUGAGGCGUUUUAUGGUUUCGUGGAGUGAGGCAAGAUGUAUACGUUUGCAAAUUGGCAAUGUCUUUUGCUUGAUGGGUUGAGAGUUGUGAGUGUCAACAGGAAACAAGACCUCUGUUUUAUGAACUCCAAAAAGUUAUUCUGUUAAAAAGAUCGAGACAGAGGCCAUACUAUAUUUAUUAUUGCUAUAAAAGUGUGAAAAAAUAUUCUUUGUUUAAUAUUCUAAACGAUUGAGCCAUUUAGUUAUGAUACUCUGCUGUAUUGGGGCUAAUAAUCUAAGUCGGUUCAAAGUGGUAAAUUUAUAAAUUGAUAGGUAUGCCUGGUAUGACCGCUUACGUUGGAUUUUAUGAGGUCUGCUCUCCUAAGCAAGGAGAGUGUGUCUUCAUAUCCGCAGCAUCUGGUGCAGUUGGACAGCUUGUGGGGCAGUUUGCAAAGUUAUUGGAUUGCUAUGUCGUCGGAAGUGCUGGAAGCAAAGACAAGGUAUGUAAUCUGUGUGAAGUACUUGAUUGUUUCCAUGUUACUUUCAAACAUUUAAAUUAAAAAGGAAAUUUUCAUAAUCUUGCCUUUUCUAUGAUUUUCAAAACCAAGGUUGAUCUACUGAAGAACAAGUUUGGGUUCGACGAGGCAUUUAACUAUAAAGAAGAAGCUGAUUUGAAUGCAGCAUUGAAAAGGUUAGCAUCAAUAAAUGCCUUAGCUUGAUGCAGCUUGAUGAAGUAUGAUACACAUUUCUGACCAAUAUACUGCGUUCCCUGAUCUCUUACUUGAAAUAUCUUGGUUUGAGAAUCUCAUGCCAAUGCCUUUAACAUUUUGGCAGGUACUUUCCUGAAGGAAUUGAUAUAUAUUUUGAAAACGUUGGUGGAAAAUUGCUUGACGCAGUGCUACCCAACAUGAAAAUCCGUGGUCGAAUUGAUGCAUGCGGUAUGAUCUCACAGUACAAUCUUGACAAGCCUGAAGGUGUGCACAACUUGAUGUAUCUUGUUUCGAAACGGCUUCGAAUGGAAGGAUUCAUUGUUCUCGAUCACUAUCACCUCUAUCCAAAGUUUCUGGAAAUGAUCAUUCCUCACAUCAAAGAAGGGAAGCUUGUAUACGUCGAAGACAUGGCUGAAGGUCUUGAGAGUGCUCCGGCAGCUCUCAUCGGUCUAUUCUCUGGCCAGAAUAUUGGGAAACAAGUGGUUGCUGUUGCUCCUUAAUGAAGAACAAGUUAGUGUUGUCUGUCCUUUUACCCUUUGACACAAAACUUCAAUGUUAAAGAGAGAAUGCUGUUCAUAUAUACUGCUUUAUAAAAUAAUCAAGUGAGUGCAAGUUUCAUGAUAUUUGCUGAAUAAAAUAUUGGAAAUUAAGCAGCUAGCCUAGCUCCUUCUUGUAGUUGCAGUUUGAAUGAUGCUGCUGCACAACUGCUGCCGAAAAAAUCCUUAAUAGAUGAUUAGCAAGGUUUCAAAAAUAAAAAUAAAUGUUUGUGCAAUGUGUCGAAUAUGACAGCCACAAAGAAAGAGCACACAAAUUGAUUGGUUUUAUGUCUUCUCUAGGAGAAAGCUACAAUACAAGAAAUUGUACUGAUGGAGCCAUGGACCAAAUUUCUUAUUUAAACUUUUAAUUUUUUUAUUAAAUUACUUAUGUUAUUAUGGUUUAUAAUUUUAGAAAUUCUUUAGAAAUUAAUACAGAACUAGUAGCAAGUUGAGAAAUCUAUUGAAUGGUCAAGAUAUGAUCAUGUUUAUUGAAUUAAAUUGACAAUCAUCAUUUUGAUAAAUUAUUGUCAGGAUGUUUGAUUCAUGACACGUGUAAGCAACUAAAUGUGCUAAAAAAAAGUUAAUGAGUUGGGCGUGUUUGAGUUAAUGAGUUGGGCUUGUUUGAUAUUCAUUUGUUGUAAUUCUUUUAAUAAUUAUUGGGGAAAAAAAGUUAUAAUAAAAAAAAUUAUAAUUAUAAAAUAAAAAUUAAUAAUAUAUAAUAAAUAAGAUUUUAAAUAAUAAUUUUAAUAAAAUAAUAAAUAUAUUAUAAAUUUUUUAUGAUUAAUUUUUAAAUUACAACAAUAAAUAUUUAACAAACACCUUAAUACCACAACUAACACCACAACUUUUGAAUUAUGAUAGUACAAUCUAAAUGCCACAGGCCUUAAAAAAUAAAAUUACAGUCAAGUUUUAAAACUGUUAAUGAUAUUCACAAAGACUCUGGAACAAUAUUACAGAAGGUGCUCGUCGUGUAAGCAACACAUGGGACCCAACCAAUAAAUGUUUCUGAUCCUCAACUUUCCUCAUCACUGUCCCUGGAAACAAUUCUGAUUUUCUUGUCUGAUUAAACAACUGAGAAACAAUGGCGGCCGACCAAGAAGCUGGGAGCAAUAAGCGGGUGAUUCUAAGCAACUAUGUGACAGGUUUUCCAAAAGAAUCAGACAUGAAGAUAACAAGUUGAUCAAUAAAGCUGAAGGUAGCAGAGGGUGUUUGGGAGAAAUACGUCGACGAGACCAGGCAUGGUGAGCAGAUAUCUGAUGGCAGAGUUCUGCGAACCGGUGUGUUCCGUAAAAGCCUGGUGCGCGGGGGAACAGGAGCAGAAGUAUCCUGCUCGUCCACGAGCACGUCAUCCGCGAGGCCAAUUUCCUGUAAGAGGCAUAAGGUCAUUCCGGCUAGAGGUCGAGAGGCGAGGAGACCCGGUCGACGGCAGUUGGCAAGACAUGCUCCCCAGCCCGAGAAUCUAGGCACGACAGCCACGCUUUCCCCAGAACCGUGGCGUAACACGCAAGAUCUCACAGAACCACGACAGCCACGCUUUCCCCAGAACCGUGGCGUAACACGCAAGAUCUCACAGAACCACGACAGCCACGCUUUCCCCAGAACCGUGGCGUAACACGCAAGAUCCCACGUUUGCCCAUAACGCAGCAGUCAGAGUCCCAUACCGUCUCGAAAAAAGCGGAAAACUGGGAUUCAGGGGAAGCCUAUAAAAAGGUAGCCAACGAAGGUAAAAGGGUUAGCAUUUUUGAGAUUAGAAAAGAAAUGAAAAAAGAAGAGAAAACCACGAAAAAGCCAUAAGAUAUGUGGCAAGCGUUCCCCGAACCUUCAUAUCUGACUUGAGCGUCGGAGGGUUUGCGCCGGGAAAACAACCGGCGUACUCUGACUUGUCUGUGUGCGCAGGAACCUCUGGAGAAGAAGCCUCACGUGGAGACCUCCUGGUCGUGAAGAAGUUGAUCGGGCAGAGAUCCUGGUCGUAGAACGAGGAGAACCGGAAUCCCGCAUCAACAUUUUGGCGCCGUCUGUGGGGACCGGAGCAAAAAGCUUCUGUUGAUAGCAAGAAGAGGGGUGAAGCAAGUGAAAAACAAUGGAGACAGGAGGAAGUAGUGCACAAGGGGGUGAUAGGAAGCUUAACGAUUCCGUGACGCUGAGGGAGAUAGUCAGUGAAGCACGGGAAAAAGUCAUGUUCGACCGGAUGGAACGGAUGGAAAAGCAGAUGGAGACCUUGACAACCAUCCUGCAUGAGCUGCGGAGCGAGCGAAGUAUAAUCCAAGAGGGAAGGGUGAGAGGCGGUGGAGUGGCACCAGGUCCCGAUAGUGCGGGGAGAAGUCAAACCACCGGGAGAUUUGGUGGUGAGAGAGGUAACGUACCUCUGCGGGGAGAAUUUCAUAGAGAAAGAGAGCAGUCCCCGGCAAGACAGACUGGCGACGAGGACGACGGGGUGGUGAAUGCAGAGGAAACAGAGUUGAGGCAACACUUGCAUGAUGUAGAGCAAGAGCGGGAUCAAGUUGCAGCACGUGACCCUGGUUGUGCAGUGCAGCUGGAGGAGGAAGUGCGCAGACUAGCACAGAUAAUCGACGACAUGCAAGGAAGGAACAGAGCCCCUGGUUGGAGGAUAAUGCUGGACGGAGAAUCACCGCUCGCAGCAGAGAUCAUGAGGGCAGUUAUUCCGAGAGAUUUCCGCCUCCCAGACCUCAGAUACUCGGGAAGAACUGAUCCGUUGGUGCACAUAGAGCGCUUCAACGACAUAACUGGGGUACAAGGAUUAUCUCAAUCCCAAAGGUGCAGAGUGUUCCCACUAUCCCUUGAGGGACGUGCACGAGAAUGGUACAGGAAACUUCCUCGGGGCAGCAUUAAAACCUUCGAGCAGAUGUGCCAGGAAUUCGCGGAGCAGUUUAGUGGGGCAAUGGCGCCGGAAGAUGACAUGAUGGAGCUGAAAAGCAUGAAACAGGGGGAGCAAGAAACCCUUCGGGAAUUCAUCAAGAGGUUUCAUCGGGCUGUCCUUGACUUGGGAGCCUUCAACCACCCUCAGGCGUUAAGGGGAUUGAAAGAAGGGGUGAAGAUAGGAAGGCUGUGGUACAAUUUGAGAAGCCCAGCUAUUCAAACGUAUGCAGCCGCAUACGAACAGGCUAAGAGAGACAUCGAGAUUGAAGAGGAGAAGGCUGCACGGAUUAAGACAGACCAGUUAGAAGGGUUGGGGAGGAAAGAGAAGAAAGCAUUACCGGGGAAUGGGCCGAUCAGGAGGAGGGACCACCAGGCCUCCGGUAGUGGAGCAGGAGGUCGGGUAGCCGCUUACCAGCCUCAUCAAAGGCCACCACAGUAUCAGCGCAGCAGGGCGCAACCUCCUCGUUCCCCAGCUAGGGAGCCUUGGAGAAGGCAUGAGUCGGCAUCUGGUGGUCUCCAACAACACCCCCACGGUAUCAGAGCGAGCAGACCAGAAGUACUUCCACCGCCCCCAACUCAGAGCGGGGCAAACAGAGAAAGAGCAGUGCACCUGAUCGACCAGAACCCGGACUAUGGGCGGUACACUUCCUUGAAGAUGUCCCUGGAUGAGGUGUACGAGGCCAUAAAGGAUCGAGGGCUGCUGCACCUCCCUACACCAAUAACAAAGCUACCCAACAGGAGGGAUAGAGGACGUUAUUGUAAGUUCCAUGGCACCCAUGGCCAUACCACAGCAGAGUGUAGAGAUCUCAAGACCCAAGUCGAAGAUUUGGUGAGAAAUCGGUACCUGGACGAGUUUAUGGAUGGGACUUUCCCGAUGGGGGCCACAACAGGUGAAGGGGAGCAGAGUGGCGGAAACGUUAGGCGCGAGCAGCCCGCAGUAAGGGUGAUAGCUGGGGGCCCGACAUUGGCCGGAGAUUCCAACAGAUCGAGAAAAAAUUAUGCUAGGUACGCCAUGACCAGUAAAGAGGUACUCCUCAACACCCCAGCAGCCAAACGAGCAAGGGUCAGGCAAGUGCCAAUCAUGUGGACGGAUGAGGAUGAGGAAGGGAUUCUAUACCCCCACGAGGAUGCUUUAGUCAUCAAGGCUACUGUCGCUAGCAAGAAGUUUGACCGGAUACUGAUUGAUACAGGGAGCUCAGUUGAUGUGUUAUUUAAGUCAACCCUGGAAGAGAUGGGAAUAGCCGACCGGAAGUUGGAAUACACCAAUACCUCCUUGAAGGGGUUCGGAGGAGGGAAGCUGGUCCCUCUGGGCGUGGUCGAGCUGCCUAUCACAAUUGGGAGCUCUCCGACAGAAAGAACAAUGAUACUGGACUUUGUCGUAGUGGAUGAGGAAGGUCCUUACCAGAUGAUCCUAGGUCGGCCAUUUUUAAGGAUGAGCAAAGCGGUGUUGUCCAACCAUUAUCUGGCUCUGAAGUACCGGGUGAACGGGGUAGUAGGAGUGGUACGAGGAGACCAGAGGAUCGCAAGAAGCUGCUACUCCUCGGCAGCAAGGGAAGCAAUGCAGAUAACAUCCCUCGAUACCCGAGUGGAAAACAAGAAGGGCAGACAAGAACCUGUAGAGGAUCUGGAAACAGUAAGCCUGGGACCAGAGAACCCGGGAAAGACGAUCAGAAUCGGGUCGAGACUUAAGGGAGAGCAAAAGCAGGAGUUGGUGAAAUGCUUACAGGCUCAUGCUGAUGUGUUUGCUUGGACACAUGAAGACAUGCCAGGAAUUGACCCUGAGGUAGCAUGUCAUAAGCUGGCAAUAAAGAAAAGUGCUCGGGCAGUAAGGCAGAAGAGGAGGUGCUUCAACCAGGAGAGGUAUGAGGCUAUAAAUGGCGAGGUGGAGAAGCUCUUGAGAGCAGGGUUCAUUCGGGAAGUCAGUUACCCUGAGUGGAUAUCGAAUGUGGUGUUGGUAAAGAAGGCAAACGGCAAGUGGAGGAUGUGUGUGGAUUUCACAGACCUCAAUAAGGCGUGCCCAAAAGACAGCUUCCCUUUACCAAAGAUCGAUCAGCUAGUAGAUUCAACGGCUGGACAUGGUCUGCUUAGCUUCAUGGACGCGUUCUCGGGAUACAACCAGAUCCCCAUGUACGAGCAGGAUGAGGAGAGCACGGCUUUCAUCACUAACCAAGGUUUGUUCUGUUACAGGGUAAUGCCAUUCGGUCUCAAAAAUGCCGGGGCCACCUAUCAAAGGCUGGUGAACAAAGUCUUUAAGCCGUUGAUUGGGAAAACCAUGGAGGUGUACGUGGAUGACAUGAUCACCAAGUCCAAAAUCCCGGAGGAACAUGUCAGACACCUCGAGGAGACAUUCGAGCUUUUGAGGAAGUAUAAGAUGAAGCUCAACCCGGAGAAGUGUGCUUUUGGGGUCGAGUCAGGGAAAUUCCUUGGAUUCAUGGUGAGCCAUAGGGGGAUUGAAGCACAUCCCGAGAAAAUCCAGGCGAUUGUGCAAAUGACGUCUCCCCAUAACCUGAAGGAGAUGCAAAGCCUCACGGGGAGGUUGGCGGCGUUGAGCAGAUUCAUAUCCAAGGCUACAGAUAAGUGUAAGCCAUUCUUUCAAGUGAUGAGGAGGGGAAAGAAAACAGAAUGGACCUCAGAAUGCGAGGAAGCCUUCCGGAACUUGAAGCAAUACUUGCAGCAAGCUCCGCUGCUGUCCACACCGAGGGAUGGGGACAAGUUAUAUCUGUAUUUGGCGGUAUCGGAUCGGGCCGUCAGUUCUGUUCUGGUGAGAGAGGAAGAAGGAGUUCAGUAUCCGAUAUAUUACACCAGCAAGGCCCUGCUCGACGCUGAGACCAGAUACCCACCGUUGGAGAAAUGGGCACUUGCCCUUGUGGUUGCUGCUCGGAAGUUGAGGCCAUAUUUUCAAGCAUUCCCGGUCUUGGUAAUAACAAACCAGCCAUUGCGUCAAACUCUGCACAAGCCAGAUGCCUCUGGUCGGCUCGUCAAGUGGGCUGUAGAGCUGAGCGAGUUCGACAUAGACUAUAAACCCCGCGCAGCGAUAAAAGCCCAGGCAAUGGCCGAUUUCGUAGCUGAAUUCACAGAGCCCGAAGUAUGCUUAGAUCAACAAGAUGCAGAUAUAGGCAAUGACGAAACUCAAGUAUGGCAGAUGUCUGUGGAUGGGUCAUCAGGGGAGCGGGGUUCAGGAGCAGGGAUUGUCUUGGAAGGCCCAGAGGGGGAGGAGAUCUCUUAUACUGUAAAAUUGGAAUUUGCAGCCACGAAUAACCAGGCAGAGUAUGAAGCCUUGAUAGCAGGUCUGGAAUUGGCUAAGGCCGUGAAAGCAGACAGAGUUAAGAUCAGAACUGAUUCCCAGCUGGUUGCGAAUCAUGUCAGUGAAAGAUUCCAACCAAGAGAGGAGAAGAUGGGGCAGUACCUGAAGAUAGUCAGGCAGAUGAUGGGGAAGUUCGAAGCAGUGGAGGUGAUACAAAUCCCCAGGGAGCAGAAUAGUCGAGCAGACAUUUUGGCUAGGAUGGCAGCAGUAGCCGACCCAAAAAUGCCAAAGUCGGUCCCUCUGGAGGUGAAGUCCAGCCCAAGUAUCGAUCAGAAUUUGGGGGUGUUGCAGAUAGAACAAAAAUGCUCGUGGAGGGACCCGAUAAUUUCAUACCUUAGAGACGGGGUAUUACCACCAGAUAAGAUGCGAGCUCGCAAGCUUAGAGCCCAGGCCUCGAGAUACACGAUGAUUGAUGGGGUACUGUAUCGGCGAGGAUAUACACUACCGUUCCUUCAGUGUUUGGAUGAGGACGACGCGGAUUACGUACUGAGAGAAGUACACGAAGGAAUUUGCGGAAAUCAUUCUGGCGGGAGGUCCCUGGCCCAUAAGGUUCUAAGGCAGGGAUAUUUCUGGCCGACAAUGCACCAGGAUGCGCAAGAGAAGACCAGGAGUUGUGUAAGCUGCCAGAGUUUUGUAAAUUUCUCUAACCAACCACCAGAGAAGCUCACCUCCAUGACCUCCCCCUGGCCAUUUGCUCAAUGGGGAAUUGAUCUGAUCGGCCCAUUGCCAAAGGCACGGGGAGCAGCAACAUAUGCAAUAGUUGCUAUAGAUUACUUCACGAAGUGGAUAGAGGUAAAAGCCCUUAGCAGGAUCACAGAGAAGAAAACAACAGACUUCGUAUGGAGAAACCUGGUCUGUCGAUACGGGAUCCCUUAUGCCUUGGUAACGGAUAAUGGCAGGCAGUUCGAUAAUCACAGCUUCAGGGAUUUCUGCCAGAACCUCGGGAUAGAGCUGAAGUAUUGCUCGCCUGCUCACCCUCAAUCGAAUGGACAAGUAGAAGCAGCCAACAAGACCAUCAAGAGGCUUUUGAAAACCAGGCUUGGAGCAAAAAAGGGUGCGUGGGUUGACGAGCUGGCAGGUGUGCUAUGGGCAUCCAGAACAACAAAACCGCAACUGGGGAGACACCGUUCGCUUUGGCUUUCGGACAUGAAGCGGUCGUGCCGGCUGAGAUAGGAACGACCACACACCGGACAAAUCAUUUCAAUGAGCAGGAGAACGACGAGCAGAUAUGUUUGAAUCUUGAUCUGCUAACGGAAAGGAGGGAGCAAGCAGCCGAGCGAUCAGUCAUUUACCAAUAGAGGGUUGCUCGGUAUUAUAACCAGAAGGUGAACAUACGGCAAUUCAGGGUCGGAGACUGGGUACUGAGAAGAGUGAAUCAGAGCACCAAAGAUUCGACUCAAGGAGUGCUGGGACCGAAUUGGGAAGGGCCAUAUAGAGUCAAGCAGAUAGCGGGACCCGGAGCUUACAGGCUGGUUCGCACGGACGGCCACGAGGUGAAACGCCCAUGGAACGCAGCACACCUCCGAAAAUACUUCCAGUAAGACUUGUUCACAUGUGAAAACUAUUUUUGCUCAUGUUCAUUACCGUUUAUCUUUCACGCUUAUUGUCCAAACAAUUUCAUGUAAGUCGAAUCCUGCCAUUAAUGGAACGUCGAGGAAUUUCUUUCACUUGAAACCGAGAAAAUUUCCCAAGGCAUGCAAAGGCUCACCAAGUCUCAAAGCCUGUCUUAUGGUGAGACAGAAGCCAAGCAUGCCAGGAUCUGCUCGGCCACGAGAAGGCAAGCAGAAUCCCAAUCCUCGAAGAAUCCAAGGCACGCAAAGGCUCACUAAGUCUCAAAGCCUGUCUUAUGGCGAGACAGAAGCCAAGCAUGCCAGGAUCUGCUCGGCCACGAGAAGGCAAGCAGAAUCCCAAUCCUCGAAGAAUCCAAGGCAUGCAAAGGCUCACCAAGUCUCAAAGCCUGUCUUAUGGCGAGACAGAAGCCAAGCAUGCCAGGAUCUGCUCGGCCACGAGAAGGCAAGCAGAAUCCCAAUCCUCGAAGAAUCCAAGGCACGCAAAGGCUCACCAAGUCUCAAAGCCUGUCUUAUGGCGAGACAGAAGCCAAGCAUGCCAGGAUCUGCUCGGCCACGAGAAGGCAAGCAGAAUCCCAAUCCUCGAAGAAUCCAAGGCAUGCAAAGGCUCACCAAGUCUCAAAGCCUGUCUUAUGGCGAGGCAGAAGCCAAGCAUGCCAGGAUCUGCUCGGCCACGAGAAGGCAAGCAGAAUCCCAAUCCUCGAAGAAUCCAAGGCAUGCAAAGGCUCGACAAAGUCUCAAAGCCUGUUUUAUGGCGAGACAGAAGCCAAGCAUGCCAGGAUCUGCUCGACCACUAGAAGGCGAGCAGACUCCAAAGCAUUCGAAGAAAUGCCCAAGGCAUGCAAAGGCUCGACAAAGUCUCAAAGCCUGUUUUAUGGCAAGGCAGAAGCCAAGCAUACCAGGAUCUGCUCGACCACGAGAAGGCGAGCAGACUCCAAAGCAUUCGAAGAAAUGCCCAAGGCAUGCAAAGGCUCGACAAAGUUUCAAAGCCUGUUUUAUGGCGAGACAGAAGCCAAGCAUGCCAGGAUCUGCUCGACCACGAGAAGGCGAGCAGACUCCAAAGCAUUCGAAGAAAUGCCCAAGGCAUGCAAAGGCUCGACAAAGUCUCAAAGCCUGUUUUAUGGCGAGACAGAAGCCAAGCAUGCCAGGAUCUGCUCGACCACUAGAAGGCGAGCAGACUCCAAAGCAUUCGAAGAAAUGCCCAAGGCAUGCAAAGGCUCGACAAAGUCUCAAAGCCUAUUUUAUGGCGAGGCAGAAGCCAAGCAUGCCAGGAUCUGCUCGACCACUAGAAGGCGAGCAGACUCCAAAGCAUUCGAAGAAAUGCCCAAGGCAUGCAAAGGCUCGACAAAGUCUCAAAGCCUGUUUUAUGGCGAGACAGAAGCCAAGCAUGCCAGGAUCUGCUCGACCACUAGAAGGCGAGCAGACUCCAAAGCAUUCGAAGAAAUGCCCAAGGCAUGCAAAGGCUCGACAAAGUCUCAAAGCCUGUUUUAUGGCGAGGCAGAAGCCAAGCAUGCCAGGAUCUGCUCGACCACUAGAAGGCGAGCAGACUCCAAAGCAUUCGAAGAAAUGCCUAAGGCAUGCAAAGACUCACCAAGUCUCAAAGCCUGUUUUAUGGCGAGACAGAAGCCAAGCGUGCUAGGAUCUGCUCGACCGCGCGAAGGUGAGUCGAAUCCCAGGCAUUGAAGAAUCUCCAAAGGCAUGUGGCAAAACCAUGAGCCAAGCCGGAACCUGCUCGUCUAGACAGAGACAAGCAGAUUCUCAACCGAAAAUUAAUUCAUAAUUACAACACAAGAAAGUAAUCAAAAACCAUUUUUAUUAAUUUGUUAAUAAUUAACAGAGGGGAUAAUCUUUAUGAACAUUGUUCAUUACAAUACAAGAAAUAUAUCAGGAAGAUGGUGGACCAGUAAGCCCGGCAGCAUCGGUUGGCUGGACCUCCUCAGGUGCAGGAGGGGUAUCACCAGUUGCGUCCGGGGGGGUGCUCGCCUCGCCAACAUCAGCAGGGACUGCAUGAGCAGGAGAGUCUUCCUCCUCAAUCACGAUCGGCUCUACCCCAUCGGCAUCUUCCUUGGCCGCCUCCUCGUCCAUAUGUUGAGCAACACCAGCUGCAAGGUCAUCCAUCUUCAGAUCAGGGUGUUGCUUCCCGAGGACGGCCAUGAUGCAACGAUAGGAAUGCCGAAGUCCCUGGUCGUACUGGUUGUCAGCCUCCCUCUCUAAGUUCUCGACCUGAGCUCGGUGGGAGUCGCGGAGAGAUUCGAGCUGAGCCUCAUACAUAGCCUUCUGCCUUUGCAGAUCCUCCUUGACCGUGGUAAGCUCCUCCUCGAGGGAAAUGGCUUUUGCUUGAGCAAGUGAUUCUUGCUCUAUUAGCUUCAGAUUCUCGAGAUUCAGGUCCUUCUUGCUCACGAGUUUAGUUAACUCAUUGAGGUAGGGGACCAGGUGUUCUGCUCGGCUGUCAGGUAAGCGAGAUCGAGGCCCGACAGGAGGAAAAGAGGAAGCAGGAUCUGUGGCUGCUCCACUAGCUUCCCCGACUUUUACAGGAGCAGGAGGUAAAAUCUUCAAGGGUGGGACCUGCUGCAUGAUGUUGGCCCGCUUUGCAGCAGGGGCAUCCUUACUCUGGUCCCUCUUCGUGGUUGGAGGUCGGGAACGUUUUCGGGUCAGAGCCCCAAUCACAGCGUCCUCCAUCCUAUGGCCAGGAAGUAUCAAGCGAGACUCGAGCAAGUUGUAUGUAGUUAGCAGUUCUCGGCUCGAGCAGGAAUUGGCUAGUACAGCCUCGACCCGUUUGAGCUGGUCAGGUUCAAGCGGGAAGUGGACACCCCAAGAAACUACAACACAAACAGACACUUGGUUAGAGACAAGCCAAUAAAGCAAGAACAAUUAUGGAUGCAAGACAUCUAGAGUGAGCAGGCAACCUGGGACCGUGAAACGGGGUGGGACGUGACAAUCCUUCCCGCCUAUUUGUGCAACUUGACCCCAAGGACCCCCAGCAAAAAAGAAUUUCCUCUUCCAAGCCCCACCACCACCGGUUGGAAGAUCGGUUAUGGGUUUCCGGCUCUUGGUGCUAGAUUGGAAGUAGUACCAGCCGGCAUCUUUGGGGCUGCUCUUUAGCUGGUACAAGUGCUUCACCUCAUCAACCGUGGGCUCGCUUUGGCAACAUUUGUCCCACAAUAUGAACAGACCAGAGAGCACUCUCCACCCAUUGGGAUUCAGCUGACCAGGAGCUAGAUUUAGCCCGUUAAGUAUCUGGGCAAAGUAGGGUUGCAAGGGACACCUCAGCCCGUACUUAAAGCUCUCUAGAAACAGGGUAACGUAUCCCCUAGGAGGCCGGCUGGGAGCAUCCUUCUUUCCUGGGACCUUGAGAGGUAUCUCACCAGGAAUGCUAUACCUAAGCCGGAGGUCAUUGAGCUCGUCAAACAAGGUCGUGCACGUCAUGUAAUCAAUGGCAUAAUCGCGCGACAAGGCUCUGCCUCCUACUGUACCCCGUUCCUCUGGUCGUGAUGUUCCAGAUGGAGACACCUCACCAGAGUCACCUUCCCCAUUCUCACUUAAGGUGUCCUCAGAGCCAGAAGGUCUCUCUUCACCAUUGCUUCCACUCGUGGAGGUUGUUUGGGGGGACAUCCUCCUAGCACUAGUCCCGACACUAAACCUAAUGGGUUCUAAGGGGAUCCCGGGGUCAAAAGCAGAAUCAGUGAGCAGACCAGGCAGGAAACUUAGUUCGUCGUCAUCAAUCUCAACGACUUUCUCCUUACCUUUCGACAUUCCCUAAGCCCUAACCACAACACCACCAACUACUACCCAAACAGAAGAGAAGAGAAAUUAUCUACAACUAUCCGAGACCAAGGAGAUAGAAGAAAUACCUGAAGUAAUGGUUCAGUCGGUGAAAGUCAGAGAUGGAGGCCUUUUAUGCCGGAACUUCUUUGCCGGAGAAACAGAGACGGAGACGGAGUGAAUGAUGAAUAUGCCGUUCGAGAGGAUUUGGUUUUCCUAAUGAGGACGGACUCUUGGGUUGCCAGCAUUUAACGGCGCCGAAUCCCGAGGGUCUCAUAACCGUCGGUUUGAAAUUCAAAUGGAGGGGGGGAUUUCUGCCACGUCACCUCGUCCGCAAUUAAAUGCGACAUGACUCUUGGCAGCCUUUUCCAAUCCCACGCGGGCGAGUACUAACGAGUUUCUACUGCUGGUCCACUACAUUACCCAACACCAGAAACUGGGGGACCGGUGUUUGGGAGAAAUACGUCGACGAGACCAGGCAUGGUGAGCAGAUAUCUGAUGGCAGAGUUCUGCGAACCGGUGUGUUCCGUAAAAGCCUGGUGCGCGGGGGAACAGGAGCAGAAGUAUCCUGCUCGUCCACGAGCACGUCAUCCGCGAGGCCAAUUUCCUGUAAGAGGCAUAAGGUCAUUCCGGCUAGAGGUCGAGAGGCGAGGAGACCCGGUCGACGGCAGUUGGCAAGACAUGCUCCCCAGCCCGAGAAUCUAGGCACGACAGCCACGCUUUCCCCAGAACCGUGGCGUAACACGCAAGAUCUCACAGAACCACGACAGCCACGCUUUCCCCAGAACCGUGGCGUAACACGCAAGAUCUCACAGAACCACGACAGCCACGCUUUCCCCAGAACCGUGGCGUAACACGCAAGAUUCCACAUUUGCCCAUAACGCAGCAGUCAGAGUCCCAUACCGUCUCGAAAAAAGUGGAAAACUGGGAUUCAGGGGAAGCCUAUAAAAAGGUAGCCAACGAAGGUAAAAGGGUUAGCAUUUUUGAGAUUAGAAAAGAAAUGAAAAAAGAAGAGAAAACCACGAAAAAGCCAUAAGAUCUGUGGCAAGCGUUCCCCGAACCUUCAUAUCUGACUUGAGCGUCGGAGGGUUUGCGCCGGGAAAACAACCGGCGUACUCUGACUUGUCUGUGUGCGCAGGAACCUCUGGAGAAGAAGCCUCACUUGGAGACCUCCUGGUCGUGAAGAAGUUGAUCGGGCAGAGAUCCUGGUCGUAGAACGAGGAGAACCGGAAUCCCGCAUCAACAGAGGGUUCAAAAGACACGGUGCUUUUGAAGAAUCUUUAUCUUUAUUGUGAUCCUUACAUGCGAGAGCGUAUGAGCAAGCUUGAUAGACCUUCUUUUGUUGAUUCAUUCCAUUCUGGUGAGGUUAGUUCAUCACGACCUCAACUUAGAUUUUGGGAUGGUUUACGAUUCACUCUCAGUUUAUGCAGAAAAACAAUCUAGUUUUAAUUUGGCAGGGUUUUUCCUUCUCUCUCCUUUUCUUCCUUUUCUUCAUUGGUUUCUUCCUCUUUUAUAGCCGCUAUCCCACGUUUUCGUUCAUCCUUCAUCCCCAUUUUUCGGGUAGUGGCAGCCCCUCAUGGGACUCCAACUGCUACAUUAUGGGUAAAUGUGGGACACCGUAUCUCCCUCAAUGGUUUUAGAAAAAGCGCAACUGUCGUGAUUUCGUGAGAUUGUGUUCCCGUUCUUUGGGGAAUGGAUAUCUGCUCGGUAUAUGUCUCUGGUCGGCCUAUAUUUAUAGAAGGCUCAUUAUCAGUAUUCUACUUAUACCAUUCAGCUGAGGUGAUCUACCUCGAAAUGAGAAUGAUAACAUGACUGACCUGAUGCUCUUAUUUACUUAACAGUAAAUUUUCUAUGACCCUACAGGUGACUAAUUAAUGAGAACUUGACAAUGACAAAAGAAAGUGUAUGAGCUUUGCAGGCUGGCAUGCCAAUAUUGACUGUGUGGCACCAUCCACCAUCUGCAAUUGAAUAUCAUUAUUGUUUAAUCAAUGUGGUGGAGUCCACUGGAACCACACCACAUGGUCAGUCUUAUCUCUAUUCCUCAAUUUUCAGUAUUCCAUACAUCAAACCAAUUUCAUGUUUGUUAGCAAUUAUAAUUUCAUUGUUGGUGACGAUUCUGAUUCCUUUUGUUGAGAAUCAAAUAAAACGGCAUUGAAUGAAGCUUUCAAAGACAGAAUCUGCACUUGUCAAAGGGGUAAUCUGCACUUGUCAAAGACAAGAUCCGCGCCGAACGGAUUGACACAUUUCCUUCCGUAUUCACAUAUGUAAUCUUUGAAAAAAUGUAGCCUCUGCAUCUAUAAAUAACUCUCAAUGUAUAAUGCUUUAUUUAAGAAAUGAAAACACGUUUCUUCAUGGUAUCAGAGCCAUGAAUACGCUCAAGUUUCUUCAAGUUCCGCUGCUCUGUUUGUAACAAAAAUAGAGGAAACCAAAUUCCUCCCACAACCAUUUUUCCCACCAUUUUCUUUCUUAAACCCAUUCCUACCAUUACAGAUAUCCAUGCCGAUCAAGAAACAAGCCACCCAUACGUAAAAAACUUGAGUUUACAAAUUUAUCAACAAUCCCAUCAAUUUUCUGAGAGUGUGUUCCUAAAAAACCAAGAACACCAUCAAAUUUCUCAGUUUUCAGUGAGGAAACUGUAAAAAUUUCGCAUUUAAACACAUUCCCACGCGCUCCCACGCGCCACCCGAAGCCACGGCCAGUCAACCACGCGCCUCUGUCAUCAUUCACGCGCUCUCACGCGCUCCAGAGGUUGAAGAAGACGCCAGCCGACAUGUCGUUCUUAUCUCAGAAGUUCAGCAGUCACAAAACGACGUGUCGUUUUUUGUUAUAUUAAAAUCGACAUGUCGUUUUGUAAAUUAGAGAUAAAACGACGUGAUGCUUAGUCUCCAGAAGUGCAGCAGGAUUAAAACGACAUGUCGUUUAUAUUCCACCAUAAUCGACAUGUCGGUUUGGCAAGCAGUGGCCAAACGACCUGGCGUUUUGUUACCUAAAAAGGUUAUUUUUUUUCUUCUUCCAAUCUAGAUGGAAAAAAAAAAAACAAACAAAAAAAAGAAAAAAAAGAAAAAAAAGAAAAAAAAGAGAAAAAAAAAAAAACAAAAAAAAAUGGAGAAAACUCCAACUGAAUCUAGUCCUGUUGUCAUUCAAUCUGUUCAAUCUGAUGGAGUAUUUAAUGCUGGAAUUAUCCUCACUGAGACAAACUACGAUGUUUGGUCUCAAAUAAUGGAGAUGCAUCUUGUAGAAAGAGAAAAACUCUCAUAUAUUCGUAGCAGCACAAAGCCAUUUGAGGAAUCUUCAAAGGAAUAUGAGAAAUGGUAUAGUGAGAACCAAAAAGUAAAAAGAUGGUUACUCAUAUCCAUGUCUCCGGAGAUCAUGAAGCGAUAUUUACGAAUUCCUACAGCCUACGAAAUCUGGGAUGCAUUAUCAAAAGCCUUCUAUGAUGGAAGCGAUGAAUUACAAGUUUUCACUCUAAACCAGAAGGCAUUCUCUACCAAGCAAAAUGGACAACCACUCUCUAAAUUCUAUGGAGAAUUGGUCGAAAUAUUUCGAGAACUUGAUCACCGAGAUAAAGUGGUCAUGAAGGAUCCAGAAGAUAUUGUAAUAUACAGAAGGUCUGUUGAAAGAUUGAGAGUGCACAUUUUUCUUGCUGGGCUAGAUGAAGAAUUUGACCAAGUUCGUGGAGAAAUUCUACGAAAAGACAUUAUCCCAGACUUAGAAGAAUGUUAUUCUUUGAUCCGAAGAGAAGAUAUACGGCAAAGCAAACUAAACAAGAAGGUCGACUCAGAAACGUUUGCAAUGAUAGCACGACAGCAGCCUCAAAGGAAGUUUGUUGACAAGUCAUCACUCCAUUGCACUCAUUGUAGAAAGAAGGGUCAUACGAAAGAACAAUGUUUUGAAAUCAUUGGAUAUCCUGACUGGUGGGAUACUCGAAAGAAGAACACCAAGCAUGGAUCAAAAACUGCAGUAGCUGAAUCCACAUCCACUACAGAUCUUAGAAAAGAAUCUUCAGUGCAAAUCGCAACCUCUGUCAGUCCAGGUAAGGCCCUUAAAACUCUUACACCUGUUAUUAAUAGUACAUGGAUAAUUGAUUCUGGGGCAACUGAUCAUAUGACUUUUGAUUCUCGACAAGUUUCUCAAUUGAAACCAUCUUCACAAAAAUAUAUUUCCACUGCAAAUGGAACCACAACCUCAGUUAUUGGGGAAUGAUCUUUACGACUCACAAAUGAAUUAAAUUUAGACGCUGUGUUAAUUGUUCCAUCUUUAGAUUAUAAUCUUUUAUCUGUGUCUCAAUUAACCACUUACUUAUCAUGUGUUGUAAUUUUUUGGCCUGAUCAUUGUGUGUUUAAGGACAUCCAAACGAAGCAAACGAUUGGUUAUGGUAUUAGACGAGGCAGCUUGUACUACUUGGAGAUGUCAUCAACAAACACUGGAAAGCUAAGCCCCGCACUAGUUGCAGAUAGUUCCAUAAAAAAAGGGAAAUCAGAAAUUUGGUUAUGGCAUAGACGUUUAGGGCAUGUGUCAUUUAGUUACUUAAAAAAAUUAUUUCCUAGUUUGUUUCUGAAAUUUGAUGUUUGUAACUUUAAAUGUGAUGUUUGUGAACUUUCAAAAAGCCAUCGAACUACUUUUCCAUUGUCCUUAAAUAAAAAUCCAGUUCCUUUUAUGGUAGUACAUUCUGAUGUAUGGGGGCCAUCUAAAGUUUCUACAAUUGGAGGUGCUCGUUGGUUUGUUACAUUUAUUGAUGAUUGUAGCAGAAUGACAUGGAUUUUUCUGAUGAAAUCGAAAGACGAAGUAAACUCUUUAUUUCAAAGAUUUCAUAAGAUGGUGACAACUCAAUUUCAGACACAAAUUCGAGUUCUACAUACUGAUAAUGGAGGUGAGUAUAUGAGCACAGCAAUUCAACAGUUUCUGAAAUCACAAGGAUCUGUCCAUCAAACCACUUGUGUGGGGACACCCCAACAAAAUGGCGUUGCUGAACGAAAGAACAGACAUUUACUAGAAGUUGUUCGAGCAUCACUAAUCCAAGCCCACAUGCCAUUAUCUUAUUGGGGAGAAGCAUUGACAUCCGCAGCAUACUUGAUCAAUCGAACACCUUCAAGCUCCCUUGGAUUCCAGACUCCUUUCCAAGUUCUGAAUGAUGCAAUUAUGUCACCAAAUGUGCCGAAUCUGCCCCCACAUGUGUUUGGCUGUGUUGCCUUCGUUCAUUUGCCGCAACAAGACAAAUUAUCUCCUCGAGCACUACGUUGUGUGUUUGUAGGGUAUGCCUUACAUCAAAAGGGAUACCGAUGCUAUCAUCCACCAUCAAGAAAAAUAUACAUCACCAUGGAUGUCGUUUUUCAUGAAGAUAUCAUGUACUACUUGUCAGAGUCUGAAUUUCAGGGGGAGUAUAAUGAAGAGGAAAUUCAUACUCUUACAUAUCUUCCACCUGAAGAAAGUCAAUCUUCCAUUGAGAUAGUAAACCUUCAAGAUACUGGAAAAGCAAAUGGUGAUGAUUCGCAAGCUGAGAUAUGUGAAAACACAUUUGGGGAGCACAAUACUCAGACACAACUGCAAUCGAGAAUGAGUCACAUGAAGAAAUACCUAACCAAUCGUCUGCAGAGGAUGUUCCUACCACAAGUCCAAUCAGAAGAAUUCUUCCCCAGCGUCAAAAUAGAGGUAUCCCUAAACCCACAUAUGAGCCUGACUUCUCUAGUAGAGUCAAAUACCCUAUGAGUCAUUUUGUGUCUAACCAUCGCUUGUCAGAAUCAAAUCAGUCAUUUGUGAAUCAAUUAUCUGCUGUAUCUAUUCCUAACAGUGUGCAGGAAGCUUUAAAAGAUCCAAAGUGGAAAGCGGCUAUGAAUGAUGAAAUGAGAUCUCUUCAGAAAAAUCAAACAUGGGAACUAGUUGAUCUUCCACCAGGAAAGAAACCAAUGGGUUGUCGAUGGAUCUACACUAUAAAAUACAAAGCAGAUGGCUCUAUUGAACGAUACAAAGCAAGACUCGUAGCUAAGGGUUACACCCAAACCUACGGGAUUGAUUAUACUGAUACGUUUGCACCGGUAGCAAAAAUUAAUACUAUUCGUAUCUUAUUAUCAUUAGCAGUCAACUUGGAUUGGCCAGUGCAACAGUUCGAUGUAAAGAAUGCUUUCCUCCAUGGAGACCUGUCUGAAGAAAUUUAUAUGGAUCUGCCACCAGGAUGCAGUGGACCAGAACGACUCAAUCAGAAAGUAUGCAAAUUGAAGAAAUCAUUGUAUGGGUUGAAGCAAUCCCCAAGAGCAUGGUUCGGGAAAUUCACGAAGGCUAUGGUUCGUUUUGGGUAUAACCAAAGCAAUUCAGAUCAUACCUUAUUCAUUAAAAAACGACAAGGUAAAAUCACUGCCCUUAUUGUCUAUGUGGAUGAUAUGGUAGUUACAGGCAACGACGAGGAAGAAACAAAGGCUCUUCAGAAGUACUUGUCAAGAGAGUUUGAGAUGAAGGAUUUAGGUGCCUUAAAAUACUUUCUUGGAAUUGAGGUUUCUCGAUCUAAGGGAGGAAUCUUUCUGUCUCAAAGGAAAUAUGCCUUAGAUCUAUUGCACGAAACGGGAAUGACAGCUUGUCAGCCUAUUGACACCCCAAUAGAAGAAGGACUGAAGUUUUGUAUUACUUCAGACCAAGUUCCAGUAGACAAAGGAAGAUAUCAAAGGCUGAUUGGAAGAUUGAUGUACUUGUCCCACACAAGGCCAGAUCUUGCUUAUGCAUUGAGUGUUGUAAGCCAGUUUAUGCAUAAUCUCGGAGAACAACACAUGAAAGCAGUAAUGCGGAUCCUGAGGUACCUGAAGACAAAUCUAGGAAAAGGAAUCUUAUUUUCCAAAAAUGAAGAUUACAGCAACAUAGAAGUUUAUACUGAUGCAGAUUGGGCCGGGUCAGUUAGUGAUAGACGCUCUACUUCAGGAUACUUUACCUUUGUGGGAGGAAACCUUGUCACAUGGAGAAGCAAGAAACAACAUGUCGUUGCCCGUUCGAGCGCUGAAGCAGAAUAUCGAGGCAUGGCCCUUGGGAUAUGUGAAGGGCUAUGGAUAAGUUUUAUCUUAAACGAUUUGGGCUAUCCAUCACAACAACCAAUACAACUAUACUGUGACAACAAAGCUGCACGAGAUAUUGCUCAUAACCCAGUUCAACACGAUCGAACAAAACAUGUGGAGGUAGAUAGAUUUUUCAUCAAGGAGAAAUUAGAUGAAAAAAUCUUAGAAUUGCCGAAAAUUCGAUCAGAAGAUCAACUUGCAGAUAUUUUAACGAAGGCCAUUUCAAGCAGGGCAUUUACAAAAUUCCUAGACAAGUUGGGUAUGCAAGACAUCUAUGCACCAGCUUGAGGGGGAGUGUUGAGAAUCAAAUAAAACGGCAUUGAAUGAAGCUUUCAAAGACAGAAUCUGCACUUGUCAAAGGGGUAAUCUGCACUUGUCAAAGACAAGAUCCGCGCCGAACGGAUUGACACAUUUCCUUCCGUAUUCACAUAUGUAAUCUUUGAAAAAAUGUAGCUUCUGCAUCUAUAAAUAACUCUCAAUGUAUAAUGCUUUAUUUAAGAAAUGAAAACACGUUUCUUCACCUUUCUUUCUCACAAAACGGAACCAUGGUUGCUAUUGGAGAGAUCUUACUCAACGCCUUCUUUCAGGUGUUGUUUGAUAGGUUGGCUUCUUGUAAUUUUCUCAGCUUUGUGCGUCAACUCCAAGGCGGGGUUGAUUUGGAACUCAAAAAGUGGGAGAAAAAGCUGAAGAUGAUUCAGGCUGUGCUCUACGAUGCAGAGGAGAAGCAACUGAUCGACGAGGCUGUGAAGACGUGGCUGGACGAACUCCAAGACUUGGCUUAUGACGCUGAGGACAUUCUUGAUGAGUUUGCUACUCAAGCUUUGGAAAGCGAGUUGAUGGAGCAAAAUCAGGAUAGCUCUGGCCAGCUUCUUAGUUUCAUCCCAGCUAGUUUGAGUCCGAAUGCUAUUAUGUUCAAUUAUAGCAUGGGGUCCAAGAUUAAAGAUAUUACUAGCCGGUUGGAGCACCUCGGCCAAGAAAGAAUUGAACUUGGUCUGCAACGGAUUACUGGAGGGGCAUCAUCAUCUACUGCUGCCGCACACCAGAGGCCACCCAGUUCGAGUGUCCCAACAGAACGUGAAGUAUUUGGAAGAGAAGAAGAUAAGGCCAAAAUUCUUGAUAUGGUUUUGGCCGAUACCCCAAGUGAUCAUGCCAAAUUUGUUGUAAUACCCAUUGUUGGCAUGGGCGGAAUAGGAAAAACAACUCUUGCUCGGGAGGUCUACAAUGACAAGGCGUUGAAGAUUCCAAGUUUGAUGUAAAAGCAUGGGUUUGUGUCUCUGAUGUCUUUGAUGUUUUGGUCAUCUCAAAGGCACUUCUGGAGUCAAUCACCCGCAGGCCUUGUGUUCUAAGCAAUUUAAAUGAAGUGCAGGUUGAGCUGAAAAUAGUUGUGGAUAAAAAAAGAUUUCUACUGGUCUUAGAUGAUGUUUGGAACGAGGACUACAGCUUGUGGGUAGACUUAAAAGCUCCUUUCAUGGCUGCUGCACCAAACGGUAAAAUGAUCAUCACCACACGCAAUUCAAAUGUUGCAUCAAUAAUGGGACCAAUUGAACAUUACAAUCUCAAGAGUCUGUUAGAUGAUGAUUGCUGGUCCAUUUUCAUACAACAUGCACUUGAAUCUAGAGAUCUUAACGCAAAUCAAAUUUCAGAAUCAUUCCGCAAGAAAGUUGUUGGCAAGUGUGGGGGCUUGCCCCUGGCAGCAAAAACACUAGGGGGCCUUCUGCGUACUACGAGGCAUGAUGCAUGGGACGAUAUAUUAGAUAGCAAAAUAUGGGAUUUACCUCAACAAAGUGGCGUUCUCCCUGUGUUAAGAUUGAGUUACCACCAUCUUCCGUCUCAUUUGAAAAGAUGUUUCGCUUAUUGUGCAAUCUUUCCAAAAGAUUAUGAAUUCAAUGAGAAGGAGCUGACUUUCUUAUGGAUGGCUGGAGGAAUUAUUCGACAGUCAAGAAAGAAUGAGCAGCUGGAAGAUUUGGGCGGCAAGUGCUUUCAUGAUCUAGUGUCAAGGUCAAUUUUUCCACAAACCAGCUCGGGUAGUUCUAAAUUUGUAAUGCAUGACCUUAUCCAUGAUCUUGCUGAACUGGUUUCUAGAGAAACCAUUUUCAGAUUAGAGGAGGCCAACUUGUCAUCAAGAAGAUUUGAAAGGAUCCGCCAUGCUUCCUAUACCCGUGGUUGGUAUGAUGGUAAAAAUAAGUUCAAGGUUUUCAAUGAAAUUGAACAUCUACGAACAUUCCUACCAUUACACGAAAGACGAGGAUAUUACAUACCUCGAACGGUUCUAUCUGAUUUGCUGCCAAAGUUCAGAAGGUUGAGAACGCUAUCUUUACAAGGAUACUGUAUUGGUGAGUUACCAAUGUCAUUUGAAGAUCUGAGACUUUUAAGGCUCCUCAACCUUGCUGACACUGACAUAAGAAGUUUACCUGAGUCAACAUGCACAUUGUUGAACUUGGAAAUUUUGAUAUUAAGAAAUUGUUCCCGUUUGAUAAAGCUUCCGCCCAAAAUGAGGAAUUUGAUCAAUUUACGCCAUCUCGAUAUAAGAGGUGCGAAGUUGCUGAAGGAGAUGCCGUUCGGAAUGAAGGAGUUGAAGAAUCUUUUACAAGUUUGGAAGAUUUAAAAUGUUUAAACUUUCUUUGUGAUGAACUCUGCAUGAGUGGAUUAGAGAAUGUGAAUAAUCCACAGAAUGCAAGAGAAGCCACAGUAUGCGAGAAGCACAAUCUUGAAGCAUUGACUCUAGAUUGGGGGUCUCAAUUUGACAAUUCUCGAGAUGGAGUAGUAGAAGAGCAUGUACUGGAAAUUCUACAGCCCCAUAAAUGUAUAAAAAAGGUGGCAAUCAGGAACUAUGGUGGUGCAAGAUUUCCGCAUUGGAUCGGAGAUCCUUCGUUCUCCAAGAUGAAGGUCCUUAAAUUGGAGAACUGUCACAAUUGUGUAUCGUUGCCGUCGCUUGGCCUGUUGAGUUCACUUAAGCACCUUGCUGUUAAAGGGCUGAAGAAACUAAAAAGCAUAGAGUCUGAGGUUUAUGGGGAGGGUUUCUCAAUGCCUUUUCCAUCACUGGAGAUUCUAAGUUGCGAGAAUUUGCCAGAAUGGGAGCAUUGGGAUACCGAGAUCAAAGGAAAUGUGCCUGUUGAUAUAUUUCCUCGUCUCCAAGAACUUUCCAUUGCAGAAUGUCCCAAACUCUCUGGACAACUGCCUGAGCUCCUGCCUUCCUUGGAGACACUUGUUGUUAGUAAAUGUAAAAAGUUGGUAGUUCCAUUGUCUUGCUAUCCGAUGCUCUGCAGAUUAGAAGUUGAUGAGUGCAAAGAACUAGUCUGCCGGACUCCGAUUGAUGUUAAGUUGAUAAAGUCCAUGACUAUUUCAAAUAGUUCAUUAGACCUGAAUGGAUGUAAGGGGAUGCUAUACGAUGGUCCAGCUGGCUCUUCACUGCCAAAGCCCAUGACUACUACAAAUGUUUUGGAGUUUGGAAAAUUAUUGAAGCCUGGAUUUCAGAUAUUCGAAACUUUGGUAAUUGGCAAUUCUGAACAGCUCAAGUCAUGGAGGCAGCAUGGGGAUUUUCCUAAAAAAUACAUGGUCACUGACCAUAGGUUUAAGAAACCAGUACCAGGGCUGAAUAUGCUCGCUUCCCCUGAAGAGGUAAAAAUUGAAGAAAGCUGCGUAAGUCUUGUUUUGUUUCCAGAGAUCAAUUUUUUUCCCAGAAAUCUACGCUCUCUUCUAAUUAAAAACAGCACAACUUUAAAAUCCUUACCCGAGGAAAUGAUGGCAACAAUUCACAACUCGAAAGGUUGUAUAUCAGAGAUCGCGACUGUCUAACAUUCAUCGCAAGACGGAGGCUACCGGCAUCUCUUAAAAGGCUUGAGAUAGAAAAUUGUGAGAAAUUGCAACGUCUGUUCGAUGAUGAAGAGGAUGCUUCUUCUUCUUCUCCUGCAUCCUCGUCGUCCCCAGUGAUGCUGCAACACCUGAGUAUAGAGAACUGCCCAGAGCUCACCAGUUUAUCAUCGGGUGUCCAAUUCCUUGAGGCGCUUGAAUUCCUCGAGAUACGGGAUUGCCCAAAGCUGGAGUCAAUACCGGAUGGCCUGCCCAAUCUUAAAUGUUUACAGAGCAUUUAUAUAUGGAAAUGUCCAAGUCUUGUUCCUUCCCAGAAAGAGGGCUUCCCAACACGAUUUCAAGGGUUGGCAUUGGCGAAUGUGACAAGCUCGAAGCCUUGCCCAAUGAUUUGCACAAAAUCAACUCUCUUCGAUAUUUAAGCAUACAGCUGUGUCGAAAUCUUGUAUCGUUUCCAGAAGAAGGUUUUCCUACCAGUCUAACAUCACUUAGAAUUGGAGAUUUCAAAAUGUAUAAGACCCUCGUCCAGUGGGGGUUGCACAGGCUUACCUCUCUUAGACGCCUCUAUAUCGUUGAUUGUGAUGACGAAGCAGAGUGUUUUCCAGACGAGGAGAUAGGAAUGACGCUGCCCACCUCUCUCACUGAUCUGUACUUAUCGGGAUUCCAAAAAUUGAUAUCCCUGUCUUCGACGGGUUUUCAGAGCCUCAACUCUCUUCAAUAUUUGUUGAUCGCGGGUUGCCCAAAUCUCACAUCAUUUCCAGAGGUGGGCCUUCCAUCCUCACUUUUGGGAUUAUUCAUUUUCAAAUGUCCAAAGCUUAAAAGAGCGUGCAAAAGAGAUCAAGGAAAAGAGUGGCCCAAAAUUGCUCACAUCCCUUGCGUUGAGAUAGACGAAAAAUUCAUAUACGAUCCCGAAUCAGAGGAGUAGAUUUCUGUUAUCCAUUAAAAACGAUCUCCUAUUAGUUUUAUUUUUUAAAUAAUAAUUUUGCAGUUCUGUUUUCUGUAUAAUUAUAAAUCCUCUGCCGUUAAUUAUUGACAAUGUCACUCACGUGAUUCCGUCUUCACUAAUCAGACUGUAUGUUGAGGCUAUUUGCUUUUUAAUCAAAGAUUAAAUUAUAACAUUUAUCUUAAAAUUGAAUAUCAUAGACAGAUAGACGAUUUUUAAAUCCAAAGUUUUUUGAUCCACUUCAAUUAGCAUUUAUUUUUUCCCCCAAAACAGGCAAGCCGAGAGUUUCAAUCAAGAAUUGGAGGAUGUGAAUGGGAUUUUUGUGAAAACAUAAUGGAUGAACGAACAUUUCAUCUGUGAUCUCAAAGUCAACAGAAUUUUAUUUACUCAUUGACUUUUCAACUCCUGUGGUUAUUUAUGGGUGAAAGAUAAGGGCAAUUACAAGAAAUUUGCAAACUUUGUCAACUUCUUUUAAUUGUACCAAUUUGUCGUUUAUGUUUUAGUUUUAUUUUUUCAGUUUUGUUUAUUGCUUAGAUGGUAGAUAUAUCGACAUUUUAGAUUUCAGAUAUUUGUCACCAGUUUCAUUCCCUUUUUUUUCGUUUUUUUAAGCUAGUUUGACUAAUUUUAACCAGAAUUAGAGCAGAAUAUUUUGGAGCGAGCAUACUUGAAAUGAUGCUUUUUAAUUUUGAUCUAGUAAAAAUACAUAGCCCUCACCGGCAGAAUUCUAGUCCCUACCGGGAUUCAAGAAAUUGAAAUUUCUGUCUUCAACGGGUUUUCGAAGCCUGACCUCUCUUCGAUUUUUGUGGAUCGGGAAUUAUAAAUUUACAGUUGUCAGAAGCUUGAAAAAGUGCGCAAAAGAGAUCGAGGAAAAGAAUAUUUCUCUGUUUAGUGAAGGAUGAAUGCUUGGAGUGGAGUAUUUGGUAACAUUUCUGUUUAGUUAAGGAUUUUGAAAUUAAUGAUGGUAAGAUGUGUACUUAUUCUUUCUUCCAGACAACCUUGCCUUCUUUCUUCGGUAGCAUAUCUAAUGAAUAUUUCUCUGUUUAGUUAAGGAUGAAUGCUUGCAGUGGAGUAUUUGGUAACAUUUCUGCCGUAGAUGAAUCCUUGAAGAAAUGCCUGCACUUCCUGAGACCAAAUACAGGUCUGAUUCAAAACAACACCUGUCCCAGAAAAUAUGAUACAAGGCAAAGCCAUGUUCUGAUAAUGUUUCCUUAAGUACAAAGUUGCAAGGAAACUUGAUUCAUUAACUACAAAUUUUUAUUUUUAGGACCUUGCAUCUGAAAGGUUCAGUGUAAUUUUUUUUUUUCAAUUUAUUGCUCAGAUCUCAGACGAGUAUAUGGUUUAGAUUACAAAACACUUACGAUUAAUUUCAUUUUUUUUUAUUUCAGGGAGAAGAAGUGGUCAGUUUCAAUCCAGAAUUGGAAUAUGGCAAUUUGGUGCAAGCACAAAUACCUGGUCACUUCGUCAGUGAACCUGAACUUUACUGAACUUUACACAGUUUUUUCAACUCAGUGAUUUUUGGAACGCAUAUUGGUGUAAGGAAAUCAAACGAAAUUUAUGCAUAGUCAAAUUCUGAUAUUUGCUAUAUUUUAUACAUUCUAAAGUUUCUCCAGUUUGUUCUCAGAUUACCAUCACUUUUUGCCUUCACCAAAAAAAAAUAUAUAUAUAUUUGAGUGGCUUUCCGGUGGAUAUUUAAUCGGAGGCAUGACUGGAUUUUUUUUCACUUCUGUAGAUCUUGCAUUUUAAACUGGCAAAUUUAACUUUAAUUUCAAUACGACUUUGUUGGUGCCUUCUGUUCCAGGAGCUAGAAAGAUGUGUAGUUUUCAGAUAAAGGGGCUUGUGAAUUCUCUAGUAAGAAUCCAAUAAUUUGCUUUUGCACGUUCAUUUUAUUUGUAGAUCCUUGCAUCUGAAUUUGAUCAAUCCAAAAGGAACUGCUUUUAGAGGGAAGAAGAAUAGCAGUACCUAUUCGAUGACAUAGUGUAUGGACCCUCACAUGUUAACUUUCAUGAAAAACACAUUUAAGAAAUUUGCAACUUUUUGGUUAGUUAUGUAUCCAAUGUUGUUUUCUGUUUUAGCAUUUGUAGAAUCUACUGUAUUAUAUUUUGGCAGCUACAGUAUCUGAGGUAUCUUUUGCAUUUAACUUGCUUUAUAUGUUUUGUCUGUGACUUAAGAACACCAAUAUUUGCCAGAGAUUUAGAGAAGCAUAUCAAGAUGCUUGGCUAACUUGACAAACUUCAAGAUCCUUCAUUCUUCACAAUGCAAAACUUGUGAGUACACUUAUGCCCGCAAUUAUUGUGAAAUGCUUGCAAUUUUGAUGCAGCGAAAUGGUUUGUUGAUGCAAAGGUUUGAACUUUUAAGGUUUACCCUGCAGGGUAGUUGGAUGCUGUAUACUCGAAAAGCCACCAACAUCAAGAACUAUACCUCCAAGACUGGGUUUGCAUUAAUUCAAUCAGCUGAAAUAAUGAUGCAAAGGACACUAUCAGCUGGACUUAGAGACCAGUCAGAUCAAUUAUCCAUUUUAUCAACAGUUAAUGUCAUCAUGGUGGCUAUUAGAGGAAACAGAGGAUGUGUCGGAAUCAAUAUGAACAGUGAGAAGAAUGAGAGGAGCUUUGAUUAUAAAUUGGCUCAAUGAACUCAUGCUGGUAAGUGGUAAUUAAAGAAAUUUGUGCGCUUAGCAGAGUUUCAAUAUUUUCUGUUUGGGAUAUAGUUGAUAAGUUGAUACUCUGAUUAAUAAGCCUGAUUAUAGUAGCUGACUGUAUUAACCAGGUUCUUUUCUUUCUUUUUUUUUUGGUGGUUUGCUGUUGUUUUGAUUAUGCUGUAACUACAAGGAAGAGCCGGACUUGGAUGCAGGCGUUCAGCUUUUAAUGGUUAAGAACAAAUGUAUGCUUUAACCAUGUUUCUCACUUAUUACAAUGUACGCAUUGAAGGCAUCUGAGCUGAUCCUGAAAAUGUCAUGGAAAUACUUCUCUGUUUACAUAAAACAGGACAAAUAGAGAUCUCUGAUCAUGCCUGAGAAUUCGUUGCAUUGAAAUUUCUACCAUUGCCAAAAAUAGAAUAAACUAGGGAUACAUUAGCGUAAGACUCAAUUUUGAGAAGGAAGUUUGUACUUGCAGCCUAAAAAAUCAUGUCUUUGUUGUAUACUUGUAUGUUUCUUUGGGAAAUGAAAGAUUCUGUGUUCUUUUAUUUCAAGUUUGCUGAAAUCACAUUUGUUUUCUUAGAUGCUUUCCAGAAGGUAACAGCAUCAAUUUCAAAAAUGCUGGGGUAAUAUGCAUCACGCAGUGCUACUCAACAUGAGAAAUCCUGGCUGCAUUAACUGUAUGUUGAGUGAUCGCACAGUACAACCUUGAGAAGCUUGUAAGGAGUAGACAACUAGAUGCGAGUAGUUUCAAUAUGGAUUCGCAUCAAAUGAUUUCUUGCCACUGAUUACCAUAACUUCUAUCCCAAAAUUCUGGGAACUGGUCAUACCAGCUAUGAAGUAUUGUAUACGUUGAAGAGCUCAAGGCCUUGCAAAAGCUCCGUCAGCCUUUGUAUUGGCAAACAGAUGGUUGUAGUUGCUUCUGAAUGAUAUGAUUAAUAGAUUCUGUAAAAAUGAAUUGUGCUAUACGCUUUCAGAGUUCUGUUAAGAUGUCUUGGUAGUUUUUGAUGCUUGUUUGAUUUAUAUUGCAUUCAGCUAUAAAUCAAAGGUUCAGAACACGAGUAUGUUGCUGAUUUCCAAAUAGAAAAAUUGCCUUGUGAUGUUAGUGUCCAUUGUUUUCACAGGAGAUCAGGUUCCUUGUUAUUGAAUCAAGAAGGCAAACGCAUCCAUGUCUGAGUUCAAUUGUGUCCCUUCUAUUUUCUAUUACUGACUCAUUUAUUUUGAUUUCUUCAUUGUGAUUGAAUUGGUUUUUUAUUCCAAAUUAGUCAAAACCUCAUAGAGUUAUUAAGUUCCGUUAGCAUUCAGAACUACGUACCAAAUGAUUAACAGGAUUAAAUUACAAUAAAGAAUUAAGUUCUUUAUUGUAAUUGAAUUUGCUUUCUCAUGUUUAGAGAUAUUAUGUUCUGGUUAGGGGUGAUUUCUUGAAGAGUCAAUCCAUUUGUGUUUAUACAUUUUUCUAUUGCCUUGAUUUCUGUUUUCUGGGGAGUUUAUACAGAUUCUUAUUUUAUGCUUCACAUGCCACAUGAAAGAUCAAAGCCUUCUGUCUGAACAUAAUAUACGUAGAAAGUUAAAUUUAUUUAUUUAUAAGCAUGUCCCAGUGCCCAGUGGCAUCCUCUUAACUUGUGAUAGUCAAAUGUAUUAUACGAUACAAUAUCAGCUUGACUUUAGCAUAGAGGAGAAUAGGGUUGGUGUUGGACUGAAUUCUGAUCCUUGAAUAAAUAUAACAGCUGCCUGAACCAGCUUAUUUGACUCCACAACUUUAUACUUGUUUUAUAGUCUAUGCCUACCUCCAUCGUCGGCAGCUUACAGUCUCUUUUAGCAUUUUAAAAAGUUUCAUGAUAUUCCAUAGUUCGCAUGGACUGCUACAAUUUAGAGAAACAUAAUUACGGCAUAUUUAAUUACCACGCGAGGAGUCUUCUUUUUUGCGCACCAAUAAUUCUUUGUACUUAAUUAGAAGAUGAGAAAUCCUUUAGCCGAACCACGAACUCACCUAUUAGUGGGGUUUUUUCCGCUUGCAUUCAGUCGCUCAAGUGAAAAUUGCGUGCAAUUUUUUCCUCAACUAAAAUUGGAAUAGAUAUUUUGUUAUUGCUGGCACAAAUUUUCCUUUAAGUCAAAUUGGAAUAGAUGUUUGUGAGAUGCCUAGACCUGAGAUUUUGUUAUGAUUAUAUGCAUUAAAGCUUUCGGUAGACCCUUGAAAUCUUAUGAUCAAUGUAUUAGAAAUUUAGAAUUGGGGUUUAUAAGAGCUAGUUUGACCAUGUUAUAACUUUUAAAAUUAUUGUUGCUAAUUGUGUUAUAGAAAUAAUUAAUCAGUUGUAAAAAUAAUUAGUUAAACAUUUGGUAAAUUUUAUUUUUAAAAGUGUUAGGAGUUUUAAAAGCAGACGUACGUACUUAGUAAAUCUCACUUUUAAAAUAUUAUAAGAAUGCAAAAGGUUUAAAUAUAUAUAAAUCUAUACAAUUUAUUUACACAUGCAUUUAUAGAUACAUGUAUAUAUAAUAAUUGAUAACUAAAAUAAAGAUUUUUAUUUUAUUAAUUUUUUUUGUUAUCUAAAAAAAGGUAAUAAUAAUAUCUUUAAUGACGUAUUUAUUAAUCAGUAAUCGGAAUGGACUGGAAUCAAAAUGGAGGAAUGGAAAUCGGAAUAAAUUGUUUACUUUAACUAUCAAUAUUGGAAUCGCAAUGAACUGUAUUAUCACUUAUAUAUUUAUUUUAUCUGAGAAUCAGAAUGGAUUGAUUUAAAUUACUAGACAGACCUUAUUAUUAUUAUUAUUAUUAUUAUUAUUAUUAUCAUCAUUAUUAAAUAAGGUAAAAAGGAAUUUUCAAUUUUUACUGAAGUAAAAAUAUCAAUUCACUUCUCAUUUUCAGCCCUAGGGAAUGAGACUCCCAUUCCACAUUCUAGAAUUUAUAGAGUCCACUCAAAUUUUCAUUCCCAUUCCCCCUCCUUGUUUUGCAAGUAAACAAGUUAAUAAUCCUAUUCUCUCAUUUCUACUCCCAUUCUCAUUCUCAAGUACUAACACAUCAAGGUAUUCGGUUCGGUUUUUGCCCAAUAGAACUGAAAUUAUUCGGUUUGGUUUGAUUUGGUUUAAUAUAAAAAGCCAAAGGGUUUAUAUUUUUAUGAACCAAAUGGUUUGUAUUUGAUUCAAUUCUAAAACUGAACCGAAAGCACAAACCAAUCGGUUCACGUAAUUUUAAUUAUUUUUAGAAAAAGAAAAACCAAAACUAAAUCGUAGAAUGUGAAUCCCUAAAAUCUAAAUCCCUAAUUCUCCUAACUAACUAAAACUAAUCACAGAACAACACAACCACAACAACCUAGCAAGCGCAGCGGUAGCCCCUCGAACCACGCUCACUCUCAAGUAUAGCAUGACAAUAGGGCUCUCUCAUGCAAUGAUAGGUAAUUUCUUAGUUUAGAAGGGAAAGUAAGAGAAACAGAGGAAGAAUAUAAGUUGAUUAAAAGGGAAAAGUCAAUUCUUAUUCCAAAAACUUGCUUAGUGCAAGUUCAAUAGGGUCUCUUAAAUAGACCUAUACAUAUAAUAAAAACUAGAAAAGACGAAAAUCACUUGAAAAUAAAAAGCAUGAUCACUUAAAUGGUAAACAUACAUAACCGCCAUGAGCUACAUGCAACCUAAGUCAAAUAAUCAACUGAAGAAACUUGAUCCCCAUGCAUAUUGAGCACAUACCAUUCCCCACCCUUUAGAAACACCUUGUUGGUGCGGUUAAAGUGAGGGUGAGCCUUUGAGAAUCACCAACAGUUCCAACGAGUGUCCUCAAUUGCUGCUCCUAUCCCUAUAACCAGUAUUGAGUUGUACGAAUGGCACAUGAUCUUCAAUCAUGAAUAGUUGCAGCUUUUAACAACAGUGUGAUACAAACUAAUAAAAAUAAUAAAAAUUAUUUAUUUUAUUUUAUUGUAUUAGUUAAUUUUGAACUAGUCAAAACUAGUUGCCCUUAUUUUGUGGAACUACAUGUAAUUAGUGGAGCAUUAUGUGAGAACAUGCUUAGUGUUACUAAUUUUUAGGUUGUAAUCCUAAAUAAACUUUUAUUAUAUAAAGCUUAAUGUUACUCAAUAAAAAGGAUCAUGAGUUUAUUAUUUUGGCAACAUAAAAGUUGUAAUUGGGAGUUUAUUGGUUUCUCGAAUAACCAAUACUUAUUUGGAGGUUUGGAUUUCCUUGAAUUAACUCCAUUUGUCAUCUAAUUUUUCUAUUUCAUUUGAUUUCUCCUUAUAAACUUUAGUGUUCGUAUCACAGUGGCCAAGAAUAAGUUUCUCGUCACAAUAAUAACACAACCCUUUUCCACGAUGAGCAUGUGCUUCUUAGUUAGAUAGUUGCUGGAUAUGAGGGGAAGCGAUGUCAUCGGCUAUUUAAUCAACCUUAGGAGGUGGACCUAAGACUCUAACAAAGCUAUUUGGGGUUGGUUGCUAUAUCACCAAAAUAGAGGGUGGUAGAGAAAAGUGACUAGUGCAUUGAGAAAGUGAAUUUCGCUCCUCAAUCAGUCUUGUCACACCAAUGGUGUUAGCCAAGGUAAAGGGCUAUUUAAUCUUGACAUCUAGUUGUAUCUCAUCCUGAAGACCUACAAUAAAACAACCAAUUAAAAAACAUUCGAGUAAGCCAUCAACCUAAUAUAAAAGCUUUUCAAAAGUUUAUUGAUAUUAAGCUAAUAAUGGAAGUCUAUUUCAGGUGCAUCAAAGCCUUAGAUGGGUCCUCAUAAUCCAUUAGUUCGAAUCGUAGAAGGACUGUUGUUGAUGCUGAAAUCUGCUCGCCCUCUACCCAACCAAAUCAUUCCACCAACAUUUGUGUAUGCAAUGGAGAGAAUACUGCCCUUUUGCCUCCUUCAGCAACUGCGGAUGCUCCAGGGGUUGGAAUCACCUUUUUCCCUUCUUUCUAAUCCUGCACUCACAGAGAUAGAUCAGAGACGCCGGUGGUUUUACCAGCAUAAACCCUCCAAUACUUAAGUUAGCACAAGGUGUUUUACGGGAAAACUAUGUAACUUGGAUUGUUUGGUUUCUCGUAAUGCUUUCUAAAACUUGUAAAGAAUAUAAUCUGGUUUCAAUUUGGCAGAGUUUUCCUUUUUCUCUCAAUUUUUCCAUCCCUUUUUUCAUUGGUUUCCCGGCUUCUUGUAACCGUUGUCCCACGUUCCUAUCUACUCCUCAUGCCCCCCCUUUUAUCGGGUGAUGGCAGGCCUUCAUGGCCUCCAACCACUGGAUUGUGGGUAAACAUGGGAUGACAUGUCCCUCUUGACGGUUUGGGGCAUAGCGAAACUACCGCAUUUUCGUGAGAUCGUGUGCCCCUUGUUUGGGUGAUGGGUAUCUGGUUGGUAUAUGUCUCUAGUCGGUACAUUCCUCUGGUCGGUGCUCGUCUCUAGUAGGCCCACUUUUGUAUGAGGCGUUUUACCAGGGCUCUUUUUGUGCCGCUCAGUUGAGGUGAUUCACCUCGGGGUGGGAAAUGAGGGCAUGGCUGAGCUGGUGCUCUUUAUUACUUAAUACCAGUCCCCUAGUUUCUGGUCUUGCGAGUGAAAUGAGUUGAGAUUAGAAACUAAGAAUCGGAUUUUAUCGACCCCGGGAAAUUCCUAUCUGGUCUUCGUGUUAUUGUGAUGGACCUGAGGUUCUGCCUUUUGUUUAGGGAGAUUUUUUAUCUAAGUAUGGGCCUUUGUGAGCAUGUCCAAUAUAUAGCUGGGCUAACAUCUCGUCAGGCCUUUUAUAACGGUCAGUGACGUGUCGUUUCUCGUCCUUUCAUAUUUGAAAUUUGAAACGACGGCUUAUCUGCCCUCGAUAUACGGCGAGUGAGCUAGCACCCGUAUAACUUAAACGCUUCCAUUUCCCUAUUUCAUUUCAAAUCCCUAAAUUGAAGCUGUCAUUGCGUUUCACUAUCCGCCAUUUCACUGUAAACUAAGUCCCUCUUUGGACUUCAAUCACACUUUUUGCGUCCGAAACCUCUAUUUGCUGGGUCCUCUCUCCGUCACAGCAGCACUACCAGUGCCAGUUUAUUCUAGGUAUCACUUUUAACUUCUUCGCUGGUUGUUGUUGAUUGGGUUCUGUGUUGCCCCUUUUUGUACCCAUACACUCGGAUUUACUGUGUUUUCCUUUUUGAGUUUUUGAUAUGUCAAACCGAAAGGGGAAACUAAUUGUAGAUGAGAGUGAUGAAGAGGUGGGGGACUCAUACCCCAACCUGUUUGGGCCUAAUGACCCCUUAUCAUCUUCUCGUAGUAUAAGUCUUUCCCAUCAUAGGGAUACCCUAGAGUAUCCUCAUCGCGUGACCACUUUGCCUUCCCCUGAAUUAGAACCCGUGGGAAACCGUGGUGGUUCAGCUUCUUGCUCUGGUGAAAAUCACAGUUCUGAGGGCUGGGGGGGUCCCUGGAAAGUGGGUGAAGGUAAGGAGAGUAGCUCCGAGCCGAGCAGACCCUCUAAGAAGAGAAACUUUGGUCAUAUGAUGGCGGGAGAUGCUUAUCCCAUUGACUAUAUCACCUGUGUUACCACCCACACUGACCUACUCAAGUUUAGAAACCUCUACCAUAUCCCUGAGGUGGUUCUUCUUUUAAUCCCUGGGAAAGGUGACUUCCCCAGUCGGCCUCCAAGGGGAUAUGUCACGAUGGGCACGAUUACCCCUUCAACCUUACUUUGCUUGGAUACUGGGUGGUAUGCAUCUGGCUCCAGGUCAGCUUCACCCGAAUGGGUGGAGGGUUCUCUCAGCCAUGUAUGUGCUAUGGAAAAAGUGUGGACUUGAGGAGCCUUCUCUUGAGGAAGUGAAGCAUUUAUACCAGCUGAUGAGCUUUCCAAGGGAAGCAGGUUGGUACUACUUCAUGUCAAGCUCUGCAAAGAGGAAGCCUGUCACCGACUUUCCUUCUUCCUGUAAAAAUUAGAAGAACAAAUUCUUCUUUGCUGGAGGAAAUUGGUGUCCAACAAUUCAUUCGCUUAGUGGUGAUAUUCACCUCCCAACACAUUUUGUCACCCCAGGUCGUUAAUUUUUCUGCAUACUUCACUUCUCUAAUCGUUACUUAUCGAGUUCCUUAACCUUGUUUGUUCUUUCAGAAUUGUGGGGUUUGAUCAAGAAACUUGACGAUAGACCACUGCUCCAGGUGGAAAUGGCUCUGGUGAACGCGUCUACCUGUCACGAUCUCAUAUCGUUAAUAAAUCUUGUCGGGUUGCACUUAGUGGACGUAGCUAUUGGGAUGGACAACAAGAUCCUCAGCGCUAUGUCUAAGAAACACACUUUGGGUUCAGGUAGCUCCAGCAACCUCCCUCCUCCUUUGAAGAAAGUCAAUGUUGGUUCCUCCAAGGCUUCUGCUCCUGCUCUGCCCCCUCCUUCACCUCGGAAGAAUGGUAGGGAGAAAGUUAGUGACAAGAGCCCCGAGGUCAGCAUUCAAUUUGGAGACCGAUCCUCUCCUCUACCGCCUCGGGACCAGGGUGACUAUCUGACCCUGUACCAGAGAGAUUACAACAAGUCGAUGGGACCAAAAAUGGUCAAGGACAUUGAAAGCAUGAACCUCAGCGAGCUAGGUGGUUCAGUUCAAAUGGUCUCCUUUAAGCUGGCUACUCUGGUUUCUUGCUACAAGAAUAGGUCUACGCGCCAAGAGAGGAGGCUUCAAGCUGAUAACGAGGACUUGAAGAAAAAGGCUAAUUCUGUUGAUCGCUCGAAGGAGAAGCAGAUUGAGCUACACAAGCAGAUCAUGGACCUGGAGGAGAAAGUGGCUAUUGCUGAGUCUAACUCCUCCAAGCUUGAGGGUGAGUUGGGUGAUCUAAAGUCCGAUCUCCAGGUUGCUCACAGUGAACGAGAUACUUUGAGGACGACCCUUGAGGAACAUAUUAGGUCCUUAGAUGAGCAGGUAGCCGAGCUGAAAGGCAAAUCUGUUGAGGUGGACAAUUGACUGGAUGCAGAAUAUAACUCUGGGCUCGCCUUUUGCUACAAGUGCAUCAUGUUUGUGCUUAAGGGAGAAUAUCCUGAGCUUGACAUGAGCAAGCUGGAGGCUGGAGUGCAGAAAUACAUGGCCGAGCCCGAUCAAGGGGAUAAGGAGCAGGGAGAGCAGGAUCAGGUGGAGGCUCCUUCAGAUGGGGUGCAGGAGAGGGAAACAGAGGAUUAUGCUCUUGAAACAGGUCAGGGGUCACUGCCUGCUCCCCCAGAAGUUGCUGGUCCACCUUUUAUCGAGGCUGCUGAACCUCAUAAUCCUUAGGCUUAUAUAUAUAUAUAUAUAUAUAAAUAUUAUUUUGUAUAAAUUCUAAACUCCCAUCUGUCUACAAAUGUUUGGAUGUUUAUAAACUUUGGAUGCUUUUUGUUUGCUUUCUUGCCAUGGUUUUGGUUGUGAAUCGUUUCUACAAGUUACCUUAACAAUUUUGAGUGACUUUGGCUGCUGGUCCUUUUGUCGUCCGAGCAGGAACUGACACUUGUUUGCCUUAGCGAAAUUUGUAAAACUUACAUUUCAGUUUUUCAAACGACUGAGCAGGAACUGGCGUUGGUUUGCCUUAACGAAAUUUUGUAAAAUUGCCUGCUGGUGCUUUAGGCGACCAAGCAGGAAUAGGCACUUGCUUGCCUUCAUAAAAUUUAUAGAUUUGCCUGCUGGUCCUUUAGGCGAUCGAGCAGGAAUAGACACUUGCUUGCCUUAAUAAAAUUUGUAGAUUUGCCUGCUGGUCCUUUAGGCGUCCGAGUAGGAAUAAACACUCGCUUGCCUUAAUAAAAUUUGUAGAUUUGCCUGCUGGUCCUUUAGGCAACCGAGCAGGAAUAUGCACUUGCUUGCCUAAAUAAAAUUUGUAGAUUUGCCUGCUGGUCCUUUAGGCGAUCGAGCAGGAAUAGGCACUUGCUUGCCUUACUAAAAUUUUUAGAACGAGGGAAUUUAUGCUGAAUUCAUCUUUAUUGAACUUUGCAUGGAUUACAAGAGGCGAGAUAUAGUCACGUGUAACAAUUCAUCAUGCUUUUAACAUAAAUAACUUAUUGAAAUAAAACUUGGUAAGGCAGUUUGCUUACUGGAAGUAUUUCUUCAAGUGCUUAGCGUUCCAUGAUCUUUUCACGUCUCGUCUAUCUGGGUAAAUCAGCUUGUACGCUCUUGGGCCAGUUAUUCAUACCACUCUGUAUGGGCCCUCCCAUUUCGGGCUAAGAACACCAUGAAUAGGAUCUCUUGUGCAUUGGUUCACUUUUCUAAAUACCCAAUCUCCUGCUCGGAACUGUCUCAUGCGAACAUUUUUGUUGUAGUAACGCAUGAUCCUUUGCUGGCAUUUGGCUGUUCUCUGCGAUGCCCCUUCUCUUUUUUCCUCCAGCAGGUUCAGGCUCAAGCAGAUCUGCUCGUCAUUUUGUUCUUUGUUGAAAUACUCUGUCCGAUAUGCCCCCACCCCAAUUUUUGCUGGGAUUACUGCCUCAUGACCGAAAGCUAAAGCAAACGGGGUUUCUCCCGUGGCCAUUUUGUGGGUUAUCCGGUAGGCCCAUAACACUCCUAGUAACUCGUCGACCUAAGCUCCUUUUUUUUCUCAUAGCCUGGUUUUCAAGAGUUUCUUUAUUACUUUGUUGGCUGCUUCCACCUGCCCAUUUGCCUUGGGGUGUGCUAGGGUACAAAACUUCAGGUCCACCCCUAAAUUUUGGCUAAAUUCUCUGAAGUUGUGAUUGUCAAACUGUCUCCUAUUGUCUGUAAUGACAGCAAUGAGGAUCUCCUAUCUGCAGAUGAUAUUCUUCCAAACAAAAUCCGUUAUCUUUCUCUCUGUGAUUUGACUGAGGACCCUUACUUCUACUCAUUUGGUGAAGUAGUCUAUAGCCACAAUUGCAUGUAUUACUUCUCCUCGGCCCUUGGGUAAUGGGCCAAUCAGGUCAAUUCCCCACUGAGCAAAAGGCCAUGGGGAUGACAUAGUGGUUAACCUUUCUGGGGGCUGAGCAGGGACUUCCGAGAAGCUCUGGCUGACUUUAUAGUUUUUUGCCAUCCCCGUCGCAUCCUGAUGCAUGGUCGGCCAGAAGUACCCUUGCCGAAGCACCUUGAAAGUCAAAGUUCUCGCCCCCGAGUGGUUGCUGCAUAUUCCUUCAUGAAUUUCCCUCAACACAUAAUUUGCUUCCUCGUCAUCCAAGCAUCUCAAAAGGGGCAAGGUGAAUCAUCGGCGGUAGAGUACCCCAUCGAGUAGCGUAUACCUUGCUGCCUGACAUUUCAACUUUCUUGCUUGCUUCCUGUCCUCUGGUAAGAUGCCCUCACGAAUGUAUAAUAGAAUGGGGUCCAUCCAGGAUUUUUCGAUGCUCACCUGCAUUACUUCUGCUUCCUCCCCUAUGCUUGACGAGGUUCUCACUUUUAGUGGAAUUGACUUGGGUAAUUUUGGAUCUGCAAUUGCGGCCAUUCUGACCAAUAUAUCUGCUCGGUAAUUCUCAUUCAGAUAUAUCUGCUUUAUUUCUAUCUCUUGGAAGAGCUCAACCAUCUGUUUUGCCUUCUUCAAAUAAAGCCCCAUCUUCUCUUCCCUCGCUUGGAAUUGAUCACUGAGCUGAUUACAGACUAAUUGGGAAUUUGCUCAGAUUUCUAUCCUUUUUGUUCGUAGUGCGUGUGCAAACCCCAGCCCAGUGAUGAAAGCUUCAUAUUCAGCUCGGUUAUUCGUAAGCUGAAAUUUAAAUUUCACUGCAUAAGAUACAUCGGCCCCUUCUAGGCUUCGUAUUACAAUUCCUGCUCCAGAUCCCUGUUUACUACGUGACCCAUCAAUUAUUACUAGCCACACCCCCUUUGAUUUCUCCUGCUUCACUGGUUGCUCCUCCCAAAUUUCCUCCCCUAAUUUAACACGGUCAACCAUAAAAUCGGUCAAGGCUUGGGCUUUGAUUGCUUCUCGGGGUUUGUAGGAUAGGUCGAAUUCGCUCAACUCCACGGACCAUUUACUAACCGACCAGAUGCAUCUAGUUUUAGAGCAUUUACCGAAGAGGCUGGUCAGUCAUCACAACUAUCGGGUGGGCCUGAAAGUAAGGUCUGAACUUGCGUGCUACUGUUAUUAAAGCUAGUGCCCAUUUCUCCAUUAGUGGAUAUCUGGUUUCUGCAUCUACCAGGGCCUUGCUAGUGUAGUACACAGGGUGCUGCUUUCCUUCCUCUUCUCUGACUAAUACCGAGCUGGUAGCCCAUUUAAAGACUGCCAAGUACAAAUACAGCUGGUCACCUUCUCCAGGAGUUGAUAGUACAAGGCGCGGGCUAAAUAUUCCUUCAGCUGCCCGAAUGCCUCCUCACAUUCUAACGUCCACUCCAUUUUCCUUCAAUUCUUUAUGAUUUGGAAGAAAUGGUGACAUUUAUCUGUGGCUCGCGAGAUGAAACGGUUCAAUGCUGCUAACUUCCCUGUAAGACUCCGUACCUCUUUAACUGUCCGGGGGGACUUCAUUUUUGUUACUGCCCGUACUUUUUCCGGGUUGGCCUCAAUCCCUCGAUGGCUCACCAUGAACCCCAAAAAUUUACCCGCGCUAACUCCAAAUGCACACUUUUCCGGAUUCAGCUUCAUCUGAUACUUCCUUAGCAGUUCAAAAGUCUCUUCCAAAUGCUUCACAUGAUCCUUCGGUUCCUUGGACUUUGUGAUCAUAUCAUCCACGUAUACCUCCAUAGUGUGACCGAUCAGUGGCUUGAAAAUCUUAUUCACCAACCUUUGAUACGUAGCCCCUGUGUUUUUCAGGCCAAAAGGCAUCACCUUGUAGCAAAAUAAACCCAUGUUAGUUAUAAAGGUGGUACUCUCCUCAUCUUGCUUGUUCAUGGGUAUCUGGUUGUAUCCCGAAAAGGCAUCCAUGAAGCUAAGCAGACUAUGACCUGCCGUUGAGUCCACCAACUGAUCUAUUUUAGGUACGGGAAAGCUGUCAUUUGGGCAUGCCAUAUUAAGGUCUGUGAAAUCCACAUACAUUAUCUAUUUCCCAUUGGCCUUCUUUACCAGCACUACAUUAGAAAUCCACUCCGCAUAUUUAGCCUCCCUUAUAAAUCCUGCUUUCAACAGCUUCUCCACCUCGGCAUUUAUGGCCUCGUACCUUUCCUAGUUAAAGCACCUCCUUUUCUGCAUCACCGGCCUUGCCCCUUUCUUGAUUGCCAACUUGUGGCAAGCUACCCCGCGAUCAAUUCCUGGCAUGUCCUCAUGAGACCAGGCAAAUAUAUCUGCGUGGGACUAUAGGCACUUCACCAGCUCAUCUUUUAUUGCUUCACCUAAUCCUGACCCGAUCUUAAUCACUCUGCUCGGGUUAUUCUUGCUCACAAAAAUCUCCUCCAGUUUCUCGACAGGCUCUUGACGACCCUUCUUAGAAUCUCUUCGGUUAUCCAGAGAGGUAACAUGUAGCGUCUCCUUGGCCGCUGUUGCGUAACAGCUCCUUGCUAUUCUCUGGUCACCUUUUACUACGCCCACAACUCCGUUUACUCUGUAUUUCAAUGCUAGAUAAUGCAUGGAUAUAAUGUAUUAGCUUGCUCUCAUAAAAGGUCGCCCUAGUAUCAUCUGGUAGGGGUUUUUCUCUUCCACCACUACGAAGUCCAGCAUAAUUUUCUUUUUAGAUGACUUCGCUCCUACGGUAAUCGGCAGCUCUAUGAUCCCCAUAGAGGUCAACUGUCUUCCUCCAAAUCCCUUUAAGGAUGUGUUCGUUCGCUCCAAUUUCAAAUCUGCAAUCCCCAUAUCAUCUAGGGCCGACUUAAAUAAUAUGUCGACCGAGCUGCCUAUAUCCACCAAUAUUUGUCGGAAUUCCUUACCCGCCACUAUUACUUUAACUACCAGUGCAUCCUCAUGAGGGUAUAAAAUGCCCUCUUCAUUAUCAUCUGUCCACAUAAUGGGAACUUGUCUUACUUUCACCCUCUUGGUCGUUGGUAAGUUGAAAAGUACCUCUUUGCUGGUCAAAGCGUAUCUCUCAUAAUUCUUUCGUGCUCUGUUUGAGUCUCCAGCCAAUGUUGGCCCUCCUGUUAUCACCUGAAUAUUUAGCUGUUCCCGCUCUAGGCUCCUUUCAACUCCAUCACCCAGCGUAUAUUGUGAUUCAAUGACGGGGGAUACUCCAUCUACAUACUCAUCCAAAUACUGGUUCCUCACCAAAUCUUCCACUUGAGUCUUCAAGUCAUGAUAUUGGCUGAUAGUGUGACUAUGAGUGUCGUGAAAUUUGCAGAAUCUGUUCUUAUCAUGUCUAUGAGCGGGUUUUGUUAUAGGGGCAGGAGGGUACAGCAGGCAUCGUCCCUCGAUUCUCUCAUACAACUCCUCCAUAGAGACUUUCAGUGGGGGUGUACUGUUUGUACGCCAAGCUUUGGUCAAUCAGUUGGACCGUUCAGCUAUCGUGGGUAUCGUUCCGAGCUGGUAUUGUAGGUAGCUGGUUUGGUUGACCAGCCCUGGAGUUAACUAUAUGCAGUACCCUGGGAGCGCUGUGAUAAGGGUGGGCGACUAACUGCCUGAAUUCUCGUUGCCACUCGGGGAAUGAGGGGCGCGGAGGCUGAGCUCAGUUGUGUUGGAGCUGUUGCGGUCUCUGAGCCAUGGGAUAAGGGCGAGACCAAGCUGAUAUUCCACACAUCACUAGCGAUUCUCCAGCUCGCCUUCCUGAUCCGCUCCCGCUCAGGGUUCUUCAAUCUCCAUGUCUCUCUUUGCCUGCUCAUACCCCGUUGAAUAAUUCUGAACGAUGGGACUUCACAAGUUGUACCAUAAUCGGCCUAUUCUUACACCCUCUUUUAAUCCCCUUAACGCCUGCAGGUGAUUGAAAGCUCCCAGAUCAAGCACGGCCCAAUGGUAUCUUUUCACAAAAUCCUGAAGGGAUUCGUGUUCCUCCUGCUUCAUCCCCAUCAAAUCCAUCAUAUCGUCAUCUGGGCCUACUGAUUAUCGGAACAGUGUUGUGCAAAUUUUAAUGAACUCGCAAGCACACGAAUCUAUUGUAGUAUAGAUCAUUGGUAACGAGUGUCGAUCUCAUGAGGAGGUGGAUUUUAAUUGUGUAUAGAAUUGAUUUUGUAAAUGGGUGGUUGGAUUUGUGGUGGAAGUGAUUCAGAUUAUCCUAAAAUUGGAAUUAAAAUGGUGAAAAUAAUUUGAAGAGAAUUCUAUUGAAAUGACGUACUUGGGUAUCUGGAUCCGUAUCAACAUGCAUCAUGGGCUAAAUAUUCCUUAUUAAUACCAAUUAAAUCAUGAGGGGGGAAUCCACACCUCAUGAACCACGCUCUAAUCAAUAUGGUGUUAAGGGCUUAUCGUGCCAAAUAAUAAUAACCUGUACUAGAGAGCCGGUGUAACCAAGGCGGUAUCUAGACAAUACUAGUAUUAUUUGUCAACGAGAAGUCAAAACAUCCAAAAAAACUAGAGGGGAAGAGAAAAUAAAUUUACCAAAUAAAGCCCAUGACACAUGUUGAGACUUCACCUUCAACCCAAGCUUGAAAGAAAAUUAGCUACUCAUAAUUGAACUAGGGGCAAAAUGGGAAUUUAUUAAAAUACGUAGAAAAUACAAGAUGGAGAGAGAAUUACAGAAAAUGGAGUCCAAAAAUGGAUUUAGGGAUAUCAAAUUAGGGGGAGAGGCCCCCUUUUUAUAGAUACAUUGAGUAAAUCGUGGUCAUCGGAUAAAAAAUAGUUUGGACGCUCAGGAUUGCGCCACGUCAUCAGUCAACAGUCCGCGUGAACAGUACACGAUUUGACCACGCGGAUGAACAGUAACACAGUUUGACCCGGGUGAACAGUGACGCAGUUUGGUUGAAAAUGAUCCUGUGUGUUGCAUGUACCGUACAUGAGAUUUUUGAUCCACUGAUAUGCUGCCACGUCAUCGAUCAACAGUGCAUAAGAAUUUUAGUCCAACAGGAUCGUGACACCUCAUCAGUCAAUGCCACAUCAUCGGUCAAUGCCACGUCAUCGAUCCGUCUAUGUGAACAGUGCCGUGAACAGUAACGUAGACAGUACCCGUACAUGUGAAUAGUACCGUAUAUGUGAAUAGUAUUAUUUUUCUUUUUAUGCUCCUCCUAAGAUUUUUGACCGUCCUAAGUUCAAAAAUGAUGUCCGUUUUGCCAUCUGAUCUCUCGUUUAUUGUGAAAUGACUGUGAUACCCCUAAAAUACAUAAAAUACUUGAUUAAAAUAAAACACACGUAAUUAAAUUACAAGUAAGGGUUGUUAGUAAGACAUUUUCUAACACUCAACAAACAGCUCGGCCAACUCUUGGUAUAUCUGCUCGUAUCCCCUUAUACUUCCUCGUGGUAGCUUACGAUACCAUUCUCUGGCUCGUCCUUCUAGUGUCAAUGGGAACACCCUGCACCUCUGAGCUGCUGUUAGCCCCUGUAUGCCCGUCAUGUCAUUGAAGCACUCAAUGUGCACUAGCGGGUCGCUUCUCCCGGAGUACUUGAGGUUGGGAAAGCAGAAAUCUCUUGGGAUAAUAGUGCUUAUGAUCUCGGCUGAUAGCGGAGAUUCUUCAUCCAGCAUUAUCCUCCAGCUUGGAGGCUUUCUCUUGCCCUAUAUCUCAUCCAUCACCUGCGCUAGCCUGCGCACCUCACCUUCCAAUUCCAAAGCACGGUCAAGGUCGCGCGCAGCUACUUGAUCUCGCUCCUGCUCGGCAUUAUGCAGUCGCUGUCUGAGCUCGCCUUCGUCAACAUUUACUCCUCGGUCAUUGAUUUCUAGAACUCGCCCAAGGCGAGAUUGAUCUCUCCUUUCAUCCACACGCUCCCCGGGGAUCCGACCAGCACUUCUAUGGGGAUGUAUCCCAUAGGGUUGUUCUACUAGCGGAGGGAUCUCCUCGAUUCUACGCCUUCGUAGGUUGGGUUCCGCCAUAGUUUCAUCCCUUACCACAGUGGUCUCGCCUUCCCUUCUCCGCUCAUCCCUAAAGUCAUAUAAUAUAGCUGUGAGCGUCUCCAUUUGGUUUGCCAUCUGUUCCAUUCGGUCUUGCAUCAUCCUCUCUCUAGCUUCAUUCGCGAUCUCUCGGAGAGUGAUCGAUUCACCAGUUUCAUUGUCGCCCCCUAAGGCGUCCUUCCUUGUCAUAUCCAUAACUAAUCGUUCACUGCGUCUCUGGUGAUUACUAACUUGAUGGUAGCUUUUUAUCCAGCUCCCUACAGACGGCACCAAAAUGUUGAUGCUGAAACAUGCUUGCCCUCUGCCCGGCCAGAUCGUUCCACUAACGUUUGUGUAUUCAAUGGAGAGGAUACUGCCCUUUUGCCUCCUUCAGCAACUACGGAUGCUCCAGGGGUUGGAAUUACCUUUUUCCCUUCUUUCUAAUCCUGCACUCACAGAGAUAGAUAAGAGACGCCGGUGGUUUUAUCGGCGUAAACCCUCCGAUGCUUAAGUUAGCACAAGAUGUUUUACGAGAAAAUUAUGUAACUUGGAUUGUUUGGUUUCUUGUAAUGCUUUCUAAAACUUGUAAAGAAUAUAAUCUGGUUUUAAUUUGGCAGAGUUUUCCUUUUUCUCUCAAUUUUCCAUCCCCUUUUUCAUCGGUUUUCCAGCUUCUUAUAGCUGUUGUCCCACGUUCCUGUCUACUCCUCAUGCCCCCCCUUUUAUUGGGUGAUGGCAGGCCUUCAUGGGCCUCCAACCACUGAAUUGUGGGUAAACGUGGGAUGACAUGUCCCUCUCGAUGGUUUAGGGCAUAGCGAAACUGCCGCAUUUUCGUGAGAUCGUGUCCUCCUUCUUUGGGUGAUGGGUAUCUGGUCGGUAUAUGUCUCUAGUUGAUACAUUCCUCUGGUCAAUGCUCGUCUCUAGUAGGCCCACGUUUGUAUGAGGCAUUUUACCAGGGCUCUUCUCGUGCCGCUGAGGUGAUUCGCCUCGGGGUGGGAAAUAGGGGCAUGGCCGAGCUGGUGCUCUUUAUUACUUAACAACUGUCUUUGAAAAUUUUGGCUAAGUUAGUAGGCCACAAAAUUUUAUUAACCAUCUAUGCAAUUAUAGAGCAAUCCCCUCCAAAUAGAAUGAUGCCAAUUGUAUUUAUUGUUCUAGGACUACAUUCUCAAAUCCGAAGAAUUAUUCCACCUUAUGAAUCCAACCAGUCGGAUCAUCUCCGUUGAAAUUUGGAAAGUUUAGUUUGAGAUAGUGGUGAUGGUUGGGAAAGUUUGAGGAGAAAGGUUUUAUGGCUUGGUUAGAGGAUGUUGUAGCCUGUAGGUGCAAAGGGGUUAAUUUCAGAGGCAAUUAUGUGUGAGGUUUGUGAUGCACGAAGAGAUUGAAGAUUUCUUGAACCUCAUUACGAAACUCAGCAUUUGAUUGACUUCGGGUAGCCGUAUUUCGAGCAACCUUUGUUUGAUACCAGAUGAUAGGUAAUUUCUUAGUUUAGAAAGGAAAGUAUGAAAAGUAGAGGAAGAAUAUAAGUUGUUUAGAAGGAAAAAGAUAAUUUUUAUUCCAAAAGCAUGCCCACUAUAAAUCCAAUAAUUUCUCUUAAAUAAACCUAUACAUAUACCAAAAACUAAAAAACUAGAAAAGAGGAAAAUCACUUGAAAAUAAGAACAUGAUCAAUUAAAACGGUAACAUGCACAACCGCCACGAAUCAAAACCAAUCGAUUUUAAAUAGUAUGAAUUGAAAUCAAAUUAAACCAAACCAAACUAAAUCGGACCGAACCGAAAUAUUAGGUUCGGUUCUAAAUUUUGGUUUGAUUUUGGUUCAGUUCUAAAUUUUCGGUUCGAUUCUAACUUGUUGUUUUAACACCACGAUUUAUGUUCGUUGGAAGUAUCUUCCUCGUCGUCCAAAAUUCAUCCCACUUGCAGCUCAUUCUCUCAUGCAAUCCCUCAUCUUCUGUAGUGAUUUGAUUGCUCUGAUAACUAUAAGCAAUAAACCACUGCCCAAGAAAUUUUGCCAAGAACAAUUCAAGAUGAAAAUAAGCCAAUGAUUGAUUUAAAGUUCUAAUGAUGAAACGAAACCUUAGCUCUAGGUUAAUGGAGAUUUAACAAAAGAUUGAAACAAAUCAAGAAGCAAACACACUCAAUGCAAAGACAGGAUUUUAAUGUGGUUCAAUUAUGCACAAAGUUCAUAAUCUACAUCCGCGGGAGAAGCCACAAAAAUCUCUUUAUUGAUGAUUCAAGAUGAAUUUUAUUGAGAAAAUACAGAGAUCGUUACAAGGAACAAGAUUACUCUUUCUCACUUUCUAGAAACUCUCUGAAAAGCUCAAUCACACACACGUAAUCUGCUUCAACAACCAGCCUCUUUAUACUCUCUUAUGAAAACCCAGAUUGCACAGCCCUUUGACACGUGUGUAACAGCUUCUAACGACUUGAUUCCUCCCUCACAUGCUAGCUCACGUGUUUUACUUAAGUUUCCUAAAAACGACACAAAGCAAUGUCGUUCUGCCUUAUGCUGAAGAGCCCGUGACUGCACGUGAGUUGUAAGUAAUUCCAACUGAUCAAAACGCAAUCGUUUUGGGACUCUGAGUUUUGAAUUCAUAACACUCCGGUCCACAUCUUCCUCACCCACUAAUAUAAACAAAGCACAAAACAAUUCCAAUCUCAGAAUUAAGAUCAUGCUCAGACAAAUCCUUAAGCCCAUCAGCGAUCUAUCGUCUACUGCGAGCUAAUCGAGAGUGCCAUCUAAUACGAGGUGGCUGAGAGACCGUGAGAGUGAGAUGUUGACCAGAGAUAGACAUAGUGAGAGUGAGCGUGGUUGCGUGAGUGUGGAAGAAAGGGGAUGCUGCUAUGCUGCGUGUUGUGCUUGAGAGUGAGCAUAGUUGCAUGAGAGAGAGAGGGGCUACUGCUAUGCUGUACUUGAGAGUGAGGGUGGUUGCAUGAUAUCUGCUCAAUAUGUAUGGGAUGAAGUUUCUGAUGGGUAAAAAUCAUGUUUUUAAAUUUUUAUAAAACCUUUUUAAGAUCGCUUUCAUAUAAUAUAUAAGAAUUUGUAAUCUAGAAAUCAUACCUUGAAAAUCCGAUUUAGCUUUUUCCGCUGGAAUGAUUUAGGCUCCCAGAUCACGAUCCAUCACCACCACUCCUGUUAGAUUACGAUCCGUCACCACCACGCUUGUUAGAACACGAACUGGCACCAAUGAUCUUCCAGGUUAUGACUCAAGUUUGAUCUGCACUUGACGUGUGGGCGCCUUUAUCACUACCAAAGCAACUAGCACAAGAAAACUUUUCUCUCAACAAUAGAGAGAAAAAUCUUUUUCUCUGAUCUGUAUAAAGUGCCUGCUCCCUUUUUCUUUAGAGAAAAUAAGCAUUUUAUAUCUCCCUUUAGUGAAAACCCUAAGCUCCAAAAAAUCAAAAAACAAAACUCACGUUACUUGCUUUUUCUAUAGGGGACACACCUUGUAAAAUAACAUAAUAGCCCUUACACACAAGCGAAUUAAAUGGAGCCUCCCACUAAAAGAUAUAUUUAGGCUUUUGACCCAAAUAGCUUAUCUUACUUAUUAGUCCAGUAGUGGUGCAUUCAAUUAAAUGAGCUAACCCGGGGAUCAUUUGGGAACAUACAAUAGUGGCUAUAACAAUUAGACCUGUAAUUAAACUAGCCUAAUUAUUUAAUUCCAAAUCUACUCCACUAAAAGAUUGGAAUUGACCUCCAUAAUUGUAUGCUCGAAUAAUAAUUUGUCCCAAGUCUAAUUGAUUUCUUUACUGCACAAUCCUUUGUAUCACAUCGUUAAUUCAAUUGAUAUCUCAACUGUCCAAUCAAUUUAAUAACAUCUUGUUCCUUGAUACUUAUUGGUUUUCUCUAAUGAUCAUUUUCAACAUACUAAAUAUGUUGACACACUCUGGCCAAAGAAUUCUAUGAUCAAGUGCCGAAAACCCAUCAAGAGAUGUAUUGUACAAAUUCUAUAUUGUUAAUCCAUAACUCCAAUACUCAUAAUUGCUCCCACCAAGAUACCGGGUAAUCUUGACCACAAGAAUGUGUCGUGCCCAUUGGUAACUCAAAUGGAAUAACAAUUACAAUCAUGAAAUCAUAAUUAACUCAAGAUUAAGAUUACAGUAAAAUCAAUAGAUUUAAUAAGUCUGACAGUCAUUUCAAUGUUAAUUAAAUCUCAUAUGUGAUCCUGUUCAAUGUAGUCGUACUACAUUAAUAAAUUCAUACAUGAUUAAGACAAAUCAUUCAAUGAAUUCAUUACAGUCUAUACUUAAAUAAAGUGCCCAACUUUAUUUAUCAACUGCGAACUAAAUUUAUUUAAUCAUAAGAUAACUUAUAUUUAUGUCUUCUGUGAAUCCACAUGGUGAUCACAUAAAUACAUAUAAUAUGAUUAAAUGGACUUUGAUCAAAAUAUUAAUGCAAUUAAGAUAUUUGAAUAAAAUACCUCAUUAAUUUUAUUAGUCAGAAAAAAUGUUUAUUAUAAUUAAAUAAACACAUAUACUUUUAAAGAGUAUAUUUUCCCAACAGUUUCUUCAGUUGGUUAUUUCACUUAGUCAAAAUAAAUUAUAGUAGUGGUUGCAUACCUGACUUUGGAGGUAAGGCUGGAGGCAAACUUCUACAUUAAUUUAUAACUUGUUUCACAACAUAUUACGGUUAUAAAUGAGACUUAAUCCAAAGACGGAAAGAGAGAAAUUUGCUACACUCUUUAGUAUCCAUUAUUGAGAAAAACACCAAAAUUAACUUUUACUUCUUUAAAAUCAUUUUUGAAACCUCCCAAAAGAUAUCUCAAAUGGGUUCUCAAUUUUUUAAAACAUUACUUUUGGCUAAACACCCCAUCCUCCAGUAGAUUUUGAAAAUGUCAAAAUGUAUAAGACACUCAUCCAGUGGGGGUUUCACAGGCUUACCUCUCUUAGAAGUCUUUGCAUUCUUGGAUGUCAUGAAGCAGAGUGUUUUCCAGACGAGAAGAUAGGAAUGACGCUGCCCAAUUCUUUAACUUGUCUGUCCUUUCGAGGAUUCAAAAACACAUUUAAGAAAUUGGCAAUUUGUUGUUAGUCACAGUAUCUGAUGUUCUUUUCUUUUAUAGUUUGCAGAAUCAACUGUAUUAUAUGUUGUCAUUUGCAGUAUCUGAGGUGCCUUUUGCAUUUUACUUGACCUUUAUUUGUUUUGCUAGUGACUGAAGAAUACCAACAUUGGUUAGAGAUUUGGAGAAGCAUCUGAAGAGGCUUGACAAAGUUGGAGAUGCACUUGCUCCCAAGCCUUCAAUCAUCACAAUGCAAAUCCGAUGAGUACUUAUGCCGGCAAUUAUGUAAAAUAUUUGAAAUUUUGAUUCAGGGAAAUGGUUUGUUGAUGCAAAGCUUUAAACUGUUAAGACUUACCUAGCAGGCCUGUUGGAUGUUGUAUCAACUCCAAAAUCCAACAAGAACUACGGCACCAAGACCCAUUUUUUACUGAUUCAAUCAGCUGAAAUGAUGAGGCAAAUCCCACGUGUUCGAAUCAGUCAUCCAUUUCAUGAACUGUUAUUUUCAUGAUGCUGGCUAUUGGAGUUGAAGAGGAAACAAGGAUGUGUUGGAAUCAAUGAGAACAGUGGGAAGCAUGACUCGAGCUCUGAUUAUAAAUAGACAUUUUAAAAACAUGUGCUGGUAAGUGGUGAUUAAAGAAAUUUGUGAGCUUAUUCAAGUUUCAGUAUUUGCUGUUUGGAUAAAGCUGAUACCAAGUUUGGCAAAAUCUGUGCUUUCUUUGUUCAAUCUGUGUUAUGGUUAAAGUAGAUGCUCUGAUUAAUAAGCCAGCCUACGAUAGCUGGCUCUAAUAAUCGGCUUCCUUUUUCUUGUUUGCUGUUGUAUAUUCUUUCAAUUUUUUUUCCGCAUUAGGACGAUCAGUUGAAGAACAAGUUUAUGUUUGACGAUGCAUUUAAGGAAGAGCCAGACUUGGAUGCAGAUCUGAAAAGGUUAGCAUGAACGAAAACCUUCAGAACUGACUGAAGGUUUCUGAGUUGAUCCUAAAAAUGUAGCAGUUGUCUGUUUCAUAAAGCAGAACAAAAACAGAAUAAGAGAUCACUAAUCAUGCUUGAGAAUUCAUUUAAAUAAAAUUUCAAAAAUUGCCAAACACAGCAUAAACUAGGAUGCACUUGCUUAAGAUUCAUUUUCAGAAGGAAGUUUGUACUUGCAGCUCAUAAAAUCAUGUUUAUGUUGUAUGUUUAUUCAGCAAAUGAAAGAUUCCAAGUUUGCUGAAACCAUAUUAUUUUUUUACCAGGCGCCUUCCUGAAGGUAUCGACGUCAAUUUCAAAAAUGUUGGGGAUAAGUUGCUUGAUGCAGUGCUACACAAAUAUGAAGGAUUUCUUGUCGGUGAUUACUACCACCUCGAUAAAAAAAUUCAUGGAACUGGUCAUGCCGGCAAUAAAAGAAGGAAAGGUGGUAUACGUCGAAGACAUAGAUGAAGGCCUCGAGUCCAUCAGCCCUCGUUGGGCUAUUCACUUGUCGGAAUGUCAGGAAACAACUUGUUGAAGUUGCGUGGGAAUUUUAAAACUACCAUAUGUUGUAGAAAUGCACUGAGCCAUGUGCUUUCAGAGCUUUGUGAAGAUGUCUUGGCCAUGUGUUUGAUACAGGUUAUGCUUGUUCCAUUAAAUUGUAUGCACUUAUAAAUCAAAGAUUCAGAACAUGUGUAUGUUACUGGUUUCCAGAAUCCAGAUCAAUAAAUGCCUCCAUGUAGAAGUUCAAAUUUUAAAUUUUUUGAAGUAGAGGUGUAGAGUUUCUUUUUUCAAAAAAGAAAAAGUAAAUUCUGAAGACUUUCUUUAUUUAAUUUUACAAUCUUAUUUUAUUUCUUUUACGAUAUAUUUUUAAAAUACUUAUUUAGUAAAUUAUUAACAUCUAUACCACUAAAAGAUUUUUUUUGUUAAACGCUCUACUUACAAAGUUAUAUUAAUUAUAGAUUUACUCAAAGAAGCCCUAUUUAAAAAGUUACAGCAAAAAAAGUCAUAGUUACCUUUAGUAAAUAAUAAUCUUCUAAUCUGUCUUACAACGGACUUUUGACAAAAGUGUGCUACUCCCACCUCCUCAAAGUCCACCCGACACCCCGUCUUCUCUAUUUAAAAUUUUAUAUAGUUGAAAAUUAUAUUUUCUUUUACUUGACGCCCCUCCAAAUUCUAAAACUUAGCUUCGAUGAACCUUCUUCGUUAAAUCUCGUUGCUUUCCUUUUUUCUUGUUACUUGAGAAGAAGAACCAGAGUCUAGAAGAAUGAAAGAAAAUUCAGCGUGAUAGAAAUUUAGAAAUUUCAUCCGAUCUUUUUUUCUUAAAUUUUUUGGUAUUUUGAUUCGUUCAAUGGAUUCUUGAUCAUUCUUCAUUCUUUCUAGUUUCUACCAUGAUUCGGAAAUUUUUCUUAAAAAAACUACUACUCUUGUGUAUUUAAAAAAAAAGGAAAGAAAGAAAAAAGGCAUUAAUAAAGAAUUGCGCACGUAACAUUAUUAGUACCCUGUUGAUUGGUCGUUUGGUCUUCAAGAAAUGCUAGUUAAUAUGUGCUUGAAAUUAUAUUCUGCUUUUUUUUUCCCUAUGUAUUGUUUCCCGUUUGAUUACAUUUCAAACAUUUUUAACACGAAUGAAUGUUUUAACCAUUUUUGUCACUUCAUUAUUACAAUAAGCUGAUUGAAGUUAUCUGCGUUGGCCCUGAAAAUGUAAUGGACACUACUCCGUUUACAUAAAACAGGACAAAACAUCGAUAUUUCUACCAUUGCCAUACAUAGUAUAGCCUAGGAAUACAUUUCCAUAAUUAAUAUUUAUUUCAGAAGGAACUUUUCACUUGCAGCUAACAGAAUCAUGUUAAAUUUAUGAUGUAUGUUUAUUUGGGAGAUGAAAGAUUCGCUGCAUUAUUUUAUUCCAAGUUUGCUGAAAUCAUAUUUGUUUUCCCGGCUGCUUUCCUGAAUGUAUCGACAUCUAUUUCGAAAAUGUCGGGGGUAAGAUGCUUGGUGCAGUGCUACUCAACAUGAGAAUUCAUCUUCUAACUCGUUACCUGAUAUUAUUGUCUUCUUGAAAAUUUAAUUAAGCUUAGAAGUCCCUUAACCACAAAAUCAAUGGAGUUUAACUCUAUCGAUAGACAACUUUUAAGUAAUAAACCAACACAUGAGUUCAUCUCUAUUGAUACUCAAGUUCUAAGUCCCUUAUUCAAUACUAAAAUCCAUGAGAAUUAAACUAACCGUAGUUUAACAUGUGAUUAACAAAUGGUAAAAGGUUCAAAAAAUACAUCAAUUAUAAAAGAAAUAAAAUCAGCAAAGAGACCACAUCAGAAAUUUCUUAGAUGUCCGAAACUAUUAAAAGAAUUCACAUACCAAAUCAAAAAAAGUAGAAAAUGCUUAAGCUCCUUAAGGUAAUUUGAAGUAUGAAAGUGAAUGGCAUAUAAUCCAAUAUAAAAAAAAAAUGGUUUUAGUGCCGUAUAAAGAGAAGUUAAUGGUGGUUACAGAAGUGGGGAAAGUUGAGUACAAAUCAGAUAAUGGGAGGUUCCUAAACUUCCUUAAAUCAAUUUUAAUUUCAAAAAUAAAAUAAUAAAAAAUAAAAAAUAGCAUAAAAGAAAUAAGAUAAAAAUUACUUUUCUAAAAUUGCAUGCAAGUAUACAAAAAUAACAUAUGUUGAUAUUACAUCGAGAAAGGUCCAUCAGCCCUAGUUGGGCUAUUCACUGCAUAGAAUGUCGGAGAACAACUUGUUGUGGUAGCUGUUGGGAAAAUAUGCUCUUUAAAAGCAUGUGUGUUUAUUUAAAUGUAAUAAACAUUUUUUCUGAUUAAUAAAAAUAAUGAGGUAUUUUGUGCAAAUAUCUUAAUUGCAUUAAUAUUUUUAUUAAAGUCCAUUUAAUCAUAUUAUAUGUAUUUAUGUGAUCACCAUGUGGAUUCACAGAAGACAUAAAAUACAAGUUAUCUUAUGAUUAAAUAAAUUUAGUUCGCAGUUGAUAAAUAAAGUUGUGCACUUUAUUUAGGUAUAGAUUGUAAUAAAUUCAUUGAAUGAUUUGUCUUAAUCAUGUAUGAAUUUAUUGAUGUAGUACGACUACAUUGAACAGGAUCACAUAUGAGAUUUAAUUAACCUUGAAAUGACUGUCAGACUUAUUAAAUCUCAUUGGCAUUGAUUUUACUGUAAUCUUAAUCUUGAGUUAGUUAUGAUUUCAUGAUUGUAAUUGUUAUUCCAUUUGAGUUACCAAUGGGCAUGACACAUACAUGUAGUCUAGAUUACUCGGUAUCUUGGUGGGAGCAUUUAUGAGUAUUGGAGUUAUAGAUUAACAAUAUAGAAUUUGUACAACACAUCUCUUGAUGGGUUUUCGGCACUUGAUCAUAGAAUUCUCUAGCCAGAGUGUGUCAACAUAUUUAGUAUGUUGAAAAUGAUCAUUAGAGAAAACCAGUAAAGAUCAAGGAAUAAGAUGUUAUUAAAUUGAUUGGACAGUUGAGAUAUCAAUUUAAUUAACGAUGUGGUACAAAGGAUUGUGCAGUAAAGAAAUCAAUGUGGCUUGGGACGAAUUAUUAUUCGAGCAUACAAUUAUGGAAGUCAGUUCCAAUCUUUUAGUGGAGUAGAUUUGGAAUUAAAUAAUUGGGCUAGUUUAAUUAUAGGCCUAAUUAUUGUAGCCACUAUUGUAUGUUCCCAAAUGAUCCCCGGGUUAGCUCAUUUAAUUGACUGCACCACUACUGGACUAAUAAGCAAGAUAACUAGCUAUUUGGGUCAAAAGCCUAAAUAUAUCAUUUAGUGGGAGGCUCCAUUUAAUUAGUUUAUGUGUAAGGGGUCUUAUGUUAUUUUACAUGGUGGGUCCCCUAUAAAAUAAAAAGUAACGUGAGUUUUAUUUGUGAGCCUAGGGUUUUCACUAAAGGGAGAUAUAUAAGGCUUAUUUUCUCUAAAGAAAAAGGUGAAGCCACUUUAUACAGAUCAGAGAAUAAGAUUUUUCUCUCUAUUGUUGAGAGAAAAAUUUUCUCGUGCUAGUUGCUUUGGUAGUGAUAAAGGCGCCCACACGUCAAGUGCAGAUCGUACUUGAGUCAUAACCUGGAAGAUCAUUGGUGACAGUUCGUGAUCUAACAAGCGUGGUGGUGACGGAUCGUGAUCUAACAGGAGUGGUGGUGGCGGAUCAUGAUCUAGGAGCUUAAAUCACUUCAGCGGAAAAAGCUAACUCGGAUUUUCAAGGUACGAUUUCUAGAAUACAAAUUCUUAUAUAUUAUAUGAGAGCGAUCUUCAAAAGGUUUUAUAAAAAAUUUAAAAACCUAAUUUUUCCCCAACAAUUGGUAUCAGAGCCAUCUCAUAUUAAUAUAUAAGAAUUUCGUAUGAAAUUAAUCUUGAUAUUUAUGUAUUAGAGUGGCACAAUUUAUUCAGAUAUAUAUUAUUUGUUUAAUAUAUGAAUAAAGCAUGUUUAUGGUUUGUCUUAAUUCAUGGUUAGAUUUUCUGUUGUAUUUUUCGUUUGGAUCUUUAACAAGAGGGGUGGUUUUUAUCACAAUGUUUCCCUCUUGAUUUAUUUUACUGUUAUAGAAUUUUUGUAAGCCAAAAAUUGGCCUAGGAAAUUUGUAAAUAAAUCACGGAUGACAAAUCAAAGCGACGGAGGCCGGAAAUUUCGACAUCGACCGCUGACCAGCGCACUCGCUACAACCAACGAGCGGCACACGCUGCAAGCGCAUGCUGGCAGUGCGCGCAGCAAGCAGCGCGCGCGGCCAGCCUGGCCAGCGGCGCGCGUUCCAGCAAGCAGCGCGCGCAGGGAUGGUUUGUUUCCGGCAUAUCGGCAACGGCAAACUCGACGUUGAUAGCGGCUGUCCGAUGAGAUUGGCCUGAACAGUGGCCGUUUGUGGAGAUGGCGACUGGGGAAGAAGAAAGAAAGAAAAAUAUGGAUUUAGGGUUUCAUGGCUUUUAUCAUGGAGAUCCCUAUGGUUCCAUAAUUUUUCACUUGGGCAAUUAAGUUUUAAUUUUUUGCAUUUAAGUCUAAAAAUAGUUUUCGGCUUAAAGAAUCCUAGUUUUAGGUCCAAUUGAAAUUUGGGCUUAAUGGAUUAAAAAUGCAUAGAUAAAAUUAAAUACAUUAAAAUUUAUUUUUGGUCCAAAAGUUUUAUUUUAAUAAAAAAAAUUAUUUAUUUAUUUAUUUCCUUUAAAAAUUAAAAUUGGACCAAUUAGAAAUUAUUUAUUUAUCUCUCAUUUGUACUUGGGAGACAGUCUAUUGUAAGUAGUGUGUAUUUUUGCAUGUCUAGGAAAGUUCUGUCAACAAAGGCGAUAAGUGUAUAAGGAUUCUGGUUUUUAAUUGGGACCAAGUUCCCAUCUAGUUUCCUGGAAACUUUCUUGGUGCAUUUAUUCACGCGAAAUUAACAUCAUAGAGACUGUUUUUCAAGUGAAAAUAGUUCGUUGAGAAAAUGGUAGAAGGUGAAACUUUCAAAAUUGGGGAGAGAUCUACCGAGACUAUUUCAGGAGACACUUCAGGUGGGAGGCGAGAUUUGUCAAAUCGCUAUUCAGCACCUGUAUAGAAGGCCAGAAGAUCGAUGUUGAAAAGUUUGAUGGGAAAAUCAACUUCGGCAUGUGGAGGCGCGAAGUUAUGGAUGCCCUUAUUCAAAUCGAUCUCGAUGUUGUUCUGAAAAAUAAAAGACACUUGUAUGAUGAAGAAAUUUGGGAUCGUAUGAAUGAAAAAGCAUGUGGUCAGAUCAGAUCUUGUUUGACCAAGGAGGUGAAAUACUUGGUGAAAGAUGAGGAGUGUGCGGUGACUUUGUGGCGUACAUUGGAGGAGAAGUACCUGGUGAAAAGUCCUGAAAAUCGCCUUCAUGCAAUGAGCCAAGUAUAUGGCUUUCGAAUAAAGUCUGGGGUGUCAAUGCACGAUCAUGUUUUAAGAUUUGAAAAGUUACUUGCUGAUUUGAAGAAUCUUGAUGAAGAUAUUAAGGAUGAAGUCAAGGCUAUGAUUCUGUUACACUCACUACCAGAGGAAUAUAGCCAUUUUGUGACUACUUUAAUAUAUGGGAAGAGUGUGAUCAUCUUUAAAGAUGUUUGCACAACAUUGACUAGCUUAGAGAUUCGAAAUAAUGAUAAAAAUUCUAAACGAGCAUCGUCUGAAGCUUUGGUGAGUAGAGAUUGGGCGAUGGAGAAACAAAAGAAGCGUGGUGGAAAGAAUUCUCGAUCCAAAUUGAAAAGCAGAAAUAUAGCUCGAGAUGAGUGUGCCUUUUGUCAUGAAAAGGGCCAUUGGAGGAAAGAUUGUCCAAAGGCUCAAAAGAGAGAUGGGAAGAAACCAGCAGCAGCAAACAUGGCACGGAAAGAUGAGGGCUCUGAUUAUUCACUAAGUAUUACUCUUGCAGCAUACGUGGCUAGUUCGAGUGAGUGGAUACUUGAUACUGGAGUGGUUUACGGAUUUUUAUCAUUUGUGUCCUAUUAAGGAAUGAUUUACGGAUUUUCGUAAUCUGGAAUCCGGUGCAGUUGUGAUGGGGAAUGAUCAACCUUGUCGCACAAUGGGGAUAGGAACAAUUCGGCUCAAAAUGUUUGAUGAAAUGAUCAGAGAACUCAAAGAGGUUAGAUUUGUUCUAGCUUUAAAGAAAAAUCUAAUUUCUGUGGAUUUCUGUGGGUGCUUUGGAAGCUAAAGGCUACAAGGUUACCAUUGAAGAUGGUAUAAUGAAGUUUACACAUGGGGCUAUGGUGAUUCUGCAAGGGGUUCGGUGUCACAAUCUGUACUAUUUGAAGGGAGGUACAACUGAUGAAGCAAAUGUUGUUAAGGCGCACAGUGACACCACCAAGCUAUGGCAUGUACGAUUGGGACAUGCUGGAGAGAAGUCUUUGCAAACUCUGAUGAGGCAUGGACUCUUAAAAGGUACCAAAACCUGUAAAUUAAAUUUCUGUGAGCAUUGUGUAGUAGGCAAGAAAACAAGGGUCAAGUUUGGUAUAGUUAAUCACGAUACUCGUGAGAUUCUUGAAUAUGUUCAUAGUGAUGUAUGGGGACCAACCAAGACUGCAUCAAUUGGUGGAAGCCAUUACUUUGUUACAUCUAUUGAUGAUUUCUCUAGACGUGUGUGGGUGUACACCAUGCGAGCAAAGGAUGAGGUUCUAGAGAUUUUCGUGAAAUGGAAGAAAUUGGUGGAGACUCAAACUGGCAGAAAGAUCAAAGUAUUACGAUCUGAUAAUGGGGGUGAAUAUACUUCUGAUCCAUUCUUACAAGUAUGCCAGAACGAGGGUAUUAAAAGACAUUUCACGGUGAGACAUACUCCGCAACAGAACGGUGUGGUUGAGCGUAUGAAUCGUACUUUACUGGAGAAGAUACGGUGUAUGUUAUCUAAUGCUGGUUUAGAUAAAAAGUUUUGGGCUGAAGCUGUGAGCUACGCAAGUCACUUGGUAAACCGGUUGCCUUCUGCUGCAAUUGGAGGUAAAACUCCUAUGGAAAUGUGGUCUGGAAAGCAUGCACAAGACUAUGAUUCCCUUCGUGUAUUCGGGUGUUCAGCUAAUCAUCAUGUCAAAGAUGGUAAACUGGAUCCUCGUGCUAGAAAAGCUAUCUUUGUGGGAUUCAAAGGUGGAGUAAAGGGCUUUAAGCUUUGGGAUCUCGAAGACAAAAAGUUUGUGUGUAGCAGAGAUGUCACAUUUGAUGAAGCUUCAAUGAUGAAAGCGUCAAGUUCUCAGCAGGUGGAGAACAAGACCAAAAAGGUAUUGCAGCGGGUGGAGUUUGAUGCAACUCCAUAUGUACCAGUUAGUUCUACAUCAAAUAAGAGUUCAACUAUGGAGGUGACACCUAGAGUUGAAGAAGAGGUCAUUUUUUCUGAUGUCUCACAAAAUGAAGAAACAAUUGAUGAUGUAGAUAAUGAUGAUUUUAUAGCAACAAGGAGGCCAAGAAGAGAGAUAAAGAAACAGGGAUGGCUUACUAAAGAUAUGGUGGUAGCAUAUGCACUUCCAGUUAUUGAUGAUGACAUCCCCAACACUUUUUGUGAAGCAUUACGCAGCAGUGAAAGUGAUCAGUAGAAGUUAGCCAUGGAGGAAGAGAUGAAAUCUCUCCAUCAAAACCAGACUUGGGAACUUGUAAAGUUACUAAAUGGGAAAAGGGCUAUUGGUAAUAAAUGGGUCUACACCACAAAGCAAGGAUCUCCGAAUCAAACAACUCCUCGAUACAAGGCAAGGCUCGUGGCAAAAGGUUUUGCUCAAAAGGAAGGUAUUGACUACAAUGAAGUUUUCUCCCCAGUUGUAAAACAUACUUUCAUUCGUAUCCUACUUGCCGUCGUUGCAGAAUAUGAGUUAGAGUUGGCUCAAUUGGAUGUUACGACGGCGUUCUUACAUGGAGAUUUGGAAGAGGAAAUCUAUAUGAUUCAGCCUUGUGGUUUCAAAGUUGCUGCAAAGGAGAAUCAUGUGUGUAGGUUGAUUAAAUCUUUGUACGGACUGAAGCAAUUGCCAAGGCAGUGGUACAAAAGAUUUGAUCAAUUUAUACAAGGGCAGAAAUUCACCAGAAGUGAACACGAUCAUUGUGAUUACUUUAGAAGACUACCAGAUGGAGCUUUCAUCUAUUUGUUACUCUAUGUCGAUGAUAUGCUUAUAGCUUCGAAGAAUAGAGAUGAGAUCGAAAGAUUAAAGAAGCAGCUGGCUUCUGAGUUCGAGAUGAAAGACUUGGGUGAUGCACAGAGAAUACUUGGGAUGGAGAUUCGUAGAGACAAGAAGAAUGGGAGCGUAUGAUUGACUCAAAAGUCUUAUUUGAAGAAAGUGCUAGAAAGAUUCAGUAUGGAUGACAAAACUAAACCGGUAUGUACACCUCUAGCUCCUCAUUUCAAAUUAAGCUCUUCUUCAUGUCCUAGAUCUCAAGAAGAGCGCGAUUACAUGGCUCGUGUUCCAUAUGCUAGUGCUGUGGGUAGUCUUAUGUAUGCUAUUGUAUUCACAAGGCCCGAUAUAUCUCAAGCAGUGAGCAUGGUUAGUAGAUACAUGCACAAUCCGGGUAAAAAUCAAUGGCUUGCGGUAAAGUGGAUUCUCCGAUAUUUGUAUGGGACAGUUGAUGUUGGGUUAUUAUUCAAGAAAGAUUGUGGUCAACAAUGUGUUGGGUAUUGUGAUUCUGAUUUCGCUGGAGACCUUAACAAGAGAAGAUCAACAACGGGCUACGUAUUCACAUUGGGUGGAGGUCCGGUUAGCUGGAGAUCGAUUCUACAAUCGACAAUUGCUCUAUCCACUAUGGAAGCAGAGUAUAUGGCAGCAAUUGAAGCUGUAAAAGAAGCUAUCUGGUUGAAAGGCUUGUUAGGUGAUUUGGGAGUAAUCCAGGAGAACAUUACGAUCUUCUGUGAUAAUCAAAGUGCGAUAUUCCUUGCAAAGAAUCAAACAUAUCACGCUCAGAUGAAGCACAUAGAUGUGAAAUAUCAUUAUGUGAGGGAGAUUAUCGAGAGCGGUGUUGUGUUGUUGAGAAAGAUCGAUACCAAAGAUAAUCCAUCAUAUAUGUUAAUGAAGGUAGUUUCUGGAGUUAAGUUUCAACAUUGCUUGAAACUAAUUCAAAUCCUUCGAUUGUGUUAAGAUAUGUCCUUCGGAAAUUUUGAACUACGGUUGGCUUGAUCCCAAAUUUUGGGUACGUUUGGCAGUCACAGAGAUACAGCCACUUUGCGGAUGAUGAUUGGUUGGGAGUCGGCUCAGAUUUGAACAAACCUUCGCCGAGGUGGAGAAUUGUUGAAAAGUCAAAGAAUUGCUUGCCAAUUUCAAAAGCAAAGUUGGUGGGUUUGCCAAAUUCAAAAAAACAAAGUUGGCCGGCUUGCUAAUUUCAAAAGGCAAAGUUAGGUGUUGAAAAACUUGUACAUGCAAUAUAAGAUCCAGCUCAACGUUUUGACCAAAUGAACCCAACUUGGAGCAGAAUGCACUCUAUAAAUAGAGAAGCAUUUUGCAAUUGUCAAUCAUCCCAACAAUUUGUUAAGCUUAUAAAUUUCUAAGCUUUUGAGAGUUCUAAGAGUGUGAAUAAUUGGAGAGUGUGUGUGAGAGUACUUGGUAUAUUUGGGUUCUGGGAAAGUGAGAUUUCUUUACUCAAAUAAUUAUUAAUAAUAUAAUUAUUUUUCUCUUGCUUCCGUGGACAUAGGCAUAUUGUCGAACCACGUAAAUUUUGUGUCCUUUAUUUUUCAGUAAUUAUUUGGUGUGUUUGAUUCCGCAUUCCGCGCACAACACCUACAGGUGACUAAUUAAUGGGAAAUUGACAAUGACAAAAGCAAUUUAUGAGUUUUGUAGGCUGGCAUGCCUAUGUUAUAGCAUUGUUCGAUGAACUGCCACACCACAUGUUUUUGACGAGAAAUAAAAACAUCAAGAUAUUGCCCGCUUGCCGUAUUCCACAUCGUGAAUUGUAUCUCUGUUCCUCAAUUUUCAGUGUUCCAUACAUAAAACCAUUUUCAGUUUCUCUUGUUAUCAAUUCAAUUUUCUUGUUCGUGACGAUCUUGAUUCCUUUCUUUCUGGUAAAACGGAGCCAUGUUUGCUGUUGGAGAGGUCUUCCUCAACGCUUUCUUUCAGGUGUUGUUUGACAGGUUGGCUUCUCGUAAUUUGCUCAGCUUUGUGCGUCAACUCCAAGGCGGGGUUGAUUCGGAGCUCAAAAAGUGGGAGAAAAAGCUGAAGAUGAUUCAGGUUGUGCUUAGCGAUGCAGAGGAGAAGCAACUGACUGACGAGGCUGUGAAGAUGUGGCUGGACGAACUCCAAGACUUGGCUUAUGACGCUGAGGACAUUCUUGAUGAGUUUGGUACUCAAGCUUUGGAAAGGAAGUUGAUGGCGAAAAAUCAGGAUAGCACUGGCCAGAUUCUUAGUUUCAUACCGGCUAGUUUGAAUCCGAAUGCUAUUAUGUCCAAUUAUAGCAUGGGAUCCAAGAUUAAAGAUAUUACUAGCCGGUUGGAGCAACUCUGCCAAUAUAGAAUUGAACUUGGGCUGCAACGGAUUGCUGGAGGGGCAUCAUCACCUACUGCUGCUGCACACCAGAGGCCACCCAGUUCAAGUAUCACAACAGAGCGUGAAGUAUUCGGAAGAGAAGAAGAUAAGGCCAAAAUUCUUGAUAUGGUAUUGACCGAUAUUAGAAUUCGUAAUAAGAUGUUUGGAAACAAAGAAAAACAGAGAAAAUGAAAAAGGAAACUUCACGAUUUAUUAACCAGAAUAUUCAAUGCUUAUUAAGCUUACUUAGCUAAGCUUAUAUACAAUUAUUCUAACUAAUUAAACAACUGCAAAACAACUAAUAACAACUUCAGAUUUAGUUUAGCCAUUGAGCUCUUGCCACAUGUCAUUCAGUUACAUUCAAUCUUGUCCAGCUCAGCAGCUCUGUCCAGCUCAGCAGCAACUAUAUCUUCAACAUCCCCCCUCAAGCUCAACCGAGGAAGUAAGGUUGAGCUUGUCACGUAAGUAGAGAAAAGGGUGAUAAGAAAGAGCUUUGGUGAGAAUAUCAGCAGUUUGUUCUGAGCUAGAAAUAUAUUGAACCUUAAGACAUUGAGCAGCAACUUUCUCUCGAACAAAAUGAACAUCUAAUUCAAUGUGUUUUGUUCUGGAAUGAAACUUAGGAUUAGAGGCUAAAGCAGCUGCACUUUGAUUAUCACACCAUAUGAUUGGAAUGGAGGGAAGAGUAAGACCAAUCUCAGCAAGAAGAGAACGAAUCCACAAGACUUCAGCUGCUGCCAUUGCUAGUGCUCGAUAUUCAGACUCAGCACUAGAUCGAGAGACCACUGCCUGUUUCUUAGAGCACCAAGACACUAGAUUUGGACCCAUAUAGACACAAUAACCAGCCACUGACCUCCUAUCAUCUCUGUCUCCAGCCCAAUCAGCAUCACUGAAACAAUCAAUCUGUAUGCUGCCAUGAUUGUAGAACUGUAAACCAAGAUUAACAGUACCCUUCAGAUAUCGUAAAACCCUUUUACAAGCCUGCCAAUGAUUGACAGUUGGAGAAGAUAGAAACUGACUGAGCUUGUUGACAGAGAAAGCAAUCUCUGGUCUGGUCAAUGUUGCAUACUGAAGAGCACCUAUGGUGCUUCUGUAUAGAGUAACAUCAGAAAAGGGUUCACUAUCAGCUUUAGUAAAAGCCACUCCAGAAAGCAUAGGAGUAGAACAAGGAGUACUAUCCUGCAUGUGCACCUUGGCAAGCAAAUCAGUGAUAUACUUGGAUUGAGAAAGAUGAAUACCAGAUUUAUUGUAAAUGACCUGAACUCCCAGAAAAUAAUUCAAUGCACCAAGAUCUUUAAGUGCAAAAACAGACUGGAAGUUGGUGAUGGUCUGCUGAACAAGCUGAGGAUUGGAGCCUGUAAUAAUAAUAUCAUCUACAUACACCAAGACAAGUAGCAGAUGACCUUGUGUGCUCUUAAAGAAGAGUGAAGUGUCUGAAAUAGAAUUUGUAAAGCCCCACUGAGUUGUAAGAACUAGUUUGAGUCUGUCAAACCAUGCCCUUGGAGCCUGUUUAAGGCCAUAAAGAGCUUUGUGCAGCUUACAGACAUAAUCAGGCCUGGAACUAUCUAUAAACCCCUCAGGCUGUUGCAUAUAAACUUCUUCAGUGAGGUAGCCAUUAAGGAAGGCAUUAUUAAUGUCUAUUUGCCUCAGUACCCAAUGAUUCAUGACAGCCAUACUCAAGAUAAUUCUGAUGGUUGAAGACUUAAUGACAGGACUGAAUGUUUCAUGAAAAUCCAGCCCUUGAGUUUGGUGAAAUCCCUUAGCAACAAGUCUAGCUUUGUAUCUAGAGACACUGCCAUCAGGAUUAUAUUUAAUCCGAAAUACCCACUUAUUCCCAAUUACUUUAAUGGGAUGUGUAGGUUUGACAAGAGUCCAGGUAUGAUUAUUGACUAAGGCUUGAUAUUCAUCUGUCAUUGCUUUAUGCCAAGCUGAAUCUUGAAGGGCUUUUAAGGUAGUAGCAGGUUCUGUAGGUUUGGUAGGAUUGGCUGUAAUAUAGGCUUUAGGUUUGAAGAUACCAGCCUUUGAUCGAGUGAGCAUUGGAUGACCAGUAGAUGACUGCAAUGGUGGAGUUAAAUGAUGAACAGGUGAGGUAGAUGGUUCUGAGUGUGAUUGUAUAGAAGAUUGAGAAGGAGAGUCUGGAGAGGAUUGAGAGAACCUGAGAUCAGCUGCUGUAGAGGAUGAAGACUUGGUUAUAUCAAGUUGAAUCAAAGGACAAACAGAAGAUGAACAAUGUGAAGAAGACUGAGAUGAAUGAUCUGAAGAAGAGCAAGAGUGACUGACAGAGGAAAAAUCAACUCCUGACUGAAAAGGAAAACAUGACUCAUCAAAUGUAACAUGGUUACUGACAUAGAUUCUACCAGAGGAAUGAAGACACAAGUAGCCUUUGUGAAGGGAGCUGUAACCAAGAAAAAUACAUCUAGCAGUUCGAAACUCUAACUUAUGAUGAUUAUAAGGCCUCAGAUAUGGGAAACAAGCACAUCCAAAAACUCUCAUAACAGAAUAAUCUGGUCUUUUGUUGAAUAAUUUUUCAAAAGGUGAUUUGUUAUCCAGAAUGGGUGUAGGGAGCCUAUUUAUGAGAAAUGUGGCAGUAUGGAAAGCAUUCCACCAAAAUUUCAGUGGUAAAUGUGCUUGAGCAAGAAGGGUAAGGCCUGUUUCCACUAUAUGUCUAUGUUUGCGUUCAAUCUUUCCAUUUUGAUGGUGAAUAUAAGGACAAGGAUGUCUAAAUUGGAUUCCCUGCUCAGCAAGAUAAGGAAGAAAUGGCCUAAAUUCACCUCCCCAAUCUGUUUGAAGACACUUGAUUUUCCUAUUUAGGCAUUUUUCUAUCAUAUGCUGGAAUUCAAUAAAGGUUUGUAAGGCUUGAGAUUUGGUAACAAGAGGGAAUAUCCAGGUGAACCUAGUGAAAUCAUCUAAGAUGGAAAGAUAGUAGUGAUAGCCUUGAGAGGACAGCAAAGGAGCUGGACCCCAUAGAUCAGCAUGCAACAGCUCCAGUGGUUGAAUGGUAGUGGUGUCUAUAGAAGGAAAAUGCUGCAUGUGACACUUUCCAAAUUGGCAAGCAUUACAAAAAAUUGGUUUCAGGGCUCUAUUGAUAUCGAGAGAAGGAUGCAAAUGCUUCACAAUUUGUUUAAGAGCAUGCACAGUUGGAUGACCCAUUCUUUUAUGUAAAACAUUGUAAUCAACUGAUUUUGAAUGAGUAACAGACAAGGCCAUUGAGGCAUCAUUAUUGAAUUGAGAAAUAUUUACAUCUGUCAAAAUUUCUCCAGAAUGUAUAGAGUUUGAAACAUUGGAAUGACUAAUCAUUGACACUGGAGAGGAACAGACAUUUGACACAGAACUGGAAUUUGAGAUGACACAGAAAACAUUAGACGGAACUCUAUUUGAAACUGCAGCAUGAGACACUACAACAGGACCUUCAACUUGAUAUAAUCCUCCUCUAGCAAUCCCCUUGAGCAAGAUGAUCCCUGAUUUCUUGUCCUUGACAAAACAGGAGGUUUUAUGGAAUUCAACAACAACAUCAUUGUCAGCAAGUAAUUUAGAUACACUUAAAAGGUUUUUGGUUAUAGUUGGGACAUGCAAAAUAUUAUUAAGAUAGAUAGAUGUUGCAGCAAGUGUAUUCAAUCGUGUGCACCCAACAUGUUUAAUAUGUAAUCCCAUGCCAUUUCCUACAUGUAGCUUAUCAAAACCAUGAUAAACUGAGUAAGAAGAAAAGAUACCUGCUUCCUUAGUCACAUGAUUGGUUGCCCCGGAGUCAAUAUACCAAGCAGGAUCAGCUACAACUCCAUAAUCAGCAACUGGACCAGUGGGAGCAAAUUGUGCAGUGGGAAUAGCAGAAGGAGCAACUCCAUAGUUAGCAAAUGGAGUAGCAAUUGCACCAUUGUAUUGACCUUGUAAUCCUUGAAACACAAGAAACCCUUGAGGAUACAUAACAUUUGCAUUCUGAUAUGCAACAUUCCCUUGAAACAUGGGUGCAUUAUAUCUAGGAGCACCAGUUGCAGUUCCAUAAAAAUUUCCAUAACCUCUUCCAAACAUGUUCUGAGGCUGACCAGGAAAGCCUCUAAAAUUGAAUCCACCUCUAGGCCUAAAGCCACCUCUUCCUUGUCUAGGAAUAAAGUUCUGAUUAAAUCUGUUCCUGCAUUUGUAUGCUCCAUGACCAGGUAUGAAGCAUAUUUGACAAAUUACUUCCUUAUCAACAUUAUAUCCUCCUUUGCCAUUAUCAAAAUUUCCACCAUUAAAACCUCUCUGAUUAGCAUUAUUGAACUUAUUGUAAUUCUGUCCUUUCUGAGCAAAAUUAGCUGACAUAUCAUGCAACAAUUCAUUUUGCACCUUUCCCUUACUCAUCUCAACCCUAGUUUCAUGACUAAGCAUUAAGGAAUACACUUCUUCAAUAGUGAGAUUAUCUUUUUCCAGCCUAGCAAGUAUAGUUGUCACUAAUGACUCAUAGUUGUCAUCUAAACCAGUGAGCAAAUGCAUUAUAAAAUCUGUUGAAGCAAGAGGAUUACCACCAAUAGCUAAGCUAUCUGCAAUUUUUUUCAUCUUAUUGAAGUAAUCACUUACUGACAUAGCUCCUUUCUUUGUGGUUUGAAUCUGCAUUUUCAGAGGCAUGUAUCUAGCCUUUGACUGUGACAUGAACAUCUCGGCAAGUUUCUCCCAGAUCUCAAGUGAAGUAUCACAAUCCACAACCAUGAUAAGUACAUUGUCUACCAUAGAUGACAGCAUCCAGCUCUGUAGAAGCUUGUCAGCUUUCUUCCAGUCAAUAUAGUCAGAAUUUUCACGUCUGCUUGAGCUAGGAGCUUCUGAUCUACUGGCAGCAUUCUCAUAUGAGGAAAGAAAACGAUCUGGACAAGGAGAUUCUCCAUUGAUAAAACCUUCAAGUCCAUUGGCAAUAAUCGAAGCUUGAAUUUGAGCUCUCCACACCAGAUAAUUUGUUCGAUCAAGUUUUGUUGGUUGAAUAAAAGAAAAAGAAAGUGAAGACGAUCCUGAAUUGCUUUGAUUCGUCAUGUUUCGUGGCUCUGAUACCAUAUUAGAAUUCGUAAUAAGAUGUUUGGAAACAAAGAAAAACAGAGAAAAUGAAAAAGGAAACUUCACGAUUUAUUAACCAGAAUAUUCAAUGCUUAUUAAGCUUACUUAGCUAAGCUUAUAUACAAUUAUUCUAACUAAUUAAACAACUGCAAAACAACUAAUAACAACUUCAGAUUUAGUUUAGCCAUUGAGCUCUUGCCACAUGUCAUUCAGUUACAUUCAAUCUUGUCCAGCUCAGCAGCUCUGUCCAGCUCAGCAGCAACUAUAUCUUCAACAACCGAUACCCCCAGUGAUCAUGCCAACUUUGUUGUAAUACCCAUUGUUGGCAUGGGCGGGAUAGGAAAAACAACUCUUGCUCGGGAGGUCUACAAUGACAAGGCCGUUGAAGAUUCAAAGUUUGAUGUAAAAGCAUGGGUUUGUGUCUCUGAUGUCUUUGAUAUUUUGGGCAUCUCAAAGGCACUUCUCGAAUCAAUCACCCGCAGGCCUUGUCUUCUGAACAGUUUAAAUGAAGUGCAGGUUGAGUUGAAAGUAGCUGUGGAUAAAAAAAGAUUCUUGCUGGUCUUAGAUGAUGUUUGGAACGAGGACUACAGCUUGUGGGUAGACUUAAAAGCUCCAUUCUUGGCAGCUGCACCAAACAGUAAGAUGAUCGUCACCACAUGCAAUUCAAAUGUUGCAUCAAUAAUGGGACCAAUUGAACAUUAUAAUCUCAAGAGACUGUUAGAUGAUGAUUGCUGGUCCAUUUUCAUACAGCAUGCACUUGAAUCUAGAGAUCUUAACGCACAUCAAAUUUCAGAAUCGUUCCACAAGAAAGUUGUUGGCAAGUGUGGAGGCUUGCCCCUGGCAGCAAAAACAUUAGCGGGCCUUCUACGUACUACGAGGCAUGAUGCCUGGGACGAUAUCUUGGAUAGCAAACUAUGGGAUUUACCACGACAAAAUGACGUUCUCCCUGUGUUAAGAUUGAGUUACCAUCAUCUUCCGUCUCAUUUGAAAAGAUGUUUUGCUCAUUGUGCCAUCUUUCCGAAAGAUUAUGAAUUCAAUGAGAAGGAGCUGACUUUCUUAUGGAUGGCUGGAGGUAUUAUUCGACAGUCAAGAAAGAAUGAGCAGCUGGAAGAAUUGAGCAGCAAGUGCUUUCAAGAUCUAGUGUCGAGGUCUAUUUUUCAACAAACCAGCUCUGGUAGUGCUAAAUUUGUAAUGCACGACCUUAUCCAUGAUCUUGCUGAAUUGGUUUCUAGAGAAACCAUUUUCAGGUUAGAGGAGUCCACCAACUUGUCAUCAAGAAGAUUUGAAAGGGUUCGCCAUUCUUCGUAUGCCCGUGGUAGGCUUGAUGGUAAAUCUAAGUUCGAGGUUUUCAAUGAAAUUGAACAUCUACGAACAUUCUUGCCAUUAUGCAUAAGAGGUGGCGUUACUUCUGGUUAUAUAACUAGCAUGGUUCUCUAAGAUUUGUUGCCGAAGUUCAAAAGGUUGAGGAUGCUGUCUUUAGACGGAUACCGUAUUAGUGAGUUACCAAUUCCAUUUGAAGAUCUGAGACUUUUAAGGUUCCUAAACCUUGCUGAUACUGACUUAAGAAGUUUACUUGAGUCAACAUGCGCAUUGCUGAACUUGGAAAUUUUGACAUUAAGAAAUUGUUCCCGUUUGAUAAAGCUACCGCCCAAAAUGAUGAACUUGAUCAAUAUUCGUCAUCUCGAUAUAAGAGGUGCAAAUUUGUUGAAGGAGAUGCCAUUCGGAAUGAAAGAGUUGAAGAAUCUUCAAACAUUGUCCAACUUUAUUGUGGGCAAGGGUGAAACUGCAUCUGGUUUGGAAGAUUUAGGAAGUUUAAACUUUCUUUGUGAUGAACUUUGCAUUGCUGGAUUAGAGAAUGUGAAUAAUCCACAGAAUGCAAGAGAAGCCGCAUUAUGUGAGAAGCUCAAUCUUCAUGCAUUGACUCUAGAUUGGGGGUCUCAAUUUGACAAUUCUCGAGAUGUAGCAGUAGAAGAGCACGUGCUUGACAUUCUACAGCCUCAUAAAUGUAUAAAAAAGGUGGCAAUCAGGAACUAUGGUGGUGCAAGAUUUCCACUUUGGAUAGGAGAUCCGUGGUUCUCCAAGAUAUAAUUCCUUGAAUUGGAGAACUGUAACAAUUGUGUAUCUUUGCCAUCGCUUGGUCUAUUGAGUUCACUUAAGCACCUUGCUGUCAAAGGGCUGAAGAAGCUAAAAAGCAUAGAGUCUGAAGUUUAUGGGGAGGGUUUCUCAAUGCCUUUUCCAUCAUUGAAGAUUCUACGUUUUGAGAAUUUGCCAGAGUGGUGGCAUUGGGACACCGAUAUCAAAGGAAAUGUGCACGUUGAUAUAUUUCCUUGUCUCCAAGAACUUUCCGUUGUGAAAUGUCCCAAACUCUCUGAAAAACUGCCUGAGCUUCUGCCCUCCUUGGAGAUACUUGUUGUUAGUAAAUGUGAAAAGUUGGUAGUUUCAUUGUCAAGCUAUCCAAGGCUCUGCAGAUUAGAGGUUGAUGAGUGCAAAGAACUAGUGUGCAGGAUCCCAAUUGAUUCUAAGUUGAUAAAGUUCAUGACUAUUUCAAAUAGUUCAUUAGACAUGAUUGGAUGCAAGGGGAUGCUAUACGAUAGUCAAGCUGGCUCUUCACUGCCAAAACCCAUGACCACUACAAAUGUUUUGGAGUUUGGAAAAUUACUGGAGCCUGGAUUUCAGAUAUUAGAAACUUUGGUAAUUGGCAAUUCUGAACAGCUCAAGCCAUGGAGGCAGGGAAGGGGACUUUCAAGUUUUAAUAGACCAGAACACCGGCUAAAAAUACUUGCUCACCCUGAUGAGGUAACAAUUGAGGAAAGUUGCGUAAGUCUUGUUUUGUUUCCAGAGAUCAAUUUCUUUCCCAGAAAUCUGCACUGUCUUCGAAUUUACAACAGCACUGCUUUCAAAUCCUUACCGGAGGAAAUGAUGGACAACAGUUCACAACUCGAAAGCUUGUAUAUCAAAGAUUGCCAUUCUCUACCAUUCAUCACAAGACGCAAGCUACCUUCAUCUCUAAAAAGGAUAGAGAUUGAGAAUUGUGAGAAAUUGCAACGUUUGUUCGAUGAUAAAGACGAUGCUUCUUCUUCUUCUCCUUCAUCCUCGUCUUCCCAAGUGAUGCUUCAACAUCUAAGUAUAAAGAAUUGCCAAGCGCUCUCCAGUUUGUCAUCGGGAAUUCAAUUACUUGAGUCGCUCGAAGAACUUGUGAUAACAAAUUGUCGAAAGCUGGAGUCAAUACCCGAUGGCCUGCACAAUCUUAACUGUUUACAGAAGAUUACUCUAGUGAGUUGUCCAAGUCUUGUUUCCUUCCCAGAAAGAGGGCUUCCCAACGCCAUUUCAUGGGUUGACAUUAGUUAUUGUGACAAGCUUGAAGCCCUGCCCAAUGACAUGCACAAACUCAACUCUCUCCAAACUUUAAGCAUAAUUCAAUGUCCAAAGCUUGAGUCGUUUCCAGAAGAAGGCUUUCCCACCAAUCUUAGAACGCUUAAAAUUGGAAAUUUCAAAAUGUACAAGACCCUCGUCCAGUGGGGGUUGCACAGGCUUUCCUCUCUCAGAAGCCUCUACAUUUAUGGAUGUCAUGAAGCAGAGUGUUUUCCAGACGAGAAGGUAGGAAUGACGCUGCCCACAUCUCUAACUCAUCUGUCCUUAUUGGGAUUCCAGAAAAUGAUACUUCUGUCUUCAGUGGGUUUCCAAAGACUCACGUCUCUUCAAUGUUUGAAGAUAUGGAAUUGCCCAAAUCUCACGUCAUUUCCAGAGGUAGGCCUUCCAUCCUCACUUUUGGAUUUAUACAUUAACAAUUGUCCUAGGCUUAAAAAGGCGUGCAAAAGGGACCAAGGAAAAGAGUGGCCCAAAAUUGCUCACAUCCCUUGCGUUGUGAUAGAUGGAAAAUUCAUAUACGAUCCAGAAUUGGAGGUGUAGAUUCUAUUAUUAAAGUCGGUUUAUUUAUAUUAUCCACUAUAACAAUCUCCUAUUAGUUUUUUUUUUUUUUUUUUAAUGAAAAAAAUUGCAGUUCUGUAUAAUUUAAAAUAUAUAUAUUAAUCCUCUGCCCUUAAUUGAAAAUACCACUCACUUGUUUCUGUUUUCACAAGUCAGAUUGUACGUUGAGGCUAUUUGCUUUUUAUCGGUGUUUGUUAAGGUAAUUAGUGUCUCAUAGGCUGAUUAUAGGCAGAUGAAAUUAUAACUUUUAACUUAAAAUUUAAUACCAUAGACAGAUAGAUGAUUUUUAAUCCAAAGGUUUUUAGAUGUGAUCAAAUUGUCACAUGCAUAACAUAUUAGGCAUGCAUGAUGUAUCACAAGGUUGAUACAUCUUAUAUGCCACGUGAUGAAAUUAAGGAUGUUUCUCUUACAAGGGACACAUCCUUACAUGUUCAAAUUUGAACAUGUAACUUCCAAGUGGUUAAUGGAAGUUACUUGUUCAAAAUUCGAACAUAUAACUGUCAUAUUGUUGCCUAUAUAGAGGCAUGAACGCAUCACAAAUUCAUACAUUCCAAGACAUACUUAAAGUCUUAUCAUAUUAUGAUCUUGCAGUUUUGCAUGUAGCCACCAGCCUAAGGGCAGUGUAAAACGAUCCCAAAAACCAUCAAUAAUAACAAUGGAUAUAGUUCCUAAAUAAACUGAUGAAAUUUAAGGAUGAUUGGAUGAAACAGCUAUGAUAAAAUGAACUAUCUCGAACCGAGCGAAUGGCACUGACUCAUGAAUAAGUGUGGAUUCCAAAUAUCUUCAUAUCUUCAUAGAUAUUCAUUUCCGUGUUAAUUCGAGGACUUCUAGAAAUUUAGUUAGUUAUUCUAUGAAAUAGAUAUACUAAUAAUAAUAAAACAAAAACGACGGGUGUUACACAAAUUCACAAGUAAAACUGUACUACUUGGAAACUGUGAACAGUAUAGAUUGAAGAUCAUACGAUUGCUAUUUUCAUUGAGUUUCAUGCAUAAAACUUUAUCGAUUAUUAAAUUAGACAUCUUUAUCUUUCUAUCCAUAUGUUUAUUGUUCAAAAACUUAUUGUAUAUUAAUUGUUUUGAUUUUUAAAAAUUGAAACACUGGUGCUGGAAAAUUCUGAUUUUCAGUAGCGAUUCUCAAUUCUAUAAUUUAUUUCAUAACUCCAAAUACUUCUGAAAAUUCUGGGAAUUUUUAUUACUGUACACUUAUAUGUCUAGUUUCUGUCUUUUUAAUUUCGUAAUUUUUGGCUUUAUAUAAAAAUCAUAGAGUUAGACUGCGCAAUCCCAGAAACUGUUUUCCAGAAUUGCGAGGGCUGAUAUUUAGGGCAGUUUGGGAUAGUUUUUCAUCAGUAAAUGUCUUAUAAAUCUUUAAUUCUGACUCCUAUUGUUUCCUCUAAUUGUCAAAACUAGAAUCACUAUUUUUGGACAUGUGUAACUAAAGUUAUAAAUUUUUCAAGCAACAGUCCUCUGUUUAUAUCGUUAUUGGACAGUUUGGAUAAUUUUGUGGAAAAAUAAGUUUUCAGGGGAUGUUUUUAAACUCUAAUUGAUUAUGUAAAAAUUUAAAUUGAAUGCCAAUAUGUUGACAAUAGUGUUUUGUGAUAUUUGUGAUAUUUCCGACGUACUUAUAGCUUGUUAGAAAUCAGCUCCUAUAUAAUGGUCUAGUAUAGUUUAGUGAAUUGAUGUGCUUAAGUAAGAGUGCAUGGUUUAAGGAUUUUUGGAUUUUCCUAUCUAGGUCAGAAUUGAAUAAGAUAUUGAUAGUACUUUUUUCUUAACAAUCAUAGGCCAAAAGUGAGCUCGUUUGAUUUGGGUUAUUGUUGAUUGCUUUGUAUCAUGGUAAGUAAAUUCAUGCAUAAUAUUUAUUAAAGUAUACACGUAAAUAUUUAUUAAUAGAAUAAUGUUGUCCAAAUGGAUUGGCAAGUUAUGGUUUUGAAGUUAUUUUAAAAUGUUUUCUUAAAUUUGUUUUAAAAAUAACUUCAAAAUACCUGCUUCUCUAUAAAAUGUUUUCCUUAAAAAUAUUUGUAAAGCUUUGCCAAUUCAAUGUCUUGUAAGCGUUUUAUCGAAAUAUUAUGGAAUGAUUGAUAUUGGAAAUCUGAAAACUGUUUUUAAGGUUUUGGCUCAUUGUCCGUAGUUAUCGUUACUAAUAUUACUAAAUAGCUAGUUGUAUUGUGCGCACCUAUUGACGAUUAUUGCAGGGUAAAGUACCCUGGUAGAACUAUAAGUUGGGUCACCGAGAUUAUAGGUGACAUAUUGAACUAUUGACCAGGUCACCGGGGGUAUAAGUGACACUAUGUGAUAUGAGUAAAUUGAAUGAAAGAAAAGUUUUAUUGAUAAAAGAUUUCUUACACGAUUAUUUAUUGAAAAUGAUUAUUAUGCUAUGACUUAAUUGAUUAUGAGUUUUACCGCACACAUAUGAUUACAAAAUGAUUUUUGUUUCCUAACUUGUGGUACUACAUAAUAAUGAUUAUAUACUUUUUUCCUUAUUGGUAACCUUAUGCAUGAGUUCGCUUACCGAUUGACGGCUCACCCCUCGUCUCCAACAUUUUAUAGAUUGAUUUUAGUGAUGUGCGCUUUUGGUCUAGCAAAGAGGAUUUAGCUGAAAAACUUUGGCAUUUUCUAGAUGAAUUAAUUGUAGCUAGUUUGAUUAUUGCUUAGAGCUAGAUUUUAUUUUGGAGGAUUUUUGAGUUAUUUUUUAUUUUAGAGACUAUGUUUUGUCAAUGAACAACAUUGACUUUAUUUGAAAAUAGUAAUAAGAUUAAUGUUAUAAGGUUUCAUUUGGGGUGUUACAACUUGUCUCUUAGUAAGUUUAUUUUUGUUAGCCUAUCCAGUAAGGUUUAUUAUCGACUGACAUCAUUUUCAAUGAAAUCAUCUUAUGUUGUUAAGUUUUGCAUAAAUAAAUAUUUCAGUAGGGUCAAAAGAGCAAGAGUUUACCUAUAAAAAAAAAGUCAAAAUUAGUUUAACCACCCCAGUGCGAAUUUCUGACCACGUCUUGCUUUGUAUGAUUUAACUCUAUUAUUAAUUAGUACUAAAAUAUCGAUGAAAAAAAUGGACAUGAAUUUUGAUCUCGUGUUGCUUUGUUUUGGUUGAGUGGCCAAUUUUAACUUCAUGUUAAACUUUCUCAAUUAUUAGUUGAAUUAUUUGGAUUUGAAAACUUAAAACCACCAUUUUAAUUUGUUUAGUAAUGACUAUGUUGAACUUCAACAUUUGUUUUCAAGAAAAAAAUUGAUCAAACUAUGAUGCUCUUGUUUCUAUUAUUAUGGAAUCUCUUUUUCAAUCGUCAAAGUUUGAAUUAUAUUAUGCUGCCUCUGUAUUUCCGCAGAAACAGAAUCAGUUGGUGAUCCUUCAAAACAAGAAAAACCAAAAAAAGAUGUAGUGCGUGAUAAGAUAAUGAGACAGAUGGCUCAUGUUGACAUUAAUACUCAAGUUGGAAGUUGCAUGCCCCUUGCUUGUAUGCGGACUGGGACCAUCAUCCACAAAAUUGAGGUAUACCCGGCUGAAGGUGGCAAGCUAGUUCGAGCCGCUGCGACGUCAGCCAAGAUUUUGAAGAAGACCCACUUCAAGGUACUGCUUAGUAAGGCUAACUUCUGGAAAUGAGAAACUGAUUGACGCUAGAUGUCGAGCCCACCAUUGGUACAGUGUCUAACCCCAGCCAUGGAGCUACGAAGCUUAGGAAGGCUGGUCAGAGCCGUUGGUUGGGUCGAAGGCCUGUGGUUGGAGGAGUAGCCAUGAAUCCAGUUGAUCAUCCUCAUGGUGGAGGUGAGGGACGAAGCAAAAGUAGCCGUAACCAUGGAAGGUGUUCACUUACGCCUUGGGGCAAGCCUUGUAAUUCUGGGUAUAAAACUGCAUUUCCUAAGGGAAAAAAAAAAAGAAAAAGAAAUUACCCGUCUGAUAAUAUUUUCCUUCUUUGCUAUUUAGCCUUUUUAAUAAUGUUACAUUGUUUGUCAUAUAUUUGAGGUUAGUUUUAGACCAAUUUUUAACUGAUCCAUAAUGAAACUGAAGUUUAAUUUUCUAUUGAACUUUUCCUGGUUUUACUCUUCUGUCAUUUCAAUUUAGCAAUGAUUUAAGAUGUUGAGUUCUGUGCUUGGAACAUGUAAAUGGGAAAGAGAGAUAUAAUGGGGUAGAAUAUAGAUUUUGUGUUUUGGUUUCUCAUGUUUAGAGAUAUUCUGUUCUUUUUCAUUUGUUCAAUUUGGUUAGUGGUGAUUUCUUAAAGAGUCGAUGCACGUGUGUAUAUAUACUUUUCUUUUGGCCUUGAUUCUGUUUCUUGGGGAGUUUAUGCAGUUUCUUUUUUUAUGCUUCGUAUGCCACAUGAAAGAUGAAAGCAUUUUGUGUAUUUAGAAUUGACUUGCAUCAUAGUAACUUUGAAUCACUGUUAACAUUUGUAUAAUAGCAGUCUGAGAUCUCCUUGAAGGAUUCAAAAGCAUUUUAUUUGAUGGUCUAGACCUAAAAUCAACUCCUUUAUAUAGAUAGGUUGGUCUUCUUCAAAGCAAUUCCUAUUUUAAGUAAUCAAAAUUUUGAUUUGGAAGUGUGUUUUAACACUACCAAAAGUUCUUUAAAUACUAAAAAUGUGUUUGGGAGUGAGGUGAUGUGGCUUUUAAGCUACAAUUACUGCAAAGUAAAAGUCAGUGAGUAUAAAUAAGAAAAAAUGACUGUUGAGUUGCCAAAGCCCAACUGCCGCACAUCACUUCCAAAUGCACCGUAAAAUGAUUUUGAGUCUUCUAUAUUAUUGAAACAAAAUACAUGAAAGCACUUUUGGCUACAGAAGUACACUUGGGGUUCUUUAUAAAAUUCUUCGACAGCAAUUUUUCCCCCUUUUUGCUCAUGGCGGUUUUUCUGGUUGUUCUUUUAAGAAAACACUUAAAGGUUCUUUUUAUAGAUUUCUGAAAGUACUUCCAACAUAAGCAUUUUUCAGAAAUUUUUUCUGAAAUUAAUUUUAUUUACUUAUCGACUUUUCAACUCCUGUGGUUGUUUAUGAAAUGAAAGGCAAGGGUAAUCACAAGAAAUCUGCAAACUUUAUCAAUUUUUAACUAUACCAAUUUGUUGUUUAUGCUUUACUUUUAUUUUACAGUUUUGUUUAAUGUUUAGAUGAUAGAUAUAUAGACAUUUUAGAUUGGAGAAUUUUGUCAACAAAUUCAUUCCUUUCUUUCACUUUUUCCCUUUUCAGAGGAAAGCAAUUUUGACUAAUUUUAGCCAGAAUCGGACUAUAAUAUUUUGGAGCAAGCCUACUUGAAAUGAUGCUUUUUAAAUUUGAUCUAGUUAAAAUACACUGCCGUUACCCAAAAAAUUCUAGUCUUGGAUUUCAUAGAAUGCCCUUUUAAGAUAUUUUCUCAGCUCUUUGUUGGUCGCAGCAUCUGAGAUUAGCAUUCUCACAUUUCACUUGUUUUGCCUUUGUUUUGAAGGUAACUUAGUUGCAUAGGUGAAUCGAGGUUCAAGAAUGCCGAGAUGGCUACAAGUUUCAAGAAUCAUUUAAAGAGGCGUAAUGACAGCACCAAGAUGGGCUUUGUGAUUAACAAGAUUACUAAUUGAACCAAUCUUGAUGGGACAGAGGACAUGUCAGAACCGUUGCGCACAGGGAGAAGAGUUAGGGGAGCUUUGAGAGUUGAGACCAUCAACAUCCAGAAAGGCUGCUGGUAAUGUUUCAUGUGUUACAAAGUUGCAAGGAAAUUUCAUUUAUAUUUUAACACCUUGUAUUUGAAAAAUUUAAUGUAAUUUUCUCUUUUUUCAAUUUAUUAUUCAGAUCGUAGACUAGUAAACGGUUUAGAUCGCAAGCUUUUAUUAUGCAGUUAUUUUCUCCUUUUCAGGAAGAAGUGGUCAGUUCCAUUCCAGAAUUGGAAUAUGGUAAUUAGGUGCAAGCAUACGUUGUAACAAUCAUUUCUUGUUUGUUUGAUUAUGCUUAUCUAUUUAGUUGUUUAUCGUUUGGUUGUGUUAAAUUAUUUGAAUUAGCAUUAUUUGAGAUAAAGCAUAAUUCUUUUAUUUAUUUAUUUAUUUUUUAAAUAAAUUAUUAUAGAAUAUCGUCUUUAUCGUAUAAUGUAUUUUUAUAAAAGUAAGCAUUUUUAUAAAAUUUAAACUCUUCCAAUCUCCUUAUGAUUAAAACCCUUAACCUAAUAAACGUAUAAAAGCAAAGAGUCCUAGGAUUUUCUUUUGUGCACAUUUGGAAGAAUUUUUGAGGUAAUUAUCCUUCUCUAAAACAUAUUCUCUAAUCUUAGGUGUUUAAUGAUGAAUGCAUGCAUUGUUUUUUUAAUCAUGAAUGACUAGCUAGACAUUAUGAGGCAUGAGUACUGUGAUUCUAUUACUGUUUUCCCUUUAUUUUUUAUUCAGGUUUUCACUAAAGUUUUCAUAAAAUUAAACUAGACAUUUUAAGGCUUUCAAUGAUAUAUUUUGUACGAAAAGAUUACCAGUAACCAAUUUGUUGUGAAUUUUCGAAUUCAGAACAGUGGUGCUGGAAAAUUCUGAUUUUCAGCAGCAUGUUUGACUUUGCCCAUUUUUCUGUCUGUCUAAAUGAUCCCUAAAAUUAUGCUGAUUUUUCUAUUAAAUCCUCAUUAUGUCUACUUACUAUAUGUUCACUUUCAUAAUUUUCAUUGAGUAAAAAAAAAAUUAAAAAUCAUUAUGUUGGGCUGCUGCAGUUUUGGAAACUGCUUUCCAGAAUUGCGAUGGCUGACAAUAAAAUUACUUUAGGCUAUUAAAAGGCUUUAGAAUGGCCUAUAAAAAUUAUAUUCAUAUAAUUUAUGAAUUCCUUAUGAUUUAAAGUUUAUUUGACUAAUUUUGAUAGUUAACAUUAAGUUAUGAAUUUUUCAAGUGCAAAACAUAAACCUGAAUGUUUCUGGACAGGUUUGCUGGUCUCUUAAUAUAAAUUCGUUUAAAAUAGUGUCAUAUCUUCAAAAAUUCUAGGAAUUUGAAGCUUUGUUUCUUGAUGCAUCUACUGUUUUAAAAUCAAGUGGUCUAAUUUUUAAGAGUUCUAUUAAAUAUUUUACAAAUUUUCCAGUUCAGCAACCUCUGUUUUUAUCACUGUUGGACAGUCUGGAUAUGCAUGUAAAAUUCUUUUUGCAAUAUGUUUGACUUUUAUUCAUUCUUUUGAAUUUUUAUUUGAAAUGUUAUCCAUGUUUAUGGUUUAUUUUCUUUGAUUUUACAAUUUUCCAACAUUUGAUUAGCUUGGUAAAAAUCGGCUCAGACUAGCUUUAAUGGUUUAGUGCUUAUGACUAGGCUUGAUUAUGUUAGAUUUAUAUCAAGAUCAGAAUGAGUAAUAGUAUUGAUAAGAAUGUGUCUUGAUAUUUUAGGACGAGAUUGAGCUCGAGGCUAAGGUUACUAUUCUUUAUUGUUGAGGAUUGAGAUAAGUAGAUUCAUGCAUGGUAUAUGUAUUUCACUAUUAAAUUAUUUUUAAUUCGAGGUAUCUAUUAUGUUAAAUGAAAAGUAUUUGAAACUAAUUUGUUUUAGCCUAUUACAAUAUUUUGUUAAAAUAAAAUCGUUCUUUAAAUUAUUUAUAAUAAACCUUUUAUUUAUUAAAAACUUGUUUUAUAAAUUGUCUUAAAAAAACUUUUAUUAAAUUGUUUUAAGUCAAAUACUUUGAAAUAAUUAUCAAUUAUUUAAAUGAUUAAAAGUUCAAGGAUGAUUUUAAAUGUUUUUGCUCAUUGUCUGUAAUGAUGCUAUGUUAUGUUAUAUGUUGUGGAAGGCUAGUUGGAAUAUGUGUACAUAUGAUGUUAAUGUUAAUGAUUCUCGUGGGGUACAGUACUCUAAAUGAUGUCAUACGGAUGGGUCACUGGGUCUACAAGUGAUACUAUGUGGAAUGAGCUAAGUAUGUUUUAUGUAUUUAAAAAGCUAAUUAUGUUUUACAUGUUUGAAAUGCUAUUAUUAUGUUUAAAGGAUUUAAAUGACUUUCUGAUGUUUUGAUUUAUUUUUUAUAAAUGAUUAUUUACAAAAGUAAUUUCCCUUAUUAUUAUUAUGCAUAUCUAAGAAAUUCAAACAAUUAUAAUUUAAUGGUUUUUAGUAUUGUGCAUGAAUUUACUUACCGAGUUGACGGCUCACCCCUUGUUAUCAUAUUUUUGUAGAUAGAGUUAGAUGAUGUGAGCUCAUGAUCUUAGGAGGAAGAAUGAGAGCUCGUUUAUUUUUGGGGAUUAAUGUUACAUUAAUAAUUUAGCUUCCUUUGGCAUGAUAUUUAUUUGAGAAUUUGUUAUUUCAUUACUUAUUAUCUUUUGGAAGAGGAGCAUUUACUGUUGGAUAUUAAUUUGAUGAUUUUAGAUACGAGAGUGAUGAAAUACAGUUUCACUUCAAUUUCACUUUAGUAUCUUAUUAGUGGAAUUGGGGUGUUACAUACGUGCCCGGUCAAUGAACUUGAACUUUAAAUAGUUUUUUCAACUCAUUGAUUUUUGGAACUCAUAUUGGUGCAAGGAAAUCAAAAGAAAUUUAUGAUUAGUCAAAUUCUGAUAGUUGCUAUAUAUUAUACAUUCUAAAGUUUCUUGAGUUUGUUUUCAGAUGAAAAUAUGAUCAAUUCAUUUUGUUUUUGAAGUGUAGGAAAAUAGGCUGGGAUAUUAAUGCAUAGGCAAAAACUUUUUGAGUGGCUUUCCAGCGGAUAAUUAUCGGAAACAUGACUGGAUUUUUUGACUUCCGUAAAUCUUGCAUUUUAACCUGGCAAAUUUAACAAAAGUUCAAUACAACUUUGUUAGUGCCUUGUGUUCCAGAAGCUAGAAAGAUGUGUAGAUUCCAUAUAAGCGGGCUUGUAAUUACUCUAGUAAGAAUCCAAUUAUUUGCCUUUGCACCUUCAUUUUAUUUGUGGAUCCUUGCAUGUUUCUGAAUUUGAUCAAUCCAAAAGGAAUUGCUCUGAAGAAUAGCAGUAACUAGCCUAUGUCUUAGUGCAUGGACCUGCAAACCUGAGCUGACAAAGCUGAAACUAUUAGUUUGAGGUGACAAAUCCAUGAUCGUCACCUGUUAACUUCUGCUAGUUGCUUUCGUGAAACACUUUUAAGAAAUAAGCAAUUUGUUGUUAGUCGCCGUAUCUGAUGUGCUUUCUUUUAUAGUUUGUAGAAUCAACUGUAUUAUAUGUUGUCAGUUGCAGUAUCUGAGGUGUCUUUUGCAAUUUACUUGACCUUUAUUUGUUUGCUAGUGAGUUAAGAAUACCAACAUUGGCCAGAGAUUUGGAGAAACAUCCGAAGACGCUUAACAAACUUGGAGAUGCACUUGCUUCCAAGCUUCAUUCAUCACAAUGCGAAUCCGGUGAGUACUUAUGUCUUCAAUUAUGUAGAGUGUUUGAAAUUUUGAUGCAGCGAGAUGGUUUGUUGAUGCAAAACUUUAUACUGUUAAGGACUUACCCUGCAGGCUUUUUGCAUGUUGUAUCAACUCCAAAAUCCAACGAGAACUACAGCACCAAAGCCCAGUUUUCACUGAUUCAAUCAGCUGAAAUCAUGAGGGAAAUAACAGUAUAGCACCAUCAAGCUGGACUUAGAGAAUAAUCAGAUCAGUCAUCCAUUUCAUGAACUGUUAAUUUCAUGAUGGAGGCUUAGUGGAGCUGAAGAGGAAACAAGGAUGUGUAGGGAUCAACAAACAACAGUGAGAAGCACGAUUGGAGCUCUGAUUACAAAUAGACAAUUUAAAAAUAUGUGCUGGUAAGUGGAAAUUAAAGAAAUUUGUGAGCUCAUUCAAGUUUCGGUAUUUUCUUUUUGGAUAACGUUGAUACCAAGUUUGGCAAAUCUGUGUUUUCUGCGUUUAAUCUGUGUUUUGGUUAAAGUAGAUGCUCUGAUUAAUACUUGUUUGUUUUCAUAAAACAGGACAAAAAGAGAUCACCAAUCUUGAUUGAGAAUUCAUUUAAGUAAAAUUUCAAAAAUUGCCAAACACAGUAUAAACUAGGAUGCACUUGCUUAAGAUUCAUUUUCAGACGGAAGUUUGUACCUCCAGAUCAUAAAAUCAUGUUUAUGUUGUAUCUUUAUUCAGCAAUUGAAAGAUUCCAAGUUUGCUGAAACCAUAUUAUUUCUUUCCCAGGCGCUUUCCUGAAGGUAUCGACAUCUAUUUCGAAAAUGUUGGGGAUAAGUUGCUUGAUGCAGUGCUACAAAACUAUGAAGGAUUUCUUGUCGGUGAUUACUACCACCUGGAUAAAAAAUUCAUGGAACUGGUCAUGCCGGCAAUAAAAGAAGGAAAGGUGGUACACGUGGAAGACAUAGAUGAAGGCCUCUGUAUACGUCGAAGACAUAGAUGAAGGCCUGGAGUCCAACAGCCCUCGCUGGGCUAUUCAUUGAUCGGAAUGUCACGAAACAACUGAUUGUAGUUGCUUGGGAAUUUAAAAACCACCAUAUGCUGUAGAAAUGCACAGAGCCAUGCACUUUCAAAGCUUUGUGAAGAUGUCUUGGUCAUGUGUUAGAACAGAUUAUGUUUGUUCGAUUAAAUUGUACGCAGUUAUAAAUCAAAGAUUCAGAACAUUGCAUGUAGAAGUUCAAAUUUUAAAUUUUUGGAAGCAGAGGCGUAGAGUUUUUUUCUUUUGGAAAAAAAAAUCUAAAUUGUGGAGACUAUUUUUAUUUAAUUUUACAAUCUUAUUUUAUUUCUUUCACAACAUAAUUUUAAAAUAUUUAUUUAGUAAAUUAUUAACAUCCAAACCACUAAAGAUUUUUUUGUUAAACGCUCUACUUACAAAGUUAUAUUAAUUAUAGAUUUACUCAAAGAAAGUAUAUUUAAGAAGUUAUAGCAAAAAAAAGUUCUAAUCUGUCUUACAAAGGACUAUUGACAAGAGUGGUGCGACUCCCACCCCUUCAAAGUCCACUUGACACCACGCUUUCUCGAUUUAAAAUUUUAUAUAGUUGAAAAUUGUGUUUUCUUUUAAAUCUCCUUGCUUUCCUCUAUUCUUGUUACUUGAGAAGAAGAACCAGAGUCUAGAAGAACGAAAGAAAAUUCAGCGAGAUAGAAAUUUGGAAAUUUCAUCCGAGCUUUUUUUUUCUUAAAUUUUUUGGUAUUUCUUCCUUGUUUCUAUGGAUUCGUUCAAUGGAUUCUUGACCAUUCUUCCUUCUUUCUAUUUUCUACCAUGAUUCAGAAUUUUUCCUUAAAAAAAAUCUAGAUGCAUGGCCAAAUGAAAUGACCCCCUUUAGAGCUUCGGUUACUGUUGCAUAUUCAGCGUCUGCAUUUGACAAAGCAACUAAAUGCACACUAAAGACUUGCUGUUUCCAUUCAGUAUGCAGUUACACAGACAAAGGCCUUAAUUAUUGUCAAGUUCUCCAGUAGCAUACUCCGAAAUCCACAUACCAACCCACCAGAACUCCAAUCUUGAAACUCCAUAAAUCAAAAUUGAAGUGCCUGCCUCUCUGGUACCUCUCAAGGUCCAUUUUACUACUUUCCAUGUCUUUCCAUGCAUCUACUGACAACUUGGGAAAUGCCAGGUCUUGCAAGCACCACUACUUACAUUUGAGUCUGCUAUUAUUAUUAUUACUAUUUUAUUAUUAUUAUUUAAAAAAAAACACUCUAACUAGGAGAGACAAGUUCCGUGUAGUAGGACUGAGCAACAGGGCCGUAGCAAAUAUUAUGUUUUUAAUCAUUCUUGUACCAAAGUAUUUAAGUAUGCGAUAAAAAAUAAUAAUAAUAAUUUAUUGACAACUAAAAGUUAAUAGUGGCUGGGGUGGACCUGGGUUUUGUUUAAAAAAAUUGAUUAAUAAAAUUUUCGAAAUUUCAAAUUUCUAGUACAGAGAAAAUUGAUGAAUAAAAUUCUGCAAGUUAAUUUCUAAUAUGCCAUGAAAAUAUUAUCAAGUUAAAUUGUAACAUCGUUAAUCACUUAAUCCUCAGUCUAAUAUGCCAUAUAUUUGUUUCUCAGGCUUUAAUCGAAAGUGCCGGUGAUUUAUUGUUAUUUUCAGUAAUCAGAUAGGUAUGUUAAGGCUGUUUAAUUCAUCGACAAUGUACCAACAAGACUCAGAUUGGGAGAUUGUAAAUGUAAUUAACAAUAAUCUUUUAUUCAUUUUGAAGUUCAUUCUAUUGUUUACACAGGAGCAGCGUUCUCUUAUGUUUUAUGGAUAUAAUGUUUGGUAAUCCUAAUUUAAGCUAAGGUAUAUAUAUUUCCUAAUUACAUCUAAUUUAAGCUUAUUCAAAUGCAAUCAAUUAAUGUUCAAUAGUAAAAAUUCCAAAUACUAUAUAUUGUAAGAAUUUUAAUCGUAAUGACAAGGUGAUCAUUUGAAUUAUUAUUAUUAAAUUAUAUGUAUGGUGGAGUCCACACGGUUUUGACUAGAAAUCAAAGAGUUAAGAGACAAUAUUAAUUUAUUUAAGUUAAUAGUAUUUGUUCUGUUUAGUACGUCUUUUGACCAACAAGCAUCCCGGCAUUGCACGCAUUAAUUAAUAAAGCAUUGUGCAUGUCACAUUAUUAGAGCCAAUUGCGCCCGGUACACCUCCAUACUUCAAAAAUUAUCUUAAUACCCUAAAAUCUGUUUUUACCAAAAUUUUCAUCGAUACCCUUUAAAAACGGAUAGGAAAUUACUAAGCUAUCCUCAUUUUAAAACAUUUCAACUCAACGGACAGCACCUCUCCCUUCUCUACUGAAGCAAACAAACACUCAUCUGCUGCAAUUCCCUCCAUUAUCAAACUCAAAUAAACAAACACUGCAAUUCCCUCACCGGCAUCACCUCUGCAAUUCCCUCACCGGCAUCACCUCUACCGAAACAAAUAUUCAUUCUCCAUACAUGAUAAAUUGAACUUCAACACGAGCAAACUAAGCUUGAGAAGGGGAAGCUGCCACAACUGAGAAAGAGAAGCCUAGUUCGUCUCUACAUAAUCGCCGGCGAGAGCUGAUCCUUUACUGUAAAAUAGUCAUAAUUUAACUAGUUGAGGUAAGUAAUUCUCUAUAAAUAGUUUUCUUGUUGAUAUUCAGGGAAAAAAAAAACAAAAAGUUAGGGUUUAUAUAGAAAAAUUAGAUUAAUUAGUUGCGGGUCUCUCAUUACAUGUUCAAAAACAAAUUUCUAGUUGUUUUACUACAUGCAAAUUGUGAACAAUUGAUGGAUUGUGCCGAUUAUAAUUUUGUCAUGUAACACACAAUUUGGUCGUGUAAGGUUAUGUAGGAUUCAAGGUUGUGUAUUACACGACCUUCAUGUAUUGCACUUACACGACUUCAUGUAUUGCACUUACACGACUUCAUGUAUUGCAAUUACACGACUUCAUGUAUUACACGACGUUCAUGUAUUACACGACGUUCAUGUAUUACACGACCUUCAUAUAUUACACGACCUCAUGUAUUACACGACCUCAAAAUUACACGACUUUUUUUACUGUUGUUAAUUCAUUAUAAUAACUUAGUUGUUUAAACACUUAAUUUUUGCUAAGAAUUUAUAUUUGUUGCUAUGCAGAAAAUGUCAACGAAAAGUAUUCAGGAAAAAAUGAAACGAGGCAAACCGAAAGUGAAAAUUACUAAUUUGUCAUCGUUGGAACCAAUAAGAAUAAUAAAAAAUAACCUUAGUGACGUACAAUUGGGGAUUUUUCGCAAAUCAUGUUUUGGGCACUUUUUGGACUUGAAUGAGUUUCAGUUUUGUGCCCAGUUGUUGCACAAGUUGGUAUUAAGUCAUAUGCAUUCAUCCGAUAAGGCAAUGUAUUUUAAGAUAGGGAAAAAAGUUUGUCGAUUUUCAAUGUUUGAAUUUGCAUUAGUUACUGGACUGAAUUGUGAAGAAAUUUAUAAACCUAACUUGGACAUUGUUGAUGACGGUGGUCGUGUAUGUGAUGUUUUGUUGGACGGUUGCACAAAGUUCACUAACACAACGCUAGGUCAGAUAUUUGAAGCAACUAAGUCCAAGGAUGAUAUGAAAAUGGUUAAAUUUGCCAUGUUGUACUUUUUGGAGGUUGUAUUACUUGGAAAAGAAUAUAGAUCAUCUAUAAUUAGGGAUCACAUUCUCCACAUUGACAACUUUGAAGAUUUCAAUAAAUAUCCUUGGGGCCGUGUCUGUUUUGAGAACACAUUAGAAAGUAUGAAGAAUGUGAUUGCAAUUAGACAGAAUAGAGAAAGGGCAAAUCCAGACUAUGUCCCUGAAAAGGAGGCAUACAGUCUUCAUGGCUGUCCAUUUGCAGUUCAGGUAACAAAUUGUCAAUAUUGGUUUCGUAAAGAUUAUUAAGAUUAGGAAUAUUAAUUAUUUCUUUUACUUGCACAGGUAUGGGCACUUGAAAUUUUCAGUGAAGUGUGUGAAACUUUUUCCUCGAAAUGUAAGCAUGUCAAAUAUCCAAGAAUUCUAAAUUGGACAAUCACUAAACAUGUUAGCUCUAAUUUGCUUGACUAUUCCAUAUUUGAUAAGAAAAAGGUAAUAACAAACAAUCUAGAUCGUUAGUGUCUUUCUUUUUUUCUUUUUAAUUUAUCUUUGACAUUUAUUAAUUGGCCUAAUUAUUACAGCUUAAGGUACUGGAGAAGUUGGAUGUCGCUGAUGAAAUAGAGGCAUCACAGCCUAAUCUACAAUGGUUUUGGCAAACAAAUUGGCUGCAACAACUUGAAAAUGAUUUUCGUGUUGACUCAAAGAGUAAAAAAUCAGCCACUCCAGUCUCAGAACAGAAAAGUAGCAGUGUUGUGCAGAAAAAUUAUGUGGCCAUGGAAGUUAAAGAGACUAAUAAACGUGCGAAGUGUCAAGUUAUGUCCAUGAAAUACAAAAUGAAUUAUGAACAUGCAAAUUCUGUUGAGGACAAAACUGUAAGUUUUUUUAAUCUUUUAAUAACAAUUGCAUUUUUCAAUUUUUUUUUUGUUUGCCUAAUAGGCUCUGUCUUGUUCUGCUUGCAAGGGUAAACGUCUUGGUUACAUUGAUAAUUUGAUUUCUUUUAUCGAGGACAAGUUUAAUUGUUUGGAUAAGCGUCUCAAAAAGAUCGAAGAGAAGGUGCAAAAAAUUGACUCAUUAGAGGAGAAUACAGGUGAUGUGAGGGAGAUGAGAGAACAAGUCAAUAAAAUUGUAGACUUAGUGGAGUUCCUAAAUUCAGCGGACUACAAUGUGAAGGUUCAUUUUAUUAUUAUUUUUAACUAAGUAUGUUAUUAUUUUUAACUAAGUACAAAUUGUGUAAAGUUAUUAAUAUUUGCUGCUGUGCAGAUUCCGACAACAUUUGAUGAUAACCCGAGUAUUGCCACACCUGCGACUGUGUUUCCAAGCUUCACCACAAAUGCAGGCAUAGUCAAAGAGGAUCCAAUAAUUAUUCCGUCUACACAGCAAGAGGUGAAAAAAUAUGAAAGAAAAAGGCGAUCUCGAAAGGAUGCAGCUGUUUUACGCACGCCAUAUACUAACCCAUUUCGAAAAUCGCGACAUGUCAACGUCGAUGAAGCAAAACAGCAAGUUCAGUUUGAGCAUUGGCUGAAGGAGGAUAAUAUGGAAUCGUAAUUCCUUAUUUCUCUUUGUAAACUUACUUUUAUUUGAAACAAUAUUUCCUGGUUGACUAUAACAAGCAAUAAGUUUUACUCACAUUUUCUUUUUCGUUACUGCACAGUAAAAUAUUAUCGUGGCCUAUGCAUAAAGCAACAAAGAACUUCUUCCGCAGCUUGUAUGAUGCAGACGCGUGGUUAAAUGGCGGGGUAUUAUUAAUAUAGUUUUUGUUUAGCAUGUAAUUUACUGCAGUAAUGUUUGCAUUUAAUAUUAAUUUACAUAUGUUGGUAAUAUGUACAGCAUAUAGACGUUGGUUGUUACGUGAUAAGAUAUGAUUUGGCCAAGCUCACUAUGCCACAUUUGCACCAAUGUGCAAUCAUGGAUAGUGUAUUUCAGGUACUUAGUACUCUGUAGUAAUAAACAAAUAAGAUAUGUAAAUUUGUGCACUGAAAACUUGCAAAAUUCAUUGUUUUUUCAGCAAAAGCUUUUGUUGAAGUAUGAGUUGUUUAAGAAGGAUCCAACUACAAUAUGGGAUGAAGAUCAAGAACAUGAUUUGACAAUCAAACAAGCAAAUGGCGAAGAUCUUCCAUUCGCUAUUCCAUGGAGAGAUGUUUAUAAGGUAAAGUUUAAAUUUUCUUAAUGCAUCGCUAAAGUUUAAAUUUUCUAUUUUUGAUUGGCUCAAAUUAUUGUAGGUUUAUAUCCCAAUUAAUGUACUUGAGUGUCAUUGGAUUCUUGCUGAGGUUGACAUUGUAAGGGAGACAAUUUCCAUAUAUGACUCCAUGGUUUCUAUAAUGAAUGACUCAACAUUUUUGAAAGAAUUAUUGCCAUAUGCUGUUAUUAUUCCUCUUCUACUGGAGAAGGUUUUAUGGUAUGAUUCGCACCCUGAAACUACCCAAAAAAAUAAAGUUUGGAUAGUUUUGCGUUUAGCGAAUACGCCACAGUAAGAAUCUCGGUGAGCAUACCAAAUGCUCAAUUUAUUUUCAUUUUACUGUUAUAGUUAUAUAUUCAGUAUAUAGUUAACUAUUUUUUAAAAUUCUCAGUGGAGAUUGUGGUGUGUUUGUUUUGCGUUACCUGGACACACUUGCACGUGGUGAAGAUAUUCAAACAAAUUGUACGCAGGCACAUGUCUCUUCUUAUCGCAAGCAACUAGCUGAAAGACUUUUCUAUGACCAGUCAUUACUUUCAAAGAACAACUAACAUGUGAGUAUUAUUUUUUUAAAUGAAGUCAUUGCUGUUGGAAUAGUUUGGUUUCUUAAUGUGAAACCAAAAUAGGCCAUCACUGUUAGUUUGGUUUCUAAUUAAUUUCAUGGAUUUAUUAUAUGCAGGCAUUCCUCAUGCAUGCAUGUAUGCUUCGGCAGAGGAAGAAAGCAAUUUCAAGAAAAAAAAACUUUUAAAUGGUUGUAAUAUGUUUAAUUGCGAUAUCCAUUAGUGUAUCCUAUCCAAAUAUUGACAUUGUAAACUGAUAACUUUCUUUAUUUAUAAUAAUUAAUCUCAUCAUUUCUCAAACUGUCGAAUAUGCAAACUUAUUUGUUUGCUGUAAUUUAUGAACACACAAUUUGGUCAUGUAAGGUCAUGUACACGACGGUCGUGUAUUACACGACCGUCGUGUAGUACACGAGUAUAUUACAUGACCUUAAUAUAGUACGCGACUAUUACAUGACGUUCAUGUAUUACAGGACUUCAUGUGUUACACGACUUUUUCCAAUAAUCAUCAGAUUAAUUUAGUUCUUUAAGGACUUAAUUGGGGCUAAAAUUUUAUAUUUGUUGCUUUGUAGAAAAUGUCAACUGAAAUUAUAAAAACAAAGAAGUUAAAUUAAAUUGGAAUGUAAAGAAAUUUAGUUAUUUCAUAAUGCAACAAAUUACAGUUUCCAAGCAUAACAUAUCCAAGACUAAAAAAUUGUAAAUCCAAUUAUCUAAGUUUGGUUAGCCGUAGGGCCAUGCUCUUGCUCUGAAAGUGGUGUUGUUGCAGUGCAUGUUAGUCGAUUAUGCCCCUCAAUCUGCACCUACUACACUUGCGGUGCACGAUGUCUUCCCCUUGAGAAGGUAUUCUAGUAGUUCGCGGUCGUCCUACCUCUCGCUUUUUCAUUGGCAGUGACAGCACAUAUGCACGCACCUCUUCUGAAACAUCCCAUUCCUCUUGUGGACCCACAAGAUAAAUGCUCUCUGCAUAUGCUGUAACCCAUGCAUUGACAGAAUAAUAAUGAGCACAUAAAUCAUAAAUAGAAUAGUUACGCAUAUGCUUACAUACAGCUACCACAUGUUCAUAGGGAAAUUGGUCAAUUUGAAACUCAUUACAACUGCAAGUCUUUUGUAGCACGUCAACAUGGCCAUCAAGGUCGCCAUCCUUAACUAUAAACUCAUGGAAAUUAAUCUGUAUUACUGGAUAUGUGUGUGAUUUAUCCAAUUUCCCUUUCAACUAUUUCUCAACCCAAGUAGUCAUUAAAGUACAUGCAUCCAUUGCCAAAUCUCGCCUUUUUGCAAACCAUUCUUGUAAUUUGUCAAUGAUACAAUCCAUUAACUUAUAAAUAGGCAAGGUUCGUGCUUCUUUUAAGAUAGAAUUCAUACUUUCUGCAAUGUUAGUCGUCAUAAUCCCAUAACGCCUCCCCUCAAAAUGAGAACGAGCCCACUUCUCAUAUCCGGCAUCAGUCAGGUAUUGGUGAACAUUCAAACUAACACUGCGGAUGACAUUCAUAUAUUGAGUAAACUUAAUGGGCCGAUAUGCCUUUGCAGCCAAUUCAAAUAAAGCACCCACAUCAACUUCUUUAAAAUGAGCAUUUACAUUUCGUUUUAGAUGAUGCGUACAUAUGUCAUACCCUACAGUAGGAAAUACUUUAUCAACUGCUUUCUUAAUACUUCCAUGACGGUCAGAAAUGAAUACUAAAUUAGGAACAUCACCAAUAGACUCUCUUAACUUCAUAAAAUACCAUUCCCAUGAAGCGUCAUUCUCACUGUCACCUACACCAAAUGCAACAGGGUAAAGUUGAUUGUUGCCAUCAAGAGAUGUUGCAAUGAAUAAUGUUCCUUUGUACUUGCCCCUCAUGAAUGUACCAUCAACUGCAAUAACAGGCCUAAUACAUGAAGUGAAUCCUCUCAAAGAACUUCCAAUGGCCAUGAAACAGUACUUGAAGUUGUUCGCACUGUCUUUUUUAAUGAAUGUUCGACUUCCAGGAUUUUUUUUUUUCAACCAUUGCCAUGUAUGAGGGUAAUAAAUGGUAUGAAUCAGCCGGACUGCCCCUAACCAUCUCCAUUGCAAACUCCCUUGCUCUCCACGCCUUGUGAUAACUUAUUUCAUAACCAAACUCUUUUUGAAAAUCUUGCAUAAUAUCAGCUGGCUUAUACGUAGAUGAAGCACCAUCAAACUUGUGCCGAAAAUUUUUCCCAACUAACUUGGAUGAAGCUUGACGGUUGUCUUUUUCCUGUGAAUCAAGGGAGCAAGUAUGGACAUUGUAAUACUUUCUAAUUUCAAACAUGUUGCAACCUUUAAGUCUACUUGCACGAAGGCGCCAUUUGCAGUUGUCAUCCAUACAAACAACAACAAGUAAGUCCUUGUCUGAUUUUGGGGUUUUGAAUUGGAACCUUUUUUUCACAACUAGUGCUUUAAGCUUUUCUUGCAAUGCCUCCUUUGACUCAAACACCUCUUUCACCAUCGACACAUCAGUAUCACCACUAACUUCUGUUGAUAAUAAAUUACUGCUACUAGUAAGUAAAUUUAUUCUGGGCACAUGUCCAUUGUUUGAGGUUCUUGAACUUAUAGGAGCUGGAGUAUUAUCUCCUAAUGCUAAAUCAACAGCUAAUGGUGGCUCAUCCAAACAAUCAACUUCAGUUACAAAUUCAUUAACUUCAGUAAAAUUGUUCGAACUGAGAAUAGGAAAUGAUGGAGGCACGUAGCUGGAGAAAGCAUGACUCUCUUCCCAUGAAAGACGAGGUGAAGGUUGUCUAUCCACCGGAACUGUCGAAAUUGAUCUACGUUCAAAAGUAAUGCAGAGCGGGUUUCUAAACUCCAUUCCACUAGCUACUUCCUCUAAGAAAAAUUCCACAUCAUCAUUGGUUUGAAUUGUAACUGGUGGCAUAGGAUCAGAUGUCUUAAGUUUGAACUUCAUUGUGAUUUCGAAUUCCGAAGUAUCUAUAUCAAUAACUUCAGCUAUCUUGUCCACCAAUUCGGCAUAUGUUGUCGAUCGUGGUAUCAUUAUCCCUUUAGCCUUGGAACCUUUGAACUUAUACUCGUCAUUUUGCUCAAUCCAUUCACCAUUAAAGAGAAUAGGCACACGUACCAAAACCAUUUCUGAUGAUACAAUAAAAACAAUAAUAUCAAAUUUCAUAUACAAGUAAGUACACGACUUACACGACUAUAAUACUUACACGACUUACACGACUAUAUUUCUUACAUGACCUACACGACUUACACGACUAUAUUUCUUACAUGACUUACAUGACUUACACGACUAUAUUACUUACACGACCUACAUGACUAACUAUAUGACGUACACAGUAUCAAGAGAAUGCACGGCGCGAAACAUUUUCGCUAUAAAUAAGUUAUAUUGCUGAAAAAAAUAAUUAAACAACCUACAUUGCAUAUAUUUCUACAUAUAAGAAAAAAUGGUGAAAAUAAAACAUUGUAAUGUGAGGAAAAUUUCUAAAUUUUUCUCAAAAUUAAUAAAUUUAAAACCCAAAAACAUUAACAUACCUUAUUGGGUUGUUUAAUAAGCAAUGCACCUUUAAAGAAAGAGUGGGUGUUAAAGAAAUAAAUACAUAAUUGUAUUUGUGUAAGAAGUUAUGAGAGAUUUUGAGAGAUUCUAAGAGAUUUUGAAAGAAUCGGCAGCAAAAAUGGAGUUGGGUGAAAGAAAUGAGGAAAUGAAUAUGAAGACAAUUUAUUGAAUGAAUUUGAUGCAUUCAUUAAGGGUAUUUCUGACUUUACUCACAUUUGUUAGGGUAUUCAUGAAAACUAAAAAGGGAGGGGGUAUUUCAAUAAUUUUGAAACUAUUAAAGGGUAUUUAAUUAAAAACCCCACAUUAUUAGUACCUAGUUGAUUAGUCAUUUGGUCUUCAAUAAAUGUUAGUUGAUAUAUGCUUGAAAUCAUAUUCUGUUUUAUAUGCCGAAUCAUAUUGUAAGAUGGUGAUAUUAGCAUGUUUCUUUUUCUUUGUGCUGUUUCUCGUUUGAUUACAUUUUCAACAACAAGUCGAUCUGUUGAAGAACAAGUUUGGGUUUGAUGAUGCUUUUAACUAUAAGGAAGAGCCAGACUUGGAUGCAGCUCUCAAUGGGUUGACACGAAUGAAUCCUUUCACCCUUUUUCUCACUUCAUUAUUACAAUGCGCUUUGAAGUUAUCUGUGUUGUUAAGGUUAAGGUUAACCCUGCAGGCUUGUUCGAUGCUGUAUCAACUCCAAAAUCGAACAACAUCUACAGCACCAAGACCCGGUUUCAAUCAGCUCAAAUGAUGAGGUAAAUAACACCAUCAAGCUCAGCUUAGAGACUCAUUAGAUAAGUAAUCCAUUUUCUCAGCUGUUAAUCUCUUGAUGGUGGCUAGUGGAGAAGCAGAGGAAACAAAGGAUGUGCCGGAAUCAAUUAGAACAGUGAGAAGCGUGAGGGGAGUUAUGAUUAUAUUUAGGCUUUUUGAUGAUGCUUUGAACAAAAAGGAAGAGCCAGACUUUGAUGAAGCUCUUGAAAGGUUAGCGAAAAUGAACGCUUUAACCAUGUUUCCAACUUCAUUAUCACAAUAUCUGACAUUGCAUAACUUCAAGUAAAGUUGCUCUUAAAAGGUUAGCAAAAAGCCAAAAAUGAUUGAAGUUAUCUGAGUUGAUCCAGAAAAUGUAAUGGAAAUACUCCCCUGCUUCGUAAAACAGGACAAACAGAGAUCGCUGGUCGCGCAUGGGAACUAAUUGCAUUAAAGUUUCAAACAUUACCAAACAAACUAGGAUGCAUUUGCUUAAGAUUCAUUUUCAAAAGCAAGUUGUAUGUUUAUGUUGCAGCCUAUAAAACCAUGUUUAUGUUGUAUGUUUAUUCAGGAAAUGAAAGAUUCGUCGUGUUAUUUUAUUCCAAGAAUUCGCUGAAACCAUACCUGCUUUCCCAGAUGCUUUCCUGAAGGUAUCGACAUCUAUUUAAAAAAUUCUGGGGGUAAGAUGCUUGAUGCAGUGCUACUCAACAUGAGAAUUCACGGCCGCUGCUGUAUGCUGAAAGAUCUCACCGUACAACCGUGAGAAGCCUGAAGGUGUAUUCAACUUGAUACAACUGGUCGUAGUUGCUAGGGAAGGAUAUAAGGUGUACUCAACUUGAUAUGCUGUAAAAGUGCACUAUGCCAUGUACUUUUAAAGCUUUUUGAAGAUGUUUUGGCCAUGUGUUUGAUUAGAUUGUACUCAGAUAUAAAUCAAAGAUUCAGAACAUGUUUGUUACUGUUUUUCAGAAUCCAGAACAAUAAAUACCUUGAAAUGUUUUUGUUCAAUGAUUUUGCAGAAGACCAGCUUCCUUGUUAAUGAAUCAAGAUGGCUGAAUCCGUCCCUAAGCCAAAUCUGUUUUCACUUUUAGGUUAGAAAUUGUCAUUAAAAAGUGUUUGAUAAAAUAUGCUCCGGGAACGCUAUUCGUCAGAUGGUUACUCCAAGUUUAUGAAAUCAAUGGUAUUUCAUCAUAUUCAUAACACUCUGCUUUAAUAUCUAUUCUAACAGAGAAAUUAUAUACAGAGAAUAGGUUGCGUUAGAACUUUUGCUAGAAAAAAGUGACAAGAAUUCAUCGUUCACUUGUAUCUUAAGUAAGUGUAAAAUUUAAAAUCCCAUCAUGAAAAACUCCUGGGAGAAAAAACUAUAAAAAUUAAAGAAAAAAGAGUGUGGCGUGCAUGUAAAUUAUGUCGAUUCUAUCUAUACGAUAAAUACACUCUCUUUUACAAUGGCACGGAUGCUUCAUUGAGUAAUCAUGAUUGUUGCUGGUAGUGCUUUGUUGAAUCAAUCUGCUAGAUAUUCAGCUUUCUUUCUUUCUUACUUUUUUUUUGUUUUAAUAAAUAGCUUGUGGUUGUGAAAAUAAUUUGAAUUAAACUAUGCUUAACUGCCUAUUUGGUACAACUUCUCUACUAGCCAAAAGAUUUUUUUUUAAUCAUUUAUUUAUACCUCGAGUAGAGUUUUUGGAGAUUAAAUAGGUGAUAUUUUGUCUCUAUUAAAAAGAAAACUCAAAAGGUAGGACUAUUUGAAGUUUGAAUCCACCAAACUACUCAUUAAAAAUUCAUUUGUGAAAAUAAUUUUUAAUUAUUAAAAUACCCCUAAAUUAAAUUACAAUUAUGAACACUAAAAUAUAGUAAACAAUUUUUUUUUUACUCUUUGAAAUUGUCCUUACAUUCGAUAUUAAAUUUUUUUCUUAAACUCUAAAUUAAUUUUUUUUUUCAUUUUUAAGUAAUUUUAAGGCACAUAUAAAGUGAUUCAUAUUGAUUUUAUACUAACAAACUAUUACAGCAGAUUUGGAAAAUGAUUAACUCGUUCUCAUUUUCCUAGUGAAAAUGCAAAUAGCUCAUUUAAACGUUAAGGAAUUGGAGAGUUGCUGCUGGAGAUGAAAGAUGUGAAUUAAACAUCAGAAAAAAAAAUUAUGUUUACUAUCUUACCAGACCAAGCACCGAAAAGCAUGGUAAAGAAAAAUUACAUAAUUCUGACUUAGAAGACGAAAAAAAAUGAAAUACAAUUUGAAUAAGAGAUAGAAGAUAAAGCACGUGAAUGGAGGCAGAAAGCAAGUAAUGAUAACUCUUUCGACAAAACUAAUAUAUAUCAAAAUGCAAUAUCAAAAAUGAAAAUAAAAAUUCAUUACGAAUACAUGUUAAUGAUAUCCCAAGUGUUGAGUAAUAAAAAGUACCAGGCAGGCAUCUCCCCAUUCCAUGCCUGAGAAUGAAUCUCUCCAGCUGAAUGAUACGAGCAGAUUCCUAAUAAUAUAUCCUUUAUGGAACACAUACCAACUAGAAACGAAUACCGACCAGAAGUUCAUACCGACCAGGUACUUGUCACUCAAAGAAAGAGAAUACAAUCUCACGAACGCGCGACAGUUUUGCCACAUUCCAAACCGCUAGGGAGAACACGACGCCCCACGUUUACCCACAUUCAGUUGUUGAAGACCCAUUAAGGCCCUUGAUCACCCAAAUAUGACGGGAAGGAAAAAUAUUCUGAGAAAGUGGGACGAUUGCCUAUAAAAAGCUGGGAAAUCAAUUAAGAAAGGGACAGACAAAAAGAGAGAGGGGGGAAACUCUACCGAAUUGAUACCAGGCAUUACUACAUAAUAGCCUUAAAUACAUUUUACUUUAAGAACAUCACAAUGAGUGUGCGUAACCAUAAAUCAUACAAUUUUCCCGCAAACUUCAUGUACUAACUUAAGCAUCGGAGGGUUUAUUCCGGAAAAACCACCAACGUCUCUGGUUUGUUUAUGUGAAUGUAGAUUUGAAAAGAAGAGAAAGAGUGAUUUGAGUUCAAGGAGCUCGGGCAAUUGCUAAAGUUAGUGGAAAAAAUUAAAUGAGACUCAAAAUCAAUCCAGAGGAAUAAAUGAGAAACCUAAUCCUAAUAAAAUACAUUCACAAAUCUUAAUGCUAAUUAAAAUCACGGAUAAAAAACAUAAUAUGAAUGAAUUACAGGCACAACUAUUUUAUUAAGAAAUUAAUAAAAUCGUGUAUUAAUAUAUUUUGUACAUUUUUUUUCCAUAUAUAACUUUCGGUAAUUUAGUUUUCCACUUAUCAUUUUUACUCCAAAAAAAUAUUGAGAAUAUUAUUUAUGUUUUGGUGUAAAAUAUUUGAACAAUAUACAAAUUUUCAGUUUAAUACAUCUAAACAUUUAUUAAGUUAUAAAUGAAUUUAAUGGGUUUAACUAGUACAAAUACUAUUAUUUUAUAAAUUGGGUUUAAUAAUAGUAUAUUGGGGAUUUAGGUUGAGUAAAUUUUAAAAUUUUAAAAUUAAAGGGUGGGUUUGUUUAGCAAAUGAGUUUUUUUUUUUUUUUUAUUACAUGAGACUAUUGCUCAAAUUACAGUUCAAGUUACAACUCAUAUUACAUGAGAGUAUAAUUGAUAUGUACAAUCAUAUAUUUAUACUGAGCCCUGUUGAUAUUAAUGCUGAUAUGACACCGCUCAGAUUUUUAACCCUCUCAAAUAUUUGAGGGAUGUCAAACUCCCAUCCUGGGAGAAAGACUGUCUUCACUCGAGCUCAAGGGCUCCAAGAAAGAAUAUUUAAAGUAAAACCCCUACAAUGCGACUGCGGAGGCUCGAACCCCUUCCCUCACAUUUGUGAGGGAGGGGCUUAGCCUUAGCCCAAGUGGCUCUUUUAGCAAAUGAGUUAAGGGAAUAGUUUGUUGGGAUUUAAAUAGCCCCACCCAAACUCAAAUGUAAAAUUUUUGAAAAAAGAGACUAUUACGUUUUAAAAAAAAGAAUUAAAAGGUCAAGAAUACCUCUAUUUAAUUUUAUAAUCAUAUUUUAUUUCUACCCUAAUAUAAUAUUAAAAAACUUAACUAAAAAUUUUAUAAUUUUUUAUAAAAAUUACCAUUAACAUCCAAAAAGCUAAAGAUUAAAAAAAAAAAAGGAACUGUAUUUACAAAAGUUAUAUCAAUAAUAAAUUCAGUCCAAAGAAAAAAGUUAUUGUAAACAAGUACUCAUAUUUAUCUCUACUUUAACAAUAAUCUUCGAAUCCGUUUUACAAUGGAUUUUAACCAAUGGGCUUAUGAGUCCUUUUUUGGAAAGCAUGAAAGCGAUGGCCCAAUCUCUAAACUUCAUUUUCUUUAGCCAGAAAGCCUAAAACAAGACCAGCCCAUAGAUAUAUAACUACCGGAAAAAAUUAAAAAGAAAAAAAAGAGUAAAAUUGUGUAAGAGCUUUUAGAAUUACAAUUUUAGGAUCACGUGUGUAAAUGGAACUCCAAGAUUGAUCAAGAAUUAACAAGGCAAGAUGAAGGGAUGAUCUUGUAGCAAAGAAUGAAGAAAUUGAAUCAAGAAAGUACUCUAGUGCUUUAGUGCUUUACAGUUAAGGGAUAUAGGGUGCGUUUGGGAUUGAGGUUGGGCAGCUGUAGCUUAAAAGCUACAGCACUAAAGUGUUUGGUAAACACUAGCUGCUGUAACUUUUAAGCUAUGUUGAUAUAAUUUUUCACUUGUAUAAUAUAAAAUUUAUUAUAUCUUUAAUAAUUUUGAUAAAAUUAUUAUUUACAAUUUAUAUUUAUUAUAUAUUAUUAACUUUUAUUUCAUAAUUACAACUUCUUUUUUACAGCAGCUGUAGCUUAAAAACUACAGCACCUCAAUCCCAAACACAACCAUAGUGUGAAUUCAUUACAAAGCAUUCGCAAAGAAAUUGUUUUUAAAUGAAACUCCUCGUCUUGACCAGAUUAUUUAUUAUUAUUCAAAAAAAAAAUGUUCAAAACUUAGCCAAAGUGAUAAACUCGUAAUUAUUCUACAAAGGGAACAAUUUUGAACGGUCGGAAAUUCCAUGCUUAUGAUUUUCUCUGCACUAUUUCAAUAAAAUUAUUACCCAGUGAAGACUUUAGAGACAAGUGCCCCCAUGAGAUCAAGCAAAUAUGCCCCCACAAAGAUCACAUAAUUAUUUCUUGUUCUUUUUCUUUUUGACAAUUUUAUCUGUGGUUUCAACUUUUACGCUUUAUUGUCAUUUCUCGUUGAGGGCUCCGCUGCACCCAUUACAACUUACCCCUAUAUUGUCUUUUACUGACUAAACCGUUAGAUUUGACGGAUAGCACGUUCAAUGCUGAAUUUUAAUUAUAUCAUCAAAUUUCGUUUAGCUCCUUAAACUCCAUUUUAUUUUUUAUUUCUUUAUAAAAUAUUCAAAGCUUCAUCAAGCUCCCGAUGGACCAUCAUGGCUAGGGGUGCAUUAGAGCCGAACUGAAAUAUGUUAGUUUAGUUUAGUUUGGUCAGUUUAAAUCGAAUGGUUUAGAAAAUAUAAAAUGAUCAAUUUUAAUUUUGAAUUGAACCGAACCAAAAAUUAAUUGAUUUGCUGUUAGUAUUUUUGCAUAAACAUAAAUGAUUAGUGAUUAUAAUUGAAUUGGACUAAAAAAAAUCAAACAAAAGUGAAAAAUAUAAAAUCUUAGACAAUAUAAAAGAAAAAAUAUUAAAUAUAUAAACCAAAACGAACUGAAUUAUUUUGACUCAGUUUUGGUUCAUAAUUUUUUAAACCAAACUGAUUUAUUCCCACCCCCUAAUCGUGGCCCUCUAUCUUUAGUCAUUCACCCUUGAGUUUGAUACCAAUUGUUGGGUUUCAAAUGAUUAUACACUCAAAUGGAACCCCUCAUAACCAAAAACUAACAGAAACAAUAAGAACACAAUGUUAAAAUCUUAAAUCAAUCGCAAAAAAGCACCCAAAACAGAUCGAUUAGGAAUAGUUAACAACAAAAGAUUUAAUGGUUCAAAAUCAUAAUGUGACCUACUUCCAUCCAAGAAUCAUACUAAUUGCUUUACUUGUUGUCAAAUACGAGAUCAUAAGAUUGUUUAUCACUCUACAGAGAAAAAAAAUUUAGAAGAAAUACUCCCCAAUUUUUCUCUUAAUAGUUAUGAAUCAACACCCCUGAUUUACUUUUCCUUAUUUCCUAUGAUCGGUUGCUGCUACUUAAUCCUUACCAAGCUCCAACAUAGUCCAAACACUUUUCAUGGUACAUGCACAGUGCACCUUCAGAAACUUUACAGCUCUUCUUAAAACCUCAGGCCUAUAGAGUGCAAUUUCGCACCUAUAUGCUUAGUCCUCUCAGUUCUCGUGAUGUUUUUGAUUUAUUUCUCGGACGAGUAGCACUUUUAGCUGCCAUAAUACAAUGUAAUUGACUUCUGAGCAUGACUUAAUUUUGAGAUCAUUACUUUUAGUUAAAUGAUCUCCUCCAGAGCUUCUACCUAUGUAGUGUUUUUAGACCUCUAUAGUUGAUAAAGCAUGUUCAAGGUGAAGGCUUGUUUUCCAAUCUAUAGUCCAAUUAUAGACUGGAACUGGUCAGGCUUAAUGCACCUUCAAAAGCUUCACAACUUAUAUUGAAACCUUAAGCCUUGUAGAAUGCUACAAAUUUUAAAUCCAUAUACUUAGUGCUCUUAUGAUUUGUUUGAUUUUUACUUAGAUGAAGAGCAUUUUAGCUAUAGAAUACAGAAACUAAUUCAAAGCCUGCCUUAGCUAUGAGAUCAUUCAUUCUAGCCAAAUGCCCCUUUAGAGAUUCUGCUAUUGUUGCGUAUUAAGCCUCUAUAUCAAAGCAAUUACAUGUCGAAGGCUUGCUUUGCAGUUAACAGCGCAAUUACAAUUAUAUAGAUUAAAGGUGUAAAUCCAUAAAACUACCAGACUUCAAUCUUUAGACUCCAUAGAUCAAACCAUAACUUAGUGUGCCUUUCAAUCUCAGGUAACUGUUUUCCACGUCUUGCCAUGUACUUGCUGCUAACACUAACAAUUUGAGAAAUGUUAGGCAUCGUAAGCAGCCGACAACACUCUUCUUCAUUUCUUCAUUGUCAAUUUCUUUCUUGGAACAUUGCUCCAUUGAGAGUCUGCUAUCAUUGCUCCAAUUAUUAUUAUUUUUGUUUUUGUUUUUUAAAAAAAUAACCGUGCAAUAAGAGUAUAAGACUAAGCAACGGUCCUUUUUUUUUUACCCAUUCUUGAACAUGAAGUAUUUGAGUAUGUAAUAAAAAUUGUUUAUCGAUAAUUAAAAGUUAAUAGUGGGUGGCUUUAGGUUUUGUUUACAAAAUUGACAACAAAUUAGAUUUUUCAAAUUCAUAGGUAAGAAACUUUUCAUUUAUUCAUAGAUUUUCCGGUUUAAACUUUAAAGGAAACUUAAAAGAAAAAGAUGUAUCAUUAGGUUUGUAAUUAAAAAAAUUUAAUAUUGUAUGAUCUGUUCGAUAUGCAUAAUUUAAAUAAACAUUAAUAUAGAUGUUAUAUAUCCUAAAACUUAAUUGACUUAAUUCUUAUGGUGCAAGGAAGAGGUUUCCAAGUUUAAAUCUAAAGUCUUGUAUUUAAUUUGGGGUCGGGAAAGCACUGGGAAAUAAAUGUAACAAAGGAAAAAAAAAAAAGAAUGACAGUCUGAGUGGAGCCAACGCGGUUUUAAAAAAAGUGAAAAAAAGGGUUUAAAAAAAAAAACGCGGUUUGCUUGCUUGUGGAAAUAGAAGUCUCAUGUUUCUUUGAAAGGUAAGCAAGUGUGAAUGUUUCUAUCUAGAGCUGGAAAAUGCAUUUCCGUGCAACUUACUUGAUGAAUGAAGUUUUCAUCGCUGACCCUGAUGUUUCCCUGAGCUGCAUUCAUUGCAGCUGAUGUAUUUCAUUUUGUUUUCGAAGGAGUGACACAAAAUCUCCUUCGUUAAGGUGAGAAUUUAGAGUGGCUUUAACUGUUAACAAAUAGCCUAAUAUAAGACUUAAUCUACUUCCUGCCCUGUUGUAUGCUUAUGAAAUUUGAUAGAGUUAUGAGUUUGCAGAAGCUACUGUAUUAUAUGUUGCUUGAGGCUGUAAAAAUGAGGCAGAUCAAACACACAUUUAAAUUUCAAUGACAAUUUACUGGAAGUAAAUUUCCUAUGACCCUACAUGUGACUAAUUGAUGAGAAGUUGACAAAUGACAAAAGAAAGUGUAUGAGCUUUGCAGGUUGGCAUGCCGAUACUGACUGUGUGGCACCAUCCGCCAUUUGGAAGUGAAUAUCAUUAUUCUUUAAUCAACAUGGUGGAGUCCACUGGGACCACACCACAUGGUCAGUCUUAUCUCUAUUCCUCAAUUUUCAGUAUUCCAUACAUGAAAACAACUUCAGUUUUGUUAUCAAUUAUAAUUUCAUUGUUGGUGACGAUUCUGAUUCCUUUCUUUCUGACAAAACGGAACCAUGGUUGCUGUGGGAGAGAUCUUACUCAACGCCUUCUUUCAGGUGUUGUUUGACAGGUUGGCUUCCCGUGAUUUGCUCAGCUUUGUCCGUCAACUUGGAGGCGGGGUCGAUUCCGAGCUCAAGAAGUGGGAAAGAAAGCUGAAGAUGAUUCAGGCGGUGCUCAACGAUGCAGAGGAGAAGCAACUGACUGACGAGGCUGUGAAGACGUGGCUGGACGAUCUCCAAGACUUGGCUUAUGACGCUGAGGACAUUCUUGAUGAGUUUGCUACUCAAGCUUUGGAAAGCAAGUUGAUGGCGCAAAAUCAGGAUAGCUCUGGCCAGGUUCUCAGUUUCAUCCCGGCUAGUAUCCGAAUGCUGUUAGGUUCAAUUAUAGCAUGAGGUCCAAGAUUAACGAUAUUACUAGCCGGUUGGAGCAACUCUGCAAAGAAAGAAUCGAACUUGGACUGCAACGGAUUCCUGAAGGGGCAUCAUCAACUGCUGCUGCUGCACACCAGAGGCCACCCAGUUCAAGCGUCCCACCAGAACGUGAAGUUUUUGGUAGAGAAGAAGAUAAGGCCAAAAUUCUUGAUAUGGUAUUGGCCGAUAGCCCAAGUGAUCAUGCCAACUUUGCUGUAAUACCCAUUGUUGGCAUGGGCGGGAUAGGAAAAACAACUCUCGCUCGGGAGGUCUACAAUGACAAGGCCGUUGAACAUUCCAAGUUUGAUGUAAAAGCAUGGGUUUGUGUAUCUGAUGUCUUUGACAUUUUGGGCAUCUCAAAGGCACUUCUCGAGUCAAUCUGCUGCGCAGCUAGUGAUCUCAAGACUUUAAAUGAAGUGCAGGUUCAACUGAAAAAAGCAGUGGACGGAAAAAGAUUCUUGCUGGUCUUAGAUGAUGUUUGGAACGAGGACUACAGCUUGUGGGUAGACUUAAAAGCUCCAUUCUUGGCUGCUGCACCAAAUAGUAAGAUGAUUAUCACCACACGCAAUUCACAUGUUGCAUCUACAAUGGGACCCAUUGACCAUUAUAACCUCAAGCAUCUGUUAGACGAUGAUUGCUGGUCUAUUUUCAAAACGCAUGCAUUGGAGGGUAGAGAUCAUAAUGCACUUGAAAUCUCAGAAUCAUUUCGCAAGAAAGUUGUUGCCAAAUGUGGAGGCUUGCCCCUUGCUGCAAAAACACUCGGAGGCCUUUUGCGUACGACGAGGCAUGAUGCGUGGGAUGAUAUAUUAGAGAGCAAAAUAUGGGAUUUACCUCAACAAAGUGGGGUUCUCCCAGUAUUAAGAUUGAGUUACCAUCAUCUUCCUUCUCAUUUGAAAAGAUGUUUCGCUUACUGUGCAAUCUUUCCAAAAGAUUAUGAAUUCAAUGAGAAGGAGGUGACUUUUUUAUGGAUGGCUGGAGGAAUUAUUCGACAGUCAAGAAGCAAAGAGCGGCUAGAAGAUUGGGGCAGCAAGUGCUUCUAUGAUCUGGUGUCAAGGUCAAUUUUUCAGCAAACAGCAAUCUCUGGUAGUUCUAAAUUUGUAAUGCACGACCUUAUUCAUGAUCUUGCUGAAUUCGUCUCUGGAGAAACCAUAUUCAGGUUAGAGGAGUCCACCAACUUGUCGUCAAGCAGAUUUGAAAGAGUUCGCCAUUCUUCCUAUGCCGGCGGUUGGUAUGAUGGUAAAAAUAAGUUUGAGGUUUUCUAUGAAAUUGAACAUCUACGAACAUUCUUGCCAUUACGCUUACGCAUGCGAGGUACUUUUUUCAUAACUAGAACGGUUCUAUCUGAUUUGCUGCCAAAGUUCAAAAAAUUGAGGAUGCUAUCUUUAGAAGGAUACUGUAUUGGUGAGUUACCAAUUCCAUUUGAAGAUCUCAGACUUUUAAGGUUCCUCAACCUCGCUGACACUGACAUAAGAAGUUUACCUGAGUCAACAUGCAAAUUGCUGAACUUGGAAAUUCUGAUAUUAAGAAAGUGUUCCCGCUUGAUAAAGCUUCCCCAGAAAAUGAGGAAUUUGAUCAAUUUACGUCAUCUGGAUAUAAGAGGUGCACAGCAGCUGAAGGAGAUGCCAUUUGGAAUGAAAGAGUUGAAGAAGCUUCAAACAUUGUCCAAUUUUAUUGUGGGCAAGGGUGAAACUGCAUCCGGUGUGGAAGAUUUAAAAUGUUUAAGCUUUCUUUGUGAUGAACUUUGCAUUGCUGGAUUAGAGAAUGUGAAUAAUCCACAGAAUGCAAGAGAAGCCGCAUUAUGCGAGAAGCACAAUCUUGAAGCAUUGACUCUAGAAUGGGGGUCUCAAUUUGACAAUUCUCGAGAUGUAGCAAUAGAAGAGCACGUGCUUGACAUUCUACAGCCUCAUAAAUGUAUAAAAAAGGUGGCAAUCAGGAGCUAUGGUGGUGCAAGAUUUCCACUUUGGAUAGGAGAUCCGUUGUUCUCCAAGAUAGAAUUCCUUGAAUUGGAGAACUGUGACAAUUGUGUAUCUUUGCCAUCGCUUGGCCGUUUGAGUUCACUUAAACACCUUGCUGUUAAAGGGCUGAAGAAACUAAAAAGCAUAGAGCCUGAGGUUUAUGGGGAGGGUUUCUCAACGCCUUUUCCAUCAUUGGAGAUUCUAAGUUUCGAGAAUUUGACAGAAUGGGAGCAUUGGGACACGGAUAUCAAAGGAAAUGCACUUGUUGAAAUAUUUCCUCGUCUCCAUAAACUUUCCAUUGUGAAAUGUCCCAAACUCUCUGGAGAACUGCCUGAGCUCCUGCCCUCCUUGGAGACACUUGUUGUUAGUAAAUGUGAAAAGUUGGUAGUUCCAAUGUCUUGCUAUCCGAUGCUCUGCAGAUUAAAAGUUGAUGAGUGCAAAGAACUGGUCUGCCGGACUCCAAUUGAUUUUAAGUUGAUAAAGUCUGUGACUAUUUCAAAUUGUUCACUAGACAUGUAUGGAUGCAAGGGGAUGCUAUACAAUGGUCCAGCUGGCUCUUCACUGCCGAAAUCCAUGACUAUUACAAAUGUUUUGGCGUUUGGAAAAUUAUUGAAGCCUGGAUUUCAGAUAUUAGAAACUUUGGUAAUUGACAAUUCUGAACAGCUCAAGUCAUGGAGGCAGCGUGGGGAUUUUCGACAAGAAUAUUUGGGCGUUCGCGUAAGGCGUCACAAACCAUCACAAGGGCUAGAUAUGCUCGCCUCCCCAGAAGAGGUAACAAUUGAAGAAAGUUGUGUGAGUUUUGUUUUAUUUCCAGAGAUCAAUUUCUUUCCCAGAAAUCUGCGCUCUCUUCUAAUUUGCAACAGCACAGCUUUAAAAUCCUUACCCGAUGAAAUGAUGGACAAUUCACAACUCGAAAGGUUGUAUAUCAGAGAUUGCGAUUCUCUAACAUUCAUCACAAGACGCAAGCUACCUUCAUCUCUAAAAAGUAUAGAGAUUGAGAAUUGUGAGAAACUGCAACAUUUGUUCGAUGAUAAAGAGGAUGCUUCUUCUUCUUCUCCUCCUUCAUCCUCGUCCUCCCCAGUGAUGCUGAAACACCUGAGUAUAAAUAAUUGCCCAGUGCUCACCAGUUUAUCAACAGGAAUCCAAUUACUUGAGGCGCUUGAAAGCCUCGAGAUACGGGAUUGUCCAAAGCUGGAGUCAUUACCAGAUGGCCUUCACAAUCUUAACUGUUUACAGGAGAUUACUCUAAACAGUUGUCCAAGUCUUGUUUCCUUCCCAGAAAGAGGACUUCCCAACACGAUUUCAAAUCUUGUAUCGUUUCCAGAAGAAGGUUUUCCUACCAAUCUAACAUCACUUACAAUUGGAUAUUUCAAAAUGUAUAAGACACUCGUCCAGUGGGGGUUGCACAGGCUUACCUCUCUUAAACGCCUCUGCAUCAUUGGAUGUGAUGAUGAAGCAGAGUGUUUUCCAGACGAGGAGAUAGGAAUGACGCUGCCCACCUCUCUCACUCAUCUGACACUUUCGGAAUUCAAAAAAUUGAUAUCUCUGUCUUCGACGGGUAUUCAGAGCCUCAACUCUCUUCAAUCUUUGUCGAUCGGGAAUUGCCCGAAUCUCACAUCAUUUCCAGAGGUGGGCCUUCCAUCCUCACUUUUGGAAUUACACAUUUACAGUUGUCCAAAGCUUAAAAAAGCGUGCAAAAGAGAUCAAGGAAAAGACUGGCCCAAAAUUGCUCACAUCCCUUUCGUUGAGAUAGACGGUAAAUUCAUAUACGAUCCCGAAUCAGAGGAGUAGAUUCUAUUACACAGGUCAGUUGAUUUAUAUUAUCCGCUAUAACAAGCUCCUCCUUUUUUAUUUUUUUUAAAUAAUAAUUUUGCAGUCAGUCACGUGAUUCCGUUUUCACAAGUCAGAUUGUAUGUUGAGGCUAUUUGCCUUUUAAUCGCAGAUUAAAUUAUAACACUUAUCUUAAAAUUUAAUACCAUAGACAGAUAGACGAUUUUUUAAUCCAAAGUUUUUUUUAUUCACUUCAGUUAGCAUUUUUUUUUCCCCCAAAUCAUGCAAGCCGAGAGUUUCAAUCAAGAAUUGGAGGAUGUGAAUGGGAUUUUUGUGAAAGAGUAACAUAAUGGAUGACCGAACAUUUCAUCUGUGAUCUCAAAGUCAACAGAAUUUUAUUCACUCAUUGACUUUUCAACUGCCGUGGUUUUUAUGGGUGAAAGAUAAGGGCAAUUACAAAAAAUUUGCAAAAUUUGUCAAUUUCUUAGAUGGUAGAUAUAUCGACAUUUUAGAUUUCAGAUAUUUGUCACCAAUUUGCAAAAUUGAAAUUUCUGUCUUCAAUGGGUUUUCAAAGCCUCGCCUCUCUUCGAUUUUUGUGGAUUGGGAAUUGCACAAAUCUCACAUCAUUUCCCGAGGUCGAGGAAAAGAGCGGCCCAAACUUGCUCGCAUCCCUUGGGUUAUGAUAGAUGGAAAAUUCAUGUACGAUCCAGUCAGAGGUGUUGAUUCUCUUAUUAAGGUCAGCUGAUUUCUAUUAUCCACUCUGACAAUCUCCUAUUAGUGUUUUUCCUUUUUUUUUUUUCAAAAUUUUGCAGUUCUGUAUAAUUGAAAAUGCCACUCACUUGUUUCCUUUUUCACAGGUCAGAUAGUAUGUUGAGGCUAUUUGAUUUCUAUCGGUGUUUGUUAAGGUAAUUAGUGCUCCCUCAUAGGUAUGACUAGAUUUUUUUCACUUCCGUAAAUAUUGCAUUUUAGACUGGCAAAUUUAGCAGUAAUUUUAAUACAAUUUUGUUGGUGCCUUGUGUGCCAGAAGCUAGAAAAAUGUGUAGUUUUCAGAUAAGGAGUCUUGUUAGUUCUCUAGUAAGAAUCCAAUAAUUUGCUUUUGCACGUCCAUCUAAUUUGUGGAUCCUUGCAUCAGAAUUUGAUCAAUCCAAAGGAAUUGCUUUUAGACAGAAGAAGAAUAGCAGCACCUAGCCUAUGUCAUAGUGUAUGGACCCGCAAACCUGAAACUAUUAGAUUGAGGUAAAAAAAUCAUUGACCCUCACAUGUUAACUUCUUCUAGUUACUUUUGUUGGGAAAAAAAAACAUUUAAGGAAUUUGCAAUUUGUUGUUAGUUAUGGUAUCUGAUGUUCUUUUCUGUUUUAGCGUUUGUAGAAUCUACGGUAUUAUGUGUUGGCAGUUGCCGUAUCUGAGGUAACUUGCCUUUAUUUGUUUGCUUCUGACUUAAGGACACCAACAUUUGCCAGAGAUUUAGAGAAGCAUCUCAAAACACUUAGCAAACUUGACAAACUUCAAGAUGCACUUGCCCCCACGCCUUAUUCUCCACAACGCAAAACUUGUGAGUACACUUAUGCCUGCAAUUAUUGUGAAGUGUUUGCAAUUUCGAUGCAGAGAAAUGGUUUCUUGAUGCAAAGUAUUAAACUGUUAAGAUUUAUCCUGCAGGCUUGUUAGAUGUUGUAUACUCGAAAAGCCAACAACAUCAAGAACUACAACUCCAAGACCAACUUUGCAUUAAUUCAGUCAGCUGUAAAAAUGAUGCAAAUGACACUAUAUCAAGCUGGACUUAGAGACUAGUCAGAUCAAUCAUCCAUUUCAUCAACGGUUAAUGUCAUGAUGGUGGCUAUCAGAGGAAACAAAAGAUGUGUCAGAAUCUAUACGAACAUUGAGAAGCAUGAGAGGAGCUUUGAUUUUGAGUAGGGUCAAUGAACUCAUGUUGGUAAGUGGUGAUUAAAGAAAUUUGUAAGCUUAGUAGAGUUUCAGUAUUUUCUGUUUGGAGUAUAGUUGAUAAGUUGACUCUGUUUAAGAAGCCCGAUUAUAGUAGCUGACUGUAUUAACCUUUUUUUUUUUGGUCUGCUGUUGUUUUUGGUUUCGAUUAUUUUUUCAACAUUGGGUUGAUCUGUUGAAGAACAAGCUUGGGUUUGAUUAUGUUUUAACUAUAAGGAAGAGCCAGACUUGGUUGCAGGCGUUAAGCUUUUAAUGGGUAAGAACAAAUGAAUGCUUUAACCAUGUUUCUCACUUAUUAAAAUGCAUGGAUUGAAGGCAUCUGGGUUGAUCCUGACAAUGUGAUGGAAAUACUUCUCUGUUUUCAUGUAACAGGACAAAUAGAGAUCUCUGAUCAUGCCUGAAUUUUUGUUGCAUUGAAAUUUCUACCAUUACCAAACAUAGAAUGAACUGGGGAUACAUUAGCUUAAGACUCAAUUUUGAGAAGGAAGUUUGUACUUGCAGCCUAUAAAAUCAUGUCCGUGUCGUACGUUUCUUUGGGAAAUGAAAGAUUCUGUGUGUUCUUUUAUUUCAAGUUCACUGAAAUCACAUUUGUUUUCUCCGAUGCUUUCCAGAAGGUAACAACAUCAAUUUCAAAAAUGCUGGGGCAAGAUGCAUCAUGCAGUGCGACUCAACUUGAGAAUUCCUGGCCACAUUACCCGUAUGUCGAAUGAUCGCACAGUUCAACCUUGAGAAGCUUGUAAUGAGUACACAACUGGGUGCAAGUAGUUUUGAAAUGAAUUUGCCUCAAAUGAUUUCUUGCUCGCAUCCCUUGGGUUAUGAUAGAUGGAAAAUUCAUAUACGAUCCAGAGUCAGAGGUGUUGAUUCUCUUAUUAAGGUCAGCUGAUUUCUAUUAUCCACUCUGACAAACUCCAAGACCGGGUUUUUUUUUUUUUUUAAUUUUGCCGUUCUGUAUAAUUGAAAUGCCACUCACUUGUUUCCUUCUUCACAGGUCCGAUAGUAUGUUGAGGCUAUUUGCUUUUUAUCGGUGUUUGUCAAGGUAAUUAGUGCUGCCUCAUAGGUUGAUUACUCACAGAUGAAAUCAUAACUUUUAUCUUAAAAUUUAAUAGCAUACACAGAUAGAUGAUUUUUAGUCCAAAGUUUUUUUAUUCACUUCAAUCAAAAUUUUAGAUUGCAGAUUUUUGUCAAGUAUUUCAUUACAAUUUUUUCAUUUUUUAUUUUAAACCAGAAUAUGAGUAUAACAUUUUGGAGCGUGCAUACUCUGAUGCAUGCAAUUAACUGUUUUUAAUCAUUGGAUUUUGAAAUUAAUAAUGGUAAGAUGUGUACUUAUUCUGUCUUCCAACAACCUUGGCCUCUUUCUUCGGUCGCAUAUCUAAUGAAUAUUUCUCUGUUUAGUUAAGGAUGAAUGCUUGGAGUGGGGUACUUGGUAACAUUUCUGCCUCAGAUGAAUCCUUGAAGAAAUGCCCGCAGUUCCUGAGACCAAAUACAGGUCUGAUUCAAAACAGCACCUUUCUCAGAAAAUAUGAUCCAAGGCAAAGUCAUGUUCUGAUAAUGUUUCCUUAAGUACAAAGUUGCAAGGAAACUUGAUUCAUUAACUACAGUUUUUUAUUUUUAGGACCUUGUAUCUGAAAGGUUCAGUGUUUUUUUUUUUUUCAAAUUUAUUGUUCAGAUCUCAGAGGAGUAUAUGGUUUAGAUUACAAAACACCCAUGAUUAAUUUCAUUUUUUUUUUAAUUUCAGGGAGAAGAAGUGGUCAGUUUCAAUCCGGAAUUGGAAUAUGGCAAUUUGGUUCAAGCACACACACCUGGUCACUUGGUCAGUGAACCUGAACUUUACGCAGUUUUUUCAACUCAGUGAUUUUUGGAACGCAUAGUGGUGUAAGGAAAUCAAAAGAAAUUUAUGCAUAGUCAAAUUCUGAUAUUUGCUAUAUAUUAUACAUUCUAAAGUUUCUCCAGUUUGUUCUCAGAUUACCAUCAUUUUUUGCCUUCACCAAAAAAAAAAAAUUGAGUGGCUUUCCAGUGGAUAUUUAAUCGGAGGUAUGACUGGAUUUUUUUCACUUCUGUAAAUCUUGCAUUUUAAACUGGCAAAUUUAACUUUAAUUUUAAUACGACUUUGUUGGUGCCUUGUGCCCCAGAAACUAGAAAGAUGUGUAGUUUUCAGAUAAAGGGGCUUGUAAAUUCUCUAGUAAGAAUCCAAUAAUUUGCUUUUGCACGUUCAUUUUAUUUGUGGAUCCUUGCAUCUGAAUUUAAUCAAUCCAAAAGGAAUUGCUUUUAGACAGAAGAAGAAUAGCAGUACCUAGCCUAUGACAUAGUAUAUGGACCUGCAAACCUGAAACUAUUAGUUUGAGGUAAAAAAUUCAUGACCCUCACAUGUUAACUUUCAUGAAAAACACAUUUAAGAAAUUUGCAAUUUUUUGUUAGUUUCGUAUCCGAUGUUGUUUUCUGUUUUAGCAUUUGUAGAAUCUACUGUAUUAUAUUUUGGCAGUUGCAGUAUCUGAGGUAUGUUUUGCAUUUAACUUGCUUUAUUUGUUUUGCUUGUGACUUAAGAACACCAAUAUUUGCCAGAGAUUUAGAGAAGCAUAUCAAGCUGCUUGGCAAACUUGACAAACUUCAAGAUCCUCCAUUCUUCACAACGCAAAACUUGUAAGUACACCUAUGCCCGCAGUUAUUGUGAAAUGCUUGCAAUUUUGAUGCGCUGAAAUGGUUUGUUGAUGCAAAGGUUUAAACUUUUAAGAUUUACCCUGCAGGGUAGUUGGAUGCUGUAUACUCGAAAAGCGACCAACAUCAAGAACUAUGACUCCAAGACCGGGUUUGCUUUAAUUCAAUCAGCUGAAAUCAUGAUGCAAACGACACUAUCAGCUGGACUUAGAGACCGGUCAGAUCAAUCAUCCAUUUUAUCAACAGUUAAUGUCAUGAUGGUGGCUAUUAGAGGAAACAAAGGAUGUGUCGGAAUCAAUGUGAACAGUGAGAAGAAUGAGAGGAGCUUUGAUUAUACGUAGGCUCAAUGAACUCAUGCUGGUAAGUGGUAAUUAAAGAAAUUUGUGCGCUUAGUAGCAUUUCAAUAUUUUCUGUUUGGGAUAUAGUUGAUGAGUUGAUACUCUGAUUAAGAAGCCUGAUUAUAGUAGCUGACUUUUUUUUUGUGGUUUGCUGUUGAUUUUUCUUUUGAUUUUUUCAACAUUAGGUUGAUCUGUUGAAGAACAAGCUUGGGUUGAUUAUGCUUUAACUACAAGGAAGAGCCAGACUUGGAUGCAGGCGUUCAGCUUUUAAUGGGUAAGAACAAAUGUAUGCUUUAAACAUGUUUCUCACUUAUUACAAUGCACGCAUUGAAGGCAUCUGAGCUGAUCCUGAAAAAGUGAUGGAAAUACUUCUCUGUUUACAUAAAACAGGACAAGAGAUCUCUGAUCAUGCCUGAGAAUUAGUUGCAUUGAAAUUUCUACCAUUGCCAAAAAUAGAAUAAACUAGGAAUACAUUAGCUUAAGACUCAAGUUUGAGAAGGCAGUUUGUACAUGCAGCCUAAAAAAUCAUGUCUGUGUUGUAUACUUGUAUGUUUCUUUGGGAAAUGAAAGAUUCUGUGUGUUCUAUUAUUUCAAGUUUGCUGAAAUCACAUUUGUUUUCUUAGAUGCUUUUGAGAAGGUAACAACAUCAAUUUCAAAAAUGCUGGGGUAACAUGCAUCACGCAGUGCUACUCAACAUGAGAAUUCCGGCCGCAUUACCUGUAUGUUGAGUGAUCGCACAGUACAGCCUUUAGAAGCUUGUAAGGAGUAGACAACUAGAUGUGAGUAGUUUCAAUAUGGAUUCGCAUCAAAUGAUCUCUUGCCAGUGAUUACUAUAACCUCUAUCCCAAAAUUCUUGGAACUGGUCAUACCAAUAAUGAAGUGUUGUGUAUGUUGAAGACAUUGCGAAAGCUCCGUCAGCCUUUGUAUUGGAAAACAGUUGGUUGUAGUUGCUUCUGAAUGAUAUUAUUAAUAGAUACUGUAAAAAUGAACUGUGCCACUCAUUUUCAGAGCCCUGUUAAGAUGUGUUGGUAAUGUGUUUGAAGGUUGUUUGAUUUAUGUUGUAUUCAGCUAUAAAUCAAAGAUUCAGAACAUGGUUAUGUUACUGGUUUCCAAAUCAAAAAAUUGCCUUGUGAUGUUAGUGUUCAUUGUUUUCACAGGAGAUCAGGUUCCCUGUUGAUGAAUCAUUAAGGCAAACGCAUCCAUGUCUUAAGUUCAAAUGUGUCUCUUCUAUUUUCUAUUACUGACUCCUUUAUUUUGAUUUCUUCAUUGUAAUGGAAUUGGUUUUUAUUCCAAAUUAGUCUUAAGUUCUGUUAGCAUUUGAAGAUAGAACUAGAACUAAAUGAUUGACUGGAUUAAAUUCCGAUAAAGAAUUAAGUUAUAUAUUUAGAGAUAUUAUGUUUUUUUUUUUUUCAUUUGUUCAAUUUGGUUAGUGGUGAUUUCUUAAAGACUCAAUCCAUGUGCGUUUAUGCAUUUUUCUUUUGCCUUAAUUUCUGUUUCUUGGGGAGUUUAUACAGAUUCUUAUUUUAUGCUUCACAUGCCACAUGAAAGAUCGAAUUCUUAUAAUAAGAGUCUGAGAUCUCCCUGAAGGAUUCAAAGCAUUUUAUUUUAUAUUAAACUCCUUUACGUGGGUUUGGACACUACCACAAGUUCUUUAAAUACUAAAACGAUUUUAAGUCUUUUGUAUCAUCUGAUUGAAAUACAUGAAAGCACUCGUGGCUGCAAAAAUACAGUUGGGGCUAUUUCUAAAGUCUUCAACAGCAUUUUCUUUUUAACCUUUAUCCUCAUGGUUGUUUUUGCAGUUGUUCUUUAAGAAAACAUUUAAAAGGUUCUCUUUAUGGAUUUUUGAAAAUAAUUUUAACAUAAGCAAUUUUCAGAAGCACUUUAGAUGUCUGGCAUUUAGAAAAUUUUAUUCCGGUGUCACAUAAAAUACUUAGGAAGUUAAAUUUAUUUAUUUAUGAGCAUGUGCCAGUGCCCUGUGGCAUCCUCUUCACUUGUGAUAGUCAAAUGUAUUAUACGAUACAAUAUUAGCUUGACUGUAGCACAGAGGAGAAUAGGGUUGGUGUUGGUCUGAACCAGCUUAUGUAACAGCUGCCAAAGGAUAAUUUAAUUGUACUUUGAGUAAAGCUUUUGCAAAUUAAACAAGUGAUAAUUUGUUUCUAUUAAGAAAAACUUAAAGGAUAGGGCUAUUUUAACUCACCAAACUACACAUUAAAAAUCUACUUACAAAAAUAGUUUUUAAUUAUUAAAAUAUUCCUAAAUUAAAUUAUAAUUAUGGACACUAAAAUAUAAUUUUUUUUAUAUUUUACCCUUUGAAACUAUCUUUACAUUCGAUAUUACAUUUUUUUCUUAAACUCCAAAUUGAUUUUUUUUAUUAAUUUUAAAACACAUAUAAAGUGAUUCAUAUUGAUUUUAUACUAACAAACUAUUAUAGCACAUUCGAAAAAUAAUUAAAUCGUUCUUAUUUACAUAGUGAAAAUGCAAAUAGCUCAUUCAAAUGUUAAGGAAUUGGAGAGCUGCUGCUGGAGAUGAAAGAUGUGAAUUAAACAUCAGAGAAAAAAUUAUGUUCACUGUCUUGCCAGACCAAGCACCGAAAAGCGUCGUAAAGAAAAAUUAGAUAAUUUAGAAGAUAAAGCACGUGGAAUGGAGGCAGAAAGCAAGUAAUGAUAACUCUUUCGACAAACUAAUAUAUACCAAAAUGUAAUAUCGGCCCUAAUAAAAAAUGUGUUACGUAAGUAAAAGCACCAGGUCGGUCGUGCUACUAUUUCUGUCCCGGUAUGGCUCACCUCAACUGAAUGGUACAAGCAGAGCAUGGAGACGAAUAUGGCCCGACCAGAGAUGAGUACCGACCAGAGGUGUAUGUCGAGCCGAUACCCGUCUCCUGAAAAAGCGGGAACACGAUCCCACAGAAUCGCGGAAUUUGCGUUUUUCCCAGAACCGUUGCGAGAGAUGCGAUACCCCACGUUUACCCGUAAUGUAGUAGUUAAAGUUCCGUGAAAGGCCACCACCCGAAAAAGGAGGGAUGAAGACUGAGCGGGAACGUGGGAUAACGGCUAUAAAAGAAGGAGAAAUCGAUGAAGAAGGGGACAGAAAAAUCAAAAGAGGGAAAACGCUGCCAAAUUAUUGUCAGGCUAUCUUCUUGAAAAUUCCAGAUAAAUCAAAAACUACUCUUAAAUCUAAAUUGCUCUGUUUUCCCGUAAAUACCUUGAGCUAACUUAGGCAUCGGAGGGUUUACGCCGGCAAAACCACCCGCGUCUUUGAUCCGUUUUUUUGUGAGCGCAGGUCUAGAAAGAGAAAGGAGGACGAGUCCAAGUCCCGCGGUUCGAACUUGAUAACAUAAUCGUUGGUGGAAAAUUCUGGUCGGUAACAAGGCGAGCAGAUUUAAGCAUCAACAUUUUGGCGCCGUCUGUGGGGAGCUGGAUAAAAAGCUACCACCAACUUAGUAGUUGCCAGAGAAGCGGUAAACAAUCAGACAUGGAUGUGCCCAGGAAAGACGCUCUGAGGGAGGAUAACGAGUCUGGAGAGACAAUCACUCUUAGGGAAAUUGCAAAUGAAGCCCGGGAGAGGGUAAUGCAAGAUCGAUUGGAGCGGAUGGAGAAACAAAUGGAGACUCUCGCGACCAUACUAUUUGAGCUGAGAGACGAGCGGAGAAGGGAUUGCGAAACCCCUGUGGGGAGAGAUGAUGUCGGAGCAGAACCCAGCCUCCGGACGCGUAGAGUCGAGGAGAUCCCUCCGCCGGCGGACCAACCUAAUGGGGUGCAUCCCCACAGAAGUACUGGUCGGAUUCCAGGAGAACAAAUAGAUGAAGGGAGGAACCAACCUCGCCCUGGGCGGGUACUGGAAGCUGAUGGCCGAGGGGCCAGUGUUAAUGAAGGGGAGCUCAGGCAGCGGUUGCAGAAUGCCGAACAGGAGCGAGAUCAAAUAGCUGCACGUGAUCCUGACCGUGCUGUAGAAUUGGAGGGAGAGGUGCGCAGAUUAGCGCAAGUGAUAGAGGAGAUACAGGGUAGGAGAAAGCCCCCGAGCUGGAGGAUAAUGCUAGAUGAAGAAUCUCCACUAUCAGUUGAGAUCAUGGGCACUGUAAUCCCAAGAGAUUUCCGCUUCCCCGACCUCAAAUACUCCGGGCGAAGUGAUCCACUGGUGCAUAUUGAACGUUUUAAUGACGUGACGGGUGUUCAGGGGUUAACACCAGCUCAGAGGUGUAGGGUAUUCCCAUUGACACUAGAGAGACGAGCCCGAGAAUGGUACCACAAACUGUUACGAGGAAGUAUCAGAGGGUACGAGCAGAUGUGCCAAGAAUUGGCCGAACAAUUCCGGGGGGCGGUGGCCCCAGAGGAUGAUAUGAUGGAACUAAUGGGGAUAAAGCAGGAGGAACAAGAACCCCUUCGAGAUUUUGUAAAACGAUACCACCGAGCCGUGCUUGAUUUGGGAGCUUUCAAUCACCCGCAGGCGUUGAGGGGAUUGAAGGAGGGUGUGAGAAUAGGCCGACUGUGGUAUAACCUGAGAAGCCCCCUGGUGCAGAAUUAUUCCGCGGGGUAUGAGCAAGCAAAGAGAGACAUUGAAAUCGAAGAAGAAAAAUCAGCCAGGAUAAAGAGUGAACAAUUGGAGGAGCUGAGACGAAGAGAGAUGAGAGCCCCAAAAGGAGCGGGUCAGGAAAGCAAGCUGGGGAAUCUUCAAUGAUGGGUGCAGUAUCCGCUCGAUCUCGCCUUUAUCCUAUGGCUCAGAGACCGCAGCAGGUCCAACACAAUCGGGCUCAGCCCUCACGCCCCCCAUUCCUGGAACGACAACGAGAAUUUCGGCAGUUGGCUAACCAUCCCUAUCACAACGCUCCCAGAGCACCGCAUACAGCCAACCCCAGAGCGGGACGAUCAGGUCAGCUACCUUCAAUAUCCGCUCGGGAUGAUACUCAUGAUAGCCGAGCAGUCCAGCUGAUUGACCAGAACCCAGCGUACGGACAAUAUACCCCGCUAAAAGUCCCUAUGGAGGAGUUGUAUGAGAGAAUCGAGGGACGAGGCCUGUUGUACCCUCCAGCCCCUAUAACGAAACCUGCUCACCGAAGGGAUAAGAGCAGAUUCUGCAAAUUCCAUGACACUCACGGUCACACCAUCAGCCAAUGUCGUGACUUUAAGAUUCAGGUGGAGGAUUUGGUGAGAAAUCGUUAUUUGGAUGAGUAUGUAGAUGGGGUUUCUCCCGUCAUUGAAUCACAGUACACGCGGGGUGAAGGAGAUGAGAGGAGCCUGGAACGUGAACAGCCAACUAUCCGUGUGAUAGCAGGAGGGCCAACCCUGGCUGGGGAUUCGAAUAGGGCACGGAAGAACUAUGGGAAAUACGCCAUGACCAGCAAAGAAGUUCUUUUCAAUUUGCCAGCAGCCAAGAAGGCAAAAUUGCGGCAAGUUCCCAUUAUGUGGACAGAUGACGAUAAAGAGGGUAUCCUAUAUCCUCAUAAGGAUGCACUGGUGAUUAAGGCAAUGGUGGCUGGUACAGAACUACGACGGAUACUGGUAGACACGGGCAGCUCGGUUGACAUCUUGUUUAAAUCGGCCCUAGAUGAUAUGGGGAUUGCAGACUUAAAAUUGGAACGGACGAACACAUCUUUAAAGGGAUUUGGAGGGGGACGGCUAACUCCCAUAGGAAUCGUCGAACUCCCAAUUACUAUGGGGACAAAGCUGUUUGAAAGAACAAUGAUGUUGGAUUUUGUCGUGGUAGAGGAGAGAAGCCCUUACCAGAUGAUACUGGGGAGACCGUUCAUGAAGAUAAGUCAAUGCGUUGUGUCUACGCAUUAUCUGGCACUAAAAUACAGAAUAAACGGAGCGGUUGGUGUAGUAAAAGGUGACCAGAGGGUGGCAAGGAGUUGUUAUGCUACAGCGGCCAAGGAGACGCUGCAGGUUACUUCCUUAGAUAAUCGAGGAGAACCUAAAAAGGGCCGCCAAGAACCUGUUGAGAAACUGGAGGCAGUUUCGGUAAGCAAAGGCGACCUGAGCAGAGUGGUGAAGAUCGGAUCGGGGUUGGUUGGUGCAGUCAAAGGCGAACUGGUAAAUUGCCUACAGUCUCAUGCAGAUAUAUUUGCCUGGUCUCACGAGGAUAUGCCAGGAAUUGAUCGUGGGGUAGCUUGCCACAAGUUGGCAAUUAAGAAGGGGGCGAGGCCGGUGAGACAGAAGAGGAGAUGCUUUAACCAGGAAAGAUACCCAGACGGACGAGAUGUGAAGAGGUCAUGGAACGCCGAGCACUUAAAGAAGUAUUUUCAGUAAGCAAAGUGCUCUGCUAAAUCCUCAUUUUGAUAAGUUUUCUUUGUUAACUGCAUGAUGGUUUAUUACGCAUGUACAUAGUCUGUAUUUUGUAAUACAUUCAAAUCGCAAUAAAGAUGAAUUCAGCAUGAAACCCUUCUGUUAAGCAAGGCCAUUAUAAUUUAUACCAAGGCAAGUAAGUGCCUGCUUCUGCUCGGUCAACGAAAGACCAGCAGCUAAAUUAGCGAAAUUUCUACCAAGGCAAGUAAGUGUCUGCUUCUGCUCGGUCAACGAAAGACCAGCAGCUAAAUUAGCGAAAUUUCUACCAAGGCAAGUAAGUGCCUGCUUCUGCUCGGUCAACGACAGGCCAGCAGCUAAAUCUACGAAAAUUAUACUAAGGCAAGUAUGUGCCUGCUUUAGUUCGGUCCACGAAAGACCAGCAGCUAAUACUACGAGAAUUCUGCUAGGGCAAAUAAGUGCCUAGUUCUGCUCGGUCAACGAAGACUAGCAACCAAUUUUAUUAAAAUUUUACUAAGACAAGUAAAUGCAUACUCCUGCUCGGUCCACAAAGAAACCAGCAAGCAAAAUCAGAUAAGUUGUCCAAUUAUUUUGCAGAAACCAUCUAUGAGCAAAUACCAGACAAGAAAGUCAAUAGAGAACAUCUAAAAGUUUAUAAAUGUUUGAUUGUCUACAAAAUAGAUGUAAAUCUAAAGUUUACACAGAAAUAGACUUAAAGAUUAGCAGGGUCAACGGCUCCAGCAGCUGAAGAAUCAGCAACCUCAGGAGGCGGGAGAUCGGCAAUACCGGGAGGAGGGGGCAUGGACCCUUGACCCACCUCGAAAGUACGUCCCCCGGCUUCCCCCUCCUGCACCCCCUCCAAAGGAGCCUCCGCCUGAUCCUGAUGACCUUGCUCCUUAUCUGCCUGGCCGGUUUCCGCCAUAUACCGCUGCACUCCAGCCUCCAGCUUACUCAUGUCCAGCUCGGGAUAUUCUUCUUUAAGCACGGACAUGAUACACUUAUAGGAGAAAGCAACCCCAGAGUCAUACUCGGCAUCCAGCUGGUCGUCCACAUCAGCGGAUUUGCCUUUCUCCUCAGCCAGCUGUUCAUUUAGGGAUUUGAUUUCUCCCUCAAGGGCAGUCCUCAGAGUAUCUCUUUCACUUUGAGUUACCUGAAGGUCAGACUUCAGGCUGCCCAACUCACCCUCGAGUUUGGAGGCAGUGGACUCAGCAAUUGCAGUUUUCUCCUCCAGCUCCAUAAUCUGUUUGUUCAGCUCGGCCAGUUUCUCCUUGGAGCGAUCAGCAGAUUCAGCCUUCUUUUUCAACUCCUGAUUAUCAGCUUGAAGCUUCCUCUCAUGGCGUAUGGACACGUUCUUGUAACACGAAACCAUGGUGGCCAGCCUGAAGGAAACCCUUUGAACAGAGGCAGCUAACUCGGAGAGCUCCAUACUCUCGAUGUCCUUCACCAUCUUGGGCCCAACCGACCUCUUGUAAUCCUUUUGGUACGGGCUCAAAUAGUCACCCUGAUCCCGAGAUGGAAGAGGAGAAGAUCGGUCCCCAGAUUGUAAGCUGACCUCAGGGCUCUUGUCGGAAGUUUUCUCCCCACUACUCUUACGAGGUGGAGGAGGGGGCAGAGCAGGAACUGGAGCCUGAGAAGGACUGGCACUGGCCUUUUUCGGAGGAGGAGGAGGGUGGCUGGAGCUGCUCGAUGCCCGACCACGCUUUCUGCUCAUCGCGCUGAGGAUCUUGUUAUCCAUCCCAGCGGCAAUAUCUACUAAGCCCGAACCGACCAGGUUUGUUGGUGACAGGAGGUCUUGACAAGUAGACGCGCUCACCAGAGCCGUUUCCACCUGGAGUAAAGGUCGGUCCUCGAGAGUCUUAACCAAACCCCACGAUUCUGAAAAAACAGACAAGGUUAAAGAACCCAAUAAGUGGCAAUUCGAGAAAGAAUAUAGGCAAAAAAUGAACGACCUGGGGUGACAAAUUGCGUUGGAAGGUAAAUGUCACCACCCAACGACCGAACUGCUGGACACCAAUUUCCCCCAGCAAAGAAGAAUUUGUUCUUCCAAUUUUUGCACGAGGAGGGGAAACCGGUGAUUGGCUUUCUCUUCGCAGAACUGGACAUGAAGUAGUACCAGCCCGCCUCCCUUGGGCUGCUCCGCAGCUGAUACAGAUGCUUCACUUCAACAAGGGAAGGCUCCUCCGACCCACACCUCUCCCACAACACAAACAUAGCCGAGAGAACCCUCCACCUGUUUGGGUGUAGUUGACCUGGGGCCAGGUGCAUACCCCCUAAAAUCUUGGCAAAAUAGCGCUGAAGAGGCAGCCGAGCUCCUAAUUUAAAGCUCUCCAGGUGCAUGGUCACGUACUCCCGCGGAGGCCGACUAGGAACAUCACCUUUCUCAGGAACCACAAGGAGAACCUCCUUAGGAAUAUCAUAGAGGUUCCUAAGCUUGAACAGAUCAUUUUGGGUGGUGGCACAGGCUAUGUGAUCAAUGGGGUAAGAAUCUGCCUCCAUCCUAUGCCCAAGGUUUUGUUUCUUAAGAGGUCGGCUCGGCUCGGCUCGGAGCUGCUUCCCUCACUAUCACCCGCUCCUUCAGGAACCCCGACCCCACCAGAACUGUGGUUCUCGCCAGAGCCCGACGCAGGUCCCCCUCUAUUUCCUACAAGCUCUAAUUCAGAGGAGGGUGAAAUGGUCAAGGGACGUGGGUACUCAAGGAUAUCCCUACUAUGGGAUAAGCCUACACUACGAGAGGGAUUCAAAAAAUCAGUGGGUAUGGGCAAGUUAAGGUCUGAAUCCCCAGAUUCUUCAUCACCCUCGUCUGCAAUCAACUUCCUUCUUCGAUUUGACAUACCGGAGUUCCAAAAGAAAACCAAAACAAACCCAAGUACACGAAUACAAAAAGAGACAGUACAGAACCCAAUCAACAACAGCCAAAAAAGAGGUUAAAGGCUAUACCUGGAAUGGACUAACAUUGGUAGCACUGCCGUGACAGAGAAAACACCCAGCAAAUGGAUACUCCGGACGCUGGAAAUGGGAGCAAAGUCCAGAAAAGAAAUUGGUUAGUGACGGAGAAACGAAUCGCAGAAUGAUGAUGAUUUUAGUCUAGGGAUUUGGAACGAAAAGGGGGGAAACGGAAGCAUUUAAGUGAUGGGAUAUGCCAGCUCACUCACCAUAUAUCGAGGAAGGAUAGCCCGUCGUUUCAAAUUUCAAAAUAUGAAGAGUCGGGAAGCGCCACGUCACUAACCGAUACAAGAGGCCAGACUAGAGCAAGCCCAGAUAUGCAAUGGACAGGCUCAUUAAGGCCCAUGCUCAGAAGACCAGAUGAGAAGCCCCGGGCUGGUCGGCUUCAACCAUCAGUUUCUACUCUUAACUCAUUUCACUCGCAAGACCAGAAACUGGGGGACUGGUGUUAAGUAAGUAAAAGCACCAGGUCGGCCGUGCUACUAUUUCCGCCCCGGUAUGGCUCACCUCAAUCGAAUGGUACAAGCAGAGCAUGGAGACGAAUAUGGCCCGACCAGAGAUGAGUACCGACCAGAGGUGUAUGCCGAGCCGAUACCCGUCUCCUGAAAAAGCGGGAACACGAUCCCACAGAAUCGCGGGAUUUGCGUUUUUCCCAGAACCGUUGCGAGAGAUGCGAUACCUCACGUUUACCCGUAAUGUAGCAGUUAAAGUUCCGUGAAAGGCCACCACCUGAAAAAGGAGGGAUGAAGACUGAGCGGGAACGUGGGAUAACGGCUAUAAAAGAAGGAGAAAUCGAUGAAGAAGGGGACAGAAAAAUCAAAAGAGGGAAAACGCUGCCAAAUUAUUGUCAGGCUAUCUUCUUGAAAAUUCCAGAUAAAUCAAAAACUACUCUUGAAUCUAAAUUGCUCUGUUUUCCCGUAAAUACCUUGACCUAACUUAGGCAUCGAAGGGUUUACGCCGGCAAAACCACCGGCGUCUUUGAUCCGUUCUUUUGUGAGCGUAGGUCUAGAAAGAGAAAGGAGGACGAGUCCAAGCCCCGCGGUUCGAACUUGAUAACAUAAUCGUUGGUGGAAAAUUCUGAUCGGUAACAAGGCGAGCAAAUUUAAGCAUCAACAAAAUGAAAAUAAAAAUUCAUUACGAAUACGUGUUAAAGAUAUCCCAAGUAUAGAUGUGACUGAAAUAUUUGAGAUUGAAGAAGAAUUAAGACUCAAAAUCAAUUGGGAGGAAUAAAUGAGAAACCCCAAUACCAAAAAAUACACGCACAAAUCCUAAUACUAAUUGUAAUCACGGAUAAAAAGCAUAAUACGAAUAAAUUAAAUGGGCAACUAUUCCAUUGAGAAAUUAAUUAAAUCGUGUAUUAAUAUUUUGUAUACAUAUAUUUUUCUAUAUAUAACUUUCGGUAAUUUAAUUUUCCACUUAUCAUUUUUACUCCAAAAAAAUAAUUGAGAAUAUUAUUUAUAUUUUGGUGCAAAAUAUUUGAACAAUAUACAAAUUUUCAGUUUAAUAAAUCUAAACAUCUAUUAAGUUAUAAAUGAAUUUAAUGGGUUUAAUUAAUAAAAUUACUAUUAUUAUAUAAAUUGGGUUUAGUAAUGGUAUAUUGGGUGGGUUUGUUGAGUAAAUUUUAAAAUUUUGAAAUUUAAGGAUGGGUUUAUUUAGUAAAUGAGUUAAGGGAGUAGUUUGUUGGGAUUCACAUAGCCCCACCAAAUUCAAAUGUAAAAUUUGUGGAAAAAGAAGCUAUUGAGUUAUUCUUUUAAAAAAAGAAUUAAAAUGUCAAGAAUACCUUUAUUUAAUUUUAUAAUCUUAUUUUAUAGUCAUAUUUUAUUUCCACCUUAACAUAAUUUUAAAAACCUUAACUAAUAAAUUCUAUAUUUUUUUUAUAAAAGUUAUCAUUAAUAUCCAAACGGCUAAAGAUUUUUUUUUUUUUAAAAAAAAAGGAACUAUGCUUACAAAAGUUGUAUACAUUAACAAUAAAUUUAGUCCAAAGAAUAAAGUUAUUCCAAACAAGCACUCCAAUUCAUCUUGCUAAUGAAUCAAGAUGACUGAAUCCUUCUCUAAGCCAAAUCUAUUUUCACUUUUAGGUCAGAAAUUGUCAUUAAAAAAAUGUUUGAUAAAAUAUGCUCUAGGAACACUAAUUCGUCAGAUGGUUACUCCAAGUUUAUGAAAUCAAUGGGAUUUCAUCAUAUUCAUAACAUUCUUCUUUAAUGUCUAUUCUAACAAAGAAAUCAUAUACAGAGAAUAGGUUUCGUUAAAACUUUUACUAGAAAAACUAACCACAAUUCACCAUUCAUUUAUAUCUUAAGUAAGCCUAAGAUUUUAUCAUUAAAAUCCCAUCAUGAAAAAAACUCAUGGGAGAAAAACUAUAAAAAUUGAAGAAAAAAGAGUAUGGCGUGCAUGUAAAUUAUAUCGAUUUUAUCUACAUGACAAAUAAGACUCUCUUUUACAAUGGCACGGAUGCUUCAUUGAGUAAUCAUGAUUCUUGCUGGUAGUGCUUUGUUGUAUCAAUCUGCUAGCUAUUCAGCGUUCUUUCUUUCUUUCUUCUUAUUUUUUUGUUUUCAAAUAGCUUGUGGUUGUAGAAAUAUUUCAAUUAAACUAUACUUAAGUACUUAUUUGGUAUAACUUCUUUACUAACCAAAAGAAUUUUUUUUUUUGGUUUUUUAUAAUUUAAUUAUACUUUAACUAGAGUUUUUGGGAUAAAACAAGUGAUAAUUUCUCUCUAUUAAGAAAAACUCAAAGGGUAGGGCUAUCUCAAUCCACCAAACUAUUUAUUAAAAAUCCACUUAUGAAAAUAAUUUUUAAUUAUUAGAAUGCCUUUACAUUAAAUUAUAAUUAUGGACACUAAAAUAUAAUAAAUUUUUUUUUUACUCUUUAAAACUGUCUUUACAUUUGAUAUCAUAUCUUUUUCUUAAAAUCUAAAUUGAUAUUUUUAUUUUAUUUUUUAUUAAUCUUAGAACACAUAUAAAGUGAUUCAUAUUGAUUUUAUACUAACAAACUAUCACAGCACAUUCGAAAAUAAUUAACUCGUUCUUAUUUGCAUAGUGAAAAGGCAAAUAGCUCAUCCAAAUGUUAAAGAACUGGAGAGCUGCUGCUGGAGAUGAAAGAUAAAUAAUUCUCACUUAGAAGAAGGAGAAAAAAAGGAAAUACAAUUAGAAUGAGAGGUAGCCAGUAGCCACUAGCCGCCACCACCACCAGUGAAACUAUUUCACAUAAUAGAAGAUAAAGCACGCGUAAUGGAGGCAAAAAGCAAGUAAUGAUAACUCUUUUCGACACACUAAUACAUAUCAAAAUGCAAUAUCGGUCCUAACAAAAUGAAAAUAAAAAUUCAUUACGAAUAUGUGUUAAAGAUAUCCCAAGUAUUGAUGUGAUUGAAAUAUUUGAGAUUGAAGUAGAAAUAAGACUCAAAAUUAAUUGAGAGGAAUAAAUGAGAAACCCAAAUAUUAAUAAAAUACACGUGCAAAUCCUAAUGCUAAUUAAAAUCACGGAUUAAAAAUAAUAAUAAUAUGAAUGAAUUACAGGCGCAACUGUUUCAUUAAGAAAUUAAUUAAAUCGUGUAUUAAUAUUUUGUACACAUACAUUUUUCCAUAUAUAACUUUCGGUAAUUUAGUUUUCACUUAUCAUCUUUACUCCAAAAAAAAAAUUGAGAAUAUUAUUUAUGUUUUGGUGUAAAAUAUUUGAAUAAUAUACAAAUUUUCUGUUUAAUAAAUCUAAACAUUUCUCCAGUUAUAAAUGAAUUUAAUAGGUUUAAUUAGUAAAAAUAUUAUUAUUAUAUAAAUUGGGUUUGGUAAUGGUAUAUUGGGUAUUUAAAUGGGUUUGUUGAGUAAAUUUUAAAAUUUUAAAAUUCAAGGGUGGGUUUAUUUUAGUAAAUGGGUUAAGGCAGCAAUUUCCCAAACUAAAAUUUUUAGAAAAAGACGCUAUUGAGUUUUUUUUUUUUUUAAAAAAAGAAUUAAAAUGUUGAGAAUACCUUUAUUUAAUUUUAUAAUCUUAUUUUAAAAAAUUUACCCAAUAAAUUUUAUAAUUUUUAUAAAAAUUAUCAUUAACAUCCAAACAGCUAAAGAUUAAAAAAAAAAAAAAAGAAGAAGGGAACUGUACGAGCAAAAGUUACAUUAACAAUAAAUUUAGUCCAAAGAAUAAAGUUACAGCUAAAAAGUGCUCCUAUCCUAUUUUUCUCUAUUUUAACAAUAAUCUUCUUCCAAUCCGUUUUACAAUGGACUUUAACAAAUGGGCUCAAUCUCUAAACUUCAUUUUCUUUUGCUUACCCAUGGCCAUUAGCCAGAAAGCCUAAAACAAGACCAGCCCAUAUAUAUAAUUUUUUUUAAAAAAAAGUAAAAAUGUGUGAGAGCUUGUAGCAUUACAAUUUUAGGAUCACAUGUGUAAAUGGAACCCCAACAUUGAUCAAGAAUUAACAAGACAAGAUGAAGAGAUGAUCUUGUAACUAAGAAUGAAGAAAUUGAAUCAAGACAGUACUCUAGUAAAACCCAGAAAACAGAGCUUGAAGAAUCACGCACAAAGCAGUAAAUUUGUAAAACCAGAAUUGGAGCUUCACUUCUCAAGAGAGACGAAACAGGAUACAGUCUAGCUUUAGCCAAAGUGAUAAACUCGUAAUUAUUCUACAAAGGGAACAAUUUUGAACAGUGGGAAAUUCCAUAAUUAUUCUUUUCGGUGAAUUAUUUUAAAUAAAAUUAUAAAAACCAAUAUAAAAUUAUUACCCAGUAAAGACUUUAGAGAGACAAGUGCUCCCAACAGGAUCAAGUGAAUAUGCCCCACAAAGAUCAUUUCUUGUUCUUUUUCUUUUUGACAAUUUUAUCUGUGGUUUCAACUUUUAUGCUUUAUUGUCGUAUCCCGUUGAGGGCUCCGCUGCACCCAUUACAACUUACCCCUAAAUUGCCUCUUACUAACUAAACCGUUAGAUUUUAUGGAAGCACGUUCAAUGCUGAAUUUUAAUUAUGUCAUCAAAUUUCGUUUAGCUCCUUAAACUCCAUUUUAUUUGUAAUUUCUUCAUAAAAUAUUCAAAGCUUCAUCAAGCUCCUGAUGGACCAUCAUGGCUAGGGGUGCAUUAGAGCCGAACUGAAAUAUGUUAGUUCAGUUCAGUUUGGUCAGUUUAAAUCGAAUGGUUUAGAAUAUAUAAACUGAUCAAUUUUAAUUUUUAAUUGAACCGAAAAUCAAUUGGUUCAUUAUUAGUAUUUUUUUAUAAACAUGAAUUAUUAGUGAUUGUAAUUAAAUUGGACUAAAAAAAAUUCAAACUAAGGUGAAAAAUAUAAAAUCUUAGACAAUAUAAAAGAAAAAAUAUUAAAUUUUUUUAACCGAAUUAUUUUGACUCAAUUUGGUUCAUAAUUUUUUAAACCAAAUGGAACCCUCAUAACAAAAAACUAACAGAAACAAUAAGAACACGAUGUUAAAAUCUUAAAUCAAUCGCAAAAAAGCACCCAAAACAGAUCGAUUAGGAACAGUUAACAACAAAAGAUUUGAUGGUUCAAAAUCAUAAUGUGACCUACUUCCAUCCAAGAAUUAUACUAAUUUCUUUACUAGUUGUCAAAUACAAGAUCACAAGAUUAUUUAUCACUCUAUAGAGAAAAAAUUUUUAGAAGAAAUACUCCCCAAUUUUUCUCUUGAUAGUUAUGAAUCAACACCCCUAGAAAGGCUAUUGAUUUACUUUUCCUUAUUUCAUAUGAUCGGUUGCUGCAACUUAAUCCUUGCCAAGUUCCAACAUAGUCCAAACAUUUUUCAUGGUACAUGCAUAGUGCACCUUCAGAAACUUUACAGCUCUUCUUAAAACCUCAGUUCUCGUGAUGUUUCUGAUUUAUUUCUGGGACGAGUAACACUUUUGUUGAACCUAGACCAGAUUUAGUAUCCAAUCAAGAAUUUCCAGGAUCUAGCUGAACUCUCUAAUCAAGACCUAAAGAAUAGUUAAUCAAAUCCACACAAAAGAAUCACCCAAAAACAGUAUACAAAGAACAACAAAUAUAAGUGGUUUUGAGAUAAAUGUAAUUGACUUCUGAGCAUGACUUAAUUUUGAGAUCAUUACUUUUAGUUAAAUGAUCUCCUCCAGAGCUUCUACCUAUGUAGUGUUUUUAGACCUCUAUAGUUGAUAAAGCACGUUCAAGGUGAAGGCUUGUUUUCCAAUCUAUAGUCCAAUUAUAGACUGGAAAUGGUCAGGCUUAAUGCACCUUCAAAAGCUUCACAAUUUGUAUUGAAACCUUAAGCCUCAGAAUGCUACAAAUUUUAAAUCCAUAUACUUAGUGCUCUUAUGAUUUGUUUGAUUUUUACUUAGAUGAAGAGCAUUUUAGCUAUAGAAAACAUUGUAACUAAUUCAAAGCAUGCCUUAGCUACGAGAUCAUUCAUUCUAGCCAAAUGCCCCCUUUAGAGAUUCUGCUAUUGUUGUGUAUUCAGCCUCUAUAUUUGGCAAAGCAAUUACAUGUCGAAGGCUUGCUUUCCAGUUAACAGCGCAAUUACAUAGAUUAAAGGUGUAACCAGGCAAAGAACUUAGUUAUUCUGCCAAGGUCUCCAACAUACUCCAAAUCCAUAUAACCACCAGACUUCAAUCUUUAGACUCCAUAGAUCAAACCAUAACUUAGUGUGCCUUUCAAUCUCAGGUAACAUUUUACUGUUUUCCACGUCUUGCCAUGUACUUGCUGCUAACACUAACAAUUUGAGAAAUGUUAGGCAUCGUAAGCAGCCGACAACACUCUUCUUCAUUUCUUCAUUGUCAAUUUCCUUCUUGGAACAUUGCUCCAUUGAGAGUCUGCUAUCAUUGCUCCAAUUAUUAUUAUUUUUGUUUUUUUAAAAAAAAAAAUUAACCGUGCAAUAAGAGUAUAAGACUAAGCAACGGUCCUUUUUUUUUUCCCAUUCUUGAACAUGAAGUAUUUGAGUAUGCAAUAAAAAUUGUUUAUUGAUAAUUAAAAGUUAAUAGUGGGUGGCUUUAGGAUUUGUUUACAAAAUUGACAACAAAUUAAGAUUUUUCAAAUUCAUAGGUAAGAAACUUUUCAUUUAUUCAUAGAUUUUCCGGUUUAAACUUUAAAGGAAACUUAAAAGAAAAAGAUGUAUCAUUAGAUUUGUAAUUAAAAAAAUUUAAUAUUGUAUGAUCUGUUCGAUAUGCAUAAUUUAAAUAAACAUUAAUAUAGAUGUUAUAUAUCCUAAAACUUAAUUGACUUAAUUCUUACGGUGCAAGGAAGACGUUUCCAAGUUUAAAUCUAAUUUGGGGUCGGGAAAGCACUGGGAAAUAAAUGUAACAAAGGAAAAAAGAAAAGAAUGACAGUCUGAGUGGAGCCAACACGGUUUUGAAAAAAGUGCAAAAAAGGGUUUUAGGAUAUAUUCUAUUAUCGUUUGUUUGCUUGCUUGUGGAAAUAAAAGUCUCAUGUUUCUUUGAAAGGUAAGCAAGUGUGAAUGUUUCUAUCUAGAGCUGGAAAAUGCAUUUCCGUGCAACUUACUUGAUGAAUGAAGUUUUCAUCUCUGACCUUGAUGUUUCCCAGAGCUGCAUUCAUUUCAGCUGAUCUAUUUCAUUUCGUUUGCAAAGGAGUGACACAAAACCUCCUUUGUUAAGGGGAGAAUUUAGAGUGGCUUCAACGGUUAACAAAUAGCCUAAUGUAAGACUUAAUCAAUUUCCUGCCCGGUUGCUUACCACUACUUAUCACUUUAACGUAUGAAACCUAAUCAAGAUUCCUUUGAUGAUUUUUCUAUUUGCUAAUUGAUUGAUAAGCUCUUCAGUGAAGAUAUAGUGUCCGCAAGCCAUAUGUUGAUAGAGUUAGAGUUUGCAGAAGCUACUGUACCAUAUGUUGUUAGAGGCGGUAAAAACGGAGGCAGAUCAACACACAUUUAAAUUUCAAUGACAAUUUACUGGAAAUAAAUUUCCUAUGACCCUACAUGUGACUAAUUGAUGAGAACUUGACAAUGACAAAAGAAAGUGUAUGAGCUUUGCAGGCUGGCUUGCCAAUAUUGACUGUAUGGCACCAUCCGCAAGUAAGUAUCAUUACUGUUUAAUCAACUUGGUGGAGUCCACUGGGACCACCCCACAUGGUCAGUCUUAUCUCUACUCCUAAAUUUUCAAUAUUCCAUACAUCAAACCAAUUGCAGUUUUGAUAUCAAAUUCAAUUUUAUUGUUGGUGACGAUUCUGAUUCCUUUCAUUCUCACAAAACGGAACCAUGGUUGCUGUUGGAGAGAUCUUACUCAACGCCUUCCUUGAGGUGUUGUUUGACAGGUUGGCUUCUCGUAAUUUGCUCCGCUUUGUGCGUCAACUCCAAGGCGGGGUUGAUUCGGAGCUCAAGAAGUGGGAGAAAAAGCUGAAGAUGAUUCAGGCUGUGCUCUGCGAUGCAGAGGAGAAGCAACUGACCGAUGAGGCUGUGAAGAUGUGGCUGGACGAACUCCAAGACUUAGCUUUUGACGCUGAGGACAUUCUUGAUGAGUUUGCUACUCAAGCUUUGGAAAGCAAGUUGAUGGCGCAAAACCAGGAUAGCUCUGGCCAGGUUCUCAGUCUCAUCCCGGCUAGUUUGAAUCCGAAUGCUAUUAUGUUCAAUUAUAGCAUGGGGUCCAAGAUUAAAGAUAUGACUAGCCGGCUGGAGCAACUCUGCCAAGAAAGAAUUGAACUUGGACUGCAACGGCUUACUGGAGGGGCGUCAUCAACCGCUGCUGCUGCACACCGGAGGCCACCCAGUUCGAGUGUCCGAACAGAACGUGAAGUAUUUGGAAGAGAAGAAGAUAAGGCCAAAAUUCUUGAUAUGGUCAAUACCCCAAGUGAUCACGCCAACUUUGUUGUAAUACCUAUUGUUGGAAUGGGCGGGAUAGGAAAAACAACUCUUGCUCGGGAGGUCUACAAUGACAAGGCAGUUGAGGAUUCCAAGUUUGACGUAAAAGCAUGGGUUUGUGUCUCCGACAACUUUGAUGUUUUCAACAUUUCAAAGGCACUUCUCGAGUCAAUCACCUCCGCAGCUAGUGAUCUCAAGACUUUAAAUGAAGUGCAGGUUCAACUGAAAAAAGCAGUGGACGGAAAAAGAUUCUUGCUGGUCUUAGAUGAUGUUUGGAACGAGGACUACAGCUUGUGGGUAGACUUAAAAGCUCCGUUCCUGGGUGCUGCACCAAACAGUAAGAUGAUCGUCACCACACGCAAUUUAAACGUUGCAUCAACAAUGGGACCAAUUGAACAUUAUAAUCUCAAGAGUCUGUUAGAUGAUGAUUGCUGGUCCAUUUUCAUACAGCAUGCAUUUGAAGGUAGAGAUCUUAACGCAUAUCAAAUUUCAGAAUCAUUCAGCAAGAAAGUUGUUGGCAAGUGUGGGGGCUUGCCUCUGGCAGCAAAAACGCUCGGGGACUUCUGCGCACAACAAGGCAUGAUGCGUGGGACGAUAUAUUGGAUAGCAAAAUAUGGGAUUUACAUCAACAAAGCAGCAUUCUCCCUGUGUUAAGAUUGAGUUACCAUCAUCUUCCGUCUCAUUUGAAAAGAUGUUUUGCUUUUUGUGCCAUCUUUCCAAAAGAUUAUGCAUUCACUGAGAGGGAGCUGACUUUCUUAUGGAUGGCUGGAGGUAUUAUUCGACAGUCAAGAAACAAUGAGCAGCUGGAAGAUUUGGGCAGCAAGUGCUUUGGUGAUCUAGUGUCGAGGUCAAUUUUUCAGCAAACAGCAAGCUCUGAUAGUUCUAAAUUUGUAAUGCAUGACCUUAUUCAUGAUCUUGCUGAAUUGGUCUCUGGAGAAACCAUAUUCAGGUUAGAGGAGGCCAAUACUCGGUCAAGAAGAUUUGAAAGGGUUCGCCAUUCUUCCUAUGCUUGUGGUGGAUGUGAUGGUAAAAAUAUGUUCGUGGUUUUCAAUGAAAUUGAACAUCUACGAACAUUCUUGCCAUUACGCUUACGCAGAAGAGGUGGCUCUAAUGCUGGUUACAUAACUCGUACGGUUCUAUCUGAUUUGCUGCCGAAGUUCAAAAGGUUGAGAAUGCUAUCUUUACAAGGAUACUGUAUUGGUGAGUUACCAAUUCCAUUUGAAGAUUUGAGACUUUUAAGGUUUCUCAACCUUGCUGACACUGACAUAAGAAGUUUACCCGAGUCAACAUGCAAAUUGCUGAACUUGGAAAUUUUUAUAUUAAGAAAUUGUUCCCGUUUGAUAAAGCUUCCACCCAAAAUGAGGAAUUUGAUCAAUUUACGCCAUUUGGAUUUAAGAGGUGCGAAGUUGCUGAAGGAGAUGCCAUUCGGAAUGAAAGAGUUGAAGAAGCUUCAAACAUUGUCCAAUUUCAUCGUGGGCAAGGGCGAAACUGCAUCUGGUUUGGAAGAUUUAAAAUGUUUAAACUUUCUUUGUGAUGAACUCUGCAUUGCUGGAUUAGAGAAUGUGAAUGGUCCACAGAAUGCAAGAGAAGCCGCAUUAUGUGAGAAGCACAAUCUUGAAGCAUUGACUCUAGAAUGGGGGUCUCAAUCUGACGGUCCUCGGGAUGCAGUACUAGAAGAGAAGGUACUUGACACUCUACAACCUCAUGAAUGUAUAAAAGAGCUGGCAAUCAGGCACUAUGGUGGUGCAAGAUUUCCACCUUGGAUCGGACAGCAUUCGUUCUCCGAGAUGAAGGUCCUUAAAUUGGAGAACUGUGGCAAUUGUGUAUCUCUGCCAUCGCUUGGCCUGAUGAGUUCACUUAAGCACCUUGCUGUUAAAGGGCUGAAGAAAUUAAAAAGCCUAGAGUCUGAGGUUUAUGGGGAGGGUUUCUCAAUGCCUUUUUCGUCACUGGAGAUUCUAAGUUUUGAGAAUUUGCCAGAAUGCGAGCAUUGGGACACCAAUAUCAAAGGAAAUGUGCUUGUUGAAAUAUUUCCUCGUCUCCAUAAACUUUCCAUUGUGGAAUGUCCCAAACUCUCCGGAAAACUGCCUGAGCUCCUGCCCUCCUUGAAGACACUUGUUGUUAGUAAAUGUGAAAAGUUGGUAGUUCCAUUGUCUUGCUAUCCAAUGCUUUGCAGAUUAGAAGUUGAUGAGUGCAAAGAACUAGUCUGCCGGACUCCGAUUGAUUUUAAGUUGAUAAAGUCGGUGACUAUUUCAAAUAGUUCAUUAGACAUGAAUGGACGCAAGGGGAUGCUAUACGAUGGUCCAGCUGGCUCUUUACUGCCAAAGCCCAUGACUACUACAAAUGUUUUGGAGUUUGGAAAAUUAUUGAAGCCUGGAUUUCAGAUAUUAGAAACUUUGGUAAUUGGCAAUUCUGAACAGCUCAAGUCAUGGAGGCAGCAUGGGGAUU